rnacentral:lncRNA from 1 species
CCAGGGGAGAGAGCUGCACGUCCUUGAAAAUGGUUCCAAGGUUGUUGGUGCGCAGAUCCAAUUUGCAGUUGGCCGAUCGGUAUCCGAGUGAGAAGACGUAAGGGGUCUCCAGGAGUUUACCGAGCUUGAACCGAGCUCCCGAGCAGACAAUCUGGGAAGAAUUAUCCCGCGACAUUCCCUGGAGCCACACAUGACCGGCAGGGAAAGUUUCUCCCCAGUUCUUCUCCUGGUGCGCAAACCCGUCACCGUGAACCACCAUGUUCUUGUCGCUGCUGAAAAAUGUGUACUUUGCUCGGGAGCCCAGGCUGUGCACGUACCAAUGGCACGGGAACAGUGGAACUUUCCCUGCCCAGCCUUCGGGGCCCUUUUUACUGUUGCCAGAAUCCCAUGGAACCUGGAAAAAACACCGGGAUAUGAGAUUUUGUUUUGGUUCUGGAAUGAAGAACAUUACCGUGCCACUCGUCUCAACUCUGAGGUCGUAACCAUUUAGCCGGACCUCCACCUCGGACUCAUUCGGCUUCAUCACGAUUUUUCCAAUGCCUGCAGCCUCCCACUGAAAUCCCUUGGGCUCGUCGUCAUUGUCAGCUCCAGACAAAUCUCCUAUCGUGCUAAACUUCGCGUCCUGCAAGAAGAAAACAGCCGGGGAAACUAAGAAACUUUCAAUGAAGAAAUGCAGGCCAAAAACACAAAAAAAACACCAGGGAGGAUUGCAAAACAAGGAUGCCGCAGUAAAAAGAAGGGAAAAUAGGGAACACAUGGAGACUAGAAAGCUAGUAAACUAUGACCGAUGAAAAAAAGCAAAAGAACAGUGGAGUGGACGAGAUGGAGACUAGAAAGCUAGUAAACUAUGAUAAAACUCACACCCGAGAUACUCGUAGACUUAAAACAAAACGAAUGCUAGCAAUCUAGGACUGCGUGAACUAUAAAAAAAAAUAGAAGAAAAAAAAACAUACCUUGAAAGGGAUAAACUCACCUUUGUUUUCACGGCCACAGCGUGUGUGCUACGCGAUGAAUCACUGAAGAGCAAAGUAACCUGGCUCUCCUGCGUCGCGUAAUUCGUCGCCAUGAUCACACCAGCGCUGAAUUGCCUCGGCUCAUCCACAAGCCGUGUGUACCAUCCCUCGAAGGAAGGAUAGGGGCGAAUCCUCUCCGGAAGAAGCCGGCUAAAGCUGGGUUUGUGAGGAUCCCACGGAUGCUGCCCCGAGAACUCCGCCUCCUCCACGGAUUCCAGCACCGACGAGGAGCUCUCCUCCUCGCCCUUGGCCAUUCUUACCGCGAUUCCCCGAUCAAUGCCGCGGCGCCGCCGCGGCGCCGCGCUCAAUCCUCCCGGGAAGGGCCACUGGCCGCAUGCAUUGCAUGCCGCUACCGCCGCCGCUGCCAUUCCAGUUGCAUGCUACUGCCGCCAGCGCCGAUCGAGAAGCCUUACAUAGCGCCAGCUCCGCGGCGGGAUCGAUCAACACGAGCCCUGACAGCGACGCGCUAGGCAUUCUCUCACCCAAUAAUCUAGCGCUAGGGUUUAUGCCAAACUCCAUGCUUAUAUUAGCUUAGCUUACACUAACAGUAACUAAUUAGCUUAAUAAGCGUGUCUAACCACGACUCGAACCGUUACUCCACGGUGGUUUCUUCUUUCUUGUCUCUCUCCUCUCGUUUUCCUCGUGGUUUUCUUCUCUAGGACUAGGGUUCUUCGAUUUUUUCGUGCUAUUCUAGCAGAGAAGCGAUGGUCCAGUGACGAGGAACUACUCUCGGGUUAGUUUUUUUUUGGUUCUUCUCCUUUCGGUUCUUUGGGUUGGAAGAAUCGCUUCCAAGGAAUGCGGUCGAGCUCUGUGAUGCUCCUCCUGCUCGGCUUUCUCGUGCUUGUUUCUACCCAAGAACUUGGGAAGAACGAGCUCGAGGAAGCCAUCGUUCUUUACUCCGGCUCCAGCGAUGAUCCAGUCGAGCGUUUGAGUUCUUCCAGCUUUGCCUCCUUUCCAACACUGCCCCCGUUUCCUCCAUCUCCGCCGCCGCCGCCGCCGCCUCCUCCUAUAGCGCCUGACGAUCACCAUCAUAGCCGUCCAGCUCCAGCGCCAGCUCCAGCGUCAGCUCCGGCUCCCAGCGAUGGCGAUGACGAUGACGAUGACCAAGGCUCAAGUGGAACGCCGCCACCGCCACCGCCGCUACCACCACCUCCACCACCAUCUCCUCCGCCUCCUCCACACCAUCUUCCAAAGGCCCUUCUCGCCGGCCUGAACAUCACCAACGGUGGAAAGCUCUCGCCAGACUUUAGCCCCCGGACUUACAACUAUUCCUCCUCCGUGAGCUCGGGCGUACGAAAGAUCAGGAUCGUUGCCACUGUCUCGCAGGAAGAGGUAGUGUUCUUGGUGAAACUUUGCUCUGAUUUGUUGCUUUGCUGCUCCAGGAGCGCGACGAGUACACGGUGACUGUCAACUCCAUUCCUCUCAAGAGUGGCGUUCCAAGCCCGCAGCUCCAAGUUGGCAAGGCUGGGGAAGAUACUCUCUUUGAGAUCGCGGUCACGGCUCUGGAACACGAGCCUUCGACGUACUACUUGCUCGUCCAUCGCGGUGAGCUUUAGAGCUCCUGGAGUACGAGACGUUGAUGUUAGUUCUCUCUUUGCCACAGGAAAGAGCAAAUGGGAUCGUUUUGGAGCAAAGUUCCUACUGGCCUUGGCGAUCGUGCUGGUGAUCGCGGUGGUCUUGUUCCUGUGCUAUGGCUGCUAUGUCUGCAUCCAGAGUGGAAGAAUGCCGUCAAUAUGGCCUUUCAGGAGCCGAGACGCUGAUGAGUACUCGCUUUUACCGGGGCCGAGUAGCGGUCGCCCAUAGCGAGUUCUCCUUAACUUCUAGACUGAGUGUCCUUUUUUGCUCAGGCAGUAAGUUAGAGACGAUCGAACGUUACUGAAUAUAAAGCUACCUUUUGACUUACGCACAGUUUCAAGACACUCGUGAACUAUUAUGAUUCUUGAGCCUUGAUGUGAAAAAGAAUCCCCCCGUCGCUAACUUGCUGGCCGGCAGUGACGUUCACUUGAUUGAUAACACCAGAAAUAUGUGCUUUUACAGUGUGCUGCAAAAAGGUGUGUAAGAGGAAAGCAACAAAUACGAACAAAUAUAAGGUUUUUACCUCCAUUUUCAUAGCUUCUAAAACCAGGAGAGGAUCUCCAGCUUUCACAUUUGAGCCCAGCUCUGCAAGAACUUUCACAGCCAGUCCGGCCAUGGGAGAAGCGACGGCUCCCGGUGUUAGCUUGCUACUACCGCCAGAACUUGUUAAUCGUUGAGAUGUUUCACCAUGGCUUUCUGUAUCAUAGGCCUCCCGCAACGCUGUUGUAAAGUGAUGGUGCUCGCCGUCCUUCCACACGUGAAUAUGAUAAGCCGAUUUCUGUUGUCCAGAAAAUGCUAAUUAGAUCUGAAUUGAAAGGAGAGAAAACUGCAUACCUGCAGAUAAUAACCAUAGUUUAUAGUGGAGGAAAUGCCAUUGAUGUCGACAGUUAUGUCACAGCCAGAACUAGCAACUCUUUUAGCUGUAAGUCUGACACAAGAUAAAUCUCCCGCAAACUGCACAAUAUGACUCCACAUAGGGAAUAGGAAAAGGAAAAACAAUGCGUUUACCUUUACUAAGAACUCGUUGUCACUUGAAUAGGUGACAUCUAAGCUCAUCGGUUCGCAUGAGAGACUCUCGGACUCAGGCAUCCAGUCUAACGAGAUCUUCCUGGUAUAAGGAUUGUUGACUCGAAAACCAGAAGUUGUAUGCCAUGGGCCUCCAAUUCUCGAUUCUGCACUGGAAAUAGUAAAUGCUGGCUAUCUCAAAACUGCGAGUCGAUCUUACCUGGUCGUCGAAAACUCUCCCUUAUACAUACGCCAACGGCCGCUAAAGCAGCGAAAGGUUUUACAUCUCGCUUGGCACUUUCGGAAAAAUCUAGUAGCUCGUUCUUAUGGUGUUCAAUGAAGUGUGUUUCCACGUCCCCAGCCCUGAAAGCCGGAUGUUUUGCAAGCUUUUUUAAAAAGUGGAUGUUAGUUGGAAGUCCAGCAACCUGGCGAAUGCAAUGUUAGCACUAAACAAUAGAAAGAAAAAAGAGCAAACCAACUUGCCUGAAAAUUCGAGAGGCAAUUAUGAAGCUUCGCCAACGCCAUAUCGCGAUCACUACCCCAUACGACCAGUUUGGCUAUCAUAGGAUCGUAGUGGACGCUUACAGCAUCACUUUGCUCUACACCCGUCUCAAUUCUCACUGCAUUGACAAGAUAAACUGCUUAGGAUUCUCCAAGUUUGACACGAGUUACCAGUGGAUGAAGCGGGAGGUGGAUUAUAAUGGUAAAGAACUCCAGCAGCAGGUAGAAAACCUCUUGGAACGUUUUCAGCAUAGACCCGAGCCUCAAACGCAUGACCUGCUUAGCUGCGAUAAUCUUCGGGAAUAAAUAGUGUAGAGAAGCUACCUUGCAGCGGUAUACUCUUUUGCUCAAGUGGAAGGCUUUCGCCAUUUGCGACACGAAUUUGCCAUUCCACCAAGUCUUGACGCGUCACCAUUUCGGUGACAGGGUGCUCAACCUGACCAGAAGUUUAAUUCAGCAUAUACAGAAACUAGUGGAAGUCCGUCCUUACUUGCAAACGUGUGUUCAUCUCCAUGAAGAAAAACUCUCCUGUUGCAGUGUCGACAAUAAACUCAACAGUGCCAGCAUUUUCGUAAUUCACAGCCUUCGAUAGAAAAGAAAUUUUGAUUUGACAGCAGCAAAUCACAAAAGAGGAUACCUUAGCCGCAUUGACUGCUGCUUGGCCUAUUGAGUUGCGAAAGUCGUCUGACAUGAGCGGCUGGAAUAUAAAAAAAAAACAUGGUGAAACAGCAAACAGCCUGAAAUAUUGUCCUACCGCUGGUGCUUCCUCUAUAAUUUUCUGGUGGCGCCUCUGAACGCUACAGUCCCGUUCAAACAAAUGAACAACGUUACCAAAGCGGUCGCCAAAGAUCUGUCAGCAAGUCUGUGAUAAAUUUCCAGGUUGAACAAAAUCUCCCACCUGGACUUCUAUGUGUCGAGGCUGUGCGAUAUACUUCUCAAUCAAGACCCUGGUGUCGCCAAAUGCAGCAGCAGACUCACGUAGAGCGCUUCUCAAACUGUCCAGAAACUCGUCUCUGCUGUGGACAAUCCUCAUGCCCUGAACCAAAACUUUACAAGAGAAAUCAGUAGUGUCGCCAACAUGAAACAAAAUACCAAAAGAAAGCAAAAAACCAACCUUUCCUCCGCCACCAAGAACAGGCUUGAUCAGAACGGGAUAGCCAAUCCGAUCAGCCUCAGAUUGCAGCAGCUCGUGGCUCUGAUCAUCCCCGUGGUAUCCAGGAACAACAGGAACAUUAGCACCGCUCAUAAGCUUUUUGGAGGCACUAAGGAGUUCCAAGAUAGUUCUUAUGGCUGGUUCUUUGAAGAAAAAUGGAGUUGGCGUACCUUUUGUCUCCCAUCAAGCUAAUCGCAGCUGCCGAAGGGCCAAUGAAUGUGAUCCCAGACUCGUGGCAAGCCUGCGCAAACUUCGAAUUUUCUGAUAGAAAUCCAUACCCGGGAUGGAUUGCCUGAGAAGUUGGAUAUGUAUGAGUCGAGAAGAAAAGAAAUGAAAGCUUACAUCGGCUCCAGUGCGACGAGCAGCGUCGAGGAUGGAAGUAGUGGACAAGUAGCUGAGCUGCGCAGAGGCGGGGCCGAUAAACACUGCUUCAUCGGCUCGACGGACGUGUAGCGAGUUUCGAUCGGCAUCACUGUAAACCGCCACCGUUUUUAAUCCCAAGCUACGCGCGGUCUUGAUGAUCCGGCACGCAAUCUCGCCCCUGUUCGCGAUCAGGAUCUUCUCGAUCGGCCGCUGGGCUGGAGAUUUCUCCACGGGAGGCGCUUGAGAGAAGGGAUUGGCGAGCGAGCUCCAAGAUCGCUUGCUCCUCCUCGCAAUGGAUGUGGAAUUUCCCAUGGACGAUCGGCAGCGCUAAAGGCGAGCUCGAGAAUGCGUGUCACCUGAUCGAAUCGAGGCGCCAGGACCGCCGCUGGAGAAAACCCUAGCCUUGAGACACCUUGUCGUGCUUAUCCCGUGAAAUAGUCUAAUCACUUGAGAAGGAGACCUCUGGAGGGAUGAGUGGAGGCUCCACGAAUCCAUUGCAAGGAGUGAUAAUAUCGACAGCUAUCUUGCUAGUUGGUACUGCGAUAGAGAAAAUUCAGCUUCGACUCAAUGGGGAGAUAUUUCUUUUUGGACAGUGAUGUGCACUGCAUAUGCCCUCAAAGGGCAUUGUCUGGAAGUACUGGAUCAUGGCUUAUAAACUCGUGAAACACUAACACUUCUAUAUAACAUGGCAGGGUAUCCCUGUGAAUCUGAAUCCGUCCUUGUUUUCGGAGUUAAGCAAGAUAGCAAAUGUUGAUUAAGUUAGAAUGGGAUUAUGCAAGCUAUGUGCGAUUAAAUGGGGGAUUCUGGGCAAAAAAAUUCCAUGUGUCCAAAGACCAUGUCCUGGGAGCUUGAUCUCUCUAGGAACUGCAGCAGUGCAAGUUCCUGGCUCGUGAUUCGCAAGAGCAAAGCGCUGGGCAGAGUCCAAUCCAAACACCAAUCUUGCACUCACCACCGAGUUGAACGAUCCAUCUGAUCCUUGCGAGUGGAGGCUUCGAUUUGCUCUUCGGUCCCUGGAGGUGAAAGGUGGCGGCGUCCAGUGAUCGGUGAAGCGGCUACUCAAGCGGAUGAAUCUCGCGGACUCGCAUGCUUGCCGGACUAUUGCUUCGUGGAGCGCUACUCGUCGAGUGGGAAGGCUUUCAGCUCGCGGACAUGAUUCUGCGGGUGACCACGACGAGAAGUUGCUGGUCCGAGAUCGACGAAGUUGUUCGAGAGCUGGAUGAUUUGCAUGACAAGCGGAAGCUGCCGCGCCCCGAGCAGUACAAGCUCGUUACGUUGUUCCCGAGUCAAUAUUUGAGGGAUUCACGUACCAGUUCUUUGAGGAAGACAAUGGAGCUGUGUCUGAGCGACGAGUUGCAGGGAUGGAUACAUGAUGACGGUUCCAUCGUAGUUCGUCUUGAGUUUCAGCAUGAAUGAGUGAAAAUCCAGAUGUAAACUAUGAACUUUACCUUGCAAAUCAUGAAGUUUGCUCUUCUCGUACAAGAAUCCAACAAUGGGAUAGAAGUAAUCAAGAAUCUAACAAUGAAAAAGAAGUUUCAGCACGUCCCACAGGCAUGCUUCAGAGCUGUAGCAAAAAUGAUAGAAGUAAUCAAGAAUCCAACAAUGAGAAGGAAGUUUCAGCAUGUCCCACAGGUAUGAUUUAGGAAACAUAGAGCUCUGAACUUUGUAAUAUUCUCGUCCUGCCAAGCACAAGAAUCCAACAAUGAGAAGGAAGUAAUUAAACCAACCAUAAGAAGUAGCAUAACUUUCCGCCUUUAAUACUCAGUUUAAUUUAGAGAAGAUCUAUGAUUCAAAAAAUCUUGACGUAAACAAGGUAGAUUCGUUUUUCUUAAUGGAGGGAGCUUAAACCCUAGUUCUUUCAAGCUUGCGAGCGACGGCGAUGAUGCUCUGCCUCGCUCGGGCACCGAAAUCUCUCCCUCUCGGCCGCACACCGAUCCGGAGAUGAUGUGGUGUCGAUGAUGAUCCAGAAGCACCAGGCAGAUCACGGUCUCAGCCCUAGCGCCAACCAGGAUUGCGAAUCUCCGCCCAGGAUCGCUCGCCAGAGGCUGUGUUCUCCAUGGAGUGCUCAUUGCGGAUACGCUCAAGCUCGAGGAUAGCGUCCAGGUACUCACUACGCUCAGGGAUUCCAGCGGCGACGAGGUUCUUCUAGCGAUCAAGCAUGCAGUGGGCAGCGACGCCACAUCCGAGCAAGUCCGAGCGAAAUAUCCGAGAGUGGCCGUCAAGGAGCCGAUGCUCCAGAAGCAAGAGGGUUCUUCCUUCACCUCGUUGGACAACCGUGGAGGUGAUCUCCUACCUCAGCGACGAGCAGCUGGAGCGAUUCAGAGGUAUGGCCGCCGCGGCGCUGCGAUUGGAAGGCAACAAGCUCUUCCAAGAUGGCAGCUUUGAGGCUACCGCCCAAGCCUCGGCGAAAUGCGACCUCCAGCGAGAUCGAGUACUUGCACUGUCGAACAAGGCCGAGUGCUUCCUCAAGCUGGGACGAUUUGGGCAGUGUGUGGAUGCCGCAAGUGCUGCUCUCUCCGUGGAUCCCUGCCAUCUCAAGAGUAUGUACCAGAAAGCUUUGGCGCUGCUCAAGCUCCAUCUCUACGACUGGUCAUGCAAGCUUUUGGGUGACAUUCUUGGGGUGGACAAGGCAAUCGAUUGACUGCACCAGAGAUGCAACAAGCUUGCCAUCCAGCGCCGCGACAGGAGCAGCAUCAUGGCAGAGAUUUGUGACUUUGUCCGGGCCUGGAGUGAAGGAGAGGAACUUCCGGUUGCGGACAACUUUUGCAAAGUGGAAGUAAGAAAAUGCGAAGAUCAGAGCAAGGGACGAGGCCGGGGACUCUUUACAACGACAAGCAUCAAGAAGGCGAGCUCGUUCUUGUCAGCAACUCGCCAGCCUUUGAGCGAGGUGGUUACAGAUCCAUUUGCGAUAGAAACACUGCAGUCUGGCUGCUCGACAUGGCCAUGAAGUCUCCGCGAGCAUACAAGCUGAUGCUUGCGAGGUCGCAGGGAACGAGCGUGAAGUUCCCGCAAUGGAGAUUUUCCAGCCAGACUGGGCCACGCCGAAGAACUGCAGCACCGACAGUAGCAGGGAAGCUCUCCAAGGGAUUACGGUCGAGAGAUUUUUCGAAAUGGUCAGCCAAGCUUCCUUCAAUCCUAAGGUGCAGCUGCCUAAGCCAGAACGAGCCGACGGUACGCUUGCUCUACGUCGCUACUUGGUUCGUCCCCCGCUUCAUCAACCACUCCUGUGUUGGGAACGUUUCCCAGAGGGUGUUUGGCACCACGGCGUGCUACUUUGCCACCCGAGACAUCACUCGGGUUCUGCUUCAUCAUCGGCGGCCAUCCUUACAGGCGGACGAGGCUCUCCUUCGAGGAUCUCGCGCAGGGGACUGGCUUCUACAGGGACUUGGCCGAGGCAAACUUUGAGUUUCCGUUCAAGGGAGGGAUCAGUCCGGCCUGGAUGGUGGUGAAGCUGGAGCAAGUGUUUUCGACAAAGCUCCAGGAUGAGGAGGAGAGGCAGUGCGUGAGAGCGAUCCACUGGUCGCUCUACCUGUGGACUACCAGCAGGUGGAGGUUGGAAACGUGGUGGCGCUGCCGGAGGGGAUUAUGUUCCAGCGGGAGAGGUGAUUAUGGAGGCGAUGCACAAGCUCACGGCUGGCAACGAUGGCAACGAGAGUUACCUGGAGACGAUGGCAGACUACGCACGGGACAAGGAAGCGGCAAAGAGGGCGAUGGAGAUGGAGUGGGAGGUGAGGUUUGGGAAGCAGGAGGACGCUUGCGUUGCCAAGGCCAUCUACGAGAGAGGUAUGGACUCGUUGCUCAAGCCCUGGACCCUCUGAGUGAGCUUGUUUUUCUGGAGUGUUUUCGUCCUAUUUCUUCUUCUUUUUCUACUACUACUCACUACUUCUCUUUCUUCUCUUCUGCUGUCUCCUCCUACUACUACCUUAACCACUCGGCCAAAGCGACACUUUCAUGAAACCGCUCUUUUCACAAAGCAAUCCACGAAAGAAGGGAUUGGUGAGCGAGCGAGCAAUCUAGUCAAGUAUGCUUGAAUUAUACUGUUAUACUACUGAUUUCUAGAAUUAUAUUUCAUCAAACUAAUCUAACAGCAUUCAAUUAGACACUUCGAAGAAAUACGCCCAUAAUACAACAAGAAAAAAGCUUGUGUUAUAACAAAAGAAUGAAGAGAAAAUAGAAAAAUAAUUUUUGAAGCAAUCUAUUUCAUAUAGUCAAUUAUACCUUACGAAUGUAUGCUCACAUUAUUUCCGCACUAUAUAAUUUAACCUUUGUGAACUGUCCCCUUCAUACUCAUGUUAUGGUAUUUGGCAAUAUCGCAUAAUAAAACCCUAAUUUGUCAUACUUAUUUCUUACAUAAAAGAAGUUAAAGAAAUGCACGGAAAAGCAGGCUGGCCCCGGACAGCUAGACUAGAAAAUCAACGCGGAAACACGAAGCGAGCUAUGCAUUUUUGUCUGUCAGAAAAAUUAACAUAUGUUAGCUCAAAACAGAAGUGAUGAAGAUUUACCUGGAGAAUCCCCUUGUUGCUGAAAACUUUUCUCAUCAUGUUACUGACGUAGAUUUUUCUCUAAUUUGAAGUAGAUGAGGAUGGCUAGUGCAACCACUGCUAAUCCAAUAAACACAGUGAACUCCUGGAAGACUAUCCAGUUUGGAGUAACUUCAACUGUGGAUGUCGUUGUCACUAGGAAUGCUAUGUUAUGAUUGAGCUGGAGAAUUGUCUCAGCAGUGGCAAGGGAAGGUUCCUUCUCGAGGUCCUUUAUGCUGAAGUAGAGACCUGGCAAGCUUCCUGCCACUGAACCAGCAAUGAACACUGUCCGCCCCAAAGUUCUGAUUAGUGGACGGUAGCCUGGCUUUCCGGCCAACUUAAGUUGAUCGAGUUGGCGAAAUAAUGAAUCUUCCCACUCUAAGAGAGUCCUGCUCAAGGAGCCAGCACAAAUUCCCAGCAAUGCAAUGACAAAUGUCAUAAAAGACGUAUAAACUUGUGUUCGACGAGAAGAUGCAUCUUUCCAAUACUGCUCUCCAAAACGAUGAACGUUGCUCACUUUCAACAAGUCAUUGAGAACUUCUUGGACUCUCUCGUUGUCAUGUCUAGACAAUUGUUUGAAACAUGGUGGUGAAUCCACCUUAACCAAGAAAAUAAAACAUCAGCCUUCAGAAAAAAAAAGUCAUAGUAUCGAACUCACCUUGAAUUCUUCGUUCCCACAGGUGAUGUCCCUUCCUUGUGUCUUCUUCAACAGAAAAUCUUUGAUGACAGUGCCGCCCACCUUGUUGGCUUGCAUACCAGAAUACUUGCCGACGAACGAAACUUGGCAACCCGUCACGUUUCUUGUACAAGCAUUCAAUAGAACUUCUUCACUUAGCUCUUGGUCUCCUUCUAACGUUGUCUCAAUGCAUGUUGUCAUCUGCUCCAUCCCACUCAGGACACCUUCUGUGAGGUUCGCGAGGCUGGCGCCAAUGGGAAGAGAGUCAUUAAAACGAAUUUGGAGUUUCACCGGGAGGUCAAAUUUGAUGCUGUAAGAUCCAAGAACGAUGGUAUGUUCAUCUGUCAUACGAUCCCAGUCCCAAAAUGAUCGAGAUGUCUCACACUGAGAAGUGUUGAAGGCGAAGGAAACAUCUUGGCCUUGCGUCAAGUUGUAUCCAAUUAUGCAAACUUGGCGAAGGCAGGCGCACUGUAAGAAUGGAUAAGACAAGUAAGAAAUAACAUCCGGCAUGUAGUUGAUGGGAACAGAUAAGUUGCAUUCUCUAAUAUCAUUGCUGUAGUAAGACCAUGAUAGGGAAUUUUCUCCUGGCUAAUCCCCGUGGAUAUGUUGGACCUCGCACUGCUAGCAAAGUUGCUCAAAUAAAAUCCAGACUUGGUGAAAACUGGAUGCGUGAGGUUGGAAGAUAGCAUAGCGAAAGGUACUUUCCUGAGAAGUAAGCCAAGAGCCGGCGUACCGCUGGUUUUGUCCACUGGGACUAUAGGUGCAGUGACCUUGCAGCGUCCGACAGCAGACACCCUCUUAUCAUUUUUGCACAGGCGUAAGUUUAUUCCCCAGUGAAUCGCCAUUUUCCAGAUCAGACUACCAUGCUGGCGAAUGACUCCUCCAUACAAGUGUGGAUCAGGCGCUUCUACAGUUUUGUUGUUGCUUCUCCAAACCCGCCAUGCACUGAGCUUUUGAUAAGCAGCAGCAACCUCCGUCAUGCUAAUACCGGUAGAAUUUUGAGUUCCAUACACGAGUGCUGAUGCAAUGGAGGUGCUUGUGGCCCAUUUGUAGAAGGGGUCGUUUGUUGUCGCAAACACGUUGGUUUCCCAACAAGUUGUACCUGUCUGUUUGAUGAGAUCAGAAUAGAACCCACCUUCUGGCUUCUUUUUGUUCACACAUAACGAGAAGACUAGCAGCACAGCUGUUGCAACUACAAUGGCAAAUAUGAAAAUUGCAAAUGAUUCUUUCCACUGCCAGUGCCAUCAGUUUUGGGUAAUUUGAAAAAACAGUAAUGCCUAUGUGAUUUGGAGGGACAACUUUUCCUCGAUAUUGGAUUUGUCGCUCUAAUGCAUUUUUCCUAUAUUCUCCGGUACCUCCCAGAGGUGUCUCAUUUGUCCAUGGCUUCGUCCCCCAUAAGUUCGCUCAAAUAAAACAUGGGCUCAGAAUCGGGACUUGAUUUCUUGUUAACACGGUAAGUGGAAAGUGAGUGAAGGUUCACAUGAAUCUAUUCAUUUAUCUGACUUCCACUCCGAAAGUUAUUCUCCUCUGAGGUUACUGUCACGUCGGCCCUUUAUCAGUGUUUAGAAAAAGGAGAAGGUAGAGGACAAAAAUUGCCCUUGAAUUAGAGCUUCAUACCAUCCCUGCCGAACUUUAAUAAAAAUUCUUCCGUAGUCUCAGAGAUGGAAACAAGAACCUUUCGUACUCGGCUUUACCAGUGUGAGCUAGCACGCACUCCCGUGUAGACUAUAUAAAACUGGGAAGACUCUCCAAUGCACACCAUGGCAUCGUCCACAUGUAUUCUGGUUGCCUGUCUUGUUGUUGUCCAUAUGACGGUUUGCUCUCAUGCAGUAACUUGUUCCAAUUGCAAAGCGGACCUCCAAGAGAAGCCUGAUUGGAUGACCGUGGAUCAAUUCUGCGGCAUUUUCCAGCGUCCUGCAAGAAGAAAACAGCUGGGGAAUCUAAGAAAUUUCCAAUGAAGAAAUGCAGGCCAACAACACAGAAAAACACCAGGAAGGAUUGUAAAACAAGGUAUUAGAAGGGAAAACAAUAGACCAUAGUCGAUGAAAGAAAGAAAAAGAACAGUGGGUGGACGACGUAGAGACUAGAAACCUAGUAAACUAUGUUCGAUAAAAAAAGGAAACGAAUAGUGUAACGAACUAUGAUCGAUGAAAAAAAGGAAAAGACCAGUGGAGUGGACGACAUGGAGACUAGAAAGCGAGUAAACUAUGAUAAAACUCACACCCGAGAUACUCGUAGACUUAAAACAAAACGAAUGCUAGCAAUCUAGGAGUGCGUGAACUAUAUAAAAAAAUAGAACAAGAAAAAAACGAUUAUUGUCGGACGCCUGUACGUAUGCUUGGCGUAUUUGAAUCCACCAUAUACGAGCUUAUGGAUAAUGGAUCAUAUCAGCUGCGUCCCUGACUGUCUCAGCACCCUGCUGCUCCACUUGGAUCUUGAACUUCUCUUCCAGUGCCAUGACAAUCUCGACCUGUAUUUACAAUAUCAUAUUCAUCUUAGAAGGACGUAAUUACGUCUUUCUAUCCAAUAUAUAUGCCUCAAAGUCAACAUAUAUUGCUACGGUUUAGAUAAUGAUGGUUGUUGAGACACAGAAGUGGAAAAAGUCUUCCACCCCUAUCGUUUAUCUACCGGUGCCAGAAGCUCUUGCGUAUGAACGCAAAAUAUAUUGCUUUUCAGAAUAUAUCGCCAACUUCAAACAUCAUUCAUCACAUUCAUCGUCGCUAUCGUCAUCGUAUGUGAGCUCCUUCAACUCGCAGCCCUGUGCUCCUAGAAUUGGAAAACUUUACCGACAAAGUUGUGCUUCCUGAAUGCCUCGCAAGUGUUUUGUACUUGUUCGAUGCACGGAGAAAAGGAGCAGCACGAAGCAUUGGGCCGGAGACAGUUUAGCACCGAUUCAACAGCCAGCCAUGGCUGCGGCAAGUCGAGGAAAAUUGGCCUGUAAGCUCUUCCGGAAAUCCCUAUCUCGAACACCAACAGUCACGUUUGCGAUUGUUCUCAAAGUCCUUCCUACCGAAAAAAACAAAACGUUGUUAGGAUACUAGAGAAGAAAAAAAGAAAAAAAAAGGAAUACUGUCACACAAGAAUAGACUAGACUAAACCAAAGAACUAUCUGAAUAGAGAGAAAAAAGGAGAGAAAAGAAACUUGAGAAACUCGAGGUUCGAGACGCAGGAAGUUAAGUCUGGAAAAAAUCUUGAAGAUGGCAGUAAGUUUCGAAAGGAAAGACGAUGCUAUCAGACAGUGCUAGAAUCGUGCAAAAGACUGUCACUCACUAGACUAAGCCGGAACAAAAGACGCAAAGAACGGCAUGCGCUCGCUUGGAUCGGACUUGACAGGAACUUCGCGAGCUUCUCAGCCUGUAGUCGAAAGGUGGCAGCGGUGUCCUGCACUUGAGCGUGAGGAUACCUGCAAUGGGUACUCCACAACGGCUCUGGAGCUCGACCAACCGGACGCUCUCGACCAGGCUCGAGAGCUCCACACAAGAUUUUUCCCUGGAGCUGCUGCAGCUGGAGAUGUUCCUGAAGCUACUGCUCUCGUCAACAUGUAUGGGAGAUGUGGGGAGCGUGAGCGAUGUCAAGAUCGUCUUGAUGAGAUGGAGCACAGGAAAAUCACCCUGGUUACGUACUCGUUGAACCAGCAGUGCCUGGAAGCUCUUCGUUUCUUUCGGACCAUGCUACUCGAAGGCGUCAGGCUUGAUAGCUUCAUGUGCCUCAAAUCGCUGGAGAAGAAGUUGGCUAAGUAUCAGUCGAGAAGAAGAGAAAGAAAGAAAAAACCAAUGGAAGACUUACAUCGGCUCCAGUGCGAUGAGCAGCAUCGAGAAUUGAAGUAGUGGAGUAGGCUGGACCGAUAAACACUGCUUCAUUGGCUCGAUGGACGUGUAGCGAAUUUCGAGCAGCAAUACCGCCACCAUUUUUAAUCCCAGGCUAUGUGCAGUCUUGAUGAUCUGGCACGCAAUCUCGCCCCUGUUCGCGAUCAGGAUCUUCUCGAUCGGAGAUUUCUCCGUGGGAGGCACUUGAGAGAAAGGAUACCUUGCCUGUUGGAUACUUAUCUUGCUAUCUGAGUUAAGUUCCUUGCCAAGCAGUAAAAACAUGCUCAACACUCAGCUGUUCAUAUCAGUCACAGAAAGAUCUUUUGCAAUGUGGAAUGACUAAGGUUCAAAUGAUAUAAUGCCUCCCCUCGUUGCUUUGGCCAAGAAAAACUUGCCAUGAACCCCUAAACUUUUGUAAAGGUUUGGUAGUCUCACUCUUUGCAGUUGGAAAUGCCGAAGAGCUUACAUUUCUCACUAAUAAAAACGAACAAAAUAAAAAAAGUCAUAUGAGUAACACAUGAAUGGCAACAAAUAAUAAGCUGUAUAGCAAGGUGAUUUUUUCCAUCUAUGUAAAGCUGCUAGAAAAAUAAAAACAAACAAACAAGAAAUGGAGCAAUCCAUAAAAAACUGAAAGCCCAUGUUUUGUCUAACAGCAAAAAAAAAACGCUUAAUAACUUUUUUGGAGUUAAAUCUAGUAUUCUGAAAUUAUAAAGUUCUUUCUGAUUUGGCUAGAAUAAUUGUUUAGAUUUAUUGACACAAUGUGAUUAGACUUAUGAUACACACAUGUGCGUGGGGUCUGGUUUCAACGUUUACUCCAAGGACGUGAGUCCUGUGGACGCUUAUCGUGCGGGGGCGGAGGAAUCACGGGGCCUUGCAGGCUUGCCUGACAAUUGCUUCGUGGAGCCUUACGCGUCAAACGAGAAAUCUUUCGACUCGUUGGUCACUCCGGACGUAAUUCUCCAGGUUACAACAUCAGCCACGCAUCCAGUCUAUUGGUCCAAGAUCCACGAGCUCGUUCAGGGGUUGGAUGAGUUGCAUGACAAGCUCAAGCUGGUGCGUCCCAAGCAGUACAAACUCAUCUACGUCGUUCCCAAGCCUAGCUUUCAGGGAUACACGUACCAGGGCUUCAAGAAAGACGAUGCAUCCAUGUAUCAGAGAGAUGUUGCCGGGAUGGACAGGGUUCAUCAGUAUGUGAUGACUGUUCCAUGGAGUUUGUAUUAAGCUCUUCAAAAGUGACUAAAACAGAAAUCCGGUGGCUCUUGUUGCAAACGAAUCAAAGUUUAAACUAAAACUUCCGCUCGCGUUACCUUUGCUAAGAACUUCAUACUAAAGAUCUCCAGGAGUGAGCCAGAGGUUACCACUUACAUCAUCUGUAACAAUCGAACGAUGAUCUAAAAGCCUCUUUUUUCUUCCAAUGCCGCGCGAUGUUGUUGCGAUUGAAUCCAGAGCUCAAGGAGCCUCCACCAGUAGCAGCGAGAAAGACCCACGCGCUGGAUCCCAAGCGCGUCCACUUCUUCAAGUCCAUGCUCAAGCUCCACGGUGACGCCAAGAACCUGGACGCCGGGCGAGCGGUGAUCACCAGCGGCUACCACCGCGACCGCUACCUCUGCAACCUCCUCAUCCAGAUGUAUGGCCGCUGCCGCAGCGUCCACGACGCCAUCGCCGUCUUCCACACCGUGAGCCGCAAGAACGUCUUCACGUGGACCAUCCUCAUCGUCGCUCACACCCACAACGGCCUCUUCUUCGAGGCCGUGGAGCUCUUCCGCGAGAUGGACGUCCACGGCGUCCAGUCCGACGAGUUCACCUUCUCCGCCAUCCUGGAAGCCUGCUCCAACCUCGGCCUCGCCUUCCUCUCGCUCGGCAAGACCAUCCAUUCGAGAAUCCACCAGCAGGGCCUCAAACUCACGUCCGUCCUGGCGACUUCGCUCAUCAGCAUGUAUGGCCGGUGUGGCUGCGUCAACCCGGCCGUGAAGAUCUUCCACAGCCUCGAGAACCCGACGGUGAUAUGCUCCACUGCCAUGAUCGACGCGUAUGCCCAGAACGGGCAUAUCGAACAGGCUGCGGAGAUCUUCGAGAGAAUGCAGCUCCAAGGCCUGGAUCCCGACUUGAUCGCCUGGACUGCGAUGAUGACGGCGUAUAACCAGCUCGGGCAUGCCAGAGAGGCGCUGCUUCUCUUCCGGAAGAUGGACCUCCAAGGUCUCUUGCCGGACAGGUUUGCAUUCGUCGCUGCUAUUGAUGCUUGCUCUAGCAUCCCGUCACUGGAGCAAGGCACUGUCCUCCACUCUCGCUUGCUAGCCUCGUCGGUGGAAUGCGAUGGUGUCGUCGGGAACGCGCUGCUAAACUUCUACGCCAAGGCGGGGCUUGUUCACGAGUCGAGGAGCCUCUUCUCGAGCAUGAAAGUGAAGAACGUCGUUGUCCUUGGAACUAGCCUCGUCAACAUGUACAGCAAAUGUGGAAGAAGCGGAAGAAGUCUUCAAGAGGAUGCCCACGAAAGAUAAAAUCUCGUGGACUGCCAUGGUGACUGCCUACGCUCAAAACCAUGGGAGAAGCGACGGCUCCCGGUGUGAGCUUGCUGCUACUGCCAGCACUUGUUAAUCGUUGAGAUGUUUCACAAUGGCUUUCUGUAUCAUAGGCCUCCCGCAACGCUGUUGUAAAGUGAUGGUGCUCGCCGUCCUUCUACACGUGAAUGUGAUAAGCCGAUUUCUGUUGUCCAGAAAAUGCCAAUUAGAUCUAAAUUGAAAGGAGAGAAAACUGCAUACCUGCAGAUAAUAACCAUAGCUUAUAGUGGAGGAAAUGCCAUUGAUGUCGACAGUUAUGUCACAGCCAGAACUAGCAACUCUUUUAGCUGUGUUUGACACAAGAUGAAUCUUCCGCAAACUGCACAAUAUGACUCCACUUGGGGAAUAGGCAAAAGGGAAAACAAUGCGUCUACCUUUACUAAGAACUCGCUGUCACUUGAAUAAGUGACAUCUAAGCUCAUCGGUUCGCAUGAGAGACUCUCGGACUCAGGCAUCCAGUCUAACGAGAUCUUCCUGGUAUAAGGAUUGUUGACUCGAAAACCAGAAGUUGUAUGCCAUGGGCCUCCAGUUCUCGAUUCUGCACUGGAAAUCGUAAAUGCUGGCUAUCUAAAAACUGCGAGUCGAUCUUACCUGGUCGUCGAAAACUCUCCCUUACACAUACGCCCACGGCCGCUAAAGCAGCGAAAGAUUUUACAUCUCGCUUGGCUCUUUCGGAAAAAUCUAGUAGCUGUGUUUCCAGGUCCCCAGCCCUGAAAGCCGGAUGUUUUGCAAGCUUUUUUAAAAAGUGGAUGUUAGUUGGAAGUCCAGCAACCUGGCGAAUGCAAUGUUAGUACUCAACAAUAAUUACAAAAAAAAAGAGCAAACCAACUUGCCUGAAAAUUCGAGAGGCAAUUAUGCAGCUUCGCCAACGCCAUAUCGCGAUCACUACCCCAUACGACCAGCUUGGCUAUCAUAGGAUCGUAGUGGACGCUUACAGCAUCACUUUGCUCUACACCCGUCUCAAUUCUCACUGCACUGACAAGGUAAACUGCUUAGGAUUCUUCAGGUUUGCCACGAGUACCAGUAGAUGAAGCGGUAGGUGGAUUAUAAUGGUAAAGAACUCCAGCAGCAGGUAGAAAACCUCUUGGAACGUUUUCAGCAUAGACCCGAGCCUCAAACGCAUGACCUGCUUAGCUGCGAUAAUCUUCGGGAAUAAAUAGUGUAGAGAAGCUACCUUGCAGCGGUAUACUCUUUUGCUCAAGUGGAAGGCUUUCGCCAUUUGCGACACGAAUUUGCCAUUCCACCAAGUCUUGACGCGUCACCAUUUCGGUGACAGGGUGCUCAACCUGACCAGAAGUUUAAUUCAGCAUAUACAGAAACUAGUGGAAGUCCGUCCUUACUUGCAAACGUGUGUUCAUCUCCAUGAAGAAAAAAUCUCCUGUUGCAGUGUCGACAAUAAACUCGACAGUGCCAGCAUUUUCGUAAUUCACAGCCUUCGAUAGAAAAGAAAUUUAGAUUUGAUAGCAGCAAAUCACAAAAGAGGAUACCUUAGCCGCAUUGACUGCUGCUUGUCCUAUUGAGUUGCGAAAGUCGUCUGACAUGAGCGGCUGGAAUAUAAAAAAAAAACAUGGUGAAACAGCAAACAGCAUGAAAUAUUGUCCUACCGCUGGUGCUUCCUCUAUAAUUUUCUGGUGGCGCCUCUGAACGCUACAGUCCCGUUCAAACAAAUGAACAACGUUACCAAAGCGGUCGCCAAAGAUCUGUCAGCAAGUCUGUGAUAAAUUUCCAGGUUGAAGAAAAUCUCCCACCUGGACUUCUAUGUGUCGAGGCUGUGCGAUAUACUUCUCAAUCAAGACCCUGGUGUCGCCAAACGCAGCAGCAGACUCACGUAGAGCGCUUCUCAAACUGUCCAGAAACUCGUCUCUGCUGUGGACAAUCCUCAUGCCCUGAACCAAAACUUUACAAGAGAAAUCAGUAGUGUCGCCAACUUGAAACAAAAUACCAAAAAGAAAGCAAAAAACCAACCUUUCCUCCGCCACCAAGAACAGGCUUGAUCAGAACGGGAUAGCCAAUCCGAUCAGCCUCAGAUUGCAGCAGCUCGUGGCUCUGAUCAUCCCCGUGGUAUCCAGGAACAACAGGAACAUUAGCACCGCUCAUAAGCUUUUUGGAGGCACUAAGGAGUUCCAAGAUAGUUCUUAUGGUUCUUUGAAGAAAAAUGGAGAUGGCGUACCUUUUGUCUCCCAUCAAGCUAAUCGCAGCUGCCGAAGGGCCAAUGAAUGUGAUCCCAGACUCGUGGCAAGCCUGCGCAAACUUCGAAUUUUCUGAUAGAAAUCCAUACCCGGGAUGGAUUGCCUGAGAACAAGUUGGAUAUGUAUGGGUUGAGAAGAAAAGAAAUGAAAGCUUACAUCGGCUCCAGUGCGACGAGCAGCGUCGAGGAUGGAAGUAGUGGACAAGUAGCUGGGCCGAUAAACACUGCUUCAUCGGCUCGACGGACGUGUAGCGAGUUUCGAUCGGCAUCACUGUAAACCGCCACCGUUUUUAAUCCCAAGCUACGCGCGGUCUUGAUGAUCCGGCACGCAAUCUCGCCCCUGUUCGCGAUCAGGAUCUUCUCGAUCGGCCGCUGGACUGGAGAUUUCUCCACGGGAGGCGCUUGAGAGAAGGGAUUGGCGAGCGAGCUCCAAGAUCGCUUGCUCCUCCUCGCAAUGGAUGUGGAAUUUCCCAUGGACGAUCGGCAGUGCUAAAGGCGAGCUCGAGAAUGCGUGUCACCUGAUCGAAUCGAGGCGCCAGGACCGCCGCUGGAGAAAACCCUAGCCUUGAGACACCUUGUCGUGCUUAUCCCGUGAAAUAGUCUAAUCACUUGAGAAGGAGACCUCUGGAGGGAUGAGUGGAGGCUCCACGAAUCCAUUGCAAGGAGUGAUAAUAUCGACAGCUAUCUUGCUAGUUGGUACUGCGAUAGAGAAAAUUCAGCUUCGACUCAAUGGGGAGAUAUUUCUUCUUGGACAGUGAUGUGCACUGCAUAUGCCCUGAAAAGGCAUUUGCUGGAACUACUGGAUCAUGGCUUAUAAACUCGUGAAACACUAACACUGAUUUUUAUAUGACAUGGCAGGAGGGUAUCCCUGUGAAUCUGAAUCCGUCCUUGCUUUCUGAGUUAAGCAAGAUAGCAAAUGUUGAUUGACUUAGAAUGGGGAUUAUGCAAGCUAUGUGCGAUUAAAUGGGGGAUUCUGGGCAAAAAAUUAUGGCCUGGGAACUUGGUCUCUCUGAGGAACUGAAGCAGUGCAAGUUCCUGGCUCGUGAUUCGCAAGAGCAAAGCUCUGGGCGGAGUCCAAUCCAAACACCAAGCUUGCACUCACCACCGAGUUGAACGAUCCAUUUGAUCCUUGCGAGUGGAGGCUCCGAUUUUGCUCUUGGGUCCCUGGAGGUGAAAGGUGGCGGCGUCCAGCGCUUGAGCGUGAUGCCGGUGUCGGUGAAGCGGCUGCGCGAGUGGAAGGUGUACUCGAGCUGUGUGUGUGCCGCGGACGAAUGAAUUUCGCGGACUCGCAUGCUUGCCGGACUAUUGCUUCGGCUUUCAGUUCGCGGACAUGAUUCUGCGGGUGACCACGACGAGAAGUUGCUGGCCCGAGAUCGACGAAGUUGUUCGAGAGCUGGAUGAUUUGCAUGACAAGCAGCAGCUGCCGCGCCCCGAGCAGUACAAGCUCGUUACGUUGUUCCCAAGUCAAUGUUUGAGGGAUUCACGUACUGGUUCUUUGAGGAAGACGAUGGAGCUGUGUCUGAGCGACGAGUUGCAGGGAUGGAUACAUGAUGACGGUUCCAUCGUAGUUCGUCUUGAGUUUCAGCAUGAAUGAGUGAAAAUCCAAAUGAAAACUAUGAACUUUACCUUGCAAAUCAUGAAUUUUGUUCUUCUCGUACAAGAAUCCAACAAUGGGAUAGAAGUAAUCAAGAUUCCAACAAUGAAAAAGAAGUUUCAGCAUGUCCCACAGGUAUGCUUCAGAGCUGUAGCAAAAAUGAUAGAAGUAAUCAAGAAUCCAACAAUGAGAGGGAAGUUUCAGCAUGUCCCACAGGUAUGAUUUAGGAAAAAUAGAGCUCUGAACUUUGUAAUAUUCUCGUCCUGCCAAGCACAAGAAUCCAACAAUGAGAAAGAAGUAAUUAAACCAACCAUUAGCUUUCCGCCUUUAAUAUCUAUGAUUAAGAUAAAGCAAAAACUCUUAACGUAAACAAAGGUAUAUUCGUAGGAGCUUGAACCCUAGUUUUUUCGCGACGGCGAUGAUGCUCCGUCUCGCUCGGGCACCGAAAUCUCUCCCUCUCGGCCGCACACCGAUCCGGAGACGAUGUGGUAGGCUGUGUUCUCCAUGGAGUGCUCAUUGCGGAUACGCUCAAGCUCGAGGAUAGCGUCCAGGUACUCACUACGCUCAGGGAUUCCAGCGGCGACGAGGUUCUUCUAGCGAUCAAGCACGCAGUGCAGCGACGCCACAUCCGAGCAAGUCCGAGCGAAAUAUCCGAGAGGAGCUCGAGUGGCCGUCAAGGAGCCGAUGCUCCAGAAGCAAGAGGGUUCUUCCUUCACCUCGCUGGACAACCGUGGAGGUGAUCUCCUAUGGCGCUGCGAUUGGAAGGCAACAAGCUCUUCCAAGAUGGCAGCUUUGACUCAAGCUCCAUCUCUACGACUGGUCAUGCAAGAUUUUGGGCGAGGCAAUCGAUCGACUGCACCAGAGAUGCAACAAGCUCGCCAUCCAGCGCCGCAACAGCAGCAGCAUCAUGGCAGAGAUUCGUGACUUUCUUCGGGCCUGGAGUGAAGGAGAGGAACUUCCAGUUUUCCCAGAGGUUGCGGACAACUUUUGCAAAGUGGAAGUAAAGAUCAGAGCAAGGGACGAGGCCGGGGACUCUUUACAAUGACAAGCAUCAAGAAAGGCGAGCUCAUUCUUGUCAGCAACUCGGCAGCCUUUGAGCGAGGUGGUUACAGAUCCAUUUGCGAUAGAAACACUGCAGUCCGGCUGCUCGACAUGGCCAUGAAGUCUCCGCGAGCAUACAAGCUGAUCCACAGCCUUGCUUGCGAGGUCGCAGGGAACGAGCGUGGAGUUCCCGCAAUGGAGAUUUUCCAGCCAGACUGGGCCACGCCGGAGAACUGCAGCACCGACAGUAGCAGGGAAGCUCUCCAAGGCAUUACGGUCCAGAGAUUUUUCGAAAUGGUCAGCCAAGCUUCCUUCAAUCCUAAGGUGCAGCUGCCUAAGCCAGAACGAGCCGACGGUACGCUUGCUCUACGUCGCUACUUGGUUCGUCCCCCGCUUCAUCAACCACUCCUGUGUUGGGAACGUUUCCCAGAGGGUGUUUGGCACCACGGCGUGCUACUUUGCCACCCGAGACAUCACUCGGGUUCUGCUACAUCAUCGGCGGCCAUCCUUACAGGCGGACGAGGCUCUCCUUCGAGGAUCUCGCGCAGGUGACUGGCUUCUACAGGGACUUGGCCGAGGCAAACUUUGAGUUUCCGUUCAAGGGAGGGAGCAGUCCGGCCUGGAUGGUGGUGAAGCUGGAGCAAGUGUUGGCGACAAAGCUCCAGGAUGAGGAGGAGAGGCAGUGCGUGAGAGCGAUCCACUGGUCGCUCUACCUGUGGUACUACCAGCAGGUGGAGGUUGGAAACGUGGUGGCGCUGCCGGAGGGGAUUAUGUUUCAGCGGGAGAGGUGAUUAUGGAGGCGAUGCACAAGCUCACGGCUGGCAACGAUAGCAACGAGAGUUACCUGGAGACGAUGGCAAACUACGCACGGGACAAGGAAGCGGCAAAGAGGGCGAUGGAGAUGGAGUGGGAGGUGAGGUUUGGGAAGCAGGAGGACGCUUGCGUUGCCAAGGCCAUCUACGAGAGAGGUAUGGACUCGUUGCUCAAGCCCUGGGCCUCUGAGUGAGCUUGUUUUUCUGGAGUGUUUUCGUCCUAUUUCUUCUUCUUUUUCUACUACUACUCACUACUUCUCUUUCUUCUCUUCUGCUGUCUCCUACUACUACCUUAACCACUCGGCCAAAGCGACACUUUCAUGAAACCGCUCUUUUCACAAAGCAAUCCACGAAAGAAGGGAUUGGUGAGCGAGCGAGCAAUCUAGUCAAGUAUGCUUGAAUUAUACUGUUAUACUACUGAUUUCUAGAAUUAUAUUUCAUCAAACUAAUCUAACAGCAUUCAAAUUAGACACUUCGAAGAAAUACGCCCAUAAUACAACAAGAAAAAAGCUUGUGUUAUAACAAAAGAAUGAAGAGAAAAUAGAAAAUUAAUUUUUGAAGCAAUCUAUUUCAUAUAGUCAAUUGGUAUGUAAUAAAACCCUAAUUUGUCAUACUUAUUUCUUACAUAAAAGAAGUUAAAGAAAUGCACGGAAAAGCAGGCUGGCCCCGGACAGCUAGACUAGAAAAUCAAAGCGGAAACACGAAGCGAGCUAUGCAUUUUUGUCUGUCAGAAAAAUUAACAUAUGUUAGCUCAAAACAAAAGUGAUGAAGAUUUACCUGGAGAAUCCCCCUGUUGCUGAACAUUUUUCUCAUCAUGUUGCUGAUGUAUUUUCUCUAAUUUGAAGUAGAUGAGGAUGGCUAGUGCAACCACUGCUAAUCCAAUAAACACAGUGAACUCUUGGAAGACUAUCCAGUUUGGAGUAACUUCAACUGUGGAUGUCGUUGUCACUAGGAAUGCUGUGCCAUUAUUGAGCUGGAGAAUUGUCUCAGCAGUGGCAAGGGAAGGUUCCUUCUCGAGGUCAUUUAUGCUGAAGUAGAGACCUGGCAAGCUUCCUGCCACUGAACCAGCAAUGAACACUGUCCGCCCCAAAGUUCUGAUUAGUGGACGGUAGCCUGGCUUACCGGCCAACUUAAGUUGAUCGAGUUGGCGAAACAAUGAAUUUUCCCACUCUAAGAGUGUCCUGCUCAAGGAGCCAGCACAAAUUCCCAGGAAUGCAAUGACAAAUGUCAUAAAAGACGCAUAAACUUGUGUUCGACGAGAAGAUCCAUCUUUCCAAUACCGCUCUCCAAAACGAUGAACGUUGCUCACUUUCAACAAGUCAUUGAGAACUUCUUGGACUUUCUUGUUGUCCUCUGUAGACAAUUUUCUGAAACACGGUGGUGAAUCCACCUUAACCAAGAAAAUAAAACAUCAGCCUUCAGAAAAAAAAAGGUCACAGUAUCGAACUCACCUUGAAUUCUUCGUUCCCACAGGUGAUGUCCCUUCCUUGUGUCUUCUUCAGAAAAUCUUUGAUGACAGUGCCGCCCACCUUGUCGGCUUGCGUACCAAAAUUCUUGCCGCCGACGGACGAAACUUGGCAACCCGUCAGGUUUUUUGUACAAGCAUUCAAUAGAUAUUUGCGAGUUGGCUUUUGGUCUCCUUCUAACUUUGUCUCAAUGCAUGUUGUCAUCUGCUCCAUCCCACUCAGCACACCUUCUGUGAGGUUGGCAAGGCUGGCGCCAAUGGGAAGAGAGUCAUUAAAAUGAAUUUUGAGUGUCACCGGGACGUUAAAUUUGAUGCUGUAAGAUCCAAGAAAGAUGGUAUGAUUAUCUUGGAUAACAUCCCAGUCCCAAAAUGAUCGAGAUGUCUCACACUGAGAAGUGUUGAAGGUGAAGGAAACAUUUUGGCCUUGCGUCAAGUUGUAUCCGAUUAUGCAAACUUGGUGACGGCAGGCACACUGUAAGAAUGGAUAGGACAAGUAAGAAAUAACAUCCGGCAUGUAGUUGAUGGGAACAGAUGGGCUGCAUUCUCUAAUAUCAUUGCUGUAGUAAGACCAUGUCGAGUCGUUAUAGGGAAUUUUCUCCUGGCUAAUCCCCGUGGAUAUGUUGGACCUCGCACUGCUAGCAAAGUUGCUGAAAUAAAAUCCAGACUCGGUGAAAACUGGAUGCGUGAUGGUGGAAGAUGGCAUUGCGAAAGGUACUUUACUGAGAAGUAAGCCAAGAUCCGGCUUACCGCUGGUUUUUUUCACUGGGACUAUAGGUGCAGUGACCUUGCAGCGUUCGACAGCAGACGGCCCUCUCCCAUCAUCGAUGCACAGGCGUAAGUUUAUCCCCCAGUGAAUCGCCAUUUUCCAGAUCGGACUAUUACGCUGAAUGACUCCUCCAUACAAGUGUGGAUCGGGCGAGUUAAAAAGAUCAGCUUCUACAGUUUUGUUGUUGCUUCUCCAAACCCGCCAUGCACUGAGCGUUUGAUAAGCAGCAGCAACCUCCGCCGUGCUAACACUGGUAAAUUUGAGUGUCGAUGCAAUGGAGGUGCUUGUGGCCCAUUUGUAGAAGGGGUCGUUUGUUGUCGCAAACACGUUGGUUUCCCAACAAGUUGUACCUGUCUGUUUGAUGAGAUCAGAAUAGAACUCACCUUCUGGCUUCUUUUUGUUCACACAUAACGAGAAGACUAGCAGCACACCUGUUGCAACUACAAUGGCAAAUAUGAAUACUGCAAUGGCAACAAUGCUCGAUGUCUCCCAUGGCUUCUUUUCCGCCAUAAGUUCUCUAAACGAAAAAACAAAAAAUGAAAACUGUAUCCUUCAAGGCUGUUAACAAGUCGAACACAUUGGCAAAUUAAAGGAACAUGGUAGUGGAGAAUGUAUUCAGUGCAACAUGUCCUUCAUCCUUACAACAAUAAUGCAAAUGAUUCUUUCCACGGCCAGUGCCAGUAAUUUGAAAAAACAGUAAUGCCUAUGUGAUUUGGAAGGACAACUUUUCCUCGAUAUUGGAUUUGUCGCUCUAAUGCAUUUUUCCUAUAUUCUCCGGUACCUCCCAGAGGUGUCUCAUUUGUCCAUGGCUUCGUCCCCCAUAAGUUCGCUCAAAUAAAACAUGGGCUCAGAAUCGGGACUUGAUUUCUUGUUAAUACGGUAAGUGAAAAGUGAACUUGAAAGUGGUGGCUCACAUGAAUUUAUUCAUUAUCAAGCAUUUCUGACUUCCACUCAACGACCUCUGACGUUACUGCCACGUCGGCCCUUUAUCAGCCCUAAGGAUUUUAGAGCUUAUUCCUGGAACUCAUACCAUCCCUGCCGAACUUUAAUAAAAAUUCUUCCGUAGUCUCAGAGAUGGAACCUUUCGUACUCGGCUUUACCAGUGUGAGCUAGCACGCACUCCCGUCUAGACUAUAUAAAACUGGGAACAUUCUCCAAUGCACACCAUGGCAUCGUCCACAUGUAUUCUGGUUGCCUGUCUUGUUGUUGUCCAUAUGACGGUUUGCUCUCAUGCGGUAACUUGUUCCAAUUGCAAGGUGGACCUCCAAGAGAAGCCUGAUUGGAUGACCGUGGAUCAAUUCUGCGGCAUUUUCCAGCGCAAUGCAGAAGCUGCCAACCUUGCCAAGGGCUGGACUGUCCCCAAAGAUUGCAUCGACUACAUUGGAGACUACAUGACAAAGGGGUUGUAUGGAGGUGAUGUGUGGGGAGCAACUCUCCAAUCUACUAAGUUUGCAAGGUUAUUUCCCACUAACCCUGGCACUUGGAUCUUCCAAGUCGACCAGACACUAUUGUCCAAUGUCCCUUACUAUGCCACUCGCCAGUUCGGGUAAAGUCCAUCCGUUUAUCAUGAGAUUAUGACUGACAUUUCGUUGUUUUACUUUGAUACAGGGCCCUCCCGCGUAACAGUACCGACUUUGACCUUUGGGUGCAACAAGGCAAGGCUGUAGCAAUCAAGUCUUCUUUGGAUUUCUACAACGAGCUGUUGUGUGCAAACUGGAGAAUCGUGCUCAUCUCCGAUAGAUCCGAGAAGCAACGUGAAGCAACGGAAAGGAACCUGCGUGCUGCAGGCUACAGUGGCUGGACAAAAUUAAUCCUGGACUAGUAAGUAGUUCUUUGUGAUAAUAUCAAGGUUUUACUAAUCAAUGGCGCUUUUCCAGUCAGUUCAAUACAAAUGAGCUGCGCAUACAACAAGAUGAGACUGCAGUGACAGGAGCAUCAGGGGAGAAAACAAUCAGAAUUGAAAAUUUGCCGGACAAAGUUGACCAAGAAAAGUUUAUGUUCUUUAAGCUGCCUAACCCCAUGUACUAGUGUGUGAGUGCAAUUCGUAAUAAAUUGCUGCGCGUUGCAUUGCAGCAACAGUUGGUUUGCUUUUGUUUUUAAAUAUUUUUUAUUACGAUACAUAAUUGUUAUGAUCUGUCCAAUAUGCAGGUGCUAUUCCUACUUUUGUAUAUAUUAUAUCUUUUAUCCAUAUAUGAUCUAUUAAUUUGUUAUUAUGUGUAUUGUGUUUUAUUAUUUGUAUGUAUCCUUCUUUCUCCAUUAUUGUUUGAAGUGGUUUUACUUCUUCUAUUUGGUAGUCAAUAUUAAAAUCUCCUGUAAUUAUUACUGGUUUUUUAUUAUCUAUUUUCUGUAUAUAUUUUUGUAAUUGUUUUAUGAAUAUAUAUAUAUUUGUUCCAGGUUUUCUAUGUAAAUUUAUUAUCUGUAAGUGUUUUUUAUUUUUUUCUAGUGAUACAUAUGACAUUGCCAUUGUUUCUGUUUUUAAAUGUUCUACUAUUUCUGAAUUAUAGUCAUUUGUAUGCAAUAUUGCUAUAUGUGGGGGUUGUUCAUGUAUAUAUAAUUUAUAUUUAUCAAAAUAUAAAUCCUCAUGUUUUUGUGUUCCUACUUCUUGCAUACAUAUUAUAUCUGAUGUUAAUAAUUGUGAAUCACUCUUUAUAUCUUCUUGAUGUGCAGUAAUAGAUCUUGUAUUUAGAACUUGUAUAAUUUUUUGGUUAGUUAUUUUUUCUUCUUGUAAAUCUAUUAAAUCAAUUUGCUAUGGUGCUUCUAUUGUCAUUCUUAUUAUUUCUUUAGCUGCAUCUUUAUUGAUUUUAAUAUGUUUAUGUUCAAUUGGUCUAUAUAAAUGUAUCCCUUUUAGUGUUUGUGCUCUUGAUAAUGUGGUGUAUGCUUGUCCUAGAUAUUUUGUUUUAUAUGGGUCAUAUCCUAAUUGCAUAACUGUUGACCCUUGUGCUCUAUGUAUUGUUCUUCCUGCACAUGGUUGUACUGGAAAUUGGAUUCUACUUAUAACAUAGUUUUUAUUUUUAGUAAUAUUUAUUAUUCUUGUUACUUUUUUUAUUGGUGUCCAUUUUUUUUCAUUAUUUUGCUUUAUUGUUAUGUUUUCUUUAGCUCUUGUUUUUUCACCUGGUUUUAUAUUUGGGAAUUCUAUCCACAUUAUUUGUUCUUUUUCAAUCUGGGUUACAUCUCGUAAUACUCCAUCUACUCUAUUUACUAAUCCAUCUUCUGUUGCUAUAUUUUGUGUUAUUUCAAUUGCCAUUUUCUUUUUCAAAUGUAAUAUUUUAUGUAGUCCUUAUAUUUUUCUUGUGUCAUCUGGCAGCGUGAAAUGUGUAGGACAGGAAUUUCCAUGUUUGUCUUGUGCUUCUAUAAUUAUAUCUUUACCUUGUAUGUGUUGUAUUAUUUUUUCAUUAUAUUCUCUUACUUGUUCAUUAGUUGCAAAUAUAGAAUAGUAUUCUGUGUUAUAUGUAUUUGUGGUGACUUGUUUAUUUAAAUAUUCUAGCUCUUUAUCUGUUUUUUCUCCUAUUUUUUAUUUUAUUUAAAGCUUUUAUAAAGAUUAUAUCAUCUUUUUGCCUCAUUAUUUCAGUAAGUUCAUAGAUUUUAAAAUUAUUUUUCAUGGGUGGUGUAUGGAGACAUAAUUUUCAGGUCUAUAUAUUUAUGUUGAAUAAAUUGGUGCUUCAAAUGUAGGAUUUAAUUGAUAGAAAUCACCUGUAAAUAUACAAUCCAUCCCACCAAAGCCUAUUCUAUAUGUUGUUUUGAAGCUUUCACAUCUUCUAUUUAUAUCUUGUAACAUUUCUAUACUUACCGUUGAUAUUUCAUCUAUUACUAAACAUUUUAUUAUUGAAACUUUCUUUUAUAUUUAUCUAAUGUGUCAUUUGUUAAUAUUGUUUGACAUUGUUUUGAUGCUUCUGGUCGAAAUGCAAAAGCUGAAUGUAUUGUUGAACCAUUUAUAUUAUAAGCUGCUUUUCCUGUAGGUGCUAUUAUUAAUAUUGUUUGUCCUGGUUCAUUAUUUAUAACUUGGUUUGUUUUAUAAUAUUGUUUGAGUGUUUCUAUUUAAAAGCAUUUAAUUUCCAGUUAUUGCUUCUCCUGUUAAAAAUAAGCACAAUUGUUUGUUAGGUUGUUUUAUAUUUUUCAAUAUGAAGACAUCAUAUAUUAUUUUUUGCUUUUUAUUUAGAGUUCUUAAUAAUUGGUGAUAUUUACUAAUUUCCAUAAGGUAUUCAUCUUGUAUUAUAAUUGUUGAGUUUGUUAAUAUUUUAUCUUUUAUAUUUAAAUUUAAGUUUUUUUAUUUUUCAUUUUGAAUAAAUCUUUCCCUAUAUCAAAUUCACUCUCAUUUGUUACUUUUUUUAUAUAUGUAUUGAUGUUAUUUUUCAUCUAUUUGUUCCAUAUUUUCUUCAUAUGCAUUCAUAUAUGUUAUGUACAUUUUUUUAAGAUAUUCUUCUUUUCUAAAUUUUUUAUGUAAAAUUAAUCUUUCAAAAGCCCACUUUUCUGGAUCUUUUUCUUUACUAAAGUUUAUAUAUCUAAUUAUAUUGUUUUUUUAAAAUUUUUUGUGUUGUUACUUCCUUUUCAAUUAUAUAUUCAGUUGUUAUCUCUGCUAAUGUUAAAUCUUCUAAUUCUUCUGGUCUUCGCAUGUAUUUUUCAAUUAGUCCAGGUACUACUGUGUUUGUUUCAUCUUCUUGCAUUUUUGCAAGGUUUUGUUUCGUUUUUAAACAUUUUGUUCGUUAUUCUUGUAGUUUAGUAUCAAUGAACUUUACAAUUCUAGACAUAUGAUGAAUGGGAUUGACAAUAUUAAAAAAAGUGCUUGUUGAAUUGGCAUUUCCCUACAACGUAUGAAACUAUUUCCUAAUAACCGAACUCUAUUAUAUGCAUCUAUUCCUUCUUGGAAUUUUUUAAAUACAGUUGAUAAUCUCUUUGUUAUUUCUGUUUCAAUACAUGCAAUGUAUGAUAAACAAUAUGAUGCUACUGCAUAUCGAUCAAGAAUAAUUUGUAUAUCUACAUUUGAUUGCUACAAAUUUGAUAAUUUGUUAUUAAAAGUAUUUGUGUUUAUGUCUUUUGGUUUUCGUUUAUAAUUUUUUUUGCAUUUGUUAAUGUUGAUCUUAUUGUAGCUUUAUAUUUCUCAUAUGUUAUUCCUAUUAUUUUUAAAUAUUCAUCAAGCUCUAAAUUUUUUAGAUCUAUAGUUUUAUCUUUUAGUAUUAUUUUUAUUUUUUUGUAAAUCAUUGCAUAAGAAUCCUUUUCAUGUUUUGUAAUGUCUUUUAUAAGAUCUAAGAUUUCUGUUUGUGGUAUUGGAGGAAUUGGGUAAUUAAGUCUACAAUUUAUAUUUUUAUAUUUUUUACAUGUUUUUCUAUGUUUAUGAGUUUGAACAUCUUUUUAUAUUAUCUGGUAGUUUCUCUGAAUCAAUACAUAUAUUCUGAAUAGCUUAUUCUUUUAUUUGUUCUUUUGUGGUGGAUUUUCUAAUCAUAUUAGUGCGUGUUCAUGUGGUGUACCAUGUUGUUGAAAUUGUAUUACAAAUAAAUAGUCUUUUACUUUCCUUCCAAAUAUGUGAUAAUUGGACAUUAAUAAUUUUCUAAAUACUGAUGUUUUAUGUGCAUAAUAUCGUAUUGUGGUGAUUGGAUCGGCUCUUAGUAUUUUAUAUAUUUUCUCUUUUUCAUUUAAAUUUUCUAUCUCUUCUUUUUGUUAUAUAUCUGUUUUCAAAUGUUUUAAACAAUUUAUUAAUGGUUCCGAAUGUCUUUCUGAACAGCUAAGAGUUAAGAAUAGUGUUGGUGGUCCUAAUUAUCUUAUCAUGGCAAAUGCAUAUUUUUUUAGUACUUCUAAAUUAUCUGGUGAUGUUCUUAGAUUUCUUAAAUCUCUAAAACCAAUGUUUGACUUUAAUAUUUUAUCCAUAUUUCCAUUUUCAAGCACAUCUUUUUAUGUGAUUUUUCUUCCUUCAUAAGUAAAUUUUUUUAAUCUAAAACCUACAUUUUGAUUGACAAAUUUGAUAUCAGUUUUUACAGCUGCUGUAAAUAUAUGUUCAAUAUGUCAUGCAAAUUUUCUAUCCUCAUUCAUUAAUUCCCAUUGGAUUAUUUCUUAGUAUAUAAAUUUACAUUUUAUGUCUAAUGGUCUUGGUUUUCCACCAAAUAAUUUUGGAUAGCUCAUUUCUUCAGUAUUUUCAUCUACAAAUAAUCUUAAUGGGUGUUGUCCUUGACCAGGUGCUAUAACUAAAACUUUAUUUGUAAAAUUAUCUAUUUGGUUUGCAUCUAAGAAGCUAAUUACCAAAGUAUUUGUUGGUAAUAUCUCAUUAUCAGGGUUGUUUAUAAAAUUUACACUAUCAUCAUCUUCAUUUAAUUCUUGUUGCAAUUCGUUUUCUAAUAUUAUUUGUGUGUUAUUAUCUAUAUUGUAUAAAUUUUGUGCUUGUUGAAACCAAUUUUCAUCUAUAUUAAUUUUAUUUUUCUUAUAUAGUUCUGUUUCUUGUAAUUGUUUUAUACUAAUAUAAAUAUAAUGUGGUCUGGCUAUUCCAUAUUUAUAAUAAUAUUUAUCUGUUAAUCUUCGUUUCAGCUGAAUUGUAAUUGUUUGUGUUUCUUCAAAUGUUCUUGGUAUUUUAUUAAUUAUUGGUUUAAUAUUAGUUGGGACAUUUAUUAUUCCUCCUUUUAUGUGUUGCUGAUAUUGAGGUUGAUUUUGUAUUGUUAUAUUUGCAAAUAAAAUAUGUAGAGUUAGCAUUUUCUCUUCAAUAUCAUUUAGUUGUUCUGUAUAUUGAUCAAUUUGAUUCAUUCUAAUUUUUUCUGGACUUUUAUAUUUUUGUCUAUUUGUCAUGCAUUUAUUGCAUGCAUAUUCUUGUUUUUUUUGUUAUAUUUAAACCAAAGUCUUUUACAUAUUUUACAUGGAUGUAUCGGUAUAUUUUGUAUAGCUUCAUUAUACAUUUGUAGUGCUUUCAUACUUUUGUAUUAUUCAUGUCAUAUUCAUUUUUUUUGUUGUUCUUUCUCUUUUAUUGUUUUUUUUUCUUUGCUUCUAAUAUAAUAUACUCUUCUUUUAAGUUUCUCAUCUGAUAUAGUACUCCCUGUUCUUUGUUAAAAAAUAUUUAUUUUUUCAUUUGUUUGUUUUUGUGACUUCGAAGUUUCCAUAUGUAUUUUGUCUUCUUCUGUUGUAUAUUUUUUUUUUUGUAAAGUAUUUUCUUCAUAUUUUUCUUUGGAUAUAUUAAUAGUUUUUAUUUGUUCAUUUUUAUUCUUUCUUGAUAAAUAAUAGUAUCUAGAAACAAUUUGUUGCUCAGUUAAAUCAAUAUUAUGGUUAAAUUUUAGUUCUUUUGCUUUUUUAUUUGCAGAUCCUUUAAUUGAUAAAAAUUUGCAUCUAAAAGUUCUGUCCAUUCAAAUUUUCUCUUUGUCAUAAUUUUGCCCUUUAUACUUAAAUACCCUUAUUGCCCUUACACCCACCAGAUAGGUGGGUGCAUCCAGAUUAGUUUUUUCUAUGAUUGUUUAGCUGAUCAAGAUUGUUUAAAGAGAUUCAACAAUCGAACCGAAUGGACUAUUUUUAACCUACUUUCAGCAAGUAUUAAUUCUCUAUCUUUCAAUCAACAGUUUUGUGAAGGCUAAUAAUUGAUAAUCUAGACCAGUAGAAACAAUCAAAGACCUUUUACUUACUUCUCAAUGUUAUUCCGUUGAAAGCCAUUUAUGCCCUAAAGCUAUAUUAAAUCUUUAUUUAAAUGGACCUAAAAUGGGCUUAUGAGAGAAACAUGAGCACAAGUACUAAACUUGUGAUUGUAUUGUUUCUGGAUCUCUUUCUUUUGGGUUUAAUGCCACUACCUCGCAUGGAUUCUUGGAUCUUGCCGCUUGAACAGCCAAAUGGAUCAUGCAAUAGGAGAUUUCUGAGGGAUACCUUCAAAAAGAGGGCCAAUGCUUUGCAAAUCCUCAAGAUUCCUUAGCAAAAUGAGCUAGGAAAGAAAGAACUUCAUCAAAACAAGGUGACAUUUUGUUUUUGUAAGUCUUUUAGGAAUGGUCUUCAUCUUCUUUACGCUACACCAGAUUGAAAGAUUGCACAAGACACUGGACAUGGUUAGAAGAGAGAUUGAUUGAAGAGAGAUCUAGCACAAGGUGUGUGAUCAUCCCUCCUUUUUUUUCUUUCUUCCUUUUGUUUUUCCUAUUCAUUCACAUAAGCUCCCACAGGAUAAGAAGCUCUAGAGUAGCAUGUGGCUUUAUUAGUUUUUGCAACUGGUUUCUCAGGUUUGGAUUUAGUACUUUGCCAUUGGAAACGUAGAGUCUUUGCAGGUUCAAAAAUUAUACUAGAGGAUACUAAUGUAGGGACAGUGUCAUCCCGAAUCCUGUGAGACAGCAACUCUUCCAGUGCCUUAAACUUCUACUUCUGCCCAGAGAGAAGAUUUUCAUCAUUACAAAUCUGUAGUGAGAGCAUCUUCAGGCUCUACUAAUAGUGGCAGCCCUAGACGAGGUAGUCAAGUCCAAAGAAAGUUGUUCAAAAUGUCGAGAGAGAUAUCUUCGACAAGGCAAGAUGAUUCCACAAACAAGUAACAUUGUUCUUGCCAUGGAGAUUGGUAUCUAGCAUGAUGUUUUUAGUUUACAGGGUUGGCUAUGGAAAACCCCUCGCAUGUCCAAUGAUAAGUCCCUGAGAAGUUGAUGGACUCAAAGAUGGUUUGAAGUAAUUUAUAACUUUCUUUCUCAUUAGAACAUUUUUUUAUAUACCUUGAUUCAGGUUCUACUUGAAAGGAUUUCUUUUGAGCUAUUACAGGGUGAAGGAGAGCUUAACAUCGCCAAAGAUGGAUAUCCAGAGCCAAGAACUAAAGUGAACCUUUGAUGUAUGUGUGCCUUCCUGUUUAACUUUCUUCUAAGCUGCUUUGUUUUUCUUUUGUAAGCUAUCCAGUACAAUCCAGUAGGAGCACGGUCAUUCAGGUCUUUGAAGGUUGCCCUUGAAAGACUUGACUUUAGUGUAAGUAUAAAGUACUUGCAAUGUGAAGUGCCAUUGCUAUUAGCAUUUUGUUGAUGCUACAGGAUAAUAUGAUUUGAGUAAAAAGGUGCAUACAAUGAAGUUCUGCUACUAAUGGUAUGCUUUCUAGAUCCUGUCUACUAUACGGCUUCUUCAUACUUUCAAAUUCGAGUCCUGGCUCAAAUUUUUGAUUGCCAUACUCUUUUGUCAAGAGCACUACAAGAGCGUACAUAGUUUCAAGCAUCUAGUUCAAACAAAUCAACAACAAAGCUGAAAUUUGGAAUUGCUUGUGGUUCAAGCUCUUUCACGUUUAUUUUCUUGCAUAUUUACUGCAAGAUGGGGUUUAGCAUCUAGUAUAGAAAGCAAUACACCAUGUUCUUCACCCAGUUUCUCUGAAGUCCUCAAGAAACUCCCUAUCCGGAUGCACAAUGAUCAUUUUUCUGAAUUCUGGUGUUAGGCGUACAAUGUUAACGUGGUAGAUUACCUGAGAGGGGCUUUUAGAGGUAGCUUGUGUUUCUCGCAUAUUAGUUCUCUUGGAAAUUUCAAGUUGCUGUGCAAUGCAAUCAACAACAAUCUUGUGAGUCGUGGCCAUGGGAUUGCUAGUUUGUGUGCUUUGAAAUCUAGAAAUUGUUAAAAGAAGCACUGCAAAAUUUCACAAAUAGAUAUUUGUAUUAUAGAGAAAGCAAUUGAAAAAUAAACAAGAGACAAUUGUUUCUAUUUCUAGUUGUUGGCAAUUUCCAUGGCUGAAUUGUAUGGUGUCUCAAAAUGGACAAUAAUAUUUGCCUCAUUCAAUAGAAAGAACCUAUUGGUUUUGAAGACAGAUAAAUAGCAAUCUUUUUUGGGGACUCCAUAGCAAACUUGACCAUAGACCCUUCAUCAAAAUUAUAAAUUUUAUCCACCAUUUUAUCAUGCAUUGUGACUCUAUAUUCCAUCAUGUUAUUUGAUAUAAUAGAACCAGUUAUUGUAGCUGAUUUACGAAGGAUGGAACGCCCUUUACACUUUGCGCAAACAACAAAACUAUCUUCUCUCUAGCAAAAUGAGCAAAGACUUUCAGCUUGAGUGAGGCUUUAUUGAUUGUCAGGGAUGAAAUAUCCACUAAUCUGUAUAAUUGGUAGUUAGAGUUGAAAGUAGAUGUAAGCAAUUUACAUUACCUUGUCUUUAGAAGUGAGACCACGGUAUGUUUUAUAAACUUCAUUGAGCCUCUAAAUUUCGUUUGAAUCAACUAGUGGCAAAAAUAAAGUACUUCCAAGUGUUCCUAAAUCACCUGAUACACUCAUGCUUUUCAUAAUAUUAAAAAAUAAAAACUUUGGCAUAUAUCCAGCAUAUAAAUCUGCUACAAUAUGAUGAUACUACUCUUCAUGCUCCGAAUGCAUAUAGAGCUGUGAAAAUAUCUUAGAAAUAGAAAAUUAAAUAAGAAAAAACAUUACCAUAAUUAUGUCCAAAGGAUUAUCAAAAGAAGCAAUCUUUAUUUUAGGAAAAACACCAGUGUUGAUUACAACAGCAUGUAUAGCUUGUGGAUAAACUCUAGUAGCCAUUAAAGAUGAUAUAGAAGCUCCUCUAGUUGGCUGUAAUCUUAGUUUAACAUCAAAAUCAUCUAUAAUUUGAAUGAUAGAAGAAUCUAUAAUAUAAAGAACUUUUUCUAAAGUUCCAUGGUGGUAAACUGGGUUUUUCUGUUGUUCAACCCAUCUGAAGUGAGAGAAUUAUAAUCUUGUUAAUUUUUUUUAAAAAAAAUUACAAACCUUGUAAGUGAGAAACAUUUACCAACCAUAAAUUUAUUAUAUAAUCAUGCACACAUGGAUGAAUUGCCAUAUAUAGUUAAAGUUUGCAAGCCAUGCAUAUCUGUACAAUCCAUUAUAUAAGUUAAGUAUUUUGCACUUUGUAGAGUGUUCUUUGCAAGAUGAACUUUAUAAGUUCCAUACCUAGGCAAAAAGCAAAUCAAAACUACAGAAAGAAAACGAUUUCAACAUAUGUAGAUAAAAUCUUCAGCUCAAGAAUUUUGGUUGAAUUUGCUUUUUCAAAGAUAAGUGAUGCAAUAGUGGCUUUUAGGAUGGUCAACUUUUUCCUCCUUGCUUGUGAAACUACAAAACCAAGAAAUACUAAGGAAUAAAGAGAAAAACCAAACCUUCAUAAGAAUUUGUUUAUAGACAAAUCCUCAGCAGAUGAUGACUAAACAAUAUCCAUAGCACAAUCCAAAUCUGACAUAUCUAUGUGAUUGAUUAAACAAAAUUACCUCUAGCUAAUUUAUACUAGUAAAAGGAUCCAAAAAUAAACUAGACUUUAGUUUGAAGAAUCGAAAACAAAAAAGAAUAAAACUUUGAGCUAAAAAUUAAAAUCCAUCAACUUGCCCAACAUAGGGUUAUGGCAGACAAUAAACCAAUUCCACAUGUGACAAACCUUCUAAACCUUUUCAACCUUUUCAUGCACUGACUCUCCUCAUUUGUAAACAUCCUUGCCAGAUACUUCUCAUCAUCGUCCAAGCUGAAGCUAGAAGCAGCCUGACUCUACUCCUCAGCUACUACAAUCUCCCUCCAUCCGUCGCUUUAGAAAAGAGGAAUGAAUAGGAAUAGAAAGAUUGUCCUCCACUGAUCUUUGUUUUCUACCCACUGCCCACUCAGAUAAUAGGGAGCCAUACAGAGGAAGAUCUAAGCUCCAUCCAUAGUUGCGUUCCAGGUUGAUUGAUUGAUUCUGGGCAAUCAAUCUGUACUGCCAUGGUGGGUUUCUAAUCUUGGAUCAUGGCUCUCAGCUCAAACCUCCAAGGAGAGCCAAUUCUCAAUCAAUUCACUAGUCCAAAUAUGAUUUUCUUGACGCUUCCCAGUGACAAGAGCAAUCCAUUGGAGCCAGUGGACAAUGCAGUGGCCAGGAAUGACGAUAGCAUCAUGAUUGAUCUCGAGGGGGCACUACUCAAAUCCCUAAGCUGGUUUCAAUGCUUCGUGCUUGUCACAAUUGAGGCUGGGAGGCCUCUAUGAGUGCUCCUCUUUUUCAUUCUUCCCUUCACGUGGAUCACUGGCUGCUUUGUCUAUCCAGUUUUGGCUUCAGAUUCUUUGCUUCAUGGCAGAGCCUUGAUUGAGGGCCUUGGCAGUGGAACUUUGAGAGCUCCCUUGCAAUUGCCAUUCUGGACAUAGAGCUCAACCAAUGCACUAUAUAUUACAUAGUUUCUUUGGCUCAAGCUCCAAAAACCACAUAUGCUCAUGAUGAUAUAAAGUGGUUAGAAAAGUUUAUAAAUUAUAAAUAUGAAAUUAAUCUAAAUGAAUAACCACCAUUGGAUGAUAGAAUAUCCUAGAAUAUCCAAGCAUAUUCUAAGUAUAUUCAUUACCAUCCCAAUCCCCCUGUAGGUUUGCUUAAGCAAACCAAAAAGGUGGAUGUUACUGUGGCAAAUUUCACUCACAAUAUAGUAUCUAUGUGGCAAUUUUCUAUUGGUUUAGCAUUAAAUGUCAUUUGGAUGCCUCAUGGAUGCCUCAUGGAUGCUAGCCCGAUGGGUAUGGGUGGACACAUUCUCAUCGGAGACGGAUCAGAGGUUCUUUCUGUAUCAACCAAAAACCGGGAACUCUAACUUUGAACCCAGGGCUGCAUUGGAGCCAUAUAUUAGAUCAUGCACAACAUAUAGUAUAUGUUGGCAGUUAGAACCGCCAACCUUUCAAAAGGGGGAAUCCAAAUUGUGGAUCCUUAUCUCCAUUCAUUAUUUUUUUUUAUCAAUACACAGCAUUUUUUUACUCAUCCUUCUUCUCAGCCUUUAGAGAUUAGGCCCUUUUCUCUUUUGUUUUGUUACUAACAAUAGAUUUCCAGCAAAGAAGACCUCUUCAUUUGGCAACCACGGCCUCUGAAUUCCCCUUCAGGUUCACAAAUUCUUCCAUUCUUUCUCCAUUCUCUAUGCACAGAUAGCAAGAAUGAUCGAAAAAUCUACCCACCUCACCCAAAUUUGCCCAAAUUACACCCAAAUUCGUAAAUUCGCCCAAAUUCAACAAGUAAAUGCCACCAUCAACAUGGAUCAAUGGUGUCCAAGCAGUUGCUGCCUAACGCAGUAUAGACAGAUGCUUUCCAGAGGAGAUCUUUGAAGAAUCUGAAAGCUCUCUCUCAAGAUCUCCAAGUCUCAUCACCAACAAAGAACACCAACAACCCUUUUCGACAAGAAUCUCCAGUCGCCCAGCACCUUCAUCAGUGGACUGUAAACCUCCUGAGUUUGGACUUCCCGGGAGGUCACUCAGCCCAGUACUAUUCAAACCCAAGGACGCUUAACUCCAACUAUCCCAAGACCCUUAACCGAUUGGAAAAGGGGGUGCACUCUUAUUCAUGGGCCCUUUCCCUCUAUAUUUGAACCCCUAUGGAUCGUCUCUCGAGUUGUUCCCUAUGGUUGCUUACAAUCCACCACGCUUCCCUGCAAGUUCACGCCCUCGUGAACGGAAGCUGAGAGCCACAGCUCUCCCGAGAGCCCCGCUCUCUUGACAGCGACCAACAAAGUCGGACUCGAGACCCCUCUGAUACCAAAUGUAAGCUCCUGAGUUUGGACUUCCCGGGAGGUCACCCAGCCCAGUACUAUUCAAACCCAAGGACGCUUAACUCCAACUAUCCCAAGACCCUUAACCGAUUGGAAAAGGGGGUGCACUCUUAUUCAUGGGCCCUUUCCCUCUAUAUUUGAACCCCUAUGGAUCGUCUCUCGAGUUGUUCCCUAUGGUUGCUUACAUGGACGCCCUUAGCAACUUCACUGGCGAACUCCAUCUCCAAGCACAAGACCACACACUCCAACUCAACUAGCACACUCGACAUGAACUGACACCACUGCCGAAACGAACCCCUCUUCCGUGCAGUCGUUGCCCCGACAAUCCUAGCGCUCUAACACGAUUCCAGUUCCCAUGCCCACUCCCAAUACCAAAGCACAUCCUCAAAACCUACACCAACGACGAACCCAUCACUCUGUUACCCGGUAUCGGAGAACUUGUCAAGGGACAACUUGACAACACACCACCGCUUUUUUGACAACCCCUCCGACAGAGUCAUCAGCUCAACAUUGAAACAACAGUCCAAACUUGGUUCGAAACAUAGUUGCUGGAAAACAUGUGAAACUUAAAAAACGUAACAUUUUAAAUGCGUUCAAAAAUGCUGUUCUAAACUCCCAACUCAUUUGCACUAUUUGUGAAAAGAGACAAAGGUUUUUUUAGGGUUUCUUCAGGGUUCUUGUGGUCAUGACAGGAAUUGGAGGACACCGCAAAUGCUGGAGCUGGAAGCAUGUGAUACGAGCAGAGCGGCACUGGACAUGUAAGUAUUGUCAUGAGAUUCACACUAGGGGAGCGGACCGAGUGUGAGCACAUCUCAUGGAGUUUGGGCAAGAGGUGUGAAAACGUGCAAGGCAAUGAGGGAGAUCCCUUAUGAGGUUCUUAAAAAAGCUCACAGCAGUUUUUCCGAUUCUGAGCUAGCAGACCCAGCAGAUGCUGAUGAUGGGCAUCUGCUGCAGCAAGCCGCACAGGGUUCAGGGGGGCCAGCAGAAUCUAUGGUGGCAAGCACGGAGAACUGGUCCAGUGCUGGGACAAGUAGAGCAGUGAAAUGCAGAUCCUCGGAUGGAAAUUUGGUGAUAUUUUUUGAUACUUCUUCGGCUGAGGCACUGGAUGAUGCUGUUGCAGAGUUCUGCUUUGCCAAGAACAUCUCCUUCAACACAAUCCGAAGAGACAACUUGAAGAGAAUGCUGAAAGUUGCCGCAAAAGUGGGGCGUCCAAUGAUUGACAACCUCAUGGGAUAUGAGAAGUUGCGGACAACUGAGCUACAACGAAUCUACAACAACGUUCAGAAGCGGCUUGAAGAUGUGCGGCUAAGUUGGAGGACAUAUGGUUGUACCAUUGUCACGGAUGGCUGGUCUGAUAUCAAGAAGCGGUCUCUUAUCAAUUUCAUGGUCAGUUCUGUGAGAGGCUCAAUUUUCCUGAAGGCUAUGGACAGCAAGAACGCGAAGAAAACCGGAGCAUGGUUGUUUGAGCAGCUGAAACAAGUGAUUGCCGAGGUUGGCGUGGAAAACAUUGUGCAGGUGGUGAUGGACAAUGCAAGCAAUUGUGUGGUCAUGGGGGAGCUUUUGCAACAGGAGUUUCCACAGAUUGUACACGUUCGCUGCGUUUGCCACAUUAUGGACUUGCUGUUCGAAGAUAUUGGAGCUUUGUCUUGGGUGUAGCCUUUCGUCGAUGGCUGUGUGAAGACAGUUACCUUCAUCACCUCAAAGCCACGGGUUCUAGCUCUUUAUAGAACUUUUUGCAAACGGGACCUGAUAAAGCCUGUGACCACAAGGUUUGCUUAUAUUUUUCUUGUGAUGUCUCAGCUUCUGGAGACCAUGAAUCUCUCCGGGCUUUGAAGAACGGUGGUGAGCCAAGAAUGGGAGCGACUUGACUGGUCUAAGAAGCCGGAGGGCCUGGAGCUACGAUCUCGUGUUCUCGAUGACUCGUUCUGGGAGCGGUGCGAGAAUUUAUUAAUUUUGCUCGGACCUUUACUUUGAGUUCUUCGGCUCGCUGAUCGGGAGGGGGCGACUUGAGGCCUCAUCUUUGAAGCCAUUGAUCGGCUGAUUGAGAAGAUGGAUGAGGGAGCUCGAAAUGGAAUUUAUGCACAUGAGGAAGUGGGACAAAUCAAGGAUUUCCUACUUGAAUCACAUGGUCUGAAGGAGGCAAGGUGGUAUCAAAUGCACAACAUAAUUCAUGGAGCUGCUUUUGCUCUUCAUCCUCUAUUUCUGGGGGAUAACCCGGAGAACAACAAGUUGGACAAUGAGGCACGUUGGAACUGGCUGGAGUACAUGCAUGUUUAUAGCAGAGGUGAUCUGGACUUGCAGUUGAGAUUGUAGGCACAGUUUGAGAGGUUUCGGCAACAGCUUGGAAGGCAAAUGAGGUUACCUAUUGCCAAGGAUCGGGAGAUGUAGCGCACGUGGUUUUGACCCUUUAUCCUAUGGUGAUUUACCAUAGGAUAACACCACGAAGCGGAACCUAAACCCUCUUUGUGCCACGUGACAGAUGCCACGUGUCCAUGCCACGUGUCCACAGGAACCCGAGGUUCAGGGCCUUGGGCCACUGAACGAAGGAACGGUGCCAAACUCCCAAGCAUGGAGCCCAGGAGUGACGGAACCGAACCACGGAGCAACUCCCGAGCAUAAAGCCCAAGGAGCGAACGGACAGGAGCCCGGAGCGACUUGGAACAGUCCUGGAGCAACCAGCAUCCCAAUGCCAGGACCAGCACACAAAACGGAGCCAAACGGAGUCUGGCGCUAUUUCGGCAUACCGGUGGCCUAACGCAAGGAUAUGGGUACUCCACCAACUAGCAUGGAAUGGAACUUGGGCUUAGACCCAAGCCGGACGCAGAACAAGGACAGGCACGCAAGCGGGAGCUAGACUAUGCCUCAGGUUGGUCGGCCAUGCCCGACCUACCCACUAUCCCUACUAUACAUUUGGAACCCCCCACAGCCCCCCCUCCUUGAGGAACACACGCUUUGGGCUUUCACCCCAAGCCUCCUUUAGUAUCAGGAGUUAGUCUCUGGGACAAGCUCGAAACUUACUAAAUAUGGAAUGUCCCUAGAUUGCGAAUUUGGACAUGGGACGAACACCAUUGUGUUCAGGACAAUCUCUACAUUCCAUAGAUAUGCCAAAUGAGCAAAUCUGGACACUUUCCAUAAAUAGCAUUUGGGACCGAAAUGAGACUAACACAAAGGGCAUGAUAGCGAGGGUGUUUGGCAGACACGGUAAGCUAUCAUCCGGCGACAUUGAGGGACCAAUCUCAAUACGCGAGGGUUCUUGUCACUAGCCAGUGCAAGACAAAACGAGACGGGAACUCCUUACCGGGCUAAGUAUGCUUAGCUAAUAACACGUAGGAAUUCCGUCCUUAUGCUCGUCCGGUCUAAGUACACUCGAAAUGCCCAGUUAACUCCACUAGCACAAGAGGGACUGAUAAAGGGUCCAGCAAUACCGACCUCCUGCCAUCGUGGCAGUAAGGUAAGAGUGUCCGUAAGGACUAGCCGACAGGUAACUUUCGAUACCCGAAGUCACAUUCGCGACACUCUCCCCCCCUUGGGAAGAUCGACGUCCUCGUCGAUGCAUACUUGAGUCUAGAAUACCGCCAAGGAAACAACUCUAGAAAAAGUUCACGGUACUCACACUAUGUGAGAAAUGCACCAACUUAAAUGAGUUAGGAGGCAACCUCUUUGUCUAACGCGGAUGCGCUACCAGCUCAGACACCUUCCGGCCGUCGCCGACAAGGAAAUGACCAACGGAGUCAGCCACCCUUGCUACUCUGGGAGUCACCCAGCUUACAAAAGUGUGAUAUGCCCCUGCCCGCAGGAACAUAGAGAGAGAAGCCAGAAGCCCCAACCCUCCUAAGCAAAGAACCAAACCCGUCGGUAAGGUUUAGAUAGACUACUGUAAACAGGCAGUUAGAGUUGUUUACACGGUCACGCCCUUUUAACGGAAUAAGGAACAUCGACAGAGAGGCGGGUUAUGUGACCAGUCGACAGUAGCUACCCCAUGACUAGAGAUUUCACUAUGCACACGAAGUGCCGAAGCCAGUCUGCCUAUACUGGCCCAAACUCAAAGAUCAAUAGAUGGGCAAUAUCAAAGUCAUAAACAAUGAUAUCUUAGAGACUUAAUUAUCAGUGAUUAUAUCUUAGAGUAGAACACAAAAGUAUUCUUAGCAAGUUAUCAUCCGAUAAACUAGUAUUAUAGUAUAGGAACCACCAAGAUCAUCAAAAUUGGUAAACAUAGGAUUCACCAUCAUACAAAAUUCAAUAGCAAGUAUAUCAUCAAGUAAACUCAACGAUAAAGUUUAACUAUUAAAGAUUGCAGAUAGAAUGCCAAACAACUUACAAAAGAUAACUCAAAGAACACAAAGUAUCAUUGACUGAUAAGCACAAUGCUCGUGAAUGUAUCACCCGAAGGAAAUAACAUCCCAAUCUAUCAAAACUAACUCGAGCAAUAAUCAACAGAAUAGAAUGAAUGCAGUAAGACCAACAAACACUCACUUCUGCCAACUAUCACAAAAGCCAAUUUGAAUAAAUCCCAGCUAACAAUACCAAGGAAUUCAAGUUGCCUAAGCAAGUGUCAGCAAUAUCCUACUGAUGUCUCAAACCUAAGAGACCAAUCCAGAGCAAACCACAAAGAACAUGCGGUAUUGCGAAAAGCCAAAAGCUAUCAAAGAGAACAACUAACCAUCAUAAAAGAUCAUCAAUUAUCCCAUCAAAAAGAUAUGCCAAAUCAUCGUCAAGCAAGAAUCUACCAUCCCGAAGAAUAGCAAAUAAUUCCAGACCAACAAUAAUCAAACAAAACUUGUGAUAAGGAUAAUCAACUACCCUAGAUGAUAGUCAAUCAUCACCAAUGAUUUCUAAAUGCAAAUACUAACUUCAUCGAAGCUAACAAGCCAAAAUGUCUUCCCCAACAACUUAUAACAAAUAGAACAAUGAGCAUAAAACUCAAAGAACCAAAAACUCGAAGAAGUCUAUAGCCAAGUCUUGUCUAACAAUGAUCACAAGUCUCGCAUGGACUAACGUCAAUGCUAAAGAAGAAAUCAUGGUACAACCCACAAUAUCCUCCUCAACACAUCUAUUAGCUAAACUUCAUAAUGCCAAAGCUAAUGAAGAGCAUAUCUGCAUCAAUCCAAAAGCUAAGCAUAACAAAGUUAUGCUCAACAAGUGAUCAUCAAACGAUCCUCCAUGAAUCCAUCUAUAGCAAGACGUAACUCACAUCAUAACAAGCACAAGAAGAAUCAUCAAUGAUUGAUAUAUUCCAACUCAAAUCCAAUAAGGAUUCAAAUAUUCCAAUAUCAAUCACUAACUCUUCAUCUUGUAAAGCUAGUGUUAUCCACGACUAAAUCACUUUUCAAGGAAAAGCUGAAGCUCAACCCCUACUAAAUAACCUUGUUUAGAACACAACUAACUCAAACUUGCCACUUAGUUCAUUUGAACGUCAACAUAGUUGCGAACUAGCAAAUGUACGAAUGCCAAUAACACAAAGCCAUAGCCAAAUCAUCAACACUAUCUUCAUUAAGACUAAUGAAACUCGACAUCAAUCUUGCGGAGAGACAUCUCAUUUCACUGAAAUCUCAACAUCAACAAUGUCAACGACAAGGCAUCACCUCAGUGCCACCAACACUAGAACAAAGCUAGAAGAAAGCACGAGUGUAUCACCACUCAAAGCUCUCUAGCAACCAAGCUAACCAAGGUCGAAGAUACUUUAGUUAGUAUCCGAGACCAAUCCUUUAGCAAAACUCAGUUACAGAUAACACAUCCUCAAGGAGUGAAUCACCACGUCCAAGACUCAAUGAAAUCCAACACUAUGAACUAAACGCAACCAAAUGAUAUCGACAGAGAUAGAGUCAAUAUGCCAACAUGGAAAACCCAUAUAAGUCUAACGACACGAUCCUCCGCAACCCCAUUUGGUAAAAAAAACCUAUCACUGCUAAAUCAUCAUUGAGUGAAGCAAGUGUUAAAAGUCCUUGAUGAAGUCUACAAGUAGUCACUAGUUGCAAAGCAACUAACAAUCACUCCUCAACUUGCCUUCAUAAGACCCAACACUAAACUCAUGCCAUUGAGUCAUAUACUUGACCAACAUGAACGUAAUACCCCAGAUAUGAGAUAAAGGUUCAUGGACAAGCACGAACUAAAUGACCACUCGAAUCCAACUCAACUGCGAUAAGCUCACCAAUGCAUUUAGCCACUAGCUCUGAGCAUGCCUUGAAGAGGCUAGCUAUGCAUGAUCAUCACUCAGUCGAAACUAAAGUGAAGACCAUGAGAUGGACUCAUAUCGGUACACAACCUCCUCAUAGACAAAGCUACAGUACGGGUACCAACAUCUCAAACUCAAACAACUAAGUUGAACAUCACCAUCCUCAGCCAAGGCACAGGGCCACCAAGACCAAGUCAAGAUUAGUGAGAGCUCACUACUCUCAUAGAGUCUAACGAAAUGCAAAGUGCAACCUGCCACCAAGCAUAACGCUAUAAAAGAAAGGCACAAGGGUCACCUUUCUAGAAAAGUGCAACGGCCACUUUUCUACAUUAACCCCAGACUCUAUCCAACUCAAUUGCAAUAGCCCCAAAAGUCAGCAUCCCUUUCGGGCCGCAUCAUACAAACUACAUACUAAGGUCUAAGCUAACCGAAGUCAACUCCAACCCCUUCACUAGUUUGUAUUGGCUUACGAAAACGGAAUGGUUUUCGGACAAAGUGAUAACAGAUCAGCCAUUGGAAAAGUCUAAGAAAAUUUGUGAAAAAUUUUCCAUCCUAGAGAAAGAAUGACUCUCAGUCCAGGAAUACAAACUUUUAAGACUCAACCAACUUCCUCCUACUAACAACUUCACAUAGGUUCACCUCAACACAAAUUCUCAUGACCCAUAGUAUGCUUAAGCCUCGAACAUCUUUUUGCCCAUUCUUUCGACAUCCAACACCGAUAUCCGUAAAAUGCAAAUGGAACAUCCAAGGUUUGAUCACGAAGACCACAUCUUCGGAUAUCCAUAUUGCACUAACACUCUUCUUCAACCACUUUCAAGAUCCAAUGUGAAGCUAAAACACUAACAAGAAAAAUGACAUGGAAAAUCAAGCUCUAAGGAAAAUUCCUUAUCACUCGAAGUAACAAUGCCACUUCCACUAACACAAGUGCUAGUGAUGUCAAUGCCCCAACUACACAUCUUCUCCAUCCAACAAUCUACUCUAAGUGUUAACGGACCAACCGAUGAGUUAUAGCAAAUGAAUACUACAACCCUUUCCAACACCUUAUGGGCAAACUUAAGGAAACAAAGAACCAACUUAAGCUUUAGCAUAAUGGACCACCAUCGAGAAUCUAGUCAAAGUUACUACAAUGCUACUUUAUGUAAGUAGACUAGCUUCUCCAUCAACCACUUUGGGGUUGAUCAUCAUUCAACCAAGCAACUUCGUAAACACAUUGCUCAUUAUCACAUGGAUAUGAUAUAAAAAUCACAAUGACUUGAUCAUCAAUUGAGCAACACCACGAACAAUGCCAAUGUCAUUACUUCAAAGGUUUACAUGAAUAUCAAGUGCCAACUCAACUUGACAGAAUGCAACAUAAAUGCCACACUCUACCGAUAGAGAUUUACAACACCCAACACCACUAACUUUUGUUCACAACACCGACAAGCUCAUGCCACUCUCUUUCCGACCAAACUCAACACUAAUCCAACACCAAGCUACUCAAGGAACAAUAGCAAGGUUCCCCAGAAAAGAAUUGAGCAUUGCAACCUAAGUCUUCCGAUAGCAAGUCUAAACAAAAUGGUUUAGCGUUUCACCGCUAUCCAUCCCAUGACUCACCAUUUGUAAGACCAUCAUUUCCAACAUGCAUCAAGAUAGGGACUCUUGAUUGCAUAAUGUGAAUACGAGCAAUGAGUGAACACCUCGUUGCAAAUCAUCUCUCCAAGAGAAGAAGAUGAUUUACGUGUUUGAUCCUUCGUCCCCGAUGACUCUCUUUUCGGUCUCAUCUUUGACCAAACCUCAAGCUUGCUUUCGCACUGCCUUCAGUCCAAUCCAAGAAAAGUUUAUGAGAGAGCACGGCAAUGAUUACUUGAACCAAUAGACUAAUCCCUAUAAUCUUGAUUGAUCCACUUGUAAUCAUGCCUAGGAAGGAUCCACUAGUGCCGUGCUUAAACAGCUACGGACCAGCCUAUUUGCCACUCAUAGCAAACCCAGGGAAGGUUUGCUUUUACCCACGGUACAUGGAACAACUCAUAGAACCACCGCUAGGCUUACAUUAAUCCUGCCAACUCAAAGCGUAUCCUCGAGUUGCUAAUGUGCCUCACUCACGAGCCCAAGCUCAAACUCGUGCGAACGGAACAACUCAAUCCCUCUUGUGAGCCCAAGCUCUAGCUCACAUUAUUAGGUACAAAAGGUAACCAAAACCAUACCCAAGGAACGAUUGCGAAGCCAUUGCACCAAACGUGUACCCACUCAGAUCAUCGUUUUCAUCUCUGCGUAUGCAACGAGACUAGUUGCCCAAUCUCAUUGAAUAGUACUCGCUGAGACUCAUUCUCUGAUACCAAAUGUAGCGCACGUGGUUUUGACCCUUUAUCCUAUGGUGAUUUACCAUAGGAUAACACCACGAAGCGGAACCUAAACCCUCUUUGUGCCACGUGACAGAUGCCACGUGUCACAUGCCACGUGUCCAUGCCACGUGUCCACAGGAACCCGAGGUUCAGGGCCUUGGGCCACUGAACGAAGGAACGGUGCCAAACUCCCAAGCAUGGAGCCCAGGAGUGACGGAACCGAACCACGGAGCAACUCCCGAGCAUAAAGCCCAAGGAGCGAACGGACAGGAGCCCGGAGCGACUUGGAACAGUCCUGGAGCAACCAGCAUCCCAAUGCCAGGACCAGCACACAAAACGGAGCCAAACGGAGUCUGGCGCUAUUUCGGCAUACUGGUGGCCUAACGCAAGGAUAUGGGUACUCCACCAACUAGCAUGGAAUGGAACUUGGGCUUAGACCCAAGCCGGACGCAGAACAAGGACAGGCACGCAAGCGGGAGCUAGACUAUGCCUCAGGUUGGUCGGCCAUGCCCGACCUACCCACUAUCCCUACUAUACAUUUGGAACCCCCCACAGCCCCCCCCCCCUUGAGGAACACACGCUUUGGGCUUUCACCCCAAGCCUCCCUUAGUAUCAGGAGUUAGUCUCUGGGACAAGCUCGAAACUUACUAAAUAUGGAAUGUCCCUAGAUUGCGAAUUUGGACAUGGGACGAACACCAUUGUGUUCAGGACAAUCUCUACAUUCCAUAGAUAUGCCAAAUGAGCAAAUCUGGACACUUUCCAUAAAUAGCAUUUGGGACCGAAAUGAGACUAACACAAAGGGCAUGAUAGCGAGGGUGUUUGGCAGACACGGUAAGCUAUCAUCCGGCGACAUUGAGGGACCAAUCUCAAUACGCGAGGGUUCUUGUCACUAGCCAGUGCAAGACAAAACGAGACGGGAACUCCUUACCGGGCUAAGUAUGCUUAGCUAAUAACACGUAGGAAUUCCGUCCUUAUGCUCGUCCGGUCUAAGUACACUCGAAAUGCCCAGUUAACUCCACUAGCACAAGAGGGACUGAUAAAGGGUCCAGCAAUACCGACCUCCUGCCAUCGUGGCAGUAAGGUAAGAGUGUCCGUAAGGACUAGCCGACAGGUAACUUUCGAUACCCGAAGUCACAUUCGCGACAGGAGACCAGAAAGUUUCCAGUAACCUCAUGGAGUUCUUUUGGUUUAGAGAUGCCUCAUCUACGUCGCAUGGCUCUCCAGAUUUUAAGCCAAGUUGUUUGCGCUUCUCCAUGCGAGAGGAAUUGGAGUUCAUGGAGCUUGAUACAAACAAAGUGCAGGUCCUGCUUGCUUCCCAAAAAUGCUGAGAAGUUGGUUUACAUUCACACAAACUUGCGGGUUGCUUAGAAGCUGGAGAGUGAAGGUUUGAGGAUGUUGGAGAUUGAUAUAGACAAGCUGGAGUUGGAGCCUCAUUAGAAGAGGAUUUUGGAUCUACAAGAAGCUUUUGAGGAACCAAAUCAGGCUGCUGAGGAGUUUAGCAUCGAUGAAGGAAUGGAAGAUGAUUCAGAAUCAGAAGACGACUAAAACGGCUUCUUCUUUCAUUUGUUUUACUAUGUUAUUCGGUUAUGUUUUAUAAAAUUAAUAUUAGAUUAUAGUGUCUUUAGUAAAUAUUAGUGUUUUCUUAAUCAUUUUAGGCUUUAACAUGUAAAAGUUGGAUUGUCCUGAAAAAACGUUCUAAACGGCAUUCAAACGUCGACACGUUGGAACGUUUGCAUGUCUAGCUGCAACUAUGGUUCGAAAUCAACACGUUCGCUGCAACAACUCUUGCCAAUCAUGCCAUCGCCCAAUCCGGACUCGAACAACUCGACAACAUUAUCGAAGAAAUCAUUCCUGAAAAACCUGAGUAUCCGAAACUCUUCAUCGAACUCCAUCUCGGCACCAGCAAGUGGAAGACCAAUCUGCAUACUGCACCAGCAAACUCGACCCCACAUAACUCGAUUAAACACAACCCAACCCAACAUGCACCACUGUCGACAUUUGCACCAAAAAGAAAGAACAAGCUCACAACAACUUUAUCAACAAUUGACCUGCCACCAGUCUUCCUGAAGUUCUGCCAGAACUGCAUGACCGACUGCAGACACGAAUCUGACACCGACAACAAGUAGAAGAAUGCAUGCAUCCAAAACCAAGAAGAACAUCCAGCAAGUCGAAAGAAGACCGACAACAGCUUAUCUGAUGUUUAGAUAGAGAUUUGAAGAAUUUAGAAACAAAGAGAAAGAAAGACAAGAGAAGUUGAAUCAACUUAUCCAACCCUCCAAGAGAGAGAAUUACAUCUGCCAUGAAUUGUUACCACAAGCUAUCUCCGACGAACCAGUCUCAGACAUCCGUGAAGAAUACGAUGACUAUACAACACCACUGAACACACCACUGGCAGCACCCUUGACAGCACCCACCAAAGUGCCUGAGCCUGAACCAACACCCUUGACGGCACCCACCGAAGUGCCUGAGCUUGACCAAACAUUCGAGCAGUCGACACAGACUAUGCCCGAGCAACAAAACAUUUUUCAAGCAGCAUACAACCACUUCAAAGGUACAUUCACCAACCCCAUCUACAAUGACGACGAACGACCAAGUUUCCCGCCCGGCUUCACAGACUUCACCAGACCAGCACCAUUUUUGCCAUAUCGACCAAUCUUCACAACACCAAUAUAUCCCACAUUUGCUUCCAACAUCUACCGAAGCCCACUAUUAGCAAGACCUUUCAAACACGCUUUCGACUUCAACACGCCGACAAGACAACAACUUGACUUCACCCACUACAGUCGAACUCCGAUAUACCCAGUCAACAGCAGUAAAGACGAACAACCCGAAUCAUCCAAUAGUCAAGCACUCAACGAAUAAGUCAACAACUCACACCAAGCUGCCGAACAGCUACAAUCAUCCAACAACAACGAGAUCGACAAACCAAUUGUCGACAACAACAAUCUUCCAUAGCAACCACAAUCACCACACAACUAUACGUUCGAAGAACACUUGGACAAUUUAGAAGAACAACCACAACCAGCACAACAUAACUCCGACAAGUACGUCGACAAAAAGUUCAAGCACCAUCUUCUGGAAAUCAACACUGGCAAGCAACCCGACACCAACGACAACGUCGACGACACACCUGAAAACAGUCCCAACACAAAAGAAAAAACAGAGAAGAGUCCACUAAACAACAACAACAAUUCACCACCUUCCUCCUACACCGACUUUGCCGUCGACCCCGACAACCCCUUGCUCCAAAUCACCUUUGGACUCCACAGUGAGAACCCAACAAAACAACCUCGACAAUACCGACAUUACAACCAACAACAAAUGGCAGUCACUACCACCGUUGCCAACAUACCGUUGGAAGACACAUCUCCUAUCCCCUAUUUCAUUGUCUCAAAUCGGAAGAUGUUGAGAAACAUGUCGAACAGUUCCAAGAAGCAAUCUACAUCAACAGCCAGACAACCGAACUCCCAUACUACUUCCGAUGUACCCUUUGAAAGAGAGCCAACGAAUGGGCUCAAACGCUUCCUCAAAAUACAAGUUUCGAUGACCUCACACUCAAGCUCGUAGACCAAUUCAAGUCUUCCCUCACUCAAAGCCAACGACUACACAAGAUCCAGAAACUCAAGCAGAAGUCUGGUCAAUCCAUCGACGACUACACUCAAACCUUCACUCGACAUGCCAGUAAAUGUGGCAACAGUGCCACUGAAACUUUACUUUACCAAUGGUACAUGCAAGGCCUCUAACGAUCCUCCGAGAAGCGGCAACACACAUCAACAUCACCACUUACCUCGAACUAGCAAGAGCCCUUCAACAUGUUCAAGCUCGACGAAUGACAGCACAAGUUGAUGAUACGGACAACUCAGAUUCUGACAGUAGUUCAGACGACGACUCCGACGAUGAACUCGGAGAGAGCACCAAGUCAAAACUUUGGAAACUUAGGAAAACAAUCAACAAGCUCAAGGGAAAAGCCAAGGCCGACAUCAAAGAAUUUCGAUCUAGAAUUUGGUGUACUAAGUGCAAGAAUGAAGGACAUCCAGCAACUGACCGCAAGCUCCAAAUCUCCAAAUGCCAGAUCUGUGCCAAAGAAGGUCAUGAUGCCAAGACUUGCAGAUUUCAAAAUUCUGCAGAAGUUCGACAAAUCUCAAACUAUCCCUGACAGUAGUUUCGACAACCAUAUCCAAAUCAAUACUUUGACAAUUACCAGGCACCUGUAAGGAACCAACUCGCCGAGGUGUCGUAGGCUAAAGGAACCCCGAAAGCAUGACCAAAAUGACAAAGAGUUCAUUGGAUGGGACCAAGUUGAGAUCGAGUCCAAGACCGACUCUAGGACCGAGUUCGAGAUAGAGUCCGGAAUCGAGUCCGAGACCGACUCGGGGACCGAGUUUGAGUCCGAGUUCGAGACCGAGUUCGAGACGGAGUCCGAGAUCCGAAAUCGGGUCCGAGACCGAGUCCGAGGUCGAGUCCGAGGUCGGGUCCGAGAUCGGGUCCGAGAUCGAGUCCGAGAUCGAGUCCGAACCCGAAUCCGAAGUCGGAUCCGAAAUCAGGUCCGAGAUCGAGCCAGAGACUAAGUCCAAAUACUAAUACGGGUCAAGGGGUGAAAGCCCAAAGCGUGCGUCUCCCAGGGGGGGGGGGGGGGGGCUGCAGGGGGUUCCAAAAGUAUAGUAGGGAUAGUGAGGUCCAGGAACCAGUUUUGAAGGGACUCUCCAGUUAGGCUUCCAAACCGACUUGAGGUUGGGACUGGGACCGAAGGGCCUUGGGUGGGAGUGAGCAUGGACUUGGCUGGUGCCGGAGGGGCCAUCCAAGGAAGUGCUCAAGAGCAGCUCCCACUCCCGAAAGGGAAACCAAUUGCGGUGCUCCCGGCUCAUGUGGAGUGGUGCCCCACUUGAGUAUCAGGCGGCUCAUUGAUCCUCGCCCUUCCUAGGGGCUUGGGCCUUCCUUCGGGAUGGAAGUGGGGGGCGAGAGGUACCCAUACCGGGCCGCUAGGCCACGGUGUUUCGCCCCGGCGUCCCGAAGCAAGUGUUGCACUCAAGACUUGGGAUUUAGAGGGUCCCAUGAUCAAGUCUUGUGGUACUAAGGGAUGUUAGGAACCUGGAAGCUUGGUGUGCUUGGCUGCUUGUGCUUGCGGGGAGUGUAGCCGAACCUUAAGUCCAGUCUAACCCGAGGAGGGGGAUUGAGAGUGAUUUGGGAAUCCGUGGAAGGAUGGCUAACACUCCAUUGCUCGUGCAGUGAGUAGCUGAAACCAAGUAGGAGUUGGUACCAUAGGCGAAAACCUUGGCAAGGGAACUUAGCAAAAACCAAGGCAGUGUCGGAUGGAUAGACGAGGUAAGCUGGCAAAUUGGAAAGGAAAAAUUUGUGGCUUACAGCACCACCUCUGACAAACUGGAGACUGCCGAGAAACAACUUCCAACACCAGAUUCGACAAUGGAAUGAUCAACCUUGCUACAACAAUUACAACAAUUACAACAAUGACUACAACAACUACAACGAUCGACAAUACCUGCCGAACCGGAACUACCUGGCAAAUUGAGACAACUACAACCAAGGAUACCAACAAUACCCAAGAUACCAAAACCGAAGAUACCAAGGCCAAGGUUAUCAAGACCAGGGCUACCAAGGCAACUACAACAACCGACCAUGGCAACCUCGACUUCAAAACCAAGGCAGUCCGCCGAGACUUGGUCCGCCACCUCCUCGACAACAAGAUCAGAACCAGCACCGACCACCAACAACAAGGAUGGUCGAGACCAAUAAACUACCUUAUGCCAACAAUGAUGACUCAGAUCCUCAAGUCAUGGCAGUACAAACCUGAGCACAAAUUUGAGCAGAAAAACAACAACAACCGGACAGAGAUUCCGGAGAUAGUGAAGAGAAGGGCCCAGAGAGCCUGACAAAACUCCAGGAAUGGAAAAAGAAGCAGAAGUUAGCUGCCAAGAUACAACAGCAACUCACUCUACAACCACCUGAGUUAGUGAUUUUAGACUCCGACAAUGAAGCUCAACCAUCACCAGCUCGACAACAAUGCCAAGACUCAAUACCAGAAAACUGACAGAAAAAUUGUCCGACAUCGACACCGACACCACAACACAAUCUGGCAAACUUCAAGGAAAUCCAAGAAGUAGCAGAGACUAUCCUCAACCAAAAUAUUCAGAUCACCGUCGGCCAACUGCUGAAGAUUGCACCCUACCUCACCAAACAACUCACCGAUCUGACAUCUGCACCGACUAACACUCUGACAGACUCGCCCAAACUCAACCUGACAUGGACAGCUGUCGACACAUUUCAAACCGAGAUUCAACCAGGCGAUUGCGACAAUGAUGUUCUGACAAUCGACCUACUCGACAAACACCUUGUUUGCGGAGCCAUAAUUGACAGCAGCUCCAGCAUCAAUAUUAUUGAAGAAAGUCUUGUUCAACAACUCAACAUCGGCCCAAUCCACCCAGCACCUUUUAAUGUCUGAAUGGCCGACCAAGGCAUCAAACUUCUUCCAAAGAAGAAACACUUGUUCACUUGGAGUUACCGAGACCUUAAGGGAGUUUCACCAACACUUAACCUUCACACCAUCACCCUUCUUCCAGACUCAAACCGAGAAGACAAGCAGCCUACAGGAUGAAUCCGAAUCUGAUGGAACAAGUAAAGAAAGAACUCGACAAGCUUGUCCAAGUCGAGUACAUCUACCCGAUUCAGAAUCCAAUCUGGCUUUCCCCACUGGUGGUUGUGCCCAAGAAAAACGGCAAACUUCAAAUCUAUGUCAACUAUAAACAGCUCAAUGAUGCCACCGAAAAAUAUGUCUUCCCAAUACCAUUUACUGACGAAGUUCUUGAUGCAGUUGCCGGAUACGAGAUGUACUUCUUCCUCGACGGUUUCUCCGGCUACAACCAAAUUCAUAUUGCUAAAGAAGGUCAGCACAAGACAGCAUUCGUCAGUCCAUGGGGAGCUUAUGCUUACCGACAAAUGCCUUUCAGACUCUGCAAUGCCCCAUUCACCUUCCAAAGACUUGUCACCAACACUUUUCGAGACUACCUCACUGAUUUCAUGAGAGUCUUCAUGGACGACUUUAGCGUUUUCAGCUCAGAAGAUCGACAUCUUGAAUGCCUUGAGAAAUGCCUCGACAAGUGCGAGGAGAACAACAUAGCACUCAACCCCAACAAAUGCGCUUUCUUCAUCAAAUUUGGAGUACUUCUCAGCCACGUUGUCUGCAAAGAUGGCAUUCUUAUCGAUAAGGACAAAGUUGACGUCAUCUCCAAACUCGAACCGCUGAAGAAUUAGAAAGAACUCCGACGCUUCCUCGGCAAAGUUGGAUAUCACUGACGCUUCAUCCACAAGUACGCUCACAUCGCCAAACCACUCACCGAUGGACUAAAGCAAGAUGCCCAAUGGACAUGGAUGUCCAAGCAGCAACAAGCGAUGGAGAUUGACUAUGUUCACACCAAGGACAGUGUCUAGUUCUAUCAGGGGAGCAGAGUGUAUCAACCAAAAACCCAGGCUCAGGGAACUCCAACCUUGAACCCAGGCUUGCAUCGGAGAUCAUGCACAGCAUAUAGUAUAUGCUGGCAGUUAGAACUGCUAGCCUUUCAAAAGAGGGAAUCCAAAUUGUGAAUCUCUAUCUUCAUUCAUUAUUUUUUUUAUUAAUACAUAGCAUUCUUUCACUCGUCCUUCUUCUUAGCCUUUAGAGAUCGGGCCCUUUUCUCUUUUGUUUUCUUACUAACAAUAGAUUUCCAGUGAAGAGGAGUAUCCACACCUCUUCACUUUCUCUUGGAAAAAUAUUUGAUCUAAGCAAGAAUCCUAGUAAGAAGCGCUUUCUUUUGGUGAUCCUCUCUGGCUCAUAAUUUUUUUCCCGCUUUCUCCAGGGCUUAUGGAUAGAUCAAGCUACUCCGGCUGUUUGCCACAGCUUUUCUUCGAGAUCUUUGGCUGUGACUUGGGGAAGCACCGCAGAAUACUGGGAAUGGUCCUCAAAGCAUGGUGCCAGAUACUUAAGUGGCGCACCUCAAGAUGGUUUGCUGGCUAGAGCUCUCUGGGAACAGGAAGUUGAGCCUAGCUCCAGGAACUAAGCUAUCUGCCGCCAAUUCUCUGCUGCUGCCAAACCUCUAGACUCCCGGAGUUUUCAUCCCCCAGGUCGGACACAUCGCUGCGAGCGCCGCAAUUGUUCGGGAAGAAACUGUUGUCGUCGUCGUCGUCCAAUCUGUCCCAAGAGGAGGAAGGAUCGAGAGGAGCUGCCCAGGCGUCGUCGAUUCCCAGGAAUGGAGCUUCCAGCGGCCUGAGGUCCUCGAGAUACUUGGUUCACCCUUUGCUGCUUCUCACUCUCCAGCCCUUCAUUCCCGCUUGUUACCAGAUCGUCACCCCAGAAGAAUCCAUCGCCAGCGCUGUGGUGCUUGUAGCGCCUCCGCCGGCUCUUGUGAUGCCCCAGCCGGCACCUCGAUCAGGCCAGCCCCGCGAUCCCCAGCAUGAAGAGCAUGAACGUCACCAGCAGCGGCGAGAAGAGCACCAGGAUGGGGACACAUACCAGGCUGAGGCCGAGGAGUAGCAACACUGCCUCUUGGAGACUCAAGCUCGAUUCCAAUGCCUUUGGGUGGGAUAAGAAACUAGUGAGAUUCAGCUUGGCAACUCUAGACAGAAGGGUGAUGAACUCUUUGUGCUACCUGGUGGACUCCUUCUACACAUAGCAUGAAUGACUCCAUUCCACACAUAGCAUGGGUCAUUGCUAUGGGCAUGAAGCCCCAUCCGUGGCAUAAGGAUGGAUAUUCAUGAAAUAUUCUAUGCCUGUGUUUUUUUCACACUCACAUUACAUGUGGACCAAUAGCAGCCAGACACGUAUUGUGAAUGAAAAAUGCCACAGUUGUUUCCAGCCUUUUAGGAAUUGCAUGCCAUAGUAUGUUAUAAGUGAGAGUGGUUUUUGGUUUGCUUAAGCAAACUGAAUGGCAGUGAAUAUACUUAAAAUAUGCUUAAAUAUUUUAGAAUAUUUUAUUAUCUAAUGGUUGAUAUGCAAUAAGAUUAAUCUUGUGUUUAUAAAUUACAAACAUGUUUAUAAUUAUAAACUUUAUUUGAUCAAUUGGAUUAAUAAAUAACAAUAAAACUUGCUAUAUACAAAGUGUUGCAAUAUAUUUAAUUGCUCACCCAAAAUAAAACUUUAACUUUUUCUUAACCUAAUUUCUCCCCCUGUACGUAUGCUUGGCGUAUUUUAAUCCAUCAUAUACAUACGAAAAUGGAUUGGAGCUCUAAAGUUUUGCGGCAUUUAAACAAGACAUUUUGUGUCUUCGCUACUGGAACCAUAAAUAUUGGUCAACGCUAACAGACACCACUAGUGUGUUGGAACUGAACACACAAAGCUGAAGCUGGAACAUGUGUCCACGGUGACGACCAAGGUACCAUUAUAUGGGAUCUCUUCCGCCGGACGGAUCUCGAGGGCGUGAAGCCAGACGACGUUCGUGACCUUCCUCGCGAUCCUGGGCGCGUGCUCCUCCACCAGAGAUCUCGCCACUGGGAGCGAUCUCCACGCCUGGAUCGUGGCGAGUGGAAUCGCAAUCACGUCAUUGGCAGCGCACUUGUCCACUUCUACUGCAAAUGCGAGCGAGAUCCCCGACCCCAAUGUUCUCACAUGGACGUUGAUCAUCGCGGCGCACGCCGAGAUGGGAUUGCAUCGCAAGGGGAUGGAUCUCUUCCGGAGGAUGCAGCUCUCCGGCGUUAGCGUGGACAGGCUCGUGAUCGCCAGCGUGCUCGAGUCCCUGGCCGCGCUAGGGCUCUCGGAUCCAUCCAUCCGGAGCGCCGCGACACCGAUUCACGAGUGGAUCUUCCUCUCCGGGCUGGAGUGCAAUCCCUACCUGCGAACUGGAUUGAUCGCCAUGUAUGGGAAGUGGGGGCUCCUCCACGAAUCCAUGGCGAUCUUCUUCCGUGAGAGCUCGCUGGAUUCCAAUGUGGUGGCCUGGACAGCGAUGAUUUCUUCGUGCUGGGAGCACAGCCGCGUCGAUUUGGCCGUGGCGCUCUUCCACCGGAUGAAUCUCGAGGGCUUGCGGCAGGACUGCGUCUAGAUGAUGACGAUCAUGGACGCACUCGCCAGUGAUUCCUCGUAUUGCCCGUGCAACCUCGCGGGGACCGGCGAGGCAAUCGCGUCUUGCGGCCUGGAAUCCAGCACCGCGAUUGGGAACUCGCUCAUCAAUCUCCGGCCGGAUACUGGAGAUCUUCCACGGGAUGAUCCAUAGGGACGUGAGCUCCUGGGGCAGCAUCAUUACAGCGCUUGCCAGAGCGGCAAUGCCGCUGGCGUUCUAGUGAUGCUCUGCGAGAUGGAUAUCGAGGGCANNNNNNNNNNNNNNNNNNNNNNNNNNNNNNNNNNNNNNNNNNNNNNNNNNNNNNNNNNNNNNNNNNNNNNNNNNNNNNNNNNNNNNNNNNNNNNNNNNNNAGGUAGCAAAGUUUGUUGCGCAUACAUCUGUCGAGAAAUGUGCGUUCUUGCUCUACAGUACAUUCACUUGACGACCCGGAGGAUGUGUGAUAUAUGUCUCACAUGAAGGACAUCAGAGGUAGCUCUCUAUGUAUUCUACGCAGGGACGGAGGUCUAGGCUAUCGAUGCCGACAUCAGGGUGUUCGUAUGUCCCAUCAAUGCUGGCAUAUCCAUCUCACGGAGCAUCACUAGAACGCCAGCGGCAUUGCCGCUAUGCUGCCCCAGGAGCUCACAUCCCUAUGGAUCAUCCCGUGGAAGAUCUCCAGUGCAUGCUCGAUCCGGCCGCUCUUGGCGUGGAGCGAGUUCCCAAUCGCGGUGCUGGAUUCCAGGCCGCAAGACGUGAUCACCUCGCCAGUCCCUGCGAGGUUGCACGGGCAAUACGAGGGAUCACUGGCGAGCGCGUCCAUGAUCGUCAUCAUCGAGAAACCCUAAACCCUAAACCUGGAACUCGAUCGUCAUCUCCUUCGCGCAGCACGGGCGAUUGGAUCCGCGCGAGGGAGCUCUUCCAGGCGAUGCAUCUCGAGGGAAUGGAGCCGCGUGACGAUCGUGAGCAUCCUCUCGGCGUGCCACCACGCCGGGAUCUUGGAGGAGGCGCGGUGCUACUUCGUGUGCAUGGCGGACGACCACGGCAUCGAUCCAGCGCUGCUCCACUAUGGAUCCAUGAUCGAUCUCUUCGGCCGCGCAGGGUGGCUGGAUCACGCCGCUGGUGCGCGAGAUGCCCAUCCAGCCUGCGAUCACGAGAGUCAUGGCACUCCUGGGAUCUUGCCAGAUCCACAGGAUGCGCGGCGGAUGUCCGGGGCGGCAGAGCAAGCGAUCGAUCUAGACCCGAGAGCGCCGCUGGGGGAUUAGCGUUGCUAUCCAAUACAUAGAAUAGUGGAAUACGAAGAACCCUAAAAACAUAUUCCUUUUUUAUACCUUUUUACAGAAUUGAAGAAUCUAGUUUGGAGAUAAAAGGCAUAUUUAGUUCACGGGAUAAAGGCAUAUUCUUUUCAUUAAGAAUCUUUUCGAAUCUUUUCUAUUAUACCUUUUUAGAAGUAGAAAAGAAUCUUGUUUGGGUUUGAUUGAUCUUGCUGCUGGAGCACGUCUUCGAGCAGAUCUUCGCUAAACUCGAGAGCUGCGCAUCGAAACAUCUGGCUGUCCACCAGCUUACCUUCGCUGGCCACUCCCCACGCUGCGUGCUCGAACACUUCCACCUCGAUCGUCGCCACGAAUGACUCUCGGCACGCGGGCUGCCACUCGAGCUUUCCAAUCGGAGCAAGGAUUUGCUCCGAGAACGACACCGGCGAAGCAUAGCACAGAAUCUAAUCGCCAAGGAGGAGAGAACCGAAAGCCAUACCAUGAUAGUGUGUGAAGGACCAACUCCGAUUAACGCGAACUUCGCUUCCAGGAGAGAGAGCUGCACGUCCUUGAAAAUGGUCUCAAGGUCGUUGGUGCGCAGAUCCAAUUUGCAGUUGGCCGAUUGGUAUCCGAGUGAGAAGACGUAAGGGGUCUCUUGAACCGAGCUCCCGAGCAGACAAUCUGGGAAGAAUUAUCCCGCGACAUCCCCUGGAGCCACACAUGACCGGCAGGGAAAGUUUCUCCCCAGUUCUUCUCCUGGUGCGCAAACCCCGUCACCGUGAACCACCAUGUUCUUGUCGCUGCUGAAAAAUGUGUACUUUGCUCGGGAGCCCAGACUGUGCACGUACCAAUGGCAUGGGAACAGUGGAACUUUCCCCCCAGCCUUCGGGGCCCUUUUUACUGUUGCCAGAAUCCCAUGGAACCUGGAAAAAACACCGGGAUAUGAGAUUUUGUUUUGGUUCUGGAAUGAAGAACAUUACCGUGUCACUCGUCUCAACUCUGAGGUCGUAACCAUUUAGCCAGACCUCCACCUCGGACUCAUUCGGCUUCAUCACGAUUUUUCCAAUGCCUGCAGCCUCCCACUGAAAUCGCUUGGGCUCGUCGCCAUUGUCAGCUCCAGACAAAUCUCCUGUCGUGCUAAACUUCGCGUCCUGCAAGAAGAAAACAGCGGGGAAACUAAGAAACUUCCAAUGAAGAAAUGCAGGUCAACAAAACAAAAAAACACCAGGAAGGAUUGCAAAACAAUGUAAAAAGAAGGGAAAACAAUAGACCAUAGUCAAUGAAAAAAAGGAAAAGAACAGUGGGUGGACGACAUGGAGACUAGAAAGCUAGUAAACUAUGAUCGAUAAAAAAAAGGAAAAGAAUAAAAAGCUAGCGAACUAUGAUCAAUGAAAAAAAGGAAAAGAACAGUGGAGUGGACGACAUGGAGACUAAAAAGCUAGUAAACUAUGAUAAAACUCACACCCGAAAUACUCGUAAACUUAAAACAAAACGAAUGCUAGCAAUCUAGGAGUGCGUGAGCUAGAACAAGAAAAAAAACCAUACCUUGGAAGCGAUAAACUCACCUUUGUUUUCACGGCCACAGCGUGUGAGCUAUGCGAUGAAUCACUGAAGAGCAAAGUAACCUGGCUCUCCUGUGUCGCGUAAUUCGUCGCCAUGAUCACACCAGGGCUGAAUUGCCUCGGCUCAUCCAUAAGCCGCGUGUACCAUCCCUCGAAGGAAGGAUAGGGGCGAAUCCUCUCCGGAAGAAGCCGGCUAAAGCUGGGUUUGUGAGGAUCCCACGAGAACUCCGCUGGCAACUAUGGCAUCGAGAGUUUCCUGGCGACGAUGGCAGACUACGCACGGGACAAGGAAGCGGCAAAGAGGGUGAUGGAGAUGGAGUGGGAGGUGAGGUUUGGGAAGCAGGAGGACACUUGCGUUGCCAAGGCCAUCUGCGAGAGAGGUAUGGAACUCGCUGCUCAAGUCCUGGGCCUCUGAGUGAGCUUCUGGAGUGUUUUCGUAUUUCUUCUUCUUUUUCUACUACUACUUACUAUUUCUCUUUCGUCUCUUCUGCUGUUACUAGUUCUUGUGCUUUGCCAGAAUCCUUCUUUUUACUUUGUAGAAAUAGUAGUAUCAGAGGUCGAGCAGACCUCUCUGAGUGUCGAAAAACUAAAGUGGUUAUAAAAUAGAAGACUCGUCGUCUGACGGAUUCGAACUCUCGCGGGGAAACCCCACCUUAACCACUUGGUCCAUGAAACCGAAAGUAAUCCAAGUUCUGUGCAUGAAAAAGUGUAUAACUUUUUUUCGAAUUUUUCUUGGUCGCGACCCGAAAACUGUGUGAGAAGUCAAGGAGAAAAGGACGAGACCUUCGUUUCUGCAAGAAAACAACCAAGUCGAUUAGGAACAGAAAAAGAAAACAAGGCCUUGCCAUAUGCUUGAUGUCGGUGAGGAACUCCUGGCGAACCCUCUAACGUUCGAAUGUCUAGCGUUAUUCUAGAAAUUUCUAGACUAACUUGUUCGAUGCACAGAGAAAAGGAGCAGCACGAAGCAUUGGGCCAGGGACAGGUUAGCACUGCAAGGAGCUUUGAUAUCUUCCAGUGUUUGAGGAGACAUACAAGGUAACAGAACUCUCUCUCUCUCUCUCUCUUUUCUCUUCGUUUCUUUGCUUUUUAUUUUGUGUGAAAAGAGUAAGCAUUCUAGUUAACUAGGGUUUCUUUUCUCGGCAUGGCGUUUUUGCGAGCGCAGCGCGUUUUGUACAUCCAUCCCACAAGCGAAGCGGAGCUAGACGAAGGAGUGCUGCGACACAAAGGGAGGAGAGGUAGGCCAGUUCCCAGCACUCUGCCCGAUGUGGCCGGCCUUCGGGGAUGGCUGCAAGAAGAACUGCCUUUUGUGGAUUCGGUCCUCGUUCCCGGCGAUGGAUGGUACAAUCCAGAGUACUUACCAGACGGCCCACUUCCUGUGAGCUUUGCGCUUCAUGUGCGUGGAUCCGAAGGUAAAGUAAAUGGUUUCUUGCUCUUGGUCUCCGCUCAUUCUUGGUUUAUGUGAUCAGGCAAGCGACGCAGGGACGAAAACACCGCUGUGACAGUCGCAAGGAGUCAGACGAAGAGGGUGAAGGAUUACCAAGUGUACGAGCCCAUGCUCGUGAAGCCGGAUAUCCUACUGGGCGGCCGGUCGAGUACCAUGCUCGUGGCUCUAAAGUGGCUAGCUUUGCUCGAGCGCGAGGCUGCCAAGGUAGACCUUACAAGCCUGAGAGAGCUAAGGCUCGCCAAGGUGAAGCCAAAGGAGAGCGCUUAUUAUCCCGGCAUCUUGGCCUUCUUACGAGCCGCUUCGAUUGGUCAGAAAGGCUUGAAUUUCGGUGGGCAGGGCUAUGGAAACCUGAAGAGGGCGGACCUGCAGGGCUUUAUAUGCGGCAAGCCAAGAGCUCUGUCGGAAGUGAAAACAAAGGUUUUCUACGCAACCGAUAAGGAUGAGACGGGUAUGGUGGCUAAUGCUACGCUGAUAAAGCAGGAAGCAGACUAUCUGAAAACGGGAAUCGAGGGAACUGAUGAGACGACUCGUCUAGGGUGCCUGUUUUGCCGCAUGGACAGGUUCUGGAUUGUCAAGUACCUGCGAGAGACGGAUAAGGUUCAGGUGACGCCGGGAUUUCCUUUCGGUCAGAAACCGGAUGAAUCGCCUCUGCAGCUGGCCGGCUUCAGUCCGGAUUUUGUGCUGAUGAAGCUUUCGUGGCUAAAUGAGAUCAGCUUGGAGAGCAUCAGCCUGAAGGACGUUCUACCUCCUAAACCGAUGCCUGGAUUUUGUACGUUGGUCUCCUAUACGGAGGAACUGCAGCGAAUGUACGAUCUACCGGUGCUGAAUGUUCGUUUCGUGGGACCAAGCACUGAUAUCCCGCUCUCAGAUCUGACGCCAGUGGCUUAUGGCAAGAAGUCUCUUGUGGUGCUCCGACGAUCGGCGUCCAACGUCCUCAAGAUCUGCUCGCCAUCGAGUGCUGAGAUGGAGCGACGCAUCCAUGGAGCAUCUGACGGCCACUCCAACGUGCGGAGGCUUGUGAACUGGGGAAUGGUGAGCAUCGGGGAGACCAAUGACGUGUUUGGCUUUCUGGAGCUUGAGGGCUAUGGCCAGCCUUUUGGUCGGGAGCACAUUGCCGACAUGGAAGCGAUGGAUGAUAUGUGGAAUCAGGCGUACUGCGGGCUCAAGCAUCUCCAUUCCAAGGGUGUUCUUCACCGGGACGUGAAGCCAGACAACCUGGUCGUGUUUCCGGGUAACGUGCUCAAGAUAAACGACUACGAUGUGUCAUGCUUCAAAGGCGAGAGCCGUGCUUACAGCGAGAUGGUGGGAACUGUCGGGUACCAGUCUCCUUCCGAUAUGUUGCCGUAUGUGGAGGAGGACGACGUGUUGUCUCUGGCGCUCUCUUUCUAUGCCCUCAAGUUUGGAACGACAACGACUUCUAAAGCGGGCCGGCUCCAUAUCUUACUCCGAGAGCUGCAACCGGAUGUUUUCCCUGAAACAAUGAUCCAGGCUGUCAAAGAAGCGGUGACGCAACUCGACUUGGAGCUACUUGAAGAAGAUUAGUACCUAUGUGUUUCCAUAAAACCUGAGCUAAUAAAUAUUAUAAUAAAGUUAACUUUAGUUUUCAACUAAAUUUAACUUUCAUCUUGAAUCAAGAUCAUGCCCACAACUCAAUUUUUUCUAAAUUCUCUAAUCUCAUCUUUGAUAAACACAAAUUUCAUCUUGAUUGAACGGUUUGUAAAUUGAGAGCUACUACGUUCCUGAAGUUGCCAUCUAACCGUUGGAUAGCACAUCAUGUUUUAAACAGUAUUACUCUGUGAGGUCCCACUAAUCACACAAGAUGUGGAUCUCAAUAUAAGUUGGACUUUUUUAUUUUGUUUGUGGCCCAAGUACACAUGGACUCCACAGACCCUUGAUGAUGCUAUUGUGAUCCCCCUGGAGGAGAUGCAUUUUGCAGUACAAGUUCCAUUCUUCCUUCCCUCACCUUGCACUUGGCAAGUCUACCACACUGAUGGAGUUUGACCCUCCAGCCAGUUUUGAAAUAGAAGAACAUAGCAACUGAGAUGGGUGUGGUGGUCGUGCUCAUGGACGCAUUGUAGGCAUGGUGGCAGACCACAGUGUUUUGGGUGCCUGAGGACAUUACCACAAAUUGUGGGAAUCACCAUCAAGCUACAAUUGCACAUGUAGGUGAAAAUGUAGAAUUGUUCCUUGUAGAUAGUCAGUGUCAAGGGGCUAAAGUGUGUUUGUGACUGAGACCAAGACAAGAUUCAUAUGUUUUUGUUUUUUAGACUAAGUGUAAUUAAUUAGUAAAAUAUUAGCAAUAAUCUAAUAAUAUAGGACAAGGGAAGAAUGUGAGCAAGUGAGUGGUAUGAUGGAGAGUAACAUUGGUGUCAUUAACGAUGACAAUACUGAGGAGGAUAAACCUCUAGAUGGCUACAACAAUUAACAUUGGAGCAAGGAGGCUCUAAUUCACAGCAGUGGUUCUCCAUAUUUACUCCUCUUGGUGUCUUGGAGUUUUGCAACAUAGUCUAAAGUUUCAAAGGGUUUCUCUUUUGACAUUCAUAGAUUAUAAGAAUACUUUUUCUCUAUCCUUCACUCUCUUCAGUAUAUGGUAUGGAGUUCAUUUAUUUUCUCUAGUUUUGGUGGAUUCUAGCUCAGCAAUUUCCUCCAUUUACUGCUCUAUUGUUUGAAGUUUAGCAAUAUCUCCACAAUGUCAUAUGUGAGGUUGUUAGAACCAAUUCAAGUUUCUCGUCUAUUUGAAUUAGUCACAUACAACUUCAUAGGGCCAUUUCCACAAUCCACAAUUAAUAUAUGGUUGAGCUGUGUGCACUAAAUAUAACAACAAAUUCAGUUGCACAAUUACUUAUGCAAACAGUAAUGUUGUGAUAUAUGGUUGUCCUUAGAGCCCAGCUUAUGAAGUUUUAAAAGUGUUGACAUAACAUUAAGCUUGCAUCAGCUUAUCAUCUAGAGACAGAUGAAUUGGUAAAAUGACUCAAUUGGAUGUUCAAAAAACUGCUUGUGAAGUAUAUGAAUCUGCAAUCAAAUUGGGAUUAAUGGUAGUCAUUUCUAUAAUUUGCCUAUGUGACCAUAUCAUCAUUGAUAAAAUAACAAUUAAAGACUCUUGUCAGGGGAGAAAAAAGUAUCAUUUCCCAUUUAAGAGAACCUUAAGUAGAUGAUAUUUUGGAACUAUACUUAUAUAUACUUUUUAAUAAGAUAUACUUUUACCCUUAAAAUUGAAUUUAUAAACCAAUUCAGUGUGGAAAUAGAAGGAGUAAACUGUGAACUCAGGCAUAUCCUGGCCCCUAAAUAAAGGGGUUAAGGAAAUAAUCUCCUCAGGUUCACAUUCAGUAAAAGCGGGGGAAGAGUCGGGUGCAGAUGAGUUGGUGUUUCUCUUUGUUUUUUCCCUCAUUGCAUGCAAGAUGUCCGAUUGUUGGCCAAAAGAUGGUAGAUCCUUGGUGUACACCCCAUCCUCAGUAACUGUGGGAUUGACAAAGAUUGGAGCCUGUUCUAUUGUCUCAGCAGGCUAGAUGCCUCCUGUUUUGUGAUCGUCCACGUCCUGACCCACAUGCAGUGUGGCCACAGGCUGGAUUAUGAUUGUGGUAAGUGCAGUGGGGGUCCCUUGAGUCUCCUCAAACAAUGCACCAGUUGACAAAACAGUAAAAGAAGUUGCUACCAUGUUAGUUUCAUCAUUGCACUGUUCCAGUGAAGGUGGCAAGGCAGAUGCACCUAGGAGGUUUUGAACUUGUGACUGGAUGGUGGAGAAGUUCAGUGUAGUUGUGGUCCAGUCCGCAUGAAAGAAAUCCACUAUAUUGCACUUGACCACUCUGAUUUCUGGUAACAACUCAUCUUCGAUAAGCUCAGGGAAGAGAAUCUUCAAGGCUUGAUCAAGCUCAGAGUUGCAGGUGACAGCCACUUGAGACAAAAGUGGAAGUAGUGACCUGCCAUGAGCAUUGAGUAAAGUCGCCUUGUGAAUACCAUCAGUGAUCAUUGACUCGCCUUUGGACCAUGUUGUCAUGCAAGUGGCCGUGAGGUGCCAUGGCCAUCCUAGGAUGAUAGAGUCCUUCAAAUUCCUGGAUCCUAGUUGUUGAAAGUUCACAACAAGGAAAUCUAGCAUGGAAACCACUCCUUGCACUGAGAUCUUGACAUUCUAGCAGAUGCCUGCAAGAACCAUUGAGUGAUUAGCAAAUAUUUUGAGGAUGGUAGCUUUUUUUCCAGAAACUUCCAAGCCACUAGAGUGUGCCAAAUUAAGGGAGAUGAUGUUGCUUUGGGAGCUAGAAUCAAGUAAUGCUUGUGCUAUCAAGGAUUCAUUACCUAUUUGGACACCAAGAAUGCUCUGGGGUUAUGAAUGGUUUGGGUAUGUAUGUCAUGCUAAGGUUCCACAAGGAGGCUUGUGGACUUGGCAAAAGCCUCCAACUGAGAAGUAAAACUGGAUGUGGGUAGUGUGGUAGAUACCAAAGCAUGAGGUAACUUGCACAUCAUAAGAGACGGUGAAGUUCCAAAAAUUGGCAUUGGAUCUUGCACACCAUCAAUAUUUGGGGCUGGAGGGGAACCUUUCUUGCACCCUCUAGUCACAACAACCACUUGAUAGCCAUCCUCGGAGAUGUAAACCAUAUUGACAUGCAUAGGUGUCUUCCUACAGCUUAAUGAAGGGGUGUCUUUGAUCAUUUUCUACUCCAAUUGUUGUUGAUAUCUGUAUGAUGGCCAUGGAAGAGAGGUGUUGUCUACUAGAGGCUAUUGCUGAAUAUGCUGGAUAAAAGGUGGCCAAAGUUUUGGAUGAAGCUUCUAACAUCUCUUCAUACUAUGUGUUGAAACAUCGCAAUGCAAGCAAUACUAAGAAUGAGGAGGAUAUCUUGGUCUCUUUGCCUACUAUAAGUGGUAUGCUCUAAGCUCCUCAAGCAGCUUUUCUUGCAUUUAUUGCUACUGCUAGAUGAUCUCCUUAUAUCCUGUGAGCUCUGACAACAGCUUCUCGGUUGCCAAAGAACUCUAUCAUCACUGUGCAAGGCUAGAGAAGAACGGACCAUGGCACCACAUGACCCCUCAUUUGAGGAUGGAGGAAAGCAUCCUCUACCAUGGAAAUCGCAAGCUCUUGGAAAAAAUCCUGCUCCAGAAUCUUUGUUGCAACAAAUGCCUCACGGCACGUCUGAAACUCUCACUUAAGCGUCUUGCAUUGAAAAUUUUCCUUGAGGUCAUAGAUGAAUGCAGUGAUGCCAUGUGCCACUGAUAUUAGCAUUAGAUAGGCAUGUAUAACCAGAUAGAAAUGGAAAGGCUAUACAAUAUAAGUCUUCCAUUUUGAAGGAAAAGAUCAAGUUGGCAAAGAUGUUGAAGUGCACAAUUAUAAGGAUAAAUUACAUUAGUGCUGUGGCUAUGGAAUUUGUUGUUGUGACUAAGUUGUCAAAGGUGCUACCUACAUUGUUCGAAUUUGUGAAAAUCCAUUUUAUAUUUGUCUAGAUUUUAAGAACAAAGGAAAGGUAUAUUUAGCUUACAAACAUAUCUAUUAUAGUUUUAUGCAAGAACUAAACUAUAGCGCAUGUGAUCAUGGGAUGAGAUUUAGAUAUACUGUCACUGCGGAUUCUUGAAUCUUGGGAGAUAAAUGGGGAUAAAAUAGACACUAAAGGCUCUUUCAUAAAGCAAUUACCCCUUUUCCAAUUGGCUUAAGAGGAGAGAAAUAAAAUGUGUUACAUAUGGUAUCAGAAUAAGUGGCAUAGGUUGGAUUCCCAUUGAUUGGCUACUUAAAAUAUAAUAUACUUUUGAGCAAGGUAUAUUUCUACCCCUAAAAUUGAAGUCAUAUAUAUUAGGUAUCUAUGAGUAUGUCUUUCAUGUUGUAAGACAUCAAAAGAUGAAGGUAUUCACCAUGGGAUUGCGGUAUAAGUGGAUGACUAACUGUUUUAUAUAGAAUAAUUAGUUUACACAAUGAAAGGAUUGUAUAUUCAAUAUGGAAAUGGAGGUGUUAGUUCCCUUUGGCUCAGUAGGGGUUGUUAAUCAAUAAUCAAUGAGGACAUUGACAUUUCUAAAGGGGGGUGCAUGUGAUUAUGGAAUGAGAUUUAAAUAUACUGUCACUAUGAAUCCUUAGAACUUUGGGGGAUAAAUAGGGAUAAAAUAGCCACUAAAGGCUUUCUCAUUAAACAAUUGCCCCUUUUCCCAGUUGGUUUAAGAGGAGAGAGAUAGGGUGCACUAUAUGAAUAUAGCACAUAUAGUUUUUACCUUUUAUCUUAUAGUGAUUUAUAAUAGAAUAACCAUGAAAUAGAACUUAAACCCUCUUUGUGCCACAUGCCAUGUAUUCAAGGACAAUAAGAAUGAAGGAAUGAAGCCAAACUCCUAAGUAUGGAGCCAAGGAAUAAAGUGUAAGUAACUAAAUUUUCCAUUUUACUUUAGUCACUUAAUCACAUCUAUAACCACUUGCCUCCAUAAGUCUUAUUUUGGACUUGGGGACUUGUUAGCUUCGUGAAUAAUAUUUAUGCCACUUAGCCUUUGCACUUGAUGCUCCACAUGUUCGAUCCCAUGACUGACAUCCAAAGGCACCACCGACAUAUCAACCCAUUACACUAAGACCAUACCCAUUCACUUUUGUCACACCAGUGAUCCAAAGACUGGGCCAUCCGUUCAUGAGUGAUCAUCCUAGAUUCACUCCUUAGCAUCCUUAGGAUGCAUGCGGACAUGGGGAAUAGCCUUCCUUAAUAUCCCUUUUAUAAUCCCCACCAAGUCCUGUUCUGUCCAUGGUUGUGUUUGCCAACAGUGCCACUGGGUCAAAGUCCAUAAGCCCAACCACUAAGUCCCAUUGUCCUCUGGGACUUCCCUACCAUGUGACUAUAUCCUUGGUCACUACACCAAAGGACUGCUCCUCUUCCUUUCCAGAGUCUAGGACUUUAGGAUAACAUUUCAAAACACCAUGGCCCUAUGUGAGGUUCAUGGGUACUCUCCCUACCUUCUGCCUUUGGGUGCUCUAGCCAUGUAGCUAGAGCGAGGUUCUGUUGAGCCAUGCCAGGUAUUCAAGUAGAUAGUGCCACUCACGCUUGGACUAGGAGCAUUGACUAUUCGAUCUUCCGGGGGAAUUAGAGUUAAAUUUUGAACACUUCACUAAGCUACCCCACUUGUUAAUCUGUAUUCACUCUAGCCUUGAACUCCUCAAUGGAUAUAUCAUCACCAAAAACAUGGGCAUAGCCUUCUUAGGUCACACUAGCCUUUCUUGGCCAAAAUAGCUCUAUUGGAUUCUCCCUAUUAUACUUUUGGAACCCCUUGCAAUCCCCCCCUUGGGGCAUGAUCACUUUGGGCUUUCACCCAAUAGCCUGUAUUAGUAUUUGGGCUUGGACUUGGACUUGGACUUGAACUCAAACUCGGAUUCGGACUUGAUCUCGGUCUCGAACUUGGUCUCAGCCUUGGUCGCGGUCUCAGUCUCAAUUCCAUCUCAAGUCCAUCUCGAACUUCAUCUCAAGUCCAUCUCAAACUCAUCUCAAGUCCAUCUCGGACUCCAUCUCAGACUCCAUCUCAAGUCCAUUUCAGACUCCUUUUCAAACUUCAUCUUGGGUCCAUCUGGGACUCUAUCUGGGACUCCAUCUCGCGUCCAUCUCAGACUCCAUCUUAGGUCCAUCUUAGACUCCAUCUUAGGUCCAUCUUGGACUCCAUCUCAGACUCCAUUUCGGUGUAAGGAACCAACUCCCUGAGGUGUUGAAGGCUAAAGGAUCCCUGAAAGCAUGACCAAAAUGAUAAAGAGUUUAUUGGAUGAGACCGAGUCCAAGAUCGAGUUCGAGACCGACUCAAAGACCGAGUUCAAGACCGAGUCCGAGAUUGAGUUCGAGACCAACUCCAAGACCGAGUUCGAGACCGACGGAGUUCGAGACCGAGUCCAAGAUCCAAGAUCAGGUCUGAGAUUGAGUCCGGGAUCGAGUUUGAGACCAAGUCUGAGGUCAAGUCCGAAGUCGAGUCCGAGACCGAGUUCAAAUACUAAUAUAGGUCAUGGGGUGAAAGCCUAAAGCGUGUGUCUCCUGGGGUCCUGGGGGGGGGGGGGGGGGGGGGGCUGUAGGGGGUUCCAAAAGUAUAGUAGGGAUAGUGAGGUCUAGGAAUCAGUUUUGAAAGAACUCUUCAGUGGUGUUUCCAAAUAGGAGUCUAGUGGUGAGGUUCGGUCGUCCAAGGUUCGAUUAAACAUUUUAGAAGGAAAAUUAGCUCAAACCAAUGCCCUGUUGGAGACUCUCAUACGCAAGCUAAAGCGUGACAAAAAGUGGAAGAAAAAGUGAAAAACUGUAGAUGCUGGCAAUACAGAAGGCGUGGACCCUUCAGCGGGGACUGAGGCAGAACCGAACAAUGUUGAACAAACCGAAGUGGAAUCAGUCCCUCAAGCAGUUCCCAAGUACAAACCAAAGCCCCCACCGGUCUUCAAGGGAGUGAAUGACUAUAAGGUGGUAGAAGAUUGGUUUUACGAUAUGAAGGAUUAUUUCUGAGCGUUGCGGUUAUCGAGCUCGGAGAAGGUCCCAUGUGCAAAACCAUACUUGGUAGAUAAUGCCAAACCUUGGUGGAGAACAACAGAGGCUAACUAAGGACCGGUGGCCACUUGGGAAAUGAUGAAGAUGAGGAUCCACACGACAUACGUUCCUUCGAAUGCUACUUUGCACCUAAGGGAUAAGCUGAGUAAGCUGAAGCAGACCGAAACCAUUCAAGAGUAUAUGAAUGGAUUUAUGGCAAAGAUGAUAUUUAUCAUGGAUACUGGUGAUAUGGAUGCAUUCCAUACUUUUAUAUCAGGUUUGCAAACCUGGGCUUGAGGUGAGGUGAUGUGUUGGAACUUGACCAACUACAAAGAAGCGUUGGAUGCAGCUAUCAAGGUGCAUUUCAAUGAUAACCUGCGAAAAGGGAACACGAUGGGGUUGGGGUCCAUGUUUAGCAAAAGGGCCAAACCAAGGGGGAUAUAUGCCAAAGGGAAAUUCAAGAAGAGUUUCUUUAAGAAUGAGUCCUCGGGGUUCCGGAAAGGCAGAUCCAAUGGCCAACGAGCAAGUAUAUGGGGGAGUCAAGCAAAAAGGGACAAACCCAUGGAUAAAAAGGUCAAGUUUACUAGUAGUAUAGGAAACAAUAUAUACUUUAACUGCAGUGAAGCAAGACACUUUUCGAGGGAAUGUCCAUACCCGAAGAAGGCUAGAGCCAAUAUGGCCAUUAAAUCUUGUUGAUGAAGUGUGCUCCUCAAUCUAUAACAAGUUCUCAAGGUAGACCAUGCCUUGUGAUGAUAUUUUUGUAGGUGAAUUUUGCUAUGUUUUCACUAUUGUAGCCUUUAUUGGUUAAGUUUCAACCCAUAUCUUAAUGUAGUCAGUAAUUAUGAGAAUGUAUUUGUUUUGCUUGGAACUUGUUGUAAAUGGUCCUACAAAGUCAAAUCCCCAUUGUUAAAAUGGUCAUAGGAUGAAGUUCUUGAUUCUACUUUUUUGGCACAUACUUAGUUCUUUUACAAAUGUCACAUUUUUGGCAAACUUUUGCUAAAUAAUUCCAGAGUGUUACCACAAAAGUUUAGCUUGUAAAAUCUUUCGAGCUGUGAUUUCUUUUGCAAAGUGUUCUUUUGCUUGUUUGCAGUGAGCUUCUUGAAAUAAAUUUUGAGUUUCUUCAAGUUGUACAUGUCUUCAUUAUAUAUUAUCUCAUCCUUUCUUAUAUAGUCUUCUCCCAUGAUUGAAUAUGGUUUUGUCCUCAAAAUGAAUUGUUUGCAUUAGUCAGAAGUAGUGUACUUGCUUAAUAUCUUUGUUGUUGUCAAGUAGUGGUAGAUAUUAUAUAUCCAAUUUGGUGAAGUAUGGACUUGCAAGAUGUUGAAGUCAAAGAAGUUAUCCAUAUUGUACUUUUAUUGCCCGUCUGUCAUAAUAUGGCUAAAGUGGUCAGCUUGUUUGUGUUGUUUGCUGGACUUGUAGAUGAUCUCGAAAUUAUAUUCUUGAAGGAGUAAGAACCAUCAGGUAAUUUUGCUAGUGAGGAUGGUUUUGUUGAAAAGGUGUAAAAAUGCUUUAUGGUUGAUAAUAAUCUUUAUUUUGUUGCCAAUGAGGUAAUGUCAAAACUUUUGAAGUGCAUAAAUCAUUUCGAGAGCUUCUUUUUUUUUGUGGUGGUGUAAUUCAUCUCAACUAAAUUGAAUAUUUGACUAGCAUAUUAGAUUGGUUGAUUUUUAUGGUCUUCUUGUUGUUGUGAAAGAAUCGCUUUGAUUGUGUAGUCGAAGGCAUUAACUUGAAUGUUGAAGUCUUUGCUCUAGUUUGGUUAAACAAGUAUUGGAGCUCUUGUUAAUGAAUUCUUGAGUGUGCUGAAAGCUUCUUGACAUUCUUGAGUCCAUUUAUAUACUUGAUUCUUCUUUAGGAGUUCACUGAGUGGUUUGGCGAUUAAGUAAGGUUUUUUCUGCUUGUACUUGCAUUCUUGCCUUGCCUACAAAACAGUGAUAACAAAGAUAAGAACAUAGGAGAAUAGAAGAAGAGGAAGAAAAAUGAGAAGGGAAUUCAGCCUUAAACCCCAAAGGUGUGAGUAAAGAUAAGCAUAUGUCACUCUCUCAACUUUACUUUGCACAAAAAGUCAUAAACAAGAGAAAAGAUAAUUAAUUUAACGCAAAUGCAUACAAUAAUGAGUGAAGGUUUUUUUCUAACACGUCUAAGUGCUAUAUAUAUAUUACAUGAUUUUAUAAUCAUUCUUAACUGUUUGUCACCUAGGUCGAGUUUUUCUUCUUUGGAUGCUUAAGUUUAGACGUAACUCCAUUUUGCCUAAGCUUUCUUCUUUUGCUUUGUUUAGGAUGAUACACAAGAUAAAACAUUUACCUUUUCAUCACUCCCUCAUAACAAAGUUAUUGCCUAUCCUCAAGCAGUCAGAUUCUCCAAAUCUGGCUCCAAGUUGCUAAGCUUACAAGUUUUCAUUUUAAUUGUUAAGACGGAGCAAAACUUAUACUUAAAGAUUAUGCAAGUGAUGGAUGAGGGGUAGAAAAACCUUGAACUACGACAAAUUGAGUAGUGCAUUUUGAACUUGAAGAAGUCAAAGGUGAAGAAGCUACUUGUGAUUGUGGAUAUUUGACAUGAUAAAGAUUGGUUAUAUUGCAUUACAGAGAUAUGCUUGUGAUGGUAGUAAGUUAGUCCCUUUUAUCUUUGUUAUUCCACUUCAAAAUCUUUGUCCUUGCAGGAAAUGGUAAAGCAUUUGAAGAAUUGAUCUAUAACAUCGCAAAAAGCAAAUUCUCCUUCAACGAAUAAACCUUUUGCUUGGAGCAACUCAACACUUGGUAUCGUAAUAAGGAUAAAAGGCUGGAGAUCAAGCUUGAGAAUGUUAUAAAGGAGAAACUUUAUAUCACUUAGAGUAUUGCGGUUGUUGAGGAGCUACUUCAAGCAUGGGAUAUAAAAUUCCUUACCAAUGCCUACACUAGCAUAACACUUUUAGAAUAUGUCCAAGCUUCCCUUUAAGAGCUUGGGAUGGAUGGCUUUCUAAUGGCAGCUCAAGCUCUAUGGAUUUCAAGAAUCAACUAUGCCAACCAUUUUUCUCAUGUUGCAUGGCAUAUAGGUAUAUUGCAAAAAAUUGACUUGCUUAUUUAAUCAUGGCUUUUUUAUAGGUAUUUAAAUCAUUGUCCAAGUGCUCUAGUGUAUAUAGCAAGUGUUUUUCUCAAGCUUUUAACUGAUGGGAAGAAGUUUAGCAUAUAUGAGCUAGAGUUCCAUUGUCCCAUUAUGUGGGAACGAGAAUUUUGUCCAUGCUACUUGGAGUUGUAGAGACAAAUGCCAUUGUCACCUUUUGAGCUCGAUCUCUAUCUUGAGUGUCAUCCAAGUUUGACGAGUAAAACUUUCUAGCAGUAACUUAUGUUUCUACUUUAUUAUAAAAGCAUUUUUGGAGGGAGUGGAAAUGCUUUAGGACAAGAAGGAAAUUCAUAUUGAGCAAACAAAAGAGGAAUAAGUGGAGAAGCUAGCUGAAAACUCUCCUGCCCCAUCUCAUCCUAUUGCAGUUGCUCAUUCCCUAGAUUCUACUGUCACUGCUCAUCCAGCCUCAGCUACUCGAAAUGUACGAAGGUAACUCUAUAACAAGGACAUCCAAGAGAGUAAGAACUUGAUUUCUAAUGACCUUGCUUAUUGUAAUUUAGUUGUAGAUGUCAAAGAAACUAACCAGCACUAUAUGCUGACAUACAAAUGCAUUCUUUCCAUCCCUCCCCACUACUAUAGAGGAUGACUUCCAAGAUUUGUCUUCAUUGGCAUCACACAAAUAGGUAUGAAAAAAAACAUGUAUUAACUUUAAUAUUUCUUAGUUUUGAACACUAUUCAAGUUUGCCCUCUUUCUCCUACAAAGCUCUAUUUCGUUAAAGUGGGAAUUGUCAUUAUCCCAUUUGUAAAAUAAGGUUUCCAAACCUUUAUAUAGUAUAUAAAUAUAACAAAAUUCAACUGCAUUGAGGCACAUGCCAUUUUAUUUUAAACAAGGAAAUGUCUACUCAAUCACUUCUCCUCCCCCUGCCACUGCUUCACCUCUCUCUUCUCCUUGUCAUCGUCGUCCAAUUUCUUUCCAUCCUUUUAAUAUUGGCUCAGUUGCUCCGAGUUUAGGUGGAGCCCAAGUCCCCAUUCAAUCUUUACUUUCCCCUUAUUAAUAAAACAACUUCGUAGACUUCCAAUAACAUGCUGUAACACUUCUAGUAUAAUGCAAAUCCUCUCAAAGAAUUGUCUUUUAAUAUUAAUACAAUGGCAUGGAACCCCAUGCCAUAAUAAGUUACAUUUUUAAAUAAAUACAUGCCAUCUCAGACUGUUAUUUUUUGCCUCCAACGCCUAUACAAUAAUCUUGGAAUUUCAUCACUCUCCACACUAUCAGGAUUUAAACCCAAUAGUAAUGCCAUCUCUUCUCUAAUACGUCCACGCUCAUGUUCAGUGGUCGAAGAACCCAUCCGGUUGAGCAGAUUAUGGAGAUGCGGAUAGUGCUUGGCUAGACAAUAUACAUGCCAUAAAUGAUGACUGGUGUCUGUCCGAUCAAAUGGCUUCUGAUAUACCGUUCCAUCUGCCAUUUGGUUGAUUUCUGCAGCCACCUCCUGGACUGGCCGGUUCUCUAUCACCAUCGCUUCAAGCCGUUUUGCAAGGUCCCCCAGAACAUACGGUUUCUUCUCCCUAGUUUCCAUACUGCAAGAGAUGGGGUGCACUGCAUAUGUGUGCGUGUUCACUGCAGUUUUAAUCGGCGAGUCAUCGAUGAUGAGGAUUUCACUUGACCUAGCAGUCCGAUUCAUCACUACAGCCUCUGCCUUGACGAAGAUGGGCUUGCUACCCCUCACAUGGACCAUAGUCAAGCAAUCCUCCUGCGUUAGGAGAAAGUCAAAUGGUAAUAUUACUCGCGUCUGAUCGUGCAUCAUCUGUAGCAACGUUAAUGCAUUGUGGCGCAUCAUGGAUGUCCAAACUCCCAAUUGCAAAUUGAACCCUGCCCUCUGUUUUAAGUGUCGCAUGGUCAUUAUUAGAUCCCGCAGUUUCUCCCGUGUGAUUAAUGUGAAUCUGUCUCUUUUGACCAACUUGCGACCGCAGGCUUUGGAGGGUGCAGUGACAUUCGAGGACGAGCCACGCUCAUGGGAGAAAAGGACACCGUUCAGAUCAAAAACGAUACAGUACUUUCGCCGUGACUCUGAAAUGAAAUGCGUCAGCAUAAAAAAUGGUAUAAGUCAAUUUUACCAUCUACAAUAUUAGCGAAUGGUGCUCCCGAUGGUCGUUCAGAGGGUUUUGGUCGAGGAAACGUGAAGGGCGGAAAUACUCUCCUCUGCAAUGUGGGGUCAAUCGCAUCCGAUGGCGUGUGGGCACAUGCCAUUUCAGCUGUAGACUCUGGUACAACUGGCUCAACAGUGGCAUGGGGUGGUUCCGAUGGCAUGUGAUCACACACCAUUUCAGCUGGUGCCUCCGUUGGCAAAGUGGACAUGACCGAACAGGCAGCAGGGGCGGUGUAGGGAGGUUCCAACGGCGCGUAGUCAGACGAUUGGGCACACGUUGGAAAUGAGGAUACGACCGGCUCGGCGGCUGGGGCGGCCUCAUGCGGGUCCAAUGGCGCCUGGUCACCGUCAGUUGGAUACGUGGACAAGAUUGACUCAGUGGUAUGGGCAGCAUCAAGUGGAGCGUGGUCAGCUUGCUUGGCGUUGAUAUGGAUAGUAGCCUCCACCAGCUCUGAUGACUCUUGCAGGCAAGUAGAGUCCACUGGCGGAUCCAUAUGCAUGUCCAAAUAUCUCCCUUCGAUUGAGAUGGUAUCCUCCCGUGCUACUAAAAACAAACUCAUUAGCACAUUGAAUCGACUAUACUGUAUUUACCAUCAACUGCUAUUGAGGAACUAGGACCGAUAUCACUUGGGCGCACUGCUGAUUCUGAAGGAUUGGACAUACGUUUCGACCCUUGCUUGGCACUAUCCUUCCUCGACACUAAAGGCUAAAGUUUGUAUCUUAAUUCAACUGAAUAAUCUCUACUUACCAUUUCUUCUGCGACCUACAUGGACAAUGUUAGAAAUGGUAAAAGGUUAGGAAUGGAUGUACUAUUAUUUACCUGAUGGUUUGUCUUGUAUGACCUUCCUCCGCUGCUCUUUGGCCACCUCAGGCUGGCCAUCGUCGUCAUCAUCGUCAUCGUCGUUAUUGUGAUCGUCACCAUUGUGAGGACCAUCCAAGUCCUCUUCGUCCUCCUCUUCUUCAUCCUCCUCUUCUUCGUCCUCCUCUUCUUUGUCCUCCUCUUCGUCCUUCUGCUCUUCCUGCUCAUUAUCUUUCUCUGGCUCCUCAUCCCCCUCUUGCAUUUCUUCCAUAGGCUGCUCAGGCUGGAUUGCUUGUUUUUCCAGGACCAUCUUGGAAAAAUCAUCUGGCCGAGUCUCCAUCUCAAAAUACAAGACAUCCAUAGCCUGUUUUAGUGCGUGACCUAGGACCGUAUCCUCACCCGACUGUCUUAACAUGGUUUCUGCACGUUCUUGCACCCUUCGAAGACGACGAGAUGAGAAAAACGUGGCCCUGACUUGAAAAGCAUCCCUCAUCUAUUGUACCUCUCCAUUGAGAUUGGGGAAGGGGAGUCCGCCAUAGGAAUCUGAGUCAGGAGGUGGUGACUAGCUGCUUUCACUCAGCCCUUGAUCUGCAAUGAAUGGCAUGAGCACACACGCCAUAACCGCGAGGCAUUACCUAUCAUCUUUUCGUUGCCCUUCUUCCUUUUCGAAUCAAACGCCUCUGAUCCCGACGACUGUCCAACGUGCUUUCGCUUUUUAUGACCACUGUCAAUUUGAGCUUGGCUGGUGCUUGCCUGUUUUGCCUUUGAAGAAGUGUCUCCUGCAAGGAAUGGCAUGAGACCACACGCCAUUGCCAAUAUAAUUUGUACCUCCUUUUCUCCUAUUGCUUGUCUGUUUGUCCUUCUUCGACGUGCCACCAGUGCGCUUUUCAGUCCUCGUGUCUGAAUAACACAACGAUCUAUAAUCAAAAUGGCGUGAGGCCUCACGUGACCUUACCUUGUGCAGGUUGUGAGCUCGGCCCAACAUGGGUAUCUUCAAUAGUAGCUGUUAAUGCUGUUUCAGCAUCUAGGGGUGGCCACGCUCCUGCAUACAGAGCUUGUGAGAUAACAUUUAACCUUAAAGUGCGUACUCACCAGGUUCGUAGAGAAGAUACUGUUUUUCUUUGGCAACUGUAAUUAUAUGCUCCAUUGAAGUCACCUCUUUAAUGGAGUUUGUCACCGCAACACACGGGACACCCUUGAGUAGUGCGGCUCGAAAGAAUAGUCCGCCGUAGUUAUACUCGACAACGCAUUUGCCCUUGGAGUCGGAAGCAGGUGACCCACCCGCUAUUGCUUUGAAGACCCAGCUGAGCAUUUCCCAUGCUGCACCAGGAGCUUUCUUUGGAUUCGAAAGCUCCAUAGCCGUCUUCAGUUCCUCAGGCACGGGUAAAUUGACCUCCCUCAGAUCAAUUCGAUCGGCUUUGUUGAACGAAGCUGGGAAGUCACUCCAGUCCCACUCUGCUGCAGGACCAAUAACAAGGGCGAGUGUGAAGAUGCGGACAUUCGUCGGUAUCUUCUUCUUAGCCAUUAUCCCAUGGAUCUCCCGCAUCUCCUUGCCUUUCAACCGAGCCUUCACCUCGUUCAAGGCCUUCCAGAACUUGUGAUAGGAUUUGGAGUCAUAGAUCCUAUAGUGGACUGAAGAUUCCACCUCCGCAAGUCCCACCAUUAAGUCAAUGAUGGAGCUGACUUCGUCUGCAUGAGUGAUCUCCUCGUUUGUGAAGUCCAUCACACAAAAGAUGUUCUUGACCUGCUCAUCUCCGCGGGAAACGAUGCUCCUCCACCUUUGAUCCUCAUCCGAAUUCACAUAUACCCGGUAAGGUUCUCGAUAGGCCUCUGCUGCGGGGUCGAGCUGUUUCUGAAGCCGGCGGUCGACAUCCCUCUUAAUGAAAUUUGGAUACUGAUCCAACUUCUCAGCUUUACUUUUCGUGGCAUCCCGCAGCAGAUCGAUGAACUUGGGGGCCCCCUUCACGUACUCGUCGAUGUCUUCAUUUGACAAGUCCAGCUCUUCCAUCAUCUCUUGCGUGGUGUCGAUGCUCACCCUCGCCACGGCCACUUGCUCGAAGAUCCAAUCCUUCAAUAGCGCACGAGCUCUCAGAGUCGUGCACAAGUCCUCGUAUGUCACAAUAUGGCCGGGAGUCAUUUUGGUCUUGUUGAAGACUACCUCACCACGUAGAAGAGCAUUAGCCACUGUCAGAAGGUCGUCGUCGUCUAGAGACCGCGAGAAACGCAAGGCGUUAAGCUUCAAAUCAUUGGGCUUCCGGCCGUCCUCCACACCCAUUGAGUUUAGCAACUCCCCGUCAUGGUACCUCCUUAGCACAUCUACCCAUUUGUCAAAAACAACUUUUGUCGCGAGUAGAAUGUUAUGGAUGCUGAGUGUGUCAUUGACCCCCAGUGUUUUCGAGAGAAGACUCGAGAAUUCCUGCAAUGGAAAUGGCGUGAGGCCACAUGCUAUGCCACAUGCAACGAGGCUUACCUGCCAGGCGCUAGUUGCUAGUGCACGUCCUUGUCCUGGUUUUUGUGGCUUUUUCAGUUGAACCCAGAGCUUCCGUGUUCGUGCCAAUGUCUCGUGCAGACCCGAUUUGUAGCACGUUUCUUGCUUGACAUUCUGUGCGUGGGAGAUGUAUAUGAUAGAUCGGAGGGGCGAGUUGCCUUUUAUCAGGCGGACAACUCUUGUCUUGAAGACUUUCUUCACCUCCUCGCCCACCAUAAUAUCCACAACUAUCUGUUGCAUCGCCAAGCUAGAAUGCUGCCCGGAGACGGCAUAGAACCGGAUGUUCUGAUCGUCCAACACCUUCCUAUUGAUCAAGUCUGGAAACCUCGUCUCACCCUUCAUUGUUCGGUAGUAGGGGAUCACGUCUGCGAUGUCGGGUGUUACUGGACUUGCCAGCAUCUUCUGCUUCAGUUUCUCCACCCACUCAUCAGAUACUAGCCUGUGGUUGUAUUUGCUUUGGAUCUCGAUACGGCUCACGUCGAUUGUAUAUACUUUGUUGGAAUAGUAACAAGUACUAUUAUCUGCAACGAUUUUUGCUGCCUCUUCUUGCUCUUUCUGCUCUUUGCGGCUCUUCUUUUUGGUGGGUGUAGUGUUCGAACCCGAGGCAAUGGCAUCACCGAGUAGCUUCUUUUUUGGAGCAGCAGAGUCGGACGUCGGCUUGAGCUUGACCACCCUUUUCUGCUUCGGGGUAGUUUCCAGAUCGACCCCCUUCCCCUUCGCUUCGCAAACUGGAGGCACUCUCAACGGCUCAAUGUUGGAAUAUAGUUUUUGAACAUCGCCGUAGGUGAGGUCCGUGGAUUCCAUGUGAUCUUCAUAGACCCGCAGCGUCUUUGAAAUUAUGGGCCUCCUGGACAACUUCUCCCUAGCUCCCUCUAGGAAUUCCUCAUAGCCGCUGCCCCCCUCCGGGAAGCCACUAGGAUGUGCAAGGUGGAUCUUGAAGGCGGACGCUGUCUCUACCACAAGUGCCAGUCCAUAUUCUUGCAUGGAACUGCAUGGAGUGUCUGUCACUUGGAUGAGGAUCCCCAUGCAUUCUUUUCUCCCACCAUCUGUGUUGUACAGCAUCAGAUCCUCGCCUUCCAUCCCAAAAGUCCAACUGGUGAGCUCCUCCCCCUUCUCUGCAUCCACAUUGACAGUGGCUGGAAGAAGAACGCAAUUCCUCGCCUGUUCAGAAAUGCACAACAAUUAGAGCUGACAGAUGAAAAGCUAGCAACUGGAAAUAACGUGAGGCCACACGCCAUUCACCACUGCAUCAGAUGUCUUGAGGCUGCAUCCUAAGAUGGCGUGAGGCUACACGCCAUCUGUAACCGGACUGCACUCGAGAGCCCAAUCGGUGCAUGCCAAUGUUGCUACUGAAUGGCAUGUGGCCUCAUGCCAUUUUCUACUUCGUCAAAAAGACUUACCAUUUGAAGCCGAAUGGAGGCCGUGACAAUCGAGGCCGGACUCGCUGGCGAAUGUGCACUGUGUGUGCAGCGGAUCGUAGCAGCAAGGCUACUCUGCCACUUACAGUUGGAGAGUGGCGCUGAAAUCUCCCGGGACGCCAAGUGGGCUGCGUGUGGGUGGCGGAGUGGGCGGCGGAGUUGGCGGCGAAGUUACAAACUGGGUGUGUCUUGAAGUGGACGCUGAUGCACACGAGCGCGAUGCGAGCGCGAGUGUGAUGCAAGCGCGAGUGGACGCCGAUGCACACGAGAAACCUGUAGAGAAGUGAGCGUGAUCGCGAGUGGGAGCACGAUGCGAGCGGGAGCGCGAGUGUGCGAGCGCGAGUACAAAGCAAAAUGCAAAACCUAACCUCACACGCGCGAAAUGUCACAACGGUUGGUAAUCCCGCCACGUCAUCAUUCCUCGGACUUGGGCGCCACCAUUAAUUUCUGGAUUGCCGUGCGCAUGCAAGCACGCAAAAUCCAAAAGAAAUCCGCAACGUCAUCAUUCCUCGGACUGCAUGCACGCGAAAUCCAAAAGAAAGAUCAUGAUUGGGAUAUCAUUUAAUACCCUCGCUAUAUUUAUACCAUGCAUGAUUGGAUAUUCCAAAGCAUCUUGUAUUUCCAAAAAUGGCAGAUGUUCAGCUAAAUAAAGAAAUUCUAUCUGUUUCUAUUUUUCUCUCAAAUCAAUAUUAUAGCGUGUGGGCUCAUGCAAUUUUGAACCAAAGAAACCCAAAAAACGUUGGACCCAAAAUAUUUUGAAAAAACCCAAAAAACCCUAAACAUUUUAAACCCAAAAAUCCAGGCGUCCUGUGGCGUUAUUCCUUCAAUGGCGUGUGGGCGCAUGCCAUUUUCAGGGCCAAAUGCUGAAUGGAGAAAAAUUCCCUUUCAGUGCAAAUGCUGCAAGAGGCAGAUGCCGAGCACAAAGGACUGUAACUACCUCACAUGACACAGAUAAACUUUUCUCUAUUUGGCAAAGAUAAACUUUAUAGCGUGUGGGCUCAUGCAAUUUUGAACCCAAGAAAUGCACCAAAAAAUUCUCGGCGUCAUCUGGCAUUAUCUCUUGAAUGGCGUGGGGCCGCAUGCCAUUUUCAGGGGCACAUAGGAGUAUAUUCCUAGGAUAUUCUGACACGCGCGAGAUUUUUUUGAGUUUUCAGGAGAUCCAACCGUUAGAUCGCAACUAGAUUUUACAGAAUGGUAUACAAUGUCUUUCUUGAUGACCCUGCAAAGAAGCAUCUCGAUCGGACACCACAUGAGACCACACGAGCCUUACAAUGUUUCAGGGGCAUUUGCCAUAGAUCCGACCGUUAUUUUGCUCCAAGAUUUUACAGUUUGGUGUGCAUUGACCUUUCCAUCGACACUGCAAAGGGAUAUCACAAUCAGAUGCGGGAUCACAAGAAACUAACUUCACUAACUCUGGUUUCACCAAGAUCUACGUAAGGAGUUAUGAAAUGAAAGGACCCUCUCUAUUGAAAUGUGUUUAUGGUCCUAGGGGCAUUGUGACAUAUCAAAGGAUUUUGCAUCAAGUUCUGUAUUUGCAUGUUUAUCAAGCUAUUGAAUUGCUAAACCCUAAACCCUAAACCCUAAACCCUAAACAUGUGGCAAAUGCUGCGUGAAGAAAGAUGCCCUUUCUGGGCAAAUGCUGUAAGAGGCAGAUGCCGAGCAGAUGUAUCUCAGGCUAGCGAAGGGGACAAACGAAAGCUAGCUAUAAACAUGACGGGAUGCAAAUAGAUUACUAGGCUGGUCCUGCAAAAAUCAAAAACCAUAAUUGAAAACAUUGAAAAUGCAAAAAGAAAGGUUUAUAAUAUUUUUGAAUUUUAGACAACCAAAGGAAUGUAAGUAGGGCAUGUGUUUGUAAGUUUAAAAAUGCCUCAACCACUUAAAUUCCCAAGUAAAUAAAGCUGUUUCUAUUUUUGGUACAGGUAAACUUUAUAGCGUGUGGGCUCAUGCAAUUUUGAACCCAAAAAUGCACCAAAAAAUGCUCGACUAGCAUUAUUCUUUGAAUGGCGUGUGGCCUUAUGUCGAGCAUUAUUCUUUGAAUGGCGUGUGGCCUUAUAUUGCCAUAAAUGGACGUACACACACAGCAUAAUUAUUCCUUUACACGGCGAAUAAUCUUGGCGCGGAUCGCUGACAUGGCAUGGCAAAGUUCGAAUCACUGACAUGGCACAGCUGGAUUGAGGCAAGGACAUGAUGUGACAAAGUUCAACCUCCGACAGCAAAGUCUAGAAGCUACUCAGUUUGAAAUUUGUCAGAGGAAUCAUAAGAUCUGGUUUGUCAGAGGAUUUGAUGUGACGUUCAAGCGUGUGUUAUUUUUGAAUUCUCGAACUCAUUCCUAGGUCUAUCAUUUUUGUGCGCCGUGUUCUUGGUUCCGCUGAGCACAGUGAGCGCUGCUUGUGUAAGCAGCGUUGUGGGCUGUGGUUUAUGCGUCUACGAGCGGUUGCGGCAUUGUGAGCGCCAUUGCGAGCGGCAGUUUAUGCGAGUGGCAGUUUGUGCGAGCGGCGCUACGAGCAGUUGCGGUGUUGCGAGCGGCGCUACGAGUAGUUGCGGUGUUGCGAGCGGCACUGUCUUUGGUGUGGCUACCGCUUCCUCUUGAUAUUCAGCACUUGUGCUUCCUGGUAUGUUCACCAUGGAAUGGCUUAGGACCACAUUUAGAAAUGGCAUGAGGCCACAUGCCAUCUUGGGCCCUUGCAAUUUCAUGGCUAGCGUAUUGUCAUGUAUGUUUUUACUUGCCUGCAGCUGUGUGUAUAUCAAGAUGGCAUGAGGCCUCAUGCCAAUUUUGUGAAUGCGAAAUUUCACGUGGGUGUCAAUAGCAUGUUUGAAUAAUGGCAUGUGGCCUCAUGCUAUUGAGGUUGUUUGGUAUGUUAUGAUUUAGGCCAUUCUCCAAUCAUUUUUUGUAUGGUCUUAACUUCUUUUCUGCACUUUCAGAAUGGCCUUCAGGGUUGGGGAAAAGGUUUACAUUUUGAAUGGUGGGAAGAGAGUUGCAAAAGGGACCCUUGUGUCUAUGGAUCGGAACUUUGUUAUACACUGUCAAAGGCUUGGGGAAGGCAAUGCUGCUGUAUCAGUAGAGACUGUCUUCGAUGGGAAUGUGGUCGCUAUUGAACGAGGAGAGAUGGUCGUCGGGGUAAAUGUUGUUGUUGCCUUGAAAAAUCUUCAGAAGAAAGCAGAUGUUGGGGACAGCGCAAGUGCGACGCAUGUUCCCUCCAUGGAUCUUAAGAACCGUGCUACAUGGAUUCAGGCGAAGGUGUUUCUAAACAACCCCGAGGGGGAGGUGGUAGCUGAGGGCUUAGCCACAGUUGUCGAUCCAAGAGAUGCGGUUGCUAAUCAAGAAUUGGGCUGGGAUGAUAUUAGAGUUGCGAUUUUAGAGGUUGUUGACACAGAAGAAAACAGUCUGACUAUUGGAAGCAUUGUGCGGUGGAAAUUGAGGCACUUAGUGUUUGAGAAUGUGAAGGAUUCACAAUCAAACACCACUACAAUUAAUGACAGAACAUCUCUUCAUGGGAAAAGAAAGUACACCUUCCUAAAGCGCAGCCAAAGGGAUCUGAGCAACGAACCGAAAAGGCAGAAAAUGGCGAUGGAGGUUCAAAUGGUCUCGACAGUUGCUUGUUGCAAGAGGAGGUGCUGUCAACAUGCUAUUGAAGAGGAGAGAGCAAGAUACAAGACAUUGUCUUGGAAGGCAGCUCGCAAUUUUGUGUAUGAGGCAUUACGGUCAUCUGUUGAUGCUUCAGAACAUCAGGUGGGGGGCAUGGUCUUCCAGAGGGGUUUGGUCUGCAUGAAGGCAUGGAGAAUCAUUUAUGGAGUCCCUCGAACCACAUUCUACAGAAUCAAAACUGAGUUCGAGGAACAAAGGGUUCAAUAGGCAGUCCAUGGGAACGACGGUACUCACAAAACCAGGGGUCAUGUUGUAUAUGGAGAGGCAAUCUUCAAGAGGUUUGUCGAGACAUGUAGCGAGCAGCAACCACAUAAAACCCGGCUCUUGGAAGAUGGAACACGAGACACCCAACGAGUUCUCCCUUCCAUGUAUACCAAGGGGGCCAUAUUGGAAGAUGUGAAUCGGGAACUCCAGAGUAAUGGCUACAGGAAGCUGAGCCAAUCUAGAUUUAGUAGAUUGUGGAGCAACAGGUUCAGGGAUGUGAGUAUAGGAAAGUACUCCAGCUUUUCAAAGUGUGACGAGUGCACUGCUAUCAAAAUGGCUUUGUCGAAGAAUUCUUGCAGCGCUCAAGAGCGAGAGACGUUGGUUAGAAGGCGGCUCGACCACAACAUCGAGCAGAGAAGCUGCAGGACUGCAUAUUAUCAUAACAGGAUUCUCUCCAUAGAGAGACCUGACUCUUACCUCUGCAUCAUCCACGACAAAAUGGACCAGAAAAAGACGUGCUUACCUCGACUCAAUCCUGCCCCCAAGGCAAUCUCUUCAUCCAUGCAGCUGCCUGUGUCUCUGUUUGGCAUAAUCGCUCAUGGGCAUGGUGCCCAGAACUAUGGGAACUUCUUUGUACCUCUAUGGGGUGGCGGGGGUGCAAACAUGAUGAUUGCAUCCCUAGCAAAACACUUAAGGUCUCUGCAAAGUGCGCAGACUGAGCUGAACGGCCAACCCUUGCAUAAGGCCCUUGUCGAUCGAACCCCAUACAGGGUUCAGCUGGAGGAGGAGCAAAGGCUUGCAGUAUCGCGUGGGGCCCCAUGCCAUCCCAGUGAAUAUGUUGGCCAUCAGAUUGUAGGGUUAUCACGUGAGGCCUCAUGCCAUUCCGACGAGGCUGGUCGCCCGGUGAAUGCACAGCCUCAUCCAAACGAAGCAGAAUCUCAAGGAAGUUCUUGCGGCCGAUGUGGCCUUCCACCCCAUCUUCUGCUCCAAACAGACAAUGCUGGCAGUGAGAACAAAAACAUGUACGUCUUCGCGUACUUGGCGAUGCUUGUUGCCAAAGGCAUAUUUGAAACGGUUACACUUGGCUUUCUCAUGGUUGGGCACACUCAUGAAGACGUCGAUGCCAUGUUCAGUCACCUGGCAGAGUCCCUCCGGCGAUCCAAUGUCCUCACCCUCCCACAACUCUACGAUGAAUUCCAAAAUUGCAUCAAAGGCACUGUUGAAGCUGCACUUCUGACAGAGGUUCCAGACUUUAAGGGGUUUGUAAGAGGCUACAUCAGGGAUGGAUCCAAAACGCUGAUUGGCCACUCCAAGCCUCUUCAGUUUCAUUUCAGCAUGUGUGACGGUGCUCCAGUGAUGAGGUACAAGAUGAGAGAAUGGGACACAGUGUGGCUGCCAGUGGACGGCAUUGAACUCUUCAAGAGAGAUCCCAUAACUGGGGAACCUAUGAUUCCUCAGGGUUCCCCACGGCCGAUGCACCCGGAUGGACUCAAAGACCAGGAAAGUAUAGUGGCCGGGAUUAGACAGCAUAUUGCCUUCUGGAAGAGGGGGUUGGUGUUUGGUGGAGAAUCCUAUUUUCAGAGGUGCAAGCCUUUGCUCGAAUACUGGGAGAAGAUUAUAUCUGCUAUCCAAAAUGGGCCGGUUAUAUAUGAAGAAUUGGAAGAGUCCUUUUGGCCAGAACCCAGAGCACCAGAUAGUAGCGGAACAAUGUCCUCUGGAAAUGCAGUGACAGAUAACGAUGUUGAGGAUCACUAUUGUGGGCCGAGGAACAAGAAGCCGGAUUCAGCAUUCAAUCCAGUACAGGUCUGCAAAGGAAUGGUCGUGCUUGUCAGACCCAGUAAUAAAAAACAAAUGAUAUGGGUGGGGCGCUGCAUCACUGAUGCAGAGGAGGACGCGGAAACUAACUCCUUCAAUGUAACUGUGGAGUGGUUCAAGCCAAGUUCCGGAUAUACGAACGAUUGCCUAGAAAAGAGAUGGGUGCUGAAUCCAAGGGAUCCCAGCAUGAGCAUAUCGGUGGAUAAUGUUGUGCAUGGUUGGAUGCGGAAGCAGAGUGCCACCAUCACCUUGCCAGACCAUGCAAGAGAUGCAGCAAGAGCAUUCAUAACCCGGGUUCAAGGUGAGAUUCAUUAAUAUUCCUUUACUAAGUUUCUAAUGUAUUUUAUUUCAAGGUGAACAAUCCGAAUCUGAAUCAGAGGAGGCGUGAUGGCAUGUGGCCUUACGCCAUUCCUAGGUGAGAUGAUACAAAUAACAAGUAUAAAUUCUUAGUUGUUCUAGCAAAUCUUACUUAAAGUUCAAGGUGAACAAACCGAAUAUGAAUUCAUCGGAUUGUUAUAACAAAUUGCGAGGUGAUGGCAUGAGGCGAUACGCCAUUUGAGAGUGGUAGCCAUUCCUAUAUGAGGUGAGUGAAGUAUUUAUUAGAAAUACCUCAUUCAAUUGUGCACUUCUAAGUCUUGGUCCACUUAGUACUGUUUGCAUGUUUUUAUUUUAAUUCUUUCUCUAAAAUGUUAUUUAGCAUGUGGCUUCAUGCCAUUGCUCUCCACAAUCAUGCAUUGAAUUUCUAUCCUUGCAUAAUACUUCUCCAUAUAUAUAGCAUGUGCGCACAUGUGAUAUGGUUCAUUAGGCCUGAUAUAGUGUGUGAGGUAAAACAAAGAUGAUGUGACAUAUGCAUUUACCAAUCACACGUGCAUAAAUCUAAUAAUAUGGCGUGUGGCCCAUAUUAAUGGCACAUAAACCCAUAUUGUGGGCUUACGUGCUUUAUGUACCAUCAUUCCCUUGCAGCGUGUGUGUUGGUUUCCUUUUAUAACACAACGAACUCCAUAUUUUAGGGUGAAGAGCGUUCUCAUGGCAAGCACAAAAUCUGUAAGUGAGGCAGAAAAGGAGACGGAGAAGGAGAUAGGUGAAGAUGUAGAAUAUAUAAGUCUUCCAAACUCCCCGUACUAUACUCCAGGUGAUCAUUUUUCUGAACAAACGGCAACAUUAACAACUAUUGAGAACGCCCCAGUAACGUCAGAGACAACAAUCCAAAGCAAAACAACUGACCCGGAGAAGGAUGAUAGUACCGCUGAGAGUACCAAAAAGGAGGUGUCCACUAGCGCUUAGGCUUAUAAUGGCGUGUGCCCUCAUGCCAUUUACUUGAUCACCAAAUACCUUUUUCCCUUUGCACUAGUAUAUCUUAAUACCGGUCUGAGAAAUAGAAUGGCAUGUGCCCUCAGGCCUUUUACUAAAUCACCUUUGAAAGAAAUGCAAGCCUCUAUGUCGUAAAAAAAAGGUACUAGAGAAAUUCCUUAAUAAUAUGAAUGUUAUUUAGUUUCAUGAAAAUACACUAAGGGUCAAAUGAGUUAAAUGACUUCUCCAGACUAGCAAUGCCUCUUGCUACACCUUCACAAUUAGAUUCGUUAGAAAAAGAUAACAUUGAAUAAUAUCUAAAUGUUCUCACCAUUAAGUUAUAUGUCUGGCUAAUAGGAAUGAUGUUCAUCUUGGAAAGCUCACCACACGCUCAAUGAACAAACAAAUAGUGUGUGCGCGCAUGCCAUCGCUCUUCUUUAGCUUCAGAUUCGACUUGUUCACCUUGACAAUGAGAUUUAUUAUACAACUAGAUGGACUCAGUCUGGACAUAAGGUCACCGCGCUAGUCACCAUGCCCCAGAUAUGUCUAGCCCCUAGACAAAAAACAUAUAAUUUCACGUCAUUUUCAAAUACUUGAAAAUUUGUACCUAGUCCCAUUUUACUGAAUAAAUCCCACUUUAACGAAAUAGAGCAUCAGAGAAGUUUUUCAGGUUUCGGUAUCUACAUUCACUUUUCUUUGUGAUGAGCUUGCUCCAAAAUUGGUCAGGAGGCCUCCUCUAGGUUUGGUAGAAAUACCAGGGCGGCACUUGCCUGUUUCAAAGCAAGUAGCUAUUGCUUUGAAACGUUUGGCAUCUGGGGAUAUGUGGUGAACAAUUGGUGAUGCAUUUGGAGUGGCUUCAUGCACUGCCCAAGCUUGUCUAUGCCGUUUCAGGUAUGCAUUGCUUGAGCAUGAAGGACUAAUGAUCCAUUAGCCGGAUGAGGAGGGAAUGAAAGAAGUUAUAACUGGAUUUCAAAGAUUGCGUGGAUUCCCAAACUGUUGUGGUGCAAUGGAUUGCACUCACAUUGCAAUCGAGCUCCCAGGAUCAAAGGAUGCAACGGAUUGGUAUGCUAGGGCAAAAAAGUACUACUCAAUGGUAGUUCAAGCCGUGGUAGACAAUAAGAUUUUAUUCCUUGACAUAACAACAGGGUUAGCAGAUAGUGUUCCAGAUAGACGAGUUUGGAAUUCUAGUGGUUUGAAGAAGGCUUGGAUUGAGAAGAAGUGUUUAUGUGGUCCAGUGUACCACACAGAGUUUGGGGACAUUCCACAAUAUAUCAGAUGGAGGAUAUGACUAUGCUUUACCAGUGUUGGUCCCAUAUCCAAAUAGGUUUCAUGGCAAAGAGCAGUACAACUUCCUUCAUUCUUCUACGAGGAUUGUUGUCGAGCAAUCGUUUGGAAUUUUAAAGAGACAAUGGAAAUUGCUAGCUCGGAAAGGAUUCAGAGGUCAUCCAGGCAUCCUUGCGAAUAACAUCAUGGCCUGUUGUGUGCUACAUAACUUAAUGAUUACACGGAAUGAUAGGUUCAUGGAAGAUUUUGACCCCGACAAAUUUAACCAUGAUGCAGGCUACCUUCCACAAAGGUCUCUUCGUUCAGCUAAAGAUGGCAUAGCAUUGAGAGACAUAGUGGAAAAGUUUAUAGAGAGCUUAGAGUGACAAUACUUUUGUACUUUAUUUACUUAAGAGUGACAAAAACUAAACGUUUUGGUGUUGAUCCUCUUUUAAGAUCCUGCUGCAUGAGACUUGCGCCACAGUAGACCAGCAGCUCAGAAGAACGAUGAUCACAACAAUGGCGAUGCGCUCUCCAUGUGAUGGUUUAUGUCGAGCUCCCUCUGGUGAUUAUCAGUAUCGAGGCUGGGUGCUUGUGCUGGAAUGUAAACAGUAAACUGGGAGCAACAAACGAACAAAAACAAAACUAUUACCUGUUCUGGUUUAUGUCAAGCUCUCGCCGAUCGAUGGAGGAAUUCUUUCUUCUGUUUGUACCUAUUCUCAAUCUGCGAAUUUCUUUUUGUCUAUUGAUCCCGAAUCGACUCGCCACUAGCGUUGAUUGGUCGCUGUUGCUUUCAGCAGAUAAAAUGCUACUACCAUCUUCGUCUUCCUUCCUGAGAGAUUUGUAAAAAUGAGAGAGUGAGUGAGUGGCGGUUGAAGUCAGCUUAAUAACAAAGUGAGUGGUGUGUACGAGCCAAAGUGAUGAUUCAUCCAGAAAAACCAGCGGAGCGAGAGUAUAAAUACCUUUGUGAUUGAUUGAUCAAUCCAUCCAUUGGUCACUUCCUUUAGCAAGAUCACAAGCGAUCACCACCUAUAAGCAGUAUAAAAACAAUGGAGGAAUUCUUUCUCCUGCUUUUCUGUUUGUACCUGUUCUCAAUCCAGCGCUGCAGUGACAUUAUGGACCAGCUAUAGCGAAACUAUCCAUGGUCCUUCUCAAAAUGCCUCUUGUUUCAGAUCCAUUCUAGAUCCCUGGCAAGUGACACAUCAGCUUGUGGCUGUCCACUUACAAGAAUAGAACAAAAAUGAAAUUGAAAUGCAGAGCCUACAUGCAAUCGCCCAAGGAUCUAAAAAUACCUGGUAUUCCCAGCAAUUAAAGUCGCUCCUCCUCUCAUGCUUCACUACCUCCACAGCUCCCUGCUCCAUGAGAAAUAGCAUACCCUAGAUUGAUCCAGCAACGCUCCACCGUAAUCUUCAGAAUCCAUGCCUCUUCUCUGUCUGCCGUUCUUGUCCUAGCUUUCUUGGCCAACACCAGUGCCGCUGCCCUGGCAAGCUUCAUGGCCUUGGAUGCCACCGAUCCACACAGGGACACCAUAGCCACGAGGAAAAAAAGACGCGCAAAACCCCAAAACUCUAAAAUGCUAUGUUAAAUAAGUGUAACUUUAAAAUACAAAGUUUGCAAUUCUACUUCUCCUUUGUCACCAUUGAUUCCACAAAAGGCUGCCUCAGCAAUUGAAGUUCCUCAUACAUCAUGUGUGUUCCUUGCAACAUCAUUGCAACUCUCCUAUCUGCAGCAGCAAUUGAAGCUUGGUGGCGUUGAUCAUCAGUUGCCUCCAUUUUUUCCAUCAUUUGUAUGUUGCUAUCUCGAAGUUCUUGCAUCAUUGCUUUCCUUUGCUCGUCACUUCACUCAAGAAGACCAUCAGAUCCCUUUAGAGUGCACUUGCGUUUUUUCCUUGUAGCAAUUGAAACUUUCUUCCCACCGACUUGUACUUUUGGAAUGUCCUCGUUAGCAUCUCUAGGAUCUUGUGUCUCAAAUAUAACAUCUGGAUCUGGAUUUGCAGUUGCAUUUGUCUCUGGAAAAAAGAAAAACAUAAGUCAAUCAAAAAAUCUAAAUGAACUUACCAUAGCCUGGUGACUCAUUUGCAAUUGUAGAACCCAUAGAUGUAUCAACUCGGUGGCUACCUAGAACAUUAGCUAUCGACCAUGUCAUCCACAAUGACAUCUCAUUGUAGAGGCCUUCAUCGAAUGCACGAGGAAGCUUUACAUCCUUCUUCAUCCUUGUAGUAAACUCACCACUAAAGUAGGAUGGUUUCUCUGAUGAGAUGUUAUUCUCGUAAUCACUAAUCUGCCUCCACUAUUUUGCAAGCUCAUCCCAUUGUAACUCACAUUGCUUUUGUGUGCGACAAAAUCCCUGUGAACGUAAGAUGUCAGAAAUGCAUUGCCACUUCUUUGGUCCUUUCAUUGAUUUUCUACGGCCACCGCCUUCUUGAUCCUUCUCCUUUUCCAUCCUCUUUGCAUACUAAAGAGCCAUGUUUUCAUCAGUAGACCAUUUUCCUUUUUGUUCAUCAUUCAAAGUUGAUUCAUUUUGGGAAAACAAGUUGUGAAAUCAAAAAAUAAACACAAAUAAUAUUUAUUGUACCUCUGGAAUACUUGUUGCUCUAUCAAAAGAGCUAGUUCCUGGAGGAGGUAGUGAUAAUAAAGUUGUGAAAGAGGAAUUUUCAAUUCCCCCACCAUGAAAUCCUUGCUGUUGCAAAAAUGCAUUCAAAACAAAGUAAGAAAACAAUUGGAAAAAAAUACCUGGCUCGAUGAAUUGAAGUUAGCUUGCAUUAUAGGGAUACUUGGAACAAAUCCAAUCAUCGGGUUGAAUGUAGGAAUGCCAGAUUAAAAACCAUUGCAAAAUUUUACUAAACAAAAGAAAAAAACAAAAGAGAAAAUAAAAAGUACCUGGAUCAUAGUUGCAUUUGGCAUAGAUCCCAUGCUAGCACUAAAAGAAGAGCCCUUUCCUCCCUGGACAUUAAGAAAAACAAGCAAAAUUUCAUACUUACAUAAGUUUGAGCUAUUGAUGAACUAGAAUAAAAGCCAAAUUGCAACCAUGGAUGAGGUGAGGGUGAGCAAUUCUCCAUUUCUUACAAACUUUUUUCUCAAAUCACUGCAAAAAUCCCCCCUAAAACCCUCCAAGAACUCACACGCUAACUCAACUAUGUGUGGAACAAGAUGGAGCUUGAGGACACUCGUGAAUUACCUUUAAUGCUAGAGGGCAUGUUCUAUGGUGGUCUAAUAUGGAUAUUACUGGAUAGUGGGAAUGAUGAAAACUUUGUUUUGGCAAAGUUUGUUAUAGAGCAUGGCCUGAUGACAUAAAAAGUUCUUCCAUACAAGGUGGAAGGUGUAAUUACCUCUACUCAAUAUUUCAAUGCUUGUGUGAAGGGGUUAUAAGUGCUGAUUAGCAAAACCACACUUGUAAAGAUUUUUUAUCUCAUGGAUAUCCAUUGUAUAAAUCUCAUUUUUAUGAUACCAUGGUUGAUAAAGGUGGAUCUAGAGAUAAAGGGAAGUAUUAAAUGUGUUUCAUAGUGUUAAAAAUGUAUGGUUUAGAAAGGGAGUUCAACUUCCAAUUGUUAUGCUUUUUGCUACUACAGAUCCAUGAUCAAUCUAUUCAGCUGCACGAGGAGUUGGUGCGCAAUAUGCCGAUUGAGCCCGCAAUCACAAGUGAUGCUACUGUUGGGAUCUUGCCAGAUCCAUGGCGAUGCAUCUGGGGAGGCAGAGCAAGCGAUUAUAGAAAGUGCUUCAGACCAGCCACAGUAUAUAAAUAAGCUUGUGAUUAAAAAAUAUUAGUUUUACAAAAAUAGAUUAAGAUAAACACCCCAUUAAAAAAGCACAAAACAAACAAUAUUCUUAAAGAAAGAAUAUACCUUUUAUCCCUUGCCCUAGGAGGGCAUUCUAUUCUUUAUAUCAAUUUUCCGCUCUGCUUUCUAGGUUUUGGGCGACAGCGAGAUGGGCGAAGAGCUCGGUAUGGUUUAGGCGCGACGAAUCAUCUCUAACAAGUUCUGUGUGUCAGAUCCUCUUCUCGCUGCCUACGGCCGGGAGGUAAAGCAUGCCAGGCUCCAGGACCGCUGCCUCCACAUCCCGUCUGGGUUCUUGGGCCAUUACAACCUGUCCAAGCUCUGGGUCCAUCCAAACUACCUUUUCAUGGAUCAGUUCAUUGCGGAGAAGUGGAGCAGGGUCGUGAAUGAGAGGAAAGGGUUGAAGAACUUCCACAUUGUCUCAACGCCAGGUAUCGGCAAGACGUUCUAUGGCCACUACUUCUUUCACAGUAGAGCUCAGGAAGGACAGAAAGUAGUUUGGAGGACGAAAGAUGACAAUCCAGACUUCUUUUUCUUCGACUUCUCGCUGGAUGACCCUCUAGUGCUGCAAUCGAAAUGGUAUACACGACCGCGGGGAUGGGACAUGACGAGUGUCUGGCUCAUCGUCGACGGGGGCUCGAGGGGAAUAAGUCACCUGGGGCCUCUCAUCCAAUGCGUCUCACCGGAUCGCACUGGCUACUACGAGUUCUCCAAGGACCAUGGCUAUAUAUGCCGCCUGGAAGCCUGGUCGCUCGAGGAGGUGCAGCAGUGCAACGAGGAGCUUGAGCUGGGAAUGACAGACGAGGAAAUUGGUCUCCGCUUUUACCACUGUGGUGGGCUACCAAGGCUUCUCUUCAACACGGAGAAGUUCUCGUUGGCCGGGCUCAAAGCGGAGGUGCACCAAGCAGCGUCAAGGGUGGAAUGCUGGCGGAAAGUGCUUGACUGCGCAAUGAACUCGGACAAGGUCUCUAAUGUUUCUGAUAUUCUGCUCCACUACCGUCUUACGACUGACAGAUUCGACUUGAACACACCUGCGUGUUACCGGGUGCUGCACGCUCACUUGGUGUUUGGCUCGGACUACAUCCAGAAGUUGGCUUUUGAAAAGUUCGAGGAGCAGGGGUUUCAGGCUUCGCGUGACUUCUUUGACUUUUGCCAGGGACAUGCGGUUGCAAACUCUUUGGCGGGCAAAAUGUACGAGAAGCACGUCCACAAGGUACUUGCUAGUGGAGGUUCCCAGUUUGACCUUCGGUCCUUGGAAGAGGAAGACGACGGCGUUGAACGCUUCGUUCUGAGGCCAACGUCAGUGAAGCGGCUGCGCGAGUGGAAAGUGUUCGUAAAGAAGCGCUGCGUGGGGUCUGGUUUCAACAUAUACUCCAAGGACGUGAGUCCUGUGGACGCUCAUCGUGCGGGGACGGAGGAAUCACGGGGCCUUGCAGGCUUACCUGACAGUUGCUUUGUGGAGCCUUAUGCGUCAAACCAGAAAUCUUUCGAUUCGCUGGUCACUCCGGACAUAAUUCUCCAGGUUACAACGUCGGACACGCAUCCGGUCUAUUGGUCCAAGAUCCACGAGGUCGCUCAGGGGUUGGAUGAGUUGCAUGAUGAGCUCGAGCUCAUGCGUCCCAACAAGUACAAACUCAUCUUCGUUGUUCCAGAGUCUAGUUUUGAGGGAUACACGUACCAGGGCUUCAAGAAAGACGAUGGAUCAAUGUAUCAGAGAGCUGUUGCCGGGAUGGACAGGGUCCAUCAGUAUGUGAUGACGGUUCCAUGGACGUCGUCGUGAUUUUCAGCAUGGAAGUCUUGUAAAAAAUAUGAAAAAAAUAUAAAGUUGGUAGUUAAGUCUUUACGACAAACUCUAGCACAUGGUGUCCCAGCCGGUCACUCUUCUUAUUACAUUCACUAAACGAAACCAUGGUCGAGCAUUGUGAUUCAUCCAAAGUGUGAUUAACACCACUGAAAUGUAUCAAUCCAGCUCCCUAAUUUUCAACUCGAAACUAUUGUUGCAAAUGAUUAAAUCCAUGCUUUCAACCUCCUAAUAUCACAGGAAUUUUUUUCAAUGUUAGAGUUGCUUCCCAAGUUUAACCAUUGUUGUGUGCAAAUAACAAGAGUUUAUAUGUUGAAAUCAAACAAUGUAAAGAAAGUUAUGUCAAGGAGCCACCAAUAGCAGGCUGGAUCAACUGGUUACUCAAGCUUCACAAUCACACCAAGAAACAGGAUACAGGGAAAGCAGUCCACCUCCAGAUGAUCACCUGCAGCUACCACUGCAAUUGCUACCUUUGCAACCUUCCCAUCCAGAUAUAUGGCUAUUGAGGAGCUCCUUUCUAUUAUCAAGUUCUUAGAAAGGAACUUGAUAAUAGGCUUUAUAAGAAUUAAGAGAAAAGACUUAUAAUCUCUUGCAUUUGUGUAAGUUGCAUAUUUAUUAUGUUGUGGCCAAAUGCAAGAUGCAUAUCUAUUAUGUUGUGGCAUGUUAGGAAUCCCCAUGAAUUUGUGAAACAAGCAAUCCAAUUCAAACUUCUCAAUUAAAUCCCUCUUUCAUGCAAUCUGGUAAAUUAUUUUCAUCAAGGUUAUCAUACAUUAGUGCUCUUGAGAGUUCACUAUCACCAUAUAUAUAGUGGUGCGUUCCUCUCUUUCCAUUUCUUCUCAACAGUAAUAUUAUUUUCAGAUUUGGUAUAAGUCUUGAUGGCUCUUUUUUGCAAGGUUAUUCAGCCUGCUCUCAAUGCAAAAAAUUAGACAACUGCUGUGCUCUCUAGAGACCCGCAGAAAGAAAAUCUCUCAAAAAAGAAAGAAAAAAAGUAUGACUCCAUCUCUUGCUUAAAUGCUCAACUCUCUACCCCAUCUUCUCAGUUUUGAUGUCUCAUUGGAAGGCAUUUGACCCCAUGCCAUCAAGUGUAGAGAGAUCCUUGAAGUGACACCACUAGCAAACCUCAAACAACUCCAAAGUUUCCUUGGCCAAACUGGAUCCUUUUGAUAGUUCAUACCAAAUUUCAUUGCUCUCACUCGUCCAUUGGUAGCUCUGCUCAAACAUGACACACUAUGAGUGGACUGCAAAAUAGCAAUAGGUGUUUGCAAUUGUCUGUCAAACCCUAGGGGGCUCCAAAAGUAAGGGAAGACUUUAGUGGAACUAAUUUGGCCAGAAAAUGCUAGUGUGACUAAGGAAGGUUAUACUCACAUGGUGGGUGAUGAUAUAAUUAUUGAGGAGUCCAAGGUUAGAGUGAACAUGGAUAAACAAGUGGGGUAAUUUUAUAAAGUGUUCAUGAGCCAGAUCUAGCUCCUUUAGGAGAUCGAAUGGUCAAUGCUCUCAAUCCAAGUGUGGGUAACAUUAUUGUUAAGCGCCAGUUUUGACCACAUGGUUGACGUCAGUCAAAAGGAGGCUCAAGGGUAUAUUAAAGCAUGUUAGGGUAAGGAACUUAACUUACCCUAAGGCUCACAAUGGAGUGGUGGCAUAGUGGAGCUUUUGAGGUAACUUGAGGGUGGUUGGGUGGUGAGGAAUCUUAAGAGGAGGCAUAGCGUAGUCUAGGAAAACUAGAUCUUUGUCUUUUUGUGCUAGAUUAUAAUAUUGGUAUUAGAGAGUUGGUUGCGAUGGCCAACCAAAUUGAAUGUUGGAAUCUUAUUGUCAAUGGUGGUGCCGAAGAUGGUGCUAACGGAACUGUAGAGGUUUAGAUUAUUCAAGAUGUUAUUCAUGAGCUGUGAGCCCUUAACCAAAAUCAGCAAAAGAUGCAAGAUGAGAUGCAUAGCAUGAUGGAUACCAUGUGUGAGUGUGUUGAGGUAUUUGAGGUUGGAUGUGGUAGCUCUCCAAGUAAGUCUUCCUUAGUAGAUCAACUCAAGAUUCCAACCUUUUCUGGUGAUGGUGGUGUGGACGAGUGUCUAUCUUGGCUAGCCAAUGUGAAGAAGUUCUUGCUACUAAAGGAACUCUAGAUGUAGAGACUUUAGUGGUUAUUUCAAUGGUUUUGUGUGAUGUAGGUAUUUGAUUGUGGAAUUUGCUUAAGGAGUCUUAUAUUGCAAAUAAGAAACCACUAGUGUCUACCAUGGAUGUAUUUGAGGCUCCUUUCAUUUAUGUUUUGCCCCUCAUUAUGAUGUGAAGAAUGCUCACAUAGAACUUCAACAUUUUCAGCAAGGGAAAAUGACACUCAAGAACUAUAUUGAGAAGCUUACUCGCUUGAUUAACCAUGUUUCAACAAAGGAUCUAGAUCAGAAUAAACCCUACUUUAUUAAUGGCCUUCAUAGUGAAAGUAUGCAACAACAUUGUGUCAUUCUUAGCCUACAAAGAGUUUGGAAGAGUUUUUUGAUGUGGCUCGUCGACUUAACAAUGACAAGCACAAAUCUCACAAAUGUUUGAGGAUUCCUUCUAUCAAGAAUUGUCGUGAUGAUCACUGUGGAUGCAAGGAUGGAAACAAGUAUCACAAAAUUGAAAUCUGUGGUGGCUACUUCAUAUGCAAAGGGGUCAAAGAAGUAGAAGUUCUUUAUGAAGAAUUAUAGACAGGGUUGUCAUUAUUGCAGUGAGCUUAAACACUACAAGGUUGAUUGUCUACAGUUGUAGUAGCAGGGCAAAAAGAAUGGCUAAUCUUCUACUGAUGGUAAGUUAGAUAUUAAAAGUUGCAAACUUUGCAACGUGAGGAUGACGGGGACAACCAUUCUAGUCAGAGGAAGAGGUUUUCGAUUGUUGCCUUCCAACUCAAUUGUGUGUGGAACAAGAUGGAGCUUGAGAGCACUUGUGAAUCAACUUUAAUGCUGGAUAUUCCAUGGUGGUCUAGUGUGGAUUUUAUUAGAUAGCAGGAACAAUGACCACUUUCUUUUGGCAAAUUUUGUUGUGGAGUAUAGUCUGGUCUUCCAUAUGUGGUGGAAGGUGUAGCUACCUUUUCUUAACAUUUCGAUGCUUGUGCAGAGGGGUUGGAAGUGUUGGUUAGCAAAACCACAUUUGUGGAGACUUUUUAUCUCACGGAUAUCCAUCGUGUGGAUCUCAUUCUUGGGAUGCCAUGGUUAGUGAAGGUGGAUCCAAAGAUAAAGUGGAGUAUUAAGUGUGUCUUAUUGGAGUAUAAUGGCAUUAAAGAUGUGUGGUUUCAAGAGGGAGUUCAACCUUUAGUUGUUAUGCUUUCUAAUACAUCUUUAAAGUGGGUUUGUUAUAAUGGAAAAACAUUUUCGAGUUAUUUGCUAUUUGUUUAUGACAUGGGGGACUAAGGCAUGUGUGUGGGAGAAAUAGCAAUAUGGGAUGUACUUGACGAGUUUUCUGAUGUUUUUCCAUCUGAACUUCCUCAUGGGUUGCCUUCAUUAUGAGGUGUGGAGCAUGGGAUUACAUUGGAGCCAAGGAUGUGGCCAAUUUACUAGUGUCCAUUUUGGUUAAGUUAUGCGGAGGAGCAAGAAGUUCAAUGACAAGUCAAGGAGUUACUUGAGUUUAGAUUUAUUCAACCAAGUAAAUCUUCGUUUGGUGCUUUGGUUUUACUUAUGAAGAGAAGGAUGAUUCAAUGCAAAUGUGUAUUAAUUAUUGUGCCUUGAACAAAAGUACAAUAAAGGAUAAAAUGCCGAUACCGCAUGUGAAUGAUAUCUUUGACAAGUUUGGUGAAGCACGAGUGCUUACCAAGAUUGAUAUAAGGAGUGGAUAUUAUCAGAUUGCAAUGAAUGAUGUAUCUAUCUCCAAAACAGCAUUUAACACAAGCUUCAGACAUUUUGAGUUUAUAGUUAUGCCGUUUGAUUUAAUGAAUGCACCAGCCACAUUUACUCGGUUGAUGAUGGAGGUAUUUAGGUGUUAUCUUCAUGAGUUUGUGGAAAUUUUCUUGGACGAUAUUCUUUUUUUCAGCAAAAAUAUGAAGGAAUAUAAGGUGUAGUUGCACAAGGUUCUUUUGUUACUCCAUAACAGCAAACUUUAUUUGUGAAAAUCAAAUGUGGUGGUAGAUGCUUUAUCUCAUGUUUAUCAUGUGACGGCGUUAUGAACAUGGUUUUGUCAUCAUUUGAGUAAGGUGGUCAAUGAGUUUGGGCAGUUGGUUGAGCAUGCUCAAGCUUAGGAUGCUGAGGUGGCCUCUUUGUGAGACCAAAUGGAAGCACCUUUUUUAUUGGUGGAUGGGAUUCUUGUUAUGAUUUAGUGCGAAAAGACAAGGUUUAAUCUUCCUAGACUAUGCUAUGCUUCUUCUUGAGAUUCCUCACCACCCAACCACCCUCGAGCUACCUCAAAAGCUCCAUUAUGCUGCUGCUUCAUUGUGAGCCCUAUGGUAGGUUAAGUUCCUUACCCUAACAUGCCUUAAUAUACCCUUGAGCCUCUCUUUGACCAACAUUGACCACAUGGUCAAAAUUGGCACCUAACAAUACUUCCCCACCCCCUUCCGCCCCACUAAUGAACUUUGAAUCUCAAUCACUAAUAAUGUCCUUUGGCAAACCAAAAUUAAGAAAAACCUUCUCCAAGUAAACCACAACAAAGUUUGAGGUAGUAAUAGUCUUCCAAAGAGCCACUAGUAAAAAAGGUGCUUCUAUUUGGUCUCACAAAGAGGCCAUCUUAGUAUCCUAAUCCUAAGCAUGCUCAACCAACUACCCAAACUUGCUAACCAUCUUACUCAAAUGAUAAGAAAACCAUAUUCGUAAUGCCAUCACAUGACAAACAUAAGAUAAAGCAUUUGCCACCAUAUUUGAUUUUCCCAAACGAUGUUCUAUAGGAAACUGUAAGCUCCUAAGUUUGGACUUCUCAGGAGGUCACCCAACCCAGUACUAUUCACACCCAAGGACGCUUAACCCUAAAUAUCCUAAGACCCUUAACCGGCCCUUUCCCUCUAUAUUUGAACCCCAUGGAUCAUCUCUCAAGUCAUUCUCUUUGGUUAUUUAAAAUCCACCACGCUUCCCUGUAAGUUCACGCCCUCAUGAACGGAAGCUGAGAGCCGCAACUCUCCCGAGAGCCCUGCUCUCUUGACACCCUACCCCUUAAGUCGAGCCCAAUGGGAGCAAAUUGGACCAGUUAGAUGUCAAUCAAUAUAUGGUGUGAUUCCCCUAGCCAACCAACAGAGUUGAACCCAAGACCGCUCUGAUACCAAAUGUAAGCUUUUGAGUUUGGACUUCCCAGGAGGUCACCUAGCCUAGUACUAUUCAAAUCCAAGGACACUUAACCCCAAAUAUCUCAAAACCUUUAACCGAUUGGAAAAGAGGUGCACUCUUGUUUAUGGGCCCUUUCCCUUUAUAUUUGAACCCUAAAGAAUCGUUUCUCAAAUCGUUUUCUUUGGUUGCUUAUAGAAACUCCCCAAACUCCAUAAGCUUGACCAUCCAAUGAGCUCACCUAGUGUUCCUCUUGCAUGAGAACUCCUCCCAAUGCCUAACCACUCGCAUCACAUGUUGCCUCGUAAGGUUUUGAUAGAUCAGCAAUGUGAAGUACUGAACAACCAUUUCAACACCACAAAACUGAGGCUGGGUAGUUUUUGAGCUGAGCUCAAGUCAAUGAAAGUCAAUAUAGUCCACCAAAUACAAAAUUUGAUGUUUAAAUGAUUGGUUUGGGACGAAUAACAAUUAUAUUCAAAACUUAAGACAUAUUUUCAGUCCAAGAAAAAGAUAAAUAAUAUAAGUCCAAUAAGAAAAUAAAUAUCAUAAGUCAAAGAAGAAACUCUAUAUUACCACUAAAAAAUUUGACUAAAAAAAAAACUAAACUUAGUCUUCCUCAACAUCCACAUCCAUAAAAGGAGGAGUCUAUAUACUAUUAUACUCUUUAACUGUGGGCUCUUGUUGUAUAUGAGCUUGUGCCAUUGCUUCUGCAUAACAUGGCAAAUUAUAACUUACAUCAUCGAUCCACCUAAUAUACACAACUAUGAUAGCGUUACUAUAAUGAGAAAUUUAUACUUUAUUAUCACCUGUUAUGAAAUGUCCCAAGAACACCUUCAAAUAAACUCUCCUUCUCUAGUGCAAAAACUGCAUGGCCAGUCUUUUUAGCCGCUAGCACCAUCGAACCAAAAUCUACUGUAGCAUCAAGCAUAAUCCCCUUAGGAGGACAAAACAACUCUAAAAGGAUUUGCAUGGCCUUUGGUGAAUGGUGUCGAUAGUUAGGGAACUCUAUAUGAUGGUCUUUGUUGAUGACAUUUAGGAUGAUAUCUGUUGAGCUAUCAUAUCCUAGCAAUGCCAAACUUGCACGCUCAUCAGCUCAUAUAAUACUGUGACGGCAAGAAUAGCAACAGAGAGUAUGGUAAUUCCAUGCUAAAACCUACAAUGAAAAGAGGCAAUCAAUUUAUGAUAUGAAAAAUAAGGAAACGCAAACCUUUUGGAUUCGGCCAUUUGCUCCUUUUGUUUUGACUGGGAUGUUUGAGAGUAGGCAGCCUAAUGCAAACUCAACAAAUCUCGAGUCAUCAUUCUCCAUCAUCAUUGCAAAAAGACCUCUCCAAAAUAAAGAAUAGGGAAGAAUGACUAGCAUAAUGCCGUCAUAUCACAACACCUUGGAUGCCACAUCCACCGCUUAAGAAAUAUGGUCUGGCUGAAGGAUGUUCCAAGAUAGAGUGUCGCCUUAUAAAGGUGGUAAUGCAUUAGGCAAGUUGAAGAAUGCAAGGUUGAUGCUGAAGGUAUUGUUCAUUUCCAAUCUUUGCAUCCAUCUAUGGAACAUAAAAGACUCUAGGCUCACGUCGUUGGAAAGCUGAAAUUAAUCCCCAAUAACUAUUUCCACAUUGCCAACACUUCCCGUAGGAGAAAGGGGGUGAACCUGAAUAAUGUUCAAAAUUAGGAAAUAUUAAAGUUAAUACAUGUUUUUUUUCAUACUUGUUUAUGUGAAGCCGAUGAAGAUAACUCUUGGAAGUCAUCCUCUAUAGCAGUAGGGAGGGGUGGAAAGAAUGCAUUUGCGCACCAGCAUAUAGAGUGCUGGCUAGUUUCUCCAACAUCUACAACCAAAUUACAAUAAGCAAGGUCAUUGGAAAUUAAGUUUUUAUUCUUUGAAUGUUCUCACUAUAGAGUGUAAAAGACUAAAUUUUCCAUUCUACUUUAGUCACUUAACCACACCUCCGACCACUUGGAGGAGUCUCACUCACAACCUCUAUAAGUCCUAUUUCAGACUUGGGCUUGCUAGCCCCGAGAAUGGCAUCCCCGCCAUUCAACCUUUGCACUUGGUCUAAGUGCUCCACGUGUUCGAUCCCAUGACCGACACCCCAAGAUACCAUCGGCAUAUCAGCUUGUUACGCUAAGGCCAUGCCCCUUCACCUUGGUCACACCGGUGGUCUCACAUCACCUGCCUCACAUACCCGUCUCUCAAGGACUGGGCCAUCCGUCCAUGCGUGAUCAUCCCAGAUCCACUCCUUAUGAUGCCCACAGACAUGGGGAUUAGCCUUCCCCAAUAUCCCUUUUCCAGUCCCCAUCAAGUCCCUUUCUGUCCUUGGCCGUGUUCGUCAACACUGCCAUUGGAUCAAGGCCCACAGGCCCGACCACUAAGUCCCACGGUCCUCUGGGACUUCCUCCUCACAUGACCAUAUCCUUGGUCUCUACACUAGAGGACGGCUCCUCUUUCUUUUCACAGUCUGGGACUUUGGGGCAACAUUUCGGAACACCGUGGCCUUAUGCGAGCCUCAUGGGUACUCUCCCUGCCUUCCGCCUUUGGGUGCUCUAGCCAUGGGCUUAGAGCGAGGUUCCAUUGAGCCACACCUAGUAUCUAAGUAGGUAGUGCCACCCACACUUGGACUGGGAGCAUCGGCCAAUUGAUCUCCCAGGGGAAUUAGAGCCGGCUCUUGAACACUUCACCAAGCUACCCCACUUGUCGGUCCGUGUUCACUCUAGUCUUGGACUUCCCAGUGGGCAACUCAUCACCCAACACUAGGUACAGCCUUUCUGGGCCAAACUAGCCUUUCCUGGCCAAACUAGCUCCACUGCAGUCCUCCCCCUACUAUACUUUUGGAGCUCACCAAACCCCCCAGGGUCUGGGAGACGAACGCUUUGGGCUUUCACCCUCUCAGACUCGAACUUGGACUCGGACUCGGACUCAGACUUGGACUCGGACUCGGGCUUGGGCUCGGGCUUGGGCUCGGUCUCGGCCUCGGUCUCAGCCUUGGCCUCGGUCUCAGCCUCGGUCUCGGUCUCGGUCUUGGUCUCGGUCUCGGUCUCGGUCUCGGUCUCGGUCCCAGUCUCGGUCUUGAUCUCGACUUUGGACUCCAUCUCGGGUCCUUCUUAGACUCCAUCUCGGAUUCCAUCUCGGGUCCAUCUCAGACUCCGUCUCGGUCCAUCUCGGACUCCAUCUCGGACUCCAUCUCGGGUCCAUCUCGGACUCCAUCUCGGACUCCAUCUCGGGUCCAUCUCGGACUCCAUCUCGGGUCCAUCUUGGACUCCAUCUCGGACUCCAUCUCGGGUCCAUCUCAGACUCCAUCUCGGACUCCAUCUCGGGUCCAUCUCGGACUCCAUCUCGGACUCCAUCUCGGGUCCAUCUUGGACUCCAUCUCAGACUCCAUCUUGGGUCCAUCUUGGACUCCAUCUCGAACUCCAUCUCAGGUCCCUUUUCUAGAGACUCUCUUAUGGCUUGCUUCAUGCUCGUUCCUUGAGCACUCCGUUGGGAGUUCAAGUCGGAGCUUUUAGUCCAAACGUGUUACGCUUGUUUGACUUUCGCUUCAGCCACUACCAUGUGGUGCCCUUUCGGCUCCACUUUGGGGCUUAGGGAUUUGUGUCUCACAUGGAGCUACCUUCGUACAUUUCGAGUAGUCGGGGCUGGACAAGCAGUAACAGUAGGAUUUGGGGAAUGAGAAAUUGCUGUAGGAUGAGAUGGGGUAGGAGAGUUUUCAGCCAGAUUCUCCACUUGUUCCUUUUUGGUUUGCUCAAUAUGAAUCUUAUCCAUGUCCUGAGGCAUCUCCACUCCCUUCAAAAGUGCCUUUAUAAUAAAGUAGAAACAUAAAUUACUACUAGGAAGUUUUACUCAUCAAACUUGGAUGACACUUGAGGUAGAGAUCAAGCUCAAAAGGUGACGAUGGCAUUUUCCUCCACCACUCCAAGUACCAUGGACAAAGUUCUUGCUCUUGCGCAGUGGGACAAUGGAACUCUGGCUCAUACAUGCCAAGCUUCUUCCCACCAGUUAAGAGCUUGAGAAAAACACUUGCUAUGUACACUGGAGCACUUGGGCAAUGAUUUAAAUACCUACAAAAGAGCCAUGAUUAAAUAAGCAAGUCAAUUUCUUGCAAUAUACCUAUACGCCAUGUGGCACAAGAAAAAUGGUUGGCUCAGCUGGUUUUUGAAAUCCAUGGAGCUUGAGUUGCCAUCAAGAAGCCAUCCAUCCCCAAGCUCUUGAAGGGAAUCUUAGACAUAUUUUAGAAGUGUUAUGCUGGUGCAGGCACUAGUAAAGGACUUUGUAUCCCAUGCUUGAAGUAGCUCCUCAGCAACCGCAAUACUCUAAGUGAUAUAGAGCUUUUCCUUCAUAAUAUUCUCAAGUUUGCUCUCCAACCUCUUAUCAUUGUUAGGAUGCUAAAUGUUGAAGAGCUCCAAGCAAGCGGUUUGUUUGUUGAAAGAGAGCUUGCUUUUUGUGAUGUUAUAGAUCAAUUCUUUAGGUGCUUUACAAUUUCCUGUAAGGAUAAUUCAAAGUGGAAUGAGAAAGAUAAAAAGGAUUAACUUACUGCCACAAGAGCAUAUCUCUACAAUGCAAUCCAGCCAAUUUUUAUCAUGUCGAAUGUGCACAAUCGCAAGUAGCUUCUUCACCUUUGAUUUCUUCAAGUUCAAAAUAUGCUGCUCAACUUGUCGCAAUUCAAGGUUCUUUUCCACUUCAUUUGUCACUUGCAUAAUCUUCAAAUAUUGAGUUUUGCUCCACCUUGACAAUUGGCUAAAAGGAAAACUUGUGAGUAGAAAACACAAGUUUAUGCAAGAAAAGGAUACUUUUGCCCAAACCGCAACCAAAAAAUCCACUUAAUACCAAGUAAGCAACUCUUGGCCUUUAUGUGCUACAAGCUUUUCUUAAACUUCUUCCAUAACUUCACAACUAUACAACAUUGAGAUUUCCUUGAGAGAAAGCAUGUCAACAUAUUGAAAGUGCUCAAUAUCAUGGACUAAGAUAUGUGCUUGGAAAGAAAACUGAUUAAGCUUGUAACAUAGUUGGUGAGAACAAAGAUUACUAGUAAGGGAUUCUUACAUGUUGAUCUUGUGACAUGCUAAGUUAAACCUCACAACUUAGUUUCAAUCCUCUAUCUCCACAAGUGUUAUUAGAAGUUCCUUUUAUGGGGAACUCUACUUAAGCUCUUGGUCCAUUUUCCAUAGCCGUAUAUAUCAAGGAGGCAUUAGGCCUAUCACUCUAAGAUAGUACACUUUUCAACGCCUAUGAGUGCCUUCAAACUUUCCUCAGCCUUUGCCUCGAGCUAAAAAACAACAUAUUACGAACAUAAAAUACAAGAUGAAUUUUCACCCCAACUGGCAACUGCACCUAAUAAGCCGCUUUACUAAUGCACUCCAGCACUUCAUAUGGACCAAUAUAAUGAUGAGAAAGUUUCUCACUCUUCCCACUUCACCAAGGUGUUCUGCCACUCACUUGAUGAAAAGAUCACCCACCUUAUAUUCUUAGAAUUGGUGAUGCUCACUAGCAAACUUCUCCAUUGUAUCUUGAGUUGCUUAUAAAUUUCGUUUGCACACCACUAGAAUCUCAUCAAGUUCUAUGGCUAGAUCAAUUCCCUCAGAAUCAAGUUUAUCUUCAACAUCUUUACUCAAAUGCAAUUGCAACUCUAUUGCUAUAGCACACUUUAUCUCUCUCCUCUUAAGUCAACUGGAAAAGGGGCAAUUGUUUGAUGAGAGAGCCCUUAGUGCCUAUUUUAUCCCCCUUUAUCCCCCAAGGUUCCAAGGAUCCAUGGUGAUAGUAUUUCCAAAUCUCAUCCCAUGAUUACAUACGCUACAAUUGUUGUUUAAGGAUGCCUUCCAAACAUGGCAGAGUAAGGACUUAACUUAGUUCCACUAUGUUGGCUAUUGUUAUAUACAAAUUGCACCAACGGAAGGUAUAGAUCCCACUGUCCCUACCUUUGACUAAGUGUAGUAUAUCCUUCACAACGUGAUUCACACACUUGGUUUGCCCAUCCGUCUAAGUCUCCACUCGAGAGUUNNNNNNNNNNNNNNNNNNNNNNNNNNNNNNNNNNNNNNNNNNNNNNNNNNNNNNNNNNNNNNNNNNNNNNNNNNNNNNNNNNNNNNNNNNNNNNNNNNNNNNNNNNNNNNNNNNNNNNNNNNNNNNNNNNNNNNNNNNNNNNNNNNNNNNNNNNNNNNNNNNNNNNNNNNNNNNNNNNNNNNNNNNNNNNNNNNNNNNNNNNNNNNNNNNNNNNNNNNNNNNNNNNNNNNNNNNNNNNNNNNNNNNNNNNNNNNNNNNNNNNNNNNNNNNNNNNNNNNNNNNNNNNNNNNNNNNNNNNNNNNNNNNNNNNNNNNNNNNNNNNNNNNNNNNNNNNNNNNNNNNNNNNNNNNNNNNNNNNNNNNNNNNNNNNNNNNNNNNNNNNNNNNNNNNNNNNNNNNNNNNNNNNNNNNNNNNNNNNNNNNNNNNNNNNNNNNNNNNNNNNNNNNNNNNNNNNNNNNNNNNNNNNNNNNNNNNNNNNNNNNNNNNNNNNNNNNNNNNNNNNNNNNNNNNNNNNNNNNNNNNNNNNNNNNNNNNNNNNNNNNNNNNNNNNNNNNNNNNNNNNNNNNNNNNNNNNNNNNNNNNNNNNNNNNNNNNNNNNNNNNNNNNNNNNNNNNNNNNNNNNNNNNNNNNNNNNNNNNNNNNNNNNNNNNNNNNNNNNNNNNNNNNNNNNNNNNNNNNNNNNNNNNNNNNNNNNNNNNNNNNNNNNNNNNNNNNNNNNNNNNNNNNNNNNNNNNNNNNNNNNNNNNNNNNNNNNNNNNNNNNNNNNNNNNNNNNNNNNNNNNNNNNNNNNNNNNNNNNNNNNNNNNNNNNNNNNNNNNNNNNNNNNNNNNNNNNNNNNNNNNNNNNNNNNNNNNNNNNNNNNNNNNNNNNNNNNNNNNNNNNNNNNNNNNNNNNNNNNNNNNNNNNNNNNNNNNNNNNNNNNNNNNNNNNNNNNNNNNNNNNNNNNNNNNNNNNNNNNNNNNNNNNNNNNNNNNNNNNNNNNNNNNNNNNNNNNNNNNNNNNNNNNNNNNNNNNNNNNNNNNNNNNNNNNNNNNNNNNNNNNNNNNNNNNNNNNNNNNNNNNNNNNNNNNNNNNNNNNNNNNNNNNNNNNNNNNNNNNNNNNNNNNNNNNNNNNNNNNNNNNNNNNNNNNNNNNNNNNNNNNNNNNNNNNNNNNNNNNNNNNNNNNNNNNNNNNNNNNNNNNNNNNNNNNNNNNNNNNNNNNNNNNNNNNNNNNNNNNNNNNNNNNNNNNNNNNNNAGCAAGCCUUCAUUGGUAGAUCAACUCAAAAUUCCAACCUUUUCUAGUGAUGGUAGUGUGGACGAAUAUUUUAUUUGGGUAGCCAAUGUGAAGAAGUUCUUGGCUACUAGGGGAACUCUGGAUGCAAAGGCUUUAGUGGCUAUUCUAAUAGUUUUGUGUGAUACAGAUCUCUAGUGGUGGAAUUGUUUUGAGGAGUUUCGUGAUGCAGAUAAGAAACCAUUAGUAUCUACCAUAGAUGUGUUUGAGGUUAUUUUUCUUUUAUGUUUUGCCCCUCAUUACGAUGUGGAAAAUGCUUGUAUAGAAUUUUGACAUUUUCAGCAAGAGAAAAUGACGUUCGGGAACUAUAUUGAGAAGCUUACUCGCUUGAUUAGCCAUAUUCUAAUAAAGGAUCUAGAUCAGAAUUUGUUUUGGUAAAUUUUGUUGUGGAGCAUGGCCUAGUGACACAAGGAAUUCUUUCAUAUAUGGUGGAAGGUGCAACUACCUUUGUUUAGAAUUUUGAUGCUUGUGUAGAGGGGUUUGAAGUGUUGGUUGGCAAAACCACACUUGUGGAGACUUUUUAUCUCACAAAUAUCUAUUGUGUGGAUCUCACUCUUGGGAUGCCAUAGUUAGUGAAAGUGGAUCCAAAAAUAAAAUGGAGUAUUAAGUGUGUCUUAUUGGAGUAUAAUAACAUUAAAGAUCUGUGGUUUCGAGAGGGAGUUCAACCUCUAGUUGUUAUGCUUUUUGAUACAUCUUUGAAGCCGGUUUGUCAUAAUGGAAAAACACUUUUAAGUUACUUACUGUUUGUUUGUGACAUGGGGGACUAAGGCACAUGUGGGAGAGAAGCAGCAGUAUGGGAUGUACUCGAUGAGUUUUCUGAUGUUUUUCCAUCUGAACUUCCUCAUGGGUUACCUCCCUUAUGAGGUGUGGAGCAUGGGAUUAUGUUGGAGCUGGGGAUGUGGCCAAUUUACCAGUGUCCAUUUCGAUUAAGUUAUGCGAAAGAGCAAGAAGUUCAAUGACAAAUCAAAGAGUUCCUUGAAUUUGGAUUUAUUCAACCAAGUAAAUAUCUAUUUGGUGCUCUAGUCUUGCUUAUGAAGAAGAAGGAUAAUUUAAUAUGAAUGUGUAUUAACUACCGUGCUUUGAACAAAAGGACAAUGAAGGAUAAAAUGCCAAUGCCACGUAUGGAUGAUAUUUUAAACAAGCUUGGUGAAGCAUAAGGGUUUACCAAGAUUGAUCUAAAAAGUGGGUAUUAUCAGAUUGCAAUGGAUGAUACAUCUAUCUCCAAAAUGGCAUUCAAUACAAGCUUCGGACAUUUUGAGUUUACGGUUAUGCUGUUUGGUUUGAUGAAUACACCAGCCACAUUUACUUGAUUGAUGACGUAGGUAUUUGGGCAUUUAUCUUCAUGAGUUUAUAGAUAUUUUUUUGGACGAUAUUCUUGUUUCUAGCAAGAAUAUAGAGGACCAUAAGGUGUAUUUGCACAAGGUUCUUUUGUUAUUCCAAAUGACAUAGUCCCACAAUAGUAAAUGCAGCUUGAUUGGCAGCCCUUUACCCCUAGAUCUCGAAAGCUCCAGAAACAUGGUACUACUGAAGAACUUGAACUUGAGCGCACAAAUGCAAGACACUAACCUCAACUCCCAAUCAUUCUAAAGCAAUGCACAUUACUCUUGGCACUGACUCUUCAAAUUGCCCAGUUGAUACGAGAAACUAGCUGACGAGCAAUAAUCUUCUUAACCUCUAGCACUGGAUUUACUUGUGUAACAACUGGCACCUCCUCCACUCCAUGUUCCUUAGGUCUUCUUCAGUAUCGUGGAACACAAUAGUGGUCAAACUCUAGAUAGUGAGAGCUAGAAGGAAUGAUGUUGGGCCCAUCAAAUGUCUAUCGAUGCUUCAUACAGGCUGUCCUCAUGUCCCCAAGUGGUUCAUAACUUGAUUCUAUAGGAGUUUGAAUAACAACUUCCUCCACCAUCUUAGACAUUGACUUUGCUGUUAGUGUUGUCCUUCUACCAACCUACUCUCGAAGUUUAUCUAAGUUUGGACCUAUAUUAGCAAAACUUGUUUCUUGUGUAGUUAAAACUUUUGAUGACUGCUUAAGAGAUCUAGUGAGGUUGGAGGGUGUAGCUUCAUAGACUGACAUUUUUCCUUUCCCUGCUUUAGAAGUUCUCCAACUCCAAUAUUUGCUCUCAAAGAGAUUAAUUAUUGGUGUAAGUGCAAUGUCAUCAAAUGGUUGAUUCUAGGAAAAAUGAAAUAUUUGAAUGUGACAAGAAAGAAAAUAAGAGAAAACUUACAUGGAGAAUAUAAUGGCCCCAUUGAAACAUUCAAACUUCCCACCAUGCAAGCCAGCAUUCCAUUUGAGGAAGGUGUUCAAUUGGCACUUUAUCUUUUUCACACCACCAUAUAUGCAUCCCAUUUGUUUUUGCCUUGUGCUCCUCUUUAGUUAGUGCAUCCAUCCAUUUCUGAUAAAGUUGCUUAAACUUGUGAUGGAAGCUAAACUUGAUGCAUCGGCAAUGUUUGUUAACACUCUUUGCCCAAUGAAAUACACAACUCUUCUCUCUAUCUUGUAAUAGUUAACUUUUAUCACCUCUAAAUACUUGUCACACAGCCAACUAGUUAGCACUAAUAGCAUCUACCAUGAAACUGUGGAAGUUGGGUUUCUUCCUGGUUCACUGUUCAACAACCUUGGAUAUACAUGUCCAAAAGACGGUUUGAGCUUAAAAAUUUUAAAUUUUGAAUUCAACUAUAGCUAUAAGUUGCAUUGCAACCUAUAGAAGGAAUGGUUAUAAUGUAAAUUGGUAUGGAAUCCUUAAAAAAUGAAUAACCACUUGUGAUUAUAAACAUGGGCUCCUAUUGUUGACCAACCUAAAACUCAUUCCAUGUGGUUGAAAUGAAUUUAGGAAUUAGCCAAGUCCUCGUCUCCAUCCAUAUCCAUUCACUAUACAAGGUCCACACCAGAAGUAGAACCAAGGGUGGACAUCUUAAAGAUGAAAGGGUGUUGACUGUUUAAAGUCACUUGGCCAACAAACAAGCUCCCAUGAAUAAACUUAUAAGGACAUUUUCUUUUUAACUCCAAAAUUGCAUCCAAUCCAAAUUAAAGCUUUCCAUUUCGCCCUUCUCAUAUCCAGUUCUUUAUUCUGCCAAAAAAAAGAGUGUUUCUAGUGACAAAGUAGAGUUAAGUAUUAAUUUUAUAUCUGUUUAAAUUUUUCACGGGUUCUAUAUUUUGAAGUAGGUUCUUCAAGUUGUUCUCCAUUAACUCUUUUUUGCUAUCAGCUUGUAGCAACGUGUUCACCACAUAGUCCUUUAGUACAGACUAUUGAACACACUUUGGAGUUGCAAUACUUUUCUUCCUAGCCUCUAUAAUAAUAGCAGCCUUCAAAUUGCAAAAAGAAUCAUAGCGAAUUCCUUCUUCUAUUGCGUGUUGGUGGUAUCUAACAUAGACUGCUACUUUGUCUAAACAUCCAUCCCAUGGAAAAAAAUAAUACAUUUUUGCAUCGCGACAUGCUUGACACACAAGUGUUGCCCCACAUUUGCAACAUCUAAACCCUAUAACAACCUCAUCACGCUUAGGGGGAUUGAUUGUUGAGCCUUUAAAGAAACAUACAUUCUUGCCAUGAUCAGAAAUGCAUUUCUUAGUGACACACUGAAGCUAUCCACCACAAUAAACUAUGGACACAGAUCUGUUGAAAUGGGAAAAGUGGGUCAUCUUUACUUUGCAUUAAUUAUGUGGACCAAGACACAUCUCCAUGCCCCUCUUCCUACUUGACAAACUGGGUGGUGGAAAUUCAAAGAAUAUAUUCCCAUUAUAGAAAGAUAGAAUCUCCUCACCUCUUAUGUACUAGAACUCCUUCAAUUCCAACCUUAAUGAUUGAGAUUGCUGAAAUGCCUUAUCCACCAUUUCAAAAACUGGUCCAAAAGGAAUGCAUCUACUUGUUUGGGAAGCUAUGUUGAGAAGCUCAUCUUUUUCACUUUCGUCAAUGGAAAGAAUAACAACUUCAUCUUUCACUCCUUGCACAAUUGGCUAUGAAACUAAUGCACUCUCCUCUACUCACUUUGGAGAUAUUGUAAUUAGAAUCUCUUGACCUGUACAUUUAUCAAGAUCCCAUUGAAUCCCAUUCUCUCCCACACCAGUAUUGAGAAGAAUGGAUUUUUCUAUCUGAUUACCCUUAUCUCAAGAAACAUUCUCCAAACUAACUAAUCUCAGCUUCAACUUGAAUCUUCUGCAGAGGAAGCUCUUUUCGAUAACACUCUUAGAGAAAACAAUUGGAAGCUCUUGAUCAAACUUCAAAUAGAAUUCUCUCAUAUCUUCUCUUUGCUAGAGUAGAAAAAAUUUGGGGAGAAACUAAGAAAACUUGUGGACUUUGUUGGGCAGGAAGAAUUGUUAGGUGCUAGCUUUGACUAUGUGGUCAAUGUCGGUCAAAGGGAAGCUCAAGGGUACAUUAAAGCAUGUUAGGGUAAGGAACUUAAAUUAACCUAGGGCUCACAGUGGAGUGGCAGCGCAAUGGAGUUUUUGAGGUAGCUCGGCAGAAACCUCAAAAGGUGUAGUGUAGUCUAGAAAGACUAGAUUUGUGCUAGAUCAUAAUAUGUACAUAAGUCAUAAUCACUACUAUGAAGGAAUGGCAAUAUUAUCUAUAUAAAUCAAACUUCCAUGUGGAUUUAAACCAUCAAUCUCUCCUAUAGUUCAGUCGUCAAAAGGAUAUUUGAAGUUGCCUUACUCAUUGGCAAUAGUUUCUAUAGAAGAUAUUUAUUAAAAUUUCGAUAUAAGCAUGGAAGUGACAAUAAGGUGGCUAAUGUAUUAUCCAAGAUGUUGAAUUCUAUCUUAUUCAUAAAGCUAUCCAAUGAUCUCUUGGAUGAGUUUAAAGAGUUUGUUGAUUUUGACUCCUUUAUCAUUAUUAUUUAUGUGAAGAUUUUGUCAAGGGAUGCCUUUAUAGCUUUGAAGGGUAACAAGUUUGUAUCAUUUGAGAUAUAAAAUAGAAUCAUGGUAAAGAGGGAUGUGUGAUAAUUCUUUUAUUAGCAAACAUAUCAAACAAAUCAUAAUUGAGUGUCAUGAUGUGCAAAGUGCUAGGCAUCUAGGGGUACUUAAGAUAUAUGUGUUGGUGAUGAAGCAUUUCUUUUGACUUAGGACGAAAUUAAAUGUUGAGAAGUACAUGCAUAGUUGUUUGACCUGCCAAAUGGUUAAAGUUGAUCAUUAAAAGUUUGUUGGAUUCUAUCAUCCUCUACAUGUAUCCAAGAAUAAAUGAAGUAGCAUUUUGAUGGAUAUUAUUACUAAUUUGUCUAAAACCUUUGAGAAAAUGAUGUUAUUUAGGUUGUAGUGGAUCAUUUGACAAAGAUGGCUCACUUCUUCCUAAUGAAGAUGACAAUUAAAUCUUUUGAAAUUGCUCAAGUUUUUGUAAUCUUGUAAUUAAUCUAUUAAUUAUGUCUAUGAUGUUGUCUUUACGAUAUUGUCAAGAUAAUUAUGUCUAUGAUGUUGUCUUUACGAUAUAUUAUUACAAUAUUCAACAAUCUAAUUAUCAACAUUAUUAUUUAAUGAUCAACUUUAAUCUUUCCUAGGAGGUCACCCAGCCCAGUAUUAUUCAAACCCAAGGAUGCUUAACAAGACCCUUAACCAAUUGGAAAAGGGGGUGCACUUUUGUUCAUGGGCCUUUUCCCUUUAUAUUUGAACCCCCUAUGGAUCAUCUUUCAAAUCGUUCUCUUUAGUUGUUUACAAUCCACCACACUUCCCUGCAAAUUCACGCCCUCGUGAAUGGAAGCUGAAAGCCACAGCUUUCUCAAGAGCCCCAUUCUCUUGACACUCUACCCCUCAGGUCGAGCCCAGCUGAAGCAAAUUGGACCUGCUAAAUGUCAAUUAAUAUGUGGUGUGAUUCCCUUAGCCAAUUUAUAGAGUCGAACCUGAAACCCCUCUAAUACCAAAUGUAAGCUCUUGAGUUUGGACUUCCUAGGAGGUCACCCAACCCAAUACUAUUCAAACCCAAGGACAUUUAACCCCAAAUAUCCCAAAACUCUUAAUCAAUUGGAAAAAGGGGUGCAUUUUUGUUUAUGGGCCCUUUCCUUCUAUAUUUAAACCCCUAUGGAUCAUCUCUCAAGUUGUUCCCUUUGGUUGCUUACACAUUUCUCACUGAAUCCAACCAAGUGCAAAUUUGGUGUCACUAAUGGCUAUCUUUUUAGUUUUGAUGUCUCAUUGGAAGGCAUUCAAAUGCAUGCCAUCAAGUGCAAAGAGAUCCUCAAAGUGAUACCACCAGCAAACCUCAUAAAGCUCCAAAGUUUCCCUGGCCAAACUGGAUUCUUUCAACAGUUCAUACCAAAUUUUGCUGCUCUCACUCGUCCACUGGUAUCUCUACUCAAACAUGACACACCCUAUGAGUGGACUCCAAAAAAGCAGCAGGAGUUUGAACAGCUUCCUACUGCCUUACACUCAACACUAGUUCUACAACCACCACAACUCAGCCAACCUUUCAAGAUUUUUGUCACAGUAGGCAAUGAGGCUUUUGGCAUUUCUUUGUGCUAACAUUCCACACUGACUGAACAGCCACACACCACAUACUUUGCCUCACACUCUUUCAUGAGUGUUGAACACAACCUGACAGAAGCUAAGAAGGAAGCAAUGGCAAUUCCAGCACAUACUAGCAGGGAGCAAUAUCCUUUUUCAUGUUCAAUUUAAUGUUCUGACAUUUCUUUUACAGCAUUCCCUGUAUGGUCCACAUACUUUAUUGUGGAUCUCCACAAUCCAAGAGAUCCAACCAAAUUUCAUCCUCAAGAAGCAAUAUGUACUUGACCUAGUUAGUUCACAAUUGCUGUGACAACAGAGACAACAUUUGUGUGGUCAGCAGCCUUGAAGAACAUGGCAAAGUAUUUGGAGAUAGGCACUUCUCCAUCAGACCUUCCCUGCUUGGAACAACAUUGUAGCAGCAAGCCUAAGACUAUUGCCUCCUCAAUGGCACACUAUACCAUCACACUACCCAAGGCCUUCUUCUAGGGUGUGUCACGGCAACUAAGGUUCCUGAUCUACUCUAGGCUUUCCACACUUCUGUAAGGCAUGUCUCUAGCUGCAUGACAGCACAACUUCUUCUUCUAUAGAAGCUACUUCUGCCACAAGGACACCAAGGAGUAUGCAUAGUGAUGCCUACAAUGCCAACAACACAACCCUCAGAGUAAUAUUCCACAUCUUCCAUUUCAGCUAGUGGUCUCUCUAGGUCCUUUCUUCAAGUGGGGCCUGGAUUUUGUCAGCUGAUCUCUCCUCCUAGCUCCAUUGGACAUCGUUUUCUUCUCAUUGUGACAGAAUACUUCACCAAAUGGAUUGAGGCCAUUCCCCUCAGGUAUGCAGAUGAGUACUCAACAGCAAAGUUCAUUUACAAGCAUAUCAUGUGUCGUUUUGGCAUCCCCAAAAAGCUCAUCUCUGACAGGGGUGGAGGAUUUCUUGGCCAGGUUGUUCAACGCUUUCUCUAGCUCUUGAAGAUUCAACACAUCCAUAGUAGCAGCUAUUUUCCUCAAUCCAAUGGGCAGGCUGAAUCCAACAAUAAGAUCAUGAAGGUAGUUAGCAAAGUUGGUGGACAGACAUCCUUGGAGGUGGCAUGAACUUCUCCCCACAGCACUAAGAGGGGGCAAAAAGAGAUGGAGUGAGAUAUAUGUGAGUGACAUUAUUAUAAGAUUAUAUUGCUUCAAGUUGAGCAUACUCUCGUAUACAUAAGUCAUGAUUAUUAUUGUGAAGGAAUGGCAACAUUAUCUAUAUGGAUCAGAUUUCCAUAUGGAUUUAGACCAUCAGUCUCUCUAGUAUUUCAGUCAUCAAAAAUAUCUUUGAGGCUAUCUUGCUCAUUGGCAACAAUUUCUACAGAAGAUAUCUAUUAAAAUUUGGUACAAGCAUGGAAGUGAUAAUAAGGUGGCUAAUGUUAAAUUUUAUCUUGUUCAUGAAGCUAUCCAAUGAUCUCUUGGAUGAGUUUAAGGAAUUUGCUGACUUCAACUCCUUUAUCACUGUUAUUUGUGUGAAGGUCUUGUCCUUUACAAAUUUAAAGGGUAACAAAUCUGUAUCAUUCAAGGUAUAAAAUGGAAUUAUGGUAAAGAAGGGAUCCUCUUGUUAAAAAACAUAUAAAAAAGAUCCUGAUUGAGUGUCAUGAUGUGCUAAGUGUUGGGCAUCUGGGGGUACUCAAGAUAUAUGUGUUGGUGAAGAAGUAUUUCUUUUGUCUUGGAAUGAAAUUAGAUGUUGAGAAGCACAUACAUAGUUGUUUGACUUAUCAGGCAGUCAAAGUUGAUCAUUAGAAGCUUACUAGCUUUUUAUCAUCUUCUACAUGUAUAUGAGAAUAAAUGGGAUAGCGUUUUGAUGGAUAUUAUUACUAGUUUAUCUAAGAUCUUUUGAGAAAAUGAUAUAAUUUAGGUUGUGGUGGAUCAUUUGACGAAGACAAUAAAGAUGAAAAUAUCACAUGGUAAACCAUAAAGAUUGAAUAACUAGAUUACAAAAACUUGAGCAAGUUCAAAAGAUGUAAUUAUAAGUGAUCUAGAUCCUAAUUUUAUAAGAAAGUUUUGGCAAAUAGUUUUUGAGAAGCUAAAGAUUAAGUAUGAGUAGUGGUAAGCAUCCAUAAUCAUAUAGGUAGAUAGAGCACAUGAAUCAAUUAUUAGAAGAUAUAUUAAGGUCUUCCAAUCAAAGCAUAUUUCCAUUUAUAGGAAUGUAUGGUUAUGAGCUCAAGUUUCCCAUGAGUUUGAGUUUUCCUUUUGUUUGAGUGCCUUAUAUUUGUGAUUUCUUAAAGGAUAUGCAAAACAAGCUUGAGUUGGCAAAGUUGAAUAUGAGAUAAGCUCAAGAACGAGACAAGAUUUUGGUUGAUGAGCAUAGUUUUUAUCAAGAGUUCAAAGUUAGUGACAAAGUUUUCCUUAAUCUGUUAGAUGCACAAUAAUCUUUGUGAAAGGAGAUGCUAAUGCUAAGUUGUCUUUACGAUAUUGUAUGUCUUGGAUAAUUUUAUAGUGCAUGAGGAUUUUGCUUACACUUUGGACUUUUUAGUUAGUUUAAAUAUUCAUCCAAUGUUUCAUAUGAGCAAGCUUAAAGCAUGUUUGCACUCUAAUGAUGUCAUAGACCAAUCCAUCAUUCUUGUCUUAAAGAUUAAUGUUGAGGCUGGUUUAGCCAAUAUUUUUACUAAAAAAUUGGUAAAAAUAUACCACAAGACAACUCAAGAGUUGUUUAUUCAAUGAAAUGGCUAUUUUAUGGAUGAAGUUACAUGGGAAAUCAAAGAUGACAUAAAAAGAGUGUUUCUAAGUUUUGAUUAUGACUUGAAUGACAUUUCUAAAAAAGGGUAGAAUUGAGUUUUAUAGCUAUAUUACUAUAUGAUUUGAACCAUUUGCUUUAUUCUCAUUCUUUUAUUUCCAUGAUCAUAUUAUUAUGUAAGAAAGUUUAAAUUUUCUUUCUUUCUUUUAUGGUUUUUUGUCACGAUAUUGGUGUUGUUGUUUGCACAUCUUUUCUCCAUGGCCAUAUUGCAUUGAAACCCCUUAUCAUGAGCCUUAUUUAGCUUCUCAAAGCUGUUGUUUGUGGCUAGUUUACUAGGGGAGAAUGACACAAACCACAAAUUUUUUUUAAGAAUAUACUAUAGCCUAGGAGAUUUAGGCUGGAAUGCUUUAGGGUUAAGAGGCUAGCCUAGGGUUUUGCUCCUUGUUUAUUUCACUGCUAAGAUUCCAAGAUCAUGAGAAAAAUUAUUUCAUAAUAAGCUUGGUAUAAUAAUUUCUUAGACCAUAGAAUCUUGCACUUGAAAAACCUAUUGUACAGACCUAAAAGCAUGCAAUAGUUAUUUGUCUUCAUGGCAAUGGAUGCUAGAAUUUCUCACAUUGAUAUGCCUAAAACUAGGGUUUUUUUUUGCAAUCCAUUGCUAACACAUCCAUUGGAAGUGUCUCCAAAGGCAGAGCAAAGCAAAAUAGGCUAGUCUUCACUUAAGUCUAUGCUUUUGCAAUUGUCCAUACCAAGAUUAAUAGAUGCUUUGUCACACAUGAGCAGUAUGCUGGAAGCAUUUGUGUCUAGUUUGAAACAAACUCACACCCAAGGCUAUGAGGAGGGUACUGAAUGUGUUACUUUUGUGUUUUGCAUUUCUUGAUUAUCCAUGCUAUGCAAGGGAAAAAAUCUUAGAAAGUAAGAGGUCUAGACAGGAUCACGUGUAUGAGCCCAAGAAUAUUUAGAGGAAUAUAUAGUUACAAAAUGUUCCAUAUUAGCUGUUUUUAUAGAUUAGCUUUUUACCCAAGCUAAUUCUUAGUUUAUUGUUCAAGUAUAUAAAGGCAUGGUGAUCAUCCUUAUUGUUAGGAUCCUAUCCUUUAAACCCUAAGCCAAUUGGCUAAAAGGGUGAUCACUUGAUUGUAGGGCCCUUUCUUUAUCCUAUUAUCUUGACCUGGUGCUUAACAAUCCUCCCCUCGUCAGGGAAUGAUCGUCCACGAUCAUACUUAGGCCACCCUCUAGUCACCAUAUUCCUUCUCUUAAGAUCAUAUUUAGGCCACCCUCUAGUCACCAUAUUCCUUCUCUUAAGAUCAUACUUAGGCCACCCUCUAGUCACCAUAUUCCUUCUCUUAAGAUCAUACUUAGGCCACCCUCUAGUCACCAUAUUCCUUCUCUUAAGAUCAUACUUAGGCCACCCUCUAGUCACCAUAUUCCUUCUCUUAAGAUCAUACUUAGGCCACCCUCUAGUCACCAUAUUCCUUCUCUUAAGGUCUACCAAACCUUUGUUCUCCCACGUUAAAUAUUCCUUCAAAAUAUUCCUGCCCCACUCGUCAGCCUCGAGAAUCGAACUAGGCUCGAAUACCAAUGUUAGGAUCCUAUCCCUUACACCCUAAGUUAACUGGCUAAAGGGGUGAUCACUUGAUUGUAGGGCCUUUUCUUUAUCCUAUUAUCUUGACCUGGUGCCUAACAGAGAUCCAUAAGAGACAAUGAGUAAGAUCCAUGAGUAGAGAGUUGAGCAUCUAAGCAAGAGAUGGAGUCAUACUUUUUUUCUUUCUUUUUUGAGAGAUUUUCUUUCUGUGGGUCUCUGGAGAGCACAACAGUUGUCUAAUUUUAUGCAUUAAGAGCAGGCUGAAUAACCUUGCAAAAAAGAGCCAUCAAGACUCAUGCCAAAUCUAAAAAUAAUAUUACAGUUGAGAAGAAAUGGAAAGAGAGGAAUGCACCACUAUGUAUUUGGAGAUAGUGAACUCUCAAGAGCAUUAACAUUUGAUAACGUUGAUGAAAAGAAUUUACCAGAUUGCAUGAAAGAGGGAUUCAAUUAAGAAGUUUGAAGUGGAUUGCUUAUUUGAUAAAUUCAUGGGGAUUCCUAACAUGCCACAACAUGAUAGAUAUGCAAUUUACACAAAUACAAGAGCUUGUAAAUCUUUUCUCUUGAUGCUCAUAAAGCCUAUUAUCAAGUUCUUAGAAAGGAGCUCCUCAAUGGCCAUAUAUUUAGAUGGGAAUGUUGCAAAGGUAGUAGUUGCAAUGAUAGUUGUAGGUGAUCAUCUAGAGGUGGACUGCUUACCUUAUAUCCCAUUUCUUAGUGUCACUUGGGAUGGUUCAAACUUGAGUUGAGCUCAAUUCAGCUCAAGUCAAUCCUAGUCAACAUAGUCAACUAUAAGUCUUAUAAGGAAAUGUCAUGUUAGAAAAAAUAUUCUUUGGUGAGCUUGAAAUUCAUGAACUUAAUUGUUAAUGGUUUGAAAUUUUUAUUUUUUGAAUAUUUCUAAUGCAAUCUAUACAAUAAAAUAAUGAUUGAGUAGUUUUUUGUAUUAGAAGUUUGUCCAAACCCAUAGAAUAUUAAAUUCACAGUGCUAUUGGCUAUUCUCCAUGGAAUAGAAAAUAGAAUAUUAAAUUAAAUAAUGAUCCAUAUCAAUGAUCCAUUGAGGUUUUCAUGUGCUAUAUAUAGCAGAUGAAUCAUUGGAUCAUUGAAAAUACAAGCAUUAAUCUAUAUAGCACAUGAAAACCUCCAAUAGAUGCAUGAUCCUUCAUCGUGGGAGAUGAAUGGAUCCAUUGAUCCAUCAAACCUCAAUGGAUCCUUCAUGUGCUAUUUAUAGCACAUGAAUCAUUAAAUUAAAUAUGAUUAGAUAGAAUAUUAAAUUAAUAGAAUAUAUAUGUGAAACAGGAAUCUAAAAUUUCUAUUGUACAUUUUUACAUUUUGACAUUUCAACAAUUGACCAGAAAUAUAUAAAUAAUUCAAAAUAUUAAUUCACUCCUUCAUUCUUUAGGGUUUUUCAAAGAGAAGCAAGGAAGACAAAAAAUUAGUGAGUAGUUCUAGCAUACAGAAAUAUGAGAAUGUUAAUUAUGUUUCACUACCACAAUUUUCAUAUUACACUUUUAAUCUUUAUUACUCAUCCGGGAAUAUGAAGACCACUGUCACUAUUGAUAAAAAUGCUCUUGUUUCUUCCAAAAUAAUAGUCCAGAGUAAGAGAAAAGAAAAAAUGGAUAGUACAGCAAAAACCACUAACAAAUCCACUUCAUAAAGCUUUCCAUAGCUUUUAUAAUCCACUAAAAUAUUAUAAAAGAAAGUAAGUUUUUUAUAUAUAUCAUAUUCCUCUUGAUAUGCUAUAUCUUUGCAAGUAAACAUAUGUAGUAUAUAUGAUGUUGACAAAUCAAAAAGUCAAAUCUAUUUAUGUUUUGAAUAUUGAAAGGUAAUCUUGCAAAAAUGCAUGUUUGCAUGCCUACAUGUGUUUGCUAUUAUUAUAUAUGGCAGGCUAUCUAUAUAAAUUAAGACUACAUAUUAAUUAUAUAUUAGUUUUUAGCUUUUGGAACCCUAUAGGCACUUGUCUAUAAUGGUAAGUUGUAAUUACCAAGAUUAAUAUAUGUCAUGUCAUAAUAAAAUGUCUUUCCUUAGAUUGAAAUAUAGUAUAUUAAUAAGAGAAUUCUUAUUUUUAGAGAAUUUAAUUCUUCUUGUGUGUUGCAAUGGUUUGGAAAAAGUUUAUUUUUGGUUCUAAAGGCCUCUCAUGAGUCUCCACCUCCAUCUCUAAACUCAAUUAAUAAUCCAUCUUCACCUCUAUGUAACAAUUAUCCUCUUCAUUUUAAGAGGUGUUGUGAAGCUUUUCCAUUUGUGAUCUUGAGUGCAACUAAACAAAAAUUCCCUUUUCAUGAUGUUGUUGAAAGAGUUAGAUUGCCUCCAAUGCUCCAAAAAUGAUGUUUUCUUUAAGAUCUUGCUCUAGAUAUGGUAGGAGUACUUGAUAUAGAUAUAUUAUCUUUAGUGUUUUAUAUAUUACUUUUAUUUAAACAAGACAGAUAAUUGUAUGGGUUUGGUAAAUUUUCUUGAGCACUAUCGCAAAUGCCCAAAAAUGGGUUUGGAAGGUUUGCAUGAGUGGAUGUAUAAGAAAAUCAAGAAAGAAUUAAAGACAUACAAUUUAUAUAAUGUCAUGGUGAAAAACAAUAUUCGAUUGGUGAACACUACAUUAGUGAGUGCUGAAUAUAAAAUAUUUAGGCCACCCUUUAAUGUAAUAUGAAAGUCAUGCAUAGUUUUUUCAAAAGUUUAGUUCAUUAUUAGUAAAGUAGAGAAUUUUAUAUUUUCAAGAAUGAUAAUAUUCUAGUAUAUAUAAAGACAUUAUUAUAUAUACAAGUGGUUCUAACACUAUUAUAAUUAUAAAGUCCCAUUUUCAAGACAGAAAAUCUAAAUUUUCAAGAACCCCUAGAUCUUUUUUUAGUACGACAAGGGAUGUUUUCUUUCAGUUUGUUUAAAGUGUAAAAAUGGCUAGGGAAAAUGUUAUUGCUAUUUGCAUUUAACCCCCAUGCAUUUCAUAUGAAUCUCCAACUCCAUUUUUAACUUCUACCAAUAUUCCACCUUUCCCUCCACACAACAAUCAUUGUGAGGCUCUUCCUUUUGUAAUCUCAAGUGUGACUGAAUAAAAGAUCUCUUUUCCAGAUAAUAUUUUAGAUAUUGCUACUAAAGAUGAAUUGUUUUAUGUGCUUCAAGAAUAAUGUCAAAUGUUUUUUCAAGAUCUUGCUCCAGAUAUAGUUAAAACUCUUGAAAGAAUGAGCAUAUAUUAUCUUUAGUAUCCUAUAUGCUACAUUUAUUUGGAUAAAACAGAAGGUUAUAUAAGUUUAGAAACUUUUCUAGAACACUGCCAUAACUGCCCAAAAAUCAGAGUCUUUUCUCUUGAUGCUUAUAAAACCUAUUAUCAAGUUCUUAAAAAAGAGCUCCUUAAUAGCCAUAUAUCUAGAUGGGAAGGUUGCAAAGGUAGCAGUUAUAGUGGUAGUUGCAUGUGAUCAUCCGGAGGUGGACUACUUUCCUUGUAUCCAGUUUCUUGGUGUGAUUGUGAAGCUUGAGUAUCCAGUUGAUCCAGCCUGCUAUUGGUGGCAACUUUCUUUACAUUGUUUGAUUUCAACAUAUAAACUUUUAGCUUAUUAUUUGCACACAACAAUGGGAAGCAACUCAAAAAAAUUCCUGUGAUACUAGGAGGUUGACCAUCUAGCCAAGCAUGGAUUUAAUCAUUUACAACAAUAGUUUGGAUUGAUACAUUUCAGUGGUGUUAAUCACACUUUGGAUGAAAAACCAUGCUCGACCAUGGUUUCGUUUAGUGAAUGUAAUAAGAAGAGUGGGACACCAUGUGCUAGAGGAUUUUGUAGUAAAGACUUAACUACCAACUUUAAUUUUUUUCAUAUAGACAAAGACUUCCAUGCUGAAAAUCAGGACGACGUCCAUGGAACCGUCAUCACAUACUGAUGGACCCUGUCCAUCCCAGCAACAGCCCUCUGAUACAUUGAUCCAUCAUCUUUCUUGAAGCCCUGGUACGUGUAUCCCUCAAAACUAGACUCCGGAACAACGAAGAUGAGUUUGUACUUGUUGGGACGCAUGAGCUCGAGCUCAUCAUGCAACUCAUCCAACCCCUGAGCGACCUCGUGGAUCUUGGACCAAUAGACCGGAUGCGUGUCCGACGUUGUAACCUGGAGAAUUAUGUCCGGAGUGACCAGCGAAUCGAAAGAUUUCUGGUUUGACGCAUAAGGCUCCACAAAGCAACUGUCAGGUAAGCCUGCAAGGCCCCGUGAUUCCUCCGUCCCCGCACGAUGAGCGUCCACAGGACUCACGUCCUUGGAGUAUAUGUUGAAACCAGACCCCACGCAGCGCUUCUUUACGAACACUUUCCACUCGCGCAGCCGCUUCACUGACGUUGGCCUCAGAACGAAGCGUUCAACGCCGUCGUCUUCCUCUUCCAAGGACCGAAGGUCAAACUGGGAACCUCCACUAGCAAGUACCUUGUGGACGUGCUUCUCGUACAUUUUGCCCGCCAAAGAGUUUGCAACCGCAUGUCCCUGGCAAAAGUCAAAGAAGUCACGCGAAGCCUGAAACCCCUGCUCCUCGAACUUUUCAAAAGCCAACUUCUGGAUGUAGUCCGAGCCAAACACCAAGUGAGCGUGCAGCACCCGGUAACACGCAGGUGUGUUCAAGUCGAAUCUGUCAGUCGUAAGACGGUAGUGGAGCAGAAUAUCAGAAACAUUAGAGACCUUGUCCGAGUUCAUUGCGCAGUCAAGCACUUUCCGCCAGCAUUCCACCCUUGACGCUGCUUGGUGCACCUCCGCUUUGAGCCCGGCCAACGAGAACUUCUCCGUGUUGAAGAGAAGCCUUGGUAGCCCACCACAGUGGUAAAAGCGGAGACCAAUUUCCUCGUCUGUCAUUCCCAGCUCAAGCUCCUCGUUGCACUGCUGCACCUCCUCGAGCGACCAGGCUUCCAGGCGGCAUAUAUAGCCAUGGUCCUUGGAGAACUCGUAGUAGCCAGUGCGAUCCGGUGAGACGCAUUGGAUGAGAGGCCCCAGGUGACUUAUUCCCCUCGAGCCCCCGUCGACGAUGAGCCAGACACUCGUCAUGUCCCACCCCCGCGGUCGUGUAUACCAUUUCGAUUGCAGCACUAGAGGGUCAUCCAGCGAGAAGUCGAAGAAAAAGAAGUCUGGAUUGUCAUCUUUCGUCCUCCAAACUACUUUCUGUCCUUCCUGAGCUCUACUGUGAAAGAAGUAGUGGCCAUAGAACGUCUUGCCGAUACCUGGCGUUGAGACAAUGUGGAAGUUCUUCAACCCUUUCCUCUCAUUCACGACCCUGCUCCACUUCUCCGCAAUGAACUGAUCCAUGAAAAGGUAGUUUGGAUGGACCCAGAGCUUGGACAGGUUGUAAUGGCCCAAGAACCCAGACGGGAUGUGGAGGCAGCGGUCCUGGAGCCUGGCAUGCUUUACCUCCCGGCCGUAGGCAGCGAGAAGAGGAUCUGACACACAGAACUUGUUAGAGAUGAUUCGUCGCGCCUAAACCAUACCGAGCUCUUCGCCCAUCUCGCUGUCGCCCAAAACCUAGAAAGCAGAGCGGAAAAUUGAUAUAAAGAAUAGAAUGCCCUCCUAGGGCAAGGGAUAAAAGGUAUAUUCUUUCUUUAAGAAUAUUCUUUGUUUUGUGCUCUUUUAAUGGGGUGUUUAUCUUAAUCUAUUUUUGUAAAACUAAUAUUUUUUAAUCACGAGCUUAUUUAUAUACUGUGGCUGGUCUGAUGUCGCUUGCUCUGCCUCCCCGGAUGCAUCGCCAUGGAUCUGGCAAGAUCCCAGCAGUAGCAUCACUCGUGAUCGCGGGCUCAAUCGGCAUAUCGCGCACCAGCUCCUCGCGCGGCUGAAUAGAUCUCCGUAGUAGAGCAGCGCUGGAUCGCUGCCGUGAUAGUUCGCCAUGCCCACGAAGUAUCCUCCAAGAGCCCGGCGUGGCGGCACGCCGAGAGGAUGUUCACGAGAUGCACCGCCUGGAAGAGGUCUCUUGCGCGGAUCCAAUCCCCGUGCUGCGUAAAGGAGAUGACGAUCGAGUUCCAGGCGAUAGUGUCGCGAUGGGGGAGAUCCAAGAACACGGCAUGGUGCGAGUAGCGAAUUCGUUACCUGGAUACGAUCGUGGACGCCGCUGGCGAUCGCCCUGGCGUGGAGGAUCCGGCCAUCGGCGAGGCGCGAGCUGGAUUCCAUCGUGCCCGGUCUGGGCAGUGCUGUGAGGAUGCUGCCCCUGGAGAUCACGUUCCGGUGGAUCAUCCUGUGGAAGAUCUCCAGCGCUCGCUCGAUCCGGCCGCUCUUGGCGUGCAGGCCGCAAGACGCGCCUCGAGGUUGCGUGGGCAAUGCGAGGGAUCGCUGGCGAGCGCGUCCAUGAUCGUCAUCAUCGAGGCGGCACUGCUGAAACUCUUCCUUUUUGUUCUUAAGCAUGGAUGCAAGGCUCUUUUCUCGAUCCCAGAGAAUUGCAAGCAGCUAUUGCCGCCGGGAAAGCUCCGACUUUGAUUGCUUUCUAUGCGGAUCAUCACGUCGUCCCCGGACUCUCCGAGCAAUAAAAAGGCCAUGGUGCUCCUUCAGGAGCUCUGUCUUGUUACCUUUCACUUGAGCGAGUUUUUGGUUUUGAUUUUCGCUUAUGUGCAAAGAGGUGACUUAAACGAUCAUGAACAGCGAGAAUUAGGCUUUCCAUGCCAAUGGAGCUGGAAAAGUGGUGAGCAAAUUUCGGAGUAGCAAAUCUUCUUCUAAAAUCAUCCUUGAGAACUUGUUGCUCGCUCUCGCUGCUCGUCCUUGUAUCCUACUUUUUUAGUUAUAGGAAGAGAAAAUCGUGUUUUUCAGGGUAACGCCAUGCUGUAAUCCUCGGAUUGCGGAAAGCAGCUGCGAACAUUGCUGGCGGAACUCAUCACGCAUUUCCUGAGCACGGCGAGGAAUUUCGUAAGUUGUUUCUCUUCAUUUUUGUUCUCUUUUCUUGCCGUGUGAUGGAGAAAACAUAUGUAAUAAUGAUGGAUUCUCCAGAGGUCUCAAGGCUAGGGUUUUCUCCAGCGGUCUUUGUGUAGAGUGGCUAAGUUUGCUUGUGGAAGCGUGACUCUCGACUCAUACAUAUCCAACUUCUUCUCAGGCAAUUCAUCCCUGAAAAGGAUUUCUAUCACGAAGUUGCGGUAUCACAUCUAUCAUAAGCUUCAUGGGACACAAAAUCUCCUUACUUUUCUUUUCUUCAACCUAUCUUGGAACUUCAAGAACGUUCGGCUUGUCCUCGGUUUUGACACUACAGGGAUACACAACAGGCAUGGAGCAGCUUUCCGAGCAUUAGAGCGGGCUCUGCAAGUUUAGAACACACAUCCACAGUGAUUUGACGAACGGGUAGCUAUCAAGCCUGACGCCUUCGAGCAGCAUGGUGCAAAAGAAACGAAGAGCUUCCAGGCACUGUUGGUUCAACGAGUGCAUCGCGUUCCAGUGCUCCAUCUCGUCAAAGACGGCGCUCACGCUCCCGCGUCUCCCAUACAUGUUGACACGUCUGCAGCGGAGCUCCCGAGCUUGGUCGAGAGUGUCCGGCUGGUCGCAAGCUUCAACAAUUUGCUGCAGCGCAAUCCAGACGGACUCCGAGAGCAUCUAGAGACUAAACCACGCCCAAGGUUUAGCAAAGCAGAUAAUAAAUAUCAAACCACACCGCAAAUUAUUUCUUUGAUGCUGAAAAUCAGGACGAAGUCCAUGGAACCGUCAUCACAUACUGAUGAACCCUGUCCAUCCCGGCAACAUCUCUCUGAUGCAUCGAUCCAUCGUCUUUCUUGAAGCCCUGAUACGUGUAUCCCUGAAAGCUAGGCUCGGGAACGACAUAGAUGAGCCUGUACUGCUUGGGACGCACCAGCUUGAGCUUGUCAUGCAACGCAUCCAACCCCUGAACAAGCUCGUGGAUCUGGGACCAAUAGACCGGAUGCGUGGCUGACGUUGUAACCUGGAGAAUUAUGUCCGGAGUGACCAGCGAAUCGAAAGAUUUCUGGUUUGACGCAUAAGGCUCCACGAAGCAACUGUCAGGUAAGCCUGCAAGGCCCCGUGAUUCCUCCGUCCCCGCACGAUAAGCGUCCACAGGACUCACGUCCUUGGCGUAUACGUUGAAACCAGACCCCACGCAGCGCUUCUUUACGAACACUUUCCACUCGCGCAGCCGCUUCACUGACGUUGGCCUCAGAACGAAGCGUUCAACGCCGUCGUCUUCCUCUUCCAAGGACCGAAGAUCAAACUGGGAACCUCCACUAGCAAGUACCUUGUGGACGUGCUUCUCGUACAUUUUGCCCGCCAAGGUGUUUGUAACCGGAUAUCCUCGGCAUAAGUCGAAAAAGUCACGGAAAGCCUGAAACCCCUGCUCCUCAAACCUUUCAAAAGCAAGCUUCUGAAUGCAGUCCGAGCCAAACACCAAGUGAGCGUGCAGCACCCGGUAACACGCAGGUGUGUUCGAGUCGAACCUGUCAGUAAGACGGUAGUGGAGCAGAAUAUCAGAAACAGUGGGGUCCUUGUCCCGAGUGAGUGUGCAGUGGAGCACUUUUCUCNNNNNNNNNNNNNNNNNNNNNNNNNNNNNNNNNNNNNNNNNNNNNNNNNNNNNNNNNNNNNNNNNNNNNNNNNNNNNNNNNNNNNNNNNNNNNNNNNNNNAUUCCAGCUCAGCUCCUGGUUGCACUGCUGCAGUUCCUCGAGAGACCAGGCUCCCAGGCGGCAUAUAUAGCCAUGGUCCUUGGAGAACUCGUGGUAGCCAGUGCGAUCCGGCGAGACGCACUGGAUGAGAGGCCCCAGGUGACUUAUUCCCCUCGAGCCCCCGUCGACGAUGAGCCAGACGCUCGUCAUGUCCCACCCCCGCGGUCGAGUAUACCAUUUCGAUUGCAGCACCAGAGGAUCGUCCAGCGAGAAGUCGAAGAAAAAGUACUCUGGAUCUUCGGUCCUCCACACUACUUUCUGUCCUUCCUGAGCUCUACUGUGAAAGAAGUAGUGGCCAUAGAACGUCUUGCCAAUACCUGGCGUUGAAACGAUGUGGAAGUUCUUCAACCCUUUCCUCUCAUUCACGACCCUGCUCCACUUCUCCGCAAUGAACUGAUCCAUGAAAAGGUAGUUUGGAUGGACCCAGAGCUUGGACAGGUUGUAACGGCCCAAGAAGCCAGACGGGAUGUGGAGGCAGCGGUCCUGGAGCCUGGCAUGCUUUACCUCCCGGCCGUAGGCAGCGAGAAAAGGAUCUGACACACAGAAACUGUUAGAGAUAAUUCGUGACGCCUAGAUCAUACCGAGCUCCUCGCUCAUCUCGCUGUCGCCCAAAACCCUAGCACGGUGUAGCGGUCUAAGAAAAAAUAAGCUAUAGUAAGUUUCUCAAAGAAUAAAAACAUUCCUCGCAAAAAAAAAAAGAAAAGAAUCCCUCUAGACGAAUUUCUUGCGUGGAAGAAGCCCAGAUCGCACACAUCCUUCUGGCGUGACGCCUAACCCUAGAUUGCGAGAAAACAGGGAUGGCCCGGCUCGUCACGAUAUCUCAAUCAGAGGAUGAUAUCAUGCAAGAAGAUUGGCCUCUGAGGCACAAGAAUGCACUACAAACCACCCCCCCGACCCCCUUGCCACGUCAUCACUGUCCGUUCUCCUCGUGUCAAGCCUCGUGUCAAGUAUUGACUAUGCCACUAUGCCACUUCUUUUCAAAGGUUCUGUUUAACAAUGUACUCCACAACUCAAGUUAUUAACGCAUUUCCAAAUUACUUCCAUUCUAGAUGACACCAACAAUGAGCAGCACUGUUCCAUGCUAUAUAGAAGUCACUAGCAAUUUCUUGACUCUGUAAUCUCAACUUCCCUCACUCCAACAGCAAUUUAGCAUGCCCUUUUAUUCCUUUUGAAAGCUGAUUCAAAGUUCAAGAAAAGUUUUGAAUUUUAAAAGUAAAGUUUUUAUUUGAUAUAACUUUAAAUUGGGAAAUAGUUAAAGGAGCCAUUUGUGGCCAAAACUUCUUUAUAUGCUACAUAGUGUACUAAUACAAUAUGAAGGACAAUUUGUUUCAGCAAUAUCACUAAGUCUAUUUGCUAAUUUUGCAAAAAUGUAAAAAGAGACAUCUUUAAUGGAGAUCUUCUAAAUACCUUGUUACAAGCUUAUUUGCUGUAAUGUAUAUAGUUUUCACCUUUUACAUUGAUGUUAGAGGUAGAAACAACAUUAUUCAGAACACUUUUUACAUUCUAUUGAUAUGAUAACUUGUAAAUUUAGACACUUUCCAUAAAUAACACAGAAUUAAAAUGGGACCAAUAUAUAAGGCAUGAUAGUGAGGGUUUUACAGACAUAAUAAGAUAUCAUGUUAGCAAUAUUGAGGAAAUAAUACCUAAUAUAUAAGAUUUUUUGUCAAACUAAUGCAAGACAGUAAAAAAAAACUAAUAAAUUGGGCUAAGUAUACUUGAUUAAAUAAAUGUUGUGAAUGUGAUUACGGGUAUCAAAAGUUAUUUAUUAGUGAGUUAUUUUAAAUAUUCUUUCUUUACUGCUAUGAUGGCAGAAAAUUAGUAUUGUUGGACCUUUUAUUACACUCUCUUGUGCUACUAGAGUUAACUGGGCAUUUUGAAUGUAAUUAUAUUGGACGAGCAUAAAAAUGGAAUUCUUACAUACUAUUAGCUAAACAUGCUUAGCCUGGUAAAGAGUUUCUAUCUCAUUGUAUCUUGCAUUGGCUAAUGAUAAACACUCCUACAAUAUUAAGUUUAAUCCCUCAAUAUUCACUAAAUAAUAACUUAUUAUGUCCACUAAAACACCCUUGUUAUCAUACUGUGAGACAUAAAUACCUAAGCUCCAAAGUGGAGCCAAAAGUGUGUUAUAUAUUAGUGGUUAAAGUAGGAGUUCACGAAUAUAACACAUUUGGACCAAAAGUUUCAACUUGGGAAGUUAAGAAUGGGAGUGGAACUCCCAACAAAGUGCUUGAAGAAAGAGUACAAAGUGAUUAAUGAAUUAGUCUCUAGUAAAGGGACACAAAAGGACCAAUAUAUGGCAAAUGUUAUGACACAUAGAAGUGUCGGGACCAAGUUCGAGAUGGAAUUGGAGAAAGAGUCCAAAAUAGAGUCUACAAUAGAAUCUAAGAUGGAAUCUGAAAUGGAGUCUGAAAUGGAAAUCGAGACCAAAACCAAGACCCAUGUGGUGGGUGAUGAUAUAACCAUUGAGGAGUCCAAUGUUAGAGUGAACACAUAGGUAACUUGGUGAAGUGUUUAGAAAUUGACUCUAACUCCCCCGAAAAAUUAAAUGGUUGAUGCUCCCAAUCCAAAUAUGGGUGGCAUUACUUACUUGGAUACUUGGUGUGGCUCAUCAAAACCUCAUUCUAGCCACUUGGCUAGUGCACCCAGAGGUGGAAAAUGGGGGAGUACCCAUGGGGCUUAUAUAGGGCCAUGGUGUUUCGAAAUGUUGUUUUAAAUCCUAGACUGUGGAAAGGAAAAUGAGUAGUCCUUUUGUAUAGUUAGUAAGGGUAUGGUCACGUGGUGAAGAAGUUUUAAAGGUGAAUAUGGAACUUUAGGCCUUAAUCCAACAGCAAUGUUGGCAAGCACUACCAUGGACGAAAAGGGACUUGGUGGGGAUUGAAAGGAUAUUGGGGAAGGGUGUUCCCCAUAUCUCCAAAGGUGUGGUCAUGGGAUGACCAUUUAGGGAUGGAUGGCCUUAGUAUAGUGGGUUAAUAUAUCAAUGGUACCUUUCGGUGUUUAUAGUGAAAUUGGACAUAUGAAGAACUUAAACCAAGUGCAAAAGCAAAGGGGCAUAGAGGCCAUUUAUGAGGCUAAUAAGUCUCUAAGUCGAGAAUAGAACUUAUGGAGGUUGUGAUCCUCUAAAUGGUUAAAUGUGUAAUUAAGUAACUAAAGUGGAAUAGAAAAAUUAGUUGUUUAUAUAUGCUUCAUAUUUGGUCUUAUUAGCUAUUUAUGAAAAGUGUUCAAAUUUGUAAGUUGAGCAUAUCUACAGAAUGUAGAGAUUGUCCUGAAUAUGAUGGUGUUUUUCUUGCAUUCAAAUUUGUAAUCUAACACUAUUCUAUAUUUAAUAAGUUUUUGUGAUUAUCCCAAAGACUAACUCAUGGGAUUGGUGGGAUUUGAGUGAAAGUGUUUUGCUUGGGGGUGGGGGUCGGAGGGGGGUUUAAAUGUAUAGUAAGGAUAGUAAGUAUGUUGGGCAUGGAAGAUCAAUCUAAAGUAUAGUGUAAUUUUUGUUUCCCGCUUGUGUGUUAGUCUUUAUUCUACAUCUGGCUUAGGUCCAAGCCUAAACUCCAUACUCUACUAGUUAGUGGAAUACCUAUAUCCUUAUUGAAAUAGCAUUAGGUUUUGUUAUGCGUAUCGCAUAAUAAGAUGGUAAAUGCUUUAGGACUUUUCUAAUAUCACUCUAUGCUCCUACCCUUCACUCCUUGGGUGUAUGCUCGGGAGUUGUACCAUGCUUUGGUUCUUUCACUAUUUGACUAAAUGCUCAGAAGUUUAGCUCCAUCCCUUUGUUUAGUGGCCCAAAAUUUUGAAACUCAAGUUCCACUCUGUUGCUUUUGGCCCAUGUGUUUAAGGGAUGUUUCAUUCUGUGGUUAUUCUAUAAUUAAUCACUAUAGGGUAAAGGGUGAAAGUUACGUGCACUAUAUUUAGUAUCAAAGAAUGAGUCUCAACGAAUACUAUCCAAUGUGAGUGGAUAAUUAAUCUUAUUAUAUACAUAGAGAUGAUAAUGAUGACCUGAGUGGGUAUACAUUUGGUCACUAUGGCUUUGCAUGCAUCCCUUGGGUAUAGAAUUUAGUUACUUUUUCAUACUAGAUUAUAUAAGCUUUCGCUUGGGCUCAAAAAAUAGAUAUGAAAUGUAUCGUCUAUAUGAGUUUGAGCAUAGGCUUAUAAAUGAGGCAUAUUAGAAACUUAAGGUUAUGCUUUGAGUUGGCAAGAUUAAUGUUUGCCUAUCGAUGGUUAUCAUGAGUUGUUUCAGAUUACCAUGGUUAAAACUAAACCUCCUAUAAAUUUGUUAUGAGUGGUGAAUAAACUAGUCCAUAUCUAUUUAGCAUCACACUAGUGGAUCCUUUCUAGGCAUAAUCAUGAAUAGAUCAAAUAAACUGUAGAGAUAAUCUAUUAGUUCAAGUAGUCAUUAUUGUGCUCCCUCAUAAACUUUUCUUAGACUGGAUCGAAGGCAAUACAAAUGCAAACUUGAGGCUUAGUCAAAAUUUAGACCAAAAAGAAAAUCAUUAGGGACAAAAGAUUAAAUAUGUAAAUCAUCUUUUUUUUCUUCAAGAGAUGAUUUACAAGAAAGUGUGAUCUUAUUGCUAGUGUUCAAAUUAUGCAAUUGGAAGUCUUCAUUUAGAUGUAUGUUAGUUAUAAUGGUCUUACAAGUGGUGAAUUGUUAGUGGAUAGUGAUGAAGUGCUAAAUCAAUUGGUCCAGGCUUAAUAUUGAGCCUUGAGUUACAAUCUCAAUUCUUUUCUAAAGAAUUUUACUAUUAUUCUUUAAGUACCUUGGUGUUUGAUUAAUUUUGAGUUUCAUCAGAAAGAGGGUGACAUAAAUUUAUCUAUAUUGUAAACAAAGUUGGUGGUAUUAGGUAUUAUAAAUCUCUUCGAUGGAAUAUGGCAUUUAUAUUACAUUUUAUAAAAUUAAGUUGACACUUGAUACUCACAUAAACCUUAGAGUACUGAUAUGGGUGUUAUUUGUAAUGUUACUCAAUUGAUGAUAAGGUUAUUGUGAUGUUUAUAUCAUAUCUUAGUAUUUAUAAGGUAUGUGUUUAUGAAAUUGUUUGAUCAAAUAAUGAUCAACCCUAAAGUGGUUGAUAAAGAUGUUAGUCUACUUGCAUAUAGUAACAUUGUAGCUAAGUUAAUGUUAUCAUAUUGAAACUUGAAAUUGAUUGAAGAAGAGCGUUAAUGCAAUAUGGAUAUUUGAAGAUAUGGUCAUUGUCAUUGAGUUUUGGGUAUUCAUUUUAGCAUUUACGGAUAUUGGUGUUGGAUGUCAGUUAUGUGGGUAUAUGUUGAAUGCUUAUACAUGUUGUUGAGUCAUAAGAAUUUAUGUUAAAGUGAACCAAGUUGCAGAUAGGAAAAAGUUAGUUGAGUCUUAAAAGUUUACAUUUCUAGAUUGAGAGUUAUUUUUUGUCUAGGAUGGAAAACUUUCUAUAAAGUUUCUUAGAUUUUUCUAAUGGUUGAUUUGUUAAUCAUUUUGCCCGAAAACCAUUUUAUUUUUAAUAGCCAUUACAAAUUGGUGAAGUGGUUUAAAUUAACUUUGGUUAACUUACAGCUUAAUUGGUAAUUUGUAUGAUGCAACUAAAAGGAAUGCUAACUUUUAAGGUUAAGACAAUUGAAUUUGGAGUUGCCAUAGAAAAUUAGCUGUUGUGCUUUCUUAAAGAGGUGACCCUUCUAUUUUUCUUCUGUAGCAUCAUGUGUUGCAAAUGUGACUUUAGGUACUUGUUAGCCAGUCUUUACAAACACUCUUUCCUUACUGCCAUGACGGCAAAAGGUCGGUACAGUUGGUUCCCUCUAUCGUUCCCACUUAAGCUAGUUGAGAAAUUGGUUAAUGACUGUGUACUUAAAUUGGAUAAACAUAAGGUAGAACCCUAUGUGUUUUUUGUUAAGUAUACUCGGCCUAGUUUGAGAAACUCCUGUCAUUGGCUUGCACUUGCUAGUAUCAAGAACCCCUGCGUAUCGAGACUAGUCCCUCAAUAUCGCUGAAUGAUAGCUUACUAUAUUUGCCAAACACCUUUGCUAUCAUGCUUUUUAUGUUGGUCUUGUUUCAAUUCCAAAUGCUAUUUAUGGAAAGUGUCUAGAUUCGCUCAUUUGGCAUAUCUACGGAAUGUAGAGGUCGGCCUGAACAUAAUGGUGUUCGUCCUGUGCCCAAAUUUGCAAUCUAAGGCCAUUCUAAAUUUAGUAAGUUUCAAACUUGUCCCAAAGAUUAACUCCUGGUACUAAGGGAGGCUUGGGGUGAAAGCCCAAAGCGUGUGUUCCUCAACAUGGGGGGGCUAUGGGGGGUUCCAAAUGUAUAGUAGGGAUAGUGGUUGGAAUGCAUGUCUGACCACUUGAGACAUUAGUUUGGCUCCCACUAGGCUGUGUCGUUCCUUGUUCUGCGUUUGGCUUGGGUCUAAACCCAAGUCCCACAUUACUUUAGUCGGUAGGGUACCCUCCUCUUCGCGUUAGGCCACUGGUAUGCCAAAAUUGUGCCAGACUCCGUCUGACACCAUUUUGCAUGCAGGUGCUGGAUAUGGGGAGCUGGUGUUCGUGGGAUUGUACCGGACUCUUUUUGUAGUGCAACGGGCUUGGAGUUCGGCUCCAAAUUCAGGUGCGUUACAUUUGGUAUCAGAGGAAUUGUCUUAACAAUUCCUAUUCAACUUUUGUCAGAUUUUCUGACUCAAGUUGCAUAUGCAGAGACUUUUCUAGUAGAUCCGACGCGACUUGUGUAGGAUUAGUUGGAUUGCACCAUUCGGUAAGAACGUUGUAAGCAUGUUCAGUUACUGAUAGAGAUAUGCAUGCAGCUAGCGGGAUGGUGAAAAGGAACUGUGUUGAUAACGCUACAACCUCUAGACGGGCGAAUCGAGAGGAGGAAACUCCUGCUAGAGAUGCUGCAGAAGAGGCUGAGGCCGAGUUAGAAGAGGAAGAGCCAGAUGCUGUGGCGUUGCAGCAUAUGGCUCAGGAAAUUGAGAUCAAGAAUUUGCGAAGGGAGAUUCGCAAAUUGAAGAAGGAGAAUAAGAAGAGGAAGAAAGAAGCUGAGGUAGCUAAACCAGCUAAGCCUAAGCAACCAGAAUCCUUUUCAAGUUCUGAGGAUGAUGAAGUUUUGCAGCCGCCCACGGUUGCACGAGUUUCAAAGUUCAAGCCUCCGAAACCACCCAAUUUCAGAGGCAUGCGGGACUAUCAGGUUUUGGAAGACUGGGUCUAUGAUAUGGAAAACUAUUUCAUAACGGCAGGCGUAGAUGAUUGUAUGAAAGUUGCGUGCGCGCAAUCCUUUCUCACUGAUCAUGCCAAAACUUGGUGGUGCCAGGUGUGUGCUGAAAAAAGGCAGACUAGAAGUUGGACCAAGAUGUGGUCUCAUAUCCGUAAGGAAUACUUGGCGGAUGAUCUUGGUUUGAGACUUUGCGUGGAGCUGUGGCGGUUAAAGUAACGAGGGGAUCUCAUGCAUUACGUUAAUGCGUUUGCUCAGAAGCGCAUUAUGAUUGCAAAUAUAAGUGACAAAGAUGCUCGAAUUUAUUUCCUGGAAGGUUUAAGUUCACUUUCUCACAAUGAGAUUUUGAAGUUUAAGCCAAAGAUGUACCUGGAGUGUAAGGAGGCAGUGCAACAAGUUGCCUUUAGUCACUCACUCAUGGAACAAUAUCAGCAACCGUAUGCUGGUAACUUGGACAAGAAUAAAAAUUCUGGGAAUAAACAAGGUGACUGGAAACAGAGGGUGGAAGGUAGGUUCUGCCCUGGAGGCUCACAAACAACAGUUAACAAAGGUGGUGGUGGUUGAAGACCACCAGCAGCUUCUUCUGGUCCUAGGCCCUUUGUUCCUCCUCCUGGUGGGUACAAGCAGCAGCAUCUUGCGAAACCUGCUCCUAGCGGAACAAGUAGUGUGGGUCAUUACUUUCAUUGUGGAGAGUCAGGAUAUAAGUCCUCGGAAUGUCCCAACAAACAUAAGACAAGGUCUCAUGUUAAUGUCAUGAGGGAAGAUGGUGGUGGUGAAGCUGAGGGGGUUGACGAGUUGGUCAAUGAAGACUAUGAGGAAGAGGAGGUGAGUUACUUUCGUUGCUUUCCUCAAGCUUUUCUAGCAGUCAAUGCAAACACUGAUCUGUUGAUGUAUUUGGUAGGAUUUGUCUGUAGACACCGAAUCCGAGUGAUGAUUGAUACGGGAGCUACGCACAAUGUGAUAUCCAAAGACUUAGUUAAGUUGUUAGGAUUGAAUGCUGAGCAAAUGUCGCCUAUGCACUUCCAGUUUGCGGAAGAUGGGCAAGUAGCCAGAAAGUUUGUGAGUGACGUUCCAAUAAAGAUAUCCAAGUGGAAAGAAAGAGUGGACUUGGUAGUGUUGAAAAUACCAGAUUUUCAUAUGGUGUUUGGUAUGGAUUUCUUCAACAAGUAUAUAAAGGGGAUUUAUGGUGCUAGACAAAGUCGUAUUACGUUGAAGUCAGAAGGACGUCCCAAUGUGUCCUUCCAGUUGCAAAAGUGUUCCUCAAAGGAUUGGGAUGCUAAGUUCCAGACUGCGAGAGCCGCUCAAAAAGUAGCUAAGAAGGGAUAUCAGACCUUUUGGGUUCAAGUGAUGGAAGCUGAGAGUGUUGGUGACUCAGUUCGAAUCAGUGACGAGGUUGAUCCUAUAUCAAAGAAGAUAUUGGAGUUGUUGGUGUAGAAUCAGGAUAUCUUCUCGAAGGAUUUGCCAUCAAGGCUGUCGCGAAUGUGACUUCGAGUAUCGAAAGUUACUUGUCGGCCAGUCCUUAGGGCGGGGUUCCAUGCUCCACCCUGGGGGGAAAAUUUCCAAGGGGGAGAAAUAAAACCCUAGGUUCCAUGCCCCCCCUCUUGUGACAUGGCACCAAAAAUGGGGGGGAAGGGGGAAACUCGGUGUCCCCUCUGUAAAUUUCUCUUGGAGCCUAGAAUCUGGUAACAAAUAAAAUAAUGCCACGUGGCUAAAUUGCCACAUCAUCUAAAAAUUUGACUUGCCCUAAUUUUGCUGCCAUGUGAACGAGCAACGAUUGAAAGAUUCUUCCUCCAAUUGGAAUGGUCAUCCUCAUCAUCCUUAUGCUAUAAAGUUUGCAACUUUUUAGUAUCUAACUUACCAUCAGUAGAAUAGUGGCCAUUCUUUUUACCCUAAUGCUUGUUCUUCAACUGUGGACAAUUAACCUUAUAGUGUCCAAACUCGCUGUAAUGAUGACAACUUUAUCUAUAAUUCUUUAUAAAGAACUUCUGCUUCUUUGCCCUUUACAUUAGAGGUAGCCAUCAUAGACUUUAGCUUGUGAUGUUUGUUCCCAUCCUUGUGUUCACAACGAUCAUCAUGACCAUUCGCGACAGAAAGACUCCUUGAACGUUUGCGAGAUUUGUGCUUGUCAUUGUCAAGUCAACAAACCACAUCAAAGAGCUCCUUCAAACUUUUUGUAGGUUGAGAAUGAUGCAAGUGUUGCCACAUGCUCUCACUAUAAAGGCUAUCAAUGAAGUAGGACUUAUUCUUAUCUAGAUCCUUUGUUGGAACACGGCUAAUCAAGAGAGUAAGCUUCUCAAUAUAGUCCCUGAGUGUCAUUUUCCCUUGCUAAAAAUGUCAAAAUUCUAUACGAACAUUUUUCAUAUCGUAGUGAGGGGAAAAACAUAAAUGAAAAGUAGCCUCAAACUCAUCUAUGGAAGACACUGGUGGUUUCUUAUCCAAACACGAAACUCCUUAAGCCAAUUCCUCUACCGAAGACCUACAUCACGCAAAACCAUUAGAAUAACCACUAAAGUCUCUACAUCUAGAGUUCCUCUAGUAGCCAAACACUUCUUUACAUUGGCUAGCCAAGAUAGACACUCGUCCACACCACCAUCACUAAAAAAGUUUGGAACUUUGAGUUGAUCUACCAAAAAAGGCUUACUUAGAGUUCCAUCACAUCUAGCCUUGAGUGCUUCAAUACGCUCACACAUGGUAUCCAUCAUGCCAUGCAUUUCAUCUUGCAUCUCAUCUUGCAUCUCUUACUGAUUUUGAUUAAAGGUUUGCAACUCAUGAACAACAUCCUAAAUGGUCCAAACCUCUGUAGUUCUAUCAGCACCAUCAUCAGCACCACUAUCGACAAUAGGAUUCUAACGUUUAGCUUGGUUGGCCACCGCAAUCAACUUCUUUAAUACCAAUGUUAUGAUCCGGUGUGAAAAGAUAAAAAUUUAAUCUCCCUAAACUAUGUUAUGCCUCCUCUUGAGGUUCCUCACCACCCAACCACCCCCGAGCUACCUCAAAAACCCCAUUGUGAACUCUAGGGUAGGUUAAUUUCUUUACCCUAACAUGCCUUAAUAUACCCUUGAUCAACAUUGACCACAUGGUCAAAGCUGGCGCCUAACAUAACUAAUGUCUAAUAUAUGAAGGUUUUUAUGAAAUCAAUGCGAGACGAAGUAAAAAAUAACUAGGACUAUUCCAAUGUUGCUCCAUACUCUUAUCCUUGAACUCCUUAGUUAUAUGCUUAACAAUUGUCUAUACUCCAGUUCUUUCACUCCUUGGCUAGAUGCUCAAAAGUUUGGCUUUGUCCUUUUAUUUAGUAGCCUAAGGCCCUAAAACUCAAGUUUCACUUCGUUGUUCUUAGCCUACGUGUCCAAGGGCUAUAUUUCGCUCCAUAUUUAUCAUAUGAUGAAAACCAUGUGUGCUACAUUUAGCGAUUAUUAUCUAAUAAGAUUCGGCAACUAAUCUUAUUAUAUACACAAAGAUAAAAACAAUGACUUGAGUGGGUACACAUUUAAUUGCUAUGGCUUUGUAUGCAUCCCUUGGGUAUAGAAUUUAGUUACCUUUUCAUACUAAAUUAUAUGAGCUUUUGCUUGGGCUCAUAAAAUGGAUGUGAAAUGUACUGUUUGCAUAAGUUUACAUUUAGGCUCGUAAAUGAGGCACAUUAGCAACUUAAGGUUAUACUUUGAGUUAGCAAGAUUAAUAUUUGUCUAUUGAUGGUUAUUAUCAGUUAUUCCAUAUUACCAUAGGUAAAAAUUAAUUCCUCUAGGUUUGCUAUGAGUUGUGAAUAAGUUGGUCCAUAUUUGUUUAGCAUAACAUUAGUGGAUCUUUCAUAGGCAUGAUUAUGAAUGGAUUAAUUAAGACUAUAGGGAUUAGUCUAUUGGUUCAAAUAAUCAUUAUCAUCCCCUCUUAUAAACCUUUUUUAGACUGGAUUGAAAGCAGUGCAAACAUAAGCUUGAGGCUUACUCAAAGUUUAGACUAAAAAGAAACUCAUCAAAGAUGAAGGAUCAAAUAUAUAAAUCAUUUUUUCUUCGUCAAGAAAUUAUUUGUGUAGUGCACAUGAAUUUGGAGCUAAACUCCAAGCCCAUUGCACCAUGAAACAAGGGUCUAGUAUGCACUUAAUAUCCCCUACGAGCACUAGCUCCCUAUAUUUAGCUCUUGCAUGCAAAAUGGUGGCAAAUAGUGUUUAGCACAAUUUUGGCAUAUUGAUGGCUUAACAUGAGGAGGAGGAUACCCCACUGACUAAAGCAAUAUAGAGCUUGGGCUUAGACCUAAGCCAAACACAAAACAAGGAGCAACAUUGCCCAAGGGGAGCUAAACUAAUAUCUCAAAUUUAACAACUAUCCCUACUAUAUAUUUGGAACACCCUAUAACUCCUCACCGCCCCCCCCUCCCCCCCUCCUCCCCCUGCCCUACCCCGCCCUACCCCGCCCUCUCUGUAUGAGGAACACACACUUUAGGCUUUUACCGUAGUGUCAGGAGUUAGUCUCUGGGAUAAGCUUAAAACUUACUAAAUAGAGAAUGACUAGAUUGCGAAUUGGGGCGCGAGAAUAAUAUCAUGGGGUUCAAGGCACUCUUUACAUUCUAUAGAUAUGCCUUUUGAGUAAAUUUAGACAUUUACUAUAAAUAAUAUAUGGAUCUGGAACGGGACCAAUACAUGGGGUAUGAUAACGAGGGUAUCUAGUAGAAAUAGUAAGUUAUCAUGUAGCAAUGUUGAGGGACUAAACUCAAUAUCGUGAAUGUUCCCAACAUUAGCAAGUGCAAGUCAACAAAUGAAUUUCUCUAACCAAGUCAAGUAUACUUAACUAAUAGCAUUUAUGAAUUUUGUACUUAUGCUCAUCUAGUCAACUACAUAAGCAAUGAUUAGUUUCUUAACUAGUUUAGCCAAAUCAUAAACACUAUCUGCAUCAAGACUAAUGAAACUUGAUAUCAAUACUAUGGAGAGACAUUUUAUCCUACUCGAAUCUUCAACAACAAUAAUGCCAAUGACAAGAUAUCAUUUCAAUGCCAUUAACACUAUAACACAGCUAAAAGAAAGCAAAAGUGAAUCACCAUUUAAAGCUCUUUAGCAACUACACUAAUUGAAAUUGAAGAUACCUUACUCAAUAUCUAAGACUAAUUCUUUAACAAUACUCAGCUACAGAUAACACUUUAUCAAAGAGUGAAUUACCACAUCCAAAACUCAAUAAAAUCCAACACUACGAACUAAAUACAACCAAAUGAUAUCGACAAAGGUAAAGUUGAUAUGCUAAUAUGAAAAACCCAUGUAAAUUUAAUAACACAAUCCUUUGCAACACCAUCCAGUAAAACAAGCCCAUCACUAAUAAAUUUUCAUCAAAUGAAGCAAAUGUCAAAAAUCUUUGACAAGUAUAUUAGUUGCAAAGCAACCAACAAUCACUCUUCAACUUGCCUUUCACAAGAUCCAAACACUAAGCUUUUGUUAUCGAGUUAUAUAUUUGUCCAAGAUAAACAUAAUACCCCAAGUACGAAAUAUAGGUUCAUGGACAAGCAUGAACUAAAUGACCACUCAAAUCCAACUCAACUGUAAUAAGCUCACUACAUGUCUAGCCAAUAGCUCUAAGCAUGCCUUAAAGAGGCUAGUUAUGCAUGAUUAACACUUAGUCGAAACUAAAGUGAAGACCAUGAGAUGGACUUAUAUUAGUACACAACCUCUUCAUAAACAAAGUUAUAGUAUGGGUAUUAAUAUCCCAACCUCAAACAACUAAAUUAGACAUUAUUAUCCUCAACCAAAGUGUAAGGCCACCAAGACUAAGUUAGGAUCAAUGAGAGCUCACUACUCUCAUAGAGUUUAAUAAAAUACAAAGUGCAACUUGCUACCAAGCAUAAUGCUAUAAAUAAAAGGCAUAAUGGUCACCUUUCUAGAAAAGUGGAAUAAUCACUUUUCUAAACCCAACUUCAGACUCUGUCCAACUCAAUUGCUUUAGCCAUAAAUCAACAUCCCUUUCGGACUACAUCAUACAAAUUACAUACUAAGGUUUAAGCUAAUCGAAGUCAACUCUAACCCUUCAUUAAUUUGUAUUGGCUUAUGAAAAUGGAAUGGAUUUUGAGCAAAAUGAUCAAUAGAUAAGCCAUUAGAAAAUUCUAAGAAAAUUUGUGGAAAAAUUUCCAUCCUAGAAAAAGAAUAAUUCUAUAUCUAGAAAUAAAAACUUUCAAGACUCAACCAACUUCUUCCUACUAACAACUUCAUAUAGGUUCACUUUAACAUAAAUUUUCAAGACCCAAUAGUAUGUCUAAACAUUGAACAUCAUGUCCAUAUUUUUGACAUCUAACACCAACAUCUGUAAAAUGCAAAAUGAACAUUUAAGGUUUGAUCACAAAGACCAUAUCUUCAAAUAUCCACAUUUUAUUAACACUCUUCUUCAAUCACUUUCAAGAUCUAAUGUGAAGCCAAAACACUAAUAAAAAAAAUGACAUAAAAAAUUAAGAUCUAAAGAAAAUCCCUCAUCACUUAAAACAAUAAUGCCAGUUCCACUAACACAAGUGCUAGCAAUGUUAAUGCCUACCCUUUUCCAUCCAACAAUUUAUUCUAAGUGCUAAUAGAUAAACCAACAAGCCAUAAUAAAUGAAUGCUACAACUUUUUUCCAUCACCUUAUGGGCAAACUCUUAAGGAAACAAAGUACUAACUCAAGUUUAGCAUAAUGAAUCACUAUAGAGAAUUUAUUCAAAGCUACUACAAUCCUACUAUGUGCAAGUAGACUAACCUCAUCAUCAACCACUUUGGGGUUGAUCAUCAUUUAACCAAGCAACUUCGUAAUCACAUAGCUCAUUAUCACAUGGAUAUAAUAUAAAAUCACAAUGACUUGAUCAUUAAUUGACCAACACUACGAGUAAUGCCCAUAUUAUUACUUCAAAGGUUUAUGUGAAUAUUAAGUGCUAACUCAAUUUGAUAAAAUGCAACAUAAAUGCCACACUCCAUCAAUAAAUAUUUACAACACUUAACACCAUUCACUUUUGCUCACAACACAGACAAGUUUAUGCCACUGUUUUUCCAACCAAAUUCAAAAUUAAUCCAAUACUAAACUACUUAAGGAGCAAUAGCAAAGUUCCCUGGAAAAGAAUUGAGCAUUGUAAUUUAAGUCUUCAAUAAUAAAUUUAGACAAAAUGGUUUAGCGCUUCACCAUUAUCUAUCCCACAACUCACCAUUUGUAAGACCAUCACUUCCAACAUGUAUCAAGGUAGGGACUUCUUAAUUGCAUGAUGUAUACAUAAGCAAUGAGUUACAUCUCAUUGCAAAUAAUCUUGUAAGCGACUAAAUUUUCCAUUCUACUUUAGCCACUUAACCACACCUCUGACCACUUGGAGGAGUCUCAUUCACAACCUCCAUAAGUCCAAUCCAGGACUUGGGACUUGCUAGCCCCGAGAAUGGCAUCCAUGCCACUCAACAUUUGCACUUGGUCCAAGUGCCCCACGUGUCCGAUCCCAUGACCGACACUCAAAGGUACCACUGACAUAGCAGCCCGUUACGCUAAGGCCAUGCCCAAUCACCUUUGCCACACUGGUAGUCCAAUACCACUUGCAUCACCGUCUUGGCUCUCCAAGACUAGGCAAACCAUCCGUGAGUGGUCAUCUCAGAUCCACUCCUUAGCAUCCUUAGGAUGCCCACCGACGAGGGGAAUAGCCUUCCCCAAUAUCCCUCUGUCAGUCCCCACUAAGUCCCUUUCUGCCCCUGACCGUGUUUGCCAACACUGCCACUGGAUCGAGACCCACAGGCCCGACCACUAAGUCCCACGGUCCUCUGGGACUUCCUCACCACACUACUGUGUCCUUGGUCACUACCCCAGAGGACUGCUCCUCUUCCUUUCCACAGUCUGGGCCUUUGGGACAACAUUUCGGAACACCGUGGCCUUACGCGAGCCACCUGGGUACUCUCCUCGCCUUCUGCCCUUGGGUGCUCUAGCCAUGGGCUUAGAGCGGGUUCCGUUGAGCCACGCCUGGUAUCCAAGUAGGUAGUGCCACCCACACUUGGACUGGGAGCAUCGGCCAGUCGAUCUCCCGGGGGAACUAGAGCCGGCUCUUGAACACUUCACCAAGCUACCCCGCUUGUCGGUCCGUGUUCACUCUAGUCUUGGACUUCCCAGUGGUCAGCUCAUCACCCAACACUGGGUCUGGCCUUCCUGGACCCAACUGGCCCUUCCUGGGCCAAACUGGCCCUUCCUGGCCCAACUGGCUCCACUGGGCUCCAACCCCCAUACUCUCCCUACUAUACUUUUGGAACCCCCCGCAGCCCCCCCCCCCUGGGAGACGCACGCUUUGGGCUUUCACCCCUUGACCCGUAUUAGUAUUUGGACUUAGUCUCUGGCUCGAUCUCGGAUCCGAUUUCGGAUCCGACUUCGGAUUCGGUCUCGGACUUGAUCUCAGUCCCGGUUCCAUCUUGGACUCCAUCUCGGGUCCAUCUCGGACUCCAUCUCGGACUCCAUCUCGGGUCCAUCUCGGACUCCAUCUCGGACUCCAUCUCGGGUCCAUCUCGGACUCCAUCUCGGACUCCAUCUCGGGUCAUCUCGGACUCCAUCUCGGGUCCAUCUCGGACUCCAUCUCGGACUCCAUUUCGGGUCCAUCUCGGGUCCACCUCGGACUCCAUCUCGGACUCCAUCUCGGGUCCAUUUCGGACUCCAUCUCGGGUCCAUCUCGGACUCCAUCUCGGACUCCAUUUCGGGUCCAUCUCGGGUCCACCUCGGACUCCAUCUCGGACUCCAUCUCGGGUCCAUCUCGGACUCCAUCUCGGGUCCAUCUCGGACUCUUCCACGUGUCAUGUGUUGGUCCUUUUGGGUCCCUUUUUGGAGCCUCGCUUUUUGCUCGCUUUGUGCUCGUUCCUCGAGCACUUCGUUGGGAGUUCCACUCCCGCUCUUGACUUUUCAAGUCGGAGCUUUUGGUCCAAACGUGUUACGCUCGUUUGGCUCUCGCUUCGGCCACUACCACGUGGCACCCUUCCGGCUCCACUUUGGGGCCUAGGGGUUUUGUGUCUCACAACUCCACCACCCAUAGACGAAGUUCGAUGUCCUCAUCGAACGGUAAAUCAUUUUGUAAAGUAACACUCGCAUGUGUUACCAUUUCCAUCCUUGGCACCUAGCCAAUAUUUGUCAAUGAUUUGAUAUUGAAGGCUCACCAUGCCUUCUCCACAUUCGUCAAUGGUUUGACAUUGAAGGCUCACCAUGCCUUUUGCAUAUGCCUCAAUGGUUUGACACCAAAGGCUCACCAUGCCUUGCCUAUCCUCUAAGGAGGGUAGUCUCUCCAACUUAGAGACUGAUUAGACCACAUGCAGUGGUUCUCUCUUUUUAUUGAUUUAGUUCUUGCUAAACCUCUUAGAGACCCUUCUCUAAGUCAAUCCCACUACUCCUUCUCGAGUAGUCUCAAUUUCCCUCUAUUGAACGUUUGCACCUUGGAACUUUUACUCUUUUGACUUUUGGAAGUCAAUUUCCUAGGUGUCUCCAACACCUUGGAUUCCUUCCAAGGGAUUCCACGGCCCUAUCUUGGCCACUCGUCUUUUGCUCCUAUCCGUUGAUUGUUGCACCAAGCAACACCGAAUCUUUACCUCCCUCCUUGAGGUAUUCUUUUGAUUCCAUAGCAAAGGCUUUGCUUUGCCAAUACUAGGGUGUUCACCCCUAGUAAGUCUCUUUAGCAUCUUCUGCUGUGGGCUUUAUCCACGGCCCAACUUUGUGACCCUCCCAUGGGUCUCUUUAGAGACUACUUUCCUUGGACACACUAUGCCAUCGCAAUGACAUAGCUCAUUUCCCUAAGGUGCUUUACCCACUUGGUCACCUUGACCAAGCCACACCAUCAUCAAUAGUUCAAAUCAACACUUUGAACUAGGAACCUUAUUCCUUAGCCCAAACAAGGACCUUGUCCUUAUUUAGCCACAAGAUCACCUAGUGAUCUCACCUCGGCACCUUAACAGGUUUGCCAAUAGGUACUAGGUCUUCCAGACCUUUAACUUGUUAACUACGACCCCGGGGGCAUCCCCCACACUUGGCGGUGCGCCCAAGCUAGCCCUUCCAGCUAAGGGUCCAUAGCAACUGAGACUGGGUGUCCCCAUCUCAUUCACCACGUCCUUGGUGCCACUGGCACCAAAGUGUUCAAGUUAGAUAUGCUGAGCCACACUAAGCAAUCUAACCGUGCAUCACGACUCCGAGGCAUCCCUCGCUUGGCGGUGUGCCCAAACCAGUCUCCCCACUGAGAGUCCAUGACCACCGAAAUAUGAGUGUCCUCAUAUUCCAAACCAUCACCACGCCCUAGUGAUUUGGGACUCGAACCCAAGCACUAGAGGGUCGGGACUCGAACCCAACCUCCGUAUAUGCAUCUACGGACGGCAUCACACAAGAUGCCUGGCGUGACUCCCCACGCCGGUGCACCAACUUAUUUUUAAAGCGCGCUACAGAUCACAGCUUAGGAACCUAGUUCCUCCACACUGCCAAGUCCUCUCACUUGACAUGUCUGUGAUCAUGCAUGGACUCCUCCAUGCUCGGCCCCAUGGCCCACCCUUUUUGAAGUUAUCACCUUCAACUAGGGUAUUCGUUCCCCCGACGUGCCAAUCUCGCUUGGCAAGUCCUCCGACCACUGUAACAUGGUUCCUGCAUAAGCGUGAAAGUCCUUGUCCAUCGACUUUCGUUCAAAGCCCUCUCUUUGAACCCUCGGGAACUACUUCCCUAACCUUGAUAGCCUUGUCUCAUGGCAAGCUUCAAGACCACGCUUCUGCCGCGCCACUCUGAUUUCGCGCGUUCCAUGAACCAUUUACACUUGGCCUUUCUAGGUACUAAGCUACCUAGAAUCGUCUUUGGGAACCUUGAAGGAACUCUGUCCCUCAGCUUGCUAAGGCCUCCCUUUUUGCAAGCCUUCCAAAUGCCACAUAGUCUAACAUGGACAAUUCCAUAUUUUAGACCCUCCAUGGCAUCACGGUUGCUAGCGGCAACACCCUCGAGCCCCCACUUGAUUCUCCACUCCCAGCUGGCAUAACCAACCUUGGUUAUACCCUUCGAUUCCUAUGGUUCGGUUCCAUCCCCUUACUUCUUGCUUUUGGCUUCACACCUUUCCUUUGGUCAUUCUCCUCCAAACCAGGAGGAUAGCUUUGCACUUUCUAUCAUGCUUUAGCAAGUAUUCUUCGGGAUGAACCUACCCAAUAGCCUAGGGGGUGGUUCCUCAAUCCGGGCAUGCUCACCUUAUAAUCCCACACACUGGGAUUACAUUGUUGCUUAUGGGCCUUUACAUGCCCAUCACUAGUCUUGCCAAAAUUCCAUUUUUGGCUUUGUCCAACUCGGGUAGACAGUCCUCUCCUGUCUCCGCAACCUUGGACAUUUGGAUAGCACCUUCUAUCCAUCAUUCGCUAGGGACUUAGUCCCUUGGGCUUUAUCCAUUGCCCUCGCGACAUCAAACACCACCUUCUGGUGUUCUAGAGUGUUCGGGUGUCCCAAUGAUGGUUUUCUUGACAAUGAGUAUUUCCUUUUAUGACAUUGACUUACUAUAUCGCAACAUAAGCAACUUAUCCCCCGUAAGGGUAUAUCCGACUUCCCUAUGCUAGAAGUCUUGGGUAGCUACCUUCUACCCAUUUAACCAGUUAUUUUGCACCUCUUGCUUAGUUGCCUCAUAGUUGUCAAGUCCUACAACUCAUUGCUUGGUGCUUUCACACCUCCAUCAUUAUCUGGGUCACCACACUCCAACUGCAUGCUCUGCAGCUUAGGCUAUGCCAUUCCCAUUCCCAUUGGGAUUCCUUUGGCAAGGGGUUCUCAUGAACCCACUAACAUAGCCUCAUAGUACUACCCCUUGGCACAUUUGGUGUCUCCACACCAUCGGCUCCACGAGCCUACCUCUAUGACACUUCCCCUUCGUGUUUAAGUCUUUGCCAAGACCAACACCGCUCUUUCUCAGGCCAACCAUUCGUUAGCACUGCACCAUAGAGGUCACACACAACUUUGUGUCAAAGUUGUUUCCUUCUGGGAACACCUUUCCCAUAACUUUUAGCAUGGCACAUUUUGCCAUCGAUGAGAUACCCUCUGUUCUCAUCCUUGGAUCCUAUGAUCCCCUCCCCCAUCCUUCAUGGGGUACUACACACCUCAGUCCAAAUGCUCCAAUCAGUCCUUUUAGGACCUUUCCUUGACUCUACUUGAGUCAUCCAGCAAUUUUGGACUUGGUUCAUCCACAGACCCGUAAGGUCCCACUUGUGAGGCACUAGCUCACUGGAAUACACUUCCUGCAUUCCUGUCCUACUCAGAAGGACUAUUUUCACAAGUGUUACUCUGACACUUGUUUUUGUUCUCUGGGGCAACCUCUGCCCCUUAGAACUACUUGUCCAUGUGAUGAGAAUACCAACUCAUCUCUAAGUACACCCCCCAACUCCUUGGGUUGUUCCAACAUUUAUUACAGGUAGCCCCGGCUACCAUUUCAAGGACUUGAGUCCUCUUCCGUAUUUGACCUCCCACGGUCAUUACUUCUGGUCUCACAUUCAUGAGCACCAACCUCAACUAUAUGAGGAUAAUCUUGUGACUCCUUUAUUGUUUUGGAGUCCACAUCUUUCCCGUGAUCCCAACUAUAGUUGUUUAUCACAACUACCUUAGCCAAUUGGCUGAGCCAAAUGCUCAUCCGGAUCACAUCCUCAACUCAAUGAGGAAAACCUUGCACUGUUCCCAAGAUCCCAAAGUCGUUCCGUUAUUGGCCCCUUUUCUAUCCACCACCUUGUCUACAAGUUCACACAUGAACUGUAAUGGAGAGCCAUGUCUUCCCGACCUGCUACUCCUCAAGGAUAGGCCCACUUCUCGGACCUUCCGUUGCCAACACCAGUGGUGAUAUACUUGAGCACCAAUAAAAGUCGGACUAAGGAACGGCUCUGAUACCAAAUUGUAAGCGACUAAAUUUUCCAUUCUACUUUAGCCACUUAACCACACCUCUGACCACUUGGAGGAGUCUCAUUCACAACCUCCAUAAGUCCAAUCCAGGACUUGGGACUUGCUAGCCCCGAGAAUGGCAUCCAUGCCACUCAACAUUUGCACUUGGUCCAAGUGCCCCACGUGUCCGAUCCCAUGACCGACACUCAAAGGUACCACCGACAUAGCAGCCCGUUACGCUAAGGCCAUGCCCAAUCACCUUUGCCACACUGGUAGUCCAAUACCACUUGCAUCACCGUCUUGGCUCUCCAAGACUAGGCAAACCAUCCGUGAGUGGUCAUCUCAGAUCCACUCCUUAGCAUCCUUAGGAUGCCCACCGACGAGGGGAAUAGCCUUCCCCAAUAUCCCUCUGUCAGUCCCCACUAAGUCCCUUUCUGCCCCUGACCGUGUUUGCCAACACUGCCACUGGAUCGAGACCCACAGGCCCGACCACUAAGUCCCACGGUCCUCUGGGACUUCCUCACCACACUACUGUGUCCUUGGUCACUACCCCAGAGGACUGCUCCUCUUCCUUUCCACAGUCUGGGCCUUUGGGACAACAUUUCGGAACACCGUGGCCUUACGCGAGCCACCUGGGUACUCUCCUCGCCUUCUGCCCUUGGGUGCUCUAGCCAUGGGCUUAGAGCGGGUUCCGUUGAGCCACGCCUGGUAUCCAAGUAGGUAGUGCCACCCACACUUGGACUGGGAGCAUCGGCCAGUCGAUCUCCCGGGGGAACUAGAGCCGGCUCUUGAACACUUCACCAAGCUACCCCGCUUGUCGGUCCGUGUUCACUCUAGUCUUGGACUUCCCAAUGGUCAGCUCAUCACCCAACACUGGGUCUGGCCUUCCUGGACCCAACUGGCCCUUCCUGGGCCAAACUGGCCCUUCCUGGCCCAACUGGCUCCACUGGGCUCCAACCCCCAUACUCUCCCUACUAUACUUUUGGAACCCCCCGCAGCCCCCCCCCCCUGGGAGACGCACGCUUUGGGCUUUCACCCCUUGACCCGUAUUAGUAUUUGGACUUAGUCUCUGGCUCGAUCUCGGAUCCGAUUUCGGAUCCGACUUCGGAUUCGGUCUCGGACUUGAUCUCAGUCCCGGUUCCAUCUUGGACUCCAUCUCGGGUCCAUCUCGGACUCCAUCUCGGACUCCAUCUCGGGUCCAUCUCGGACUCCAUCUCGGACUCCAUCUCGGGUCCAUCUCGGACUCCAUCUCGGACUCCAUCUCGGGUCCAUCUCGGACUCCAUCUCGGGUCCAUCUCGGACUCCAUCUCGGACUCCAUUUCGGGUCCAUCUCGGGUCCACCUCGGACUCCAUCUCGGACUCCAUCUCGGGUCCAUCUCGGACUCCAUCUCGGGUCCAUCUCGGAGUCCAUCUCGGACUCCAUUUCGGACUCCAUCUCGGGUCCACCUCGGACUCCAUCUCGGACUCCAUCUCGGGUCCAUCUCGGACUCCAUCUCGGACUCCAUUUCGGGUCCAUCUCGGGUCCACCUCGGACUCCAUCUCGGACUCCAUCUCGGGUCCAUCUCGGACUCCAUCUCGGGUCCAUCUCGGACUCUUCCACGUGUCAUGUGUUGGUCCUUUUGGGUCCCUUUUUGGAGCCUCGCUUUUUGCUCGCUUUGUGCUCGUUCCUCGAGCACUUCGUUGGGAGUUCCACUCCCGCUCUUGACUUUUCAAGUCGGAGCUUUUGGUCCAAACGUGUUACGCUCGUUUGGCUCUCGCUUCGGCCACUACCACGUGGCGCCCUUCCGGCUCCACUUUGGGGCCUAGGGGUUUUGUGUCUCACAAAUCUCUCCAAGAAGAGAAAAUAGUUUACGUGUUUGAUCCUUCAUCCCUGACAACUCUUUUCUCGGUCUCAACUUGACUAACCUUAAGCUUGCAUUAACACUGCUGUAGCGCACGUGGUUUUGACCCUUUAUCCUAUGGUGAUUUACCAUAGGAUAAUACCACUAAGUGGAACCUAAACCCUCUUUAUGCCACGUGACACAGCCAUGUGUCCAUAGGACAGUGGUGUGGAACCCGAGGUUUAGGGCCUUGGGCCACUAAACGAAAUAACAGUGCCAAACUCCCAAGCAUGGAGCCAAGGAGUGACGAAACCGGUCCACGAAGCAACUCCCGAGCAUACAGCCCAAGGAGCGAAGGGAUAGGAGCCUAGAGCAAUUUGGAACAGUCCUAGAGCAACUAGCAUCCUAUUGCCAGGACUAGCACGCAAAACGAAGCCAAACGAAGUCUGGCACUAUUUUGGCAUACCGGUGGCCUAACGCAAAGACAUAGGUAUUCCACCAAGUAGCAUGGAAUGGAACUUGGGCUUAGACCCAAGCUAGACACAGAACAAAGACAGGCACGCAAGUGAUAACUAGAUUAUGCCUCAAGUUGGUCAACCAUACCUGACCUACCCAUUAUCCCUAUUAUACAUUUGGAACCCCCCACAGCCCCCCCCCCCCCCCUUGAGGAACACACGCUUUGGGCUUUCACCCCAAGCCUCCCUUAGUAUCAGGAGUUAGUCUCUGGGACAAGCUCGAAACUUACUAAAUAUGGAAUGGUGCUAGAUUGCGAAUUUGGACACGGGACUAACACCGUUGUAUUCAAACCAAUCUCUACAUUUCGUAAAUAUGCCAAAUAAGCAAAUCUAGACACUUUCCAUAAAUAGCAUUUAGGACCGAAAUGAGACUAACACAAAGGGCAUGAUAGCGAGGGUGUUUGGCAGACACGGUGCUAUCAUUUAGCGAAUAUUGAGGGACCAAUCUCAAUAUUGUGGGGGUUCUUGAUACUAGCAAGUGCAAGCCAAUGACAGGAGUUUCUCAAACCAGGCCAAGUAUGCUUAGCAAGAAACACAUAGGGUUCCUGCCUUAUGUUUAUCCAAUUUAAGUACACGGUCAUUGACCAAUUUCUCAACUAGCUCAAGUGGGAAUUGAUAACAGGCCUAGCAAUACUGACCUCCUACCUGUAAGCAACUAAUUUUUCCAUUCUACUUUAGUCACUUAACCACACCUCCGACCACUUGGAGGAGUCUCAUUCACAACCUCCAUAAGUCUAACUCAAGACUUGGGGCUUGCUAGCCCCAAGAAUGGCAUCCAUGCCACUCAACCUUAGCACUUGGUCCAAGUGCUCCAUGUGUCCGAUCCCAUGAUCGACACCCCAAGGUACCACCGACGUAUCGGCCCGUUACGCUAAGGUCAUGCCCAUUUACCUUGGUUACACUGGUGGUCCAACACCACCUGCAUUCCAGUCCCAUCUCUCAAAGACGGGGUCAUCCGUCCAUGAGUGAUCAUCCCAGAUCCACUCCUUAACAUCCUUAGGAUACCUACAGACAUGGGGAAUAGCUUUCCCCAAUAUCUCUGUUCCGGUCCCCACCAAGUCCCUUCCUGUCCUCGGCUGUGUUCGCCAACACUGCCACUGGAUCAAGGCCCACCGGCCCGACCACUAAAUCCCACUAUCCUCUAGGACUUCCUCACUGUGUGACUAUGUCCUUGGUCACCACACCAGAGGGCUACCCCUCUUCCUUUCCACUGUCUAGGACUUUGGGACACCAUUUCGGAACACCGUGGCCCUACGCGGGCCUCAUGGGUACUCUCCCCGCCUUCUGCCUUUGGGUGCUCUAGCCAUGGGCUUAGAGCGAGGUUCCGUUGAGCCACGCCAAGUAUCCAAGUAGGUAGUGCCACCCACACUUGGACUGGGAGCAUCGGCCAGUCGAUCUCUCGGGGGAACUAGAGCCGGCUCUUGAACACUUCACCAAGCUACCCCGCUUGUCGGUCCGUAUUCACUCUAGUCUUGGACUUCCCAAUGGUCAGUUCAUCACCCAACACUGGGUAUGGCCUUCCUGGACCAAACUGGUCCUUCCUGGGCCAAACUGGUCCUUCCUGGCCAAACUGGCUCCACUGGGCUCCAACCCCCACACUCUCCCUACUAUACUUUUGGAACCCCCCGCAGCCCCCCCCCCCCCCCCCCCUGGGGGACGAUCGCUUUGGGCUUUCACCCAACUGCCUGUAUUAGUAUUCGGAUUCGGACUCGGACUCGGACUCGGUCUCGGUCCCGGAUUCGGAUUCGGACUCAGUCUCGGUCUCGGUCUCGGUCCCGGUCUCGGUUCCAUCUCGGACUCCAUCUCGGACUCCAUCUCGGGUCCAUCUCGGGUCCAUCUCGGACUCUAUCUCGGGUCCAUCUCGGACUCCAUCUCGGGUCCAUCUCGGACUCCAUCUCGGACUCCGUCUCGGACUCCAUAUCGGACUCCACUUCAGGUCCAUCUCGGACUCCAUCUCGGACUCCAUAUCGGACUCCACUUCGGGUCCAUCUCGGACUCCAUCUCGGACUCCAUAUCGGACUCCACUUCGGGUCCAUCUCAGACUCCAUCUCGGACUCUAUAUCGGACUCCACUUCGGAUCCAUCUCGGACUCCAUCUCGGACUCCAUAUCGGACUCCAUAUCGGACUCCACUUCGGGUCCAUCUCGGACUCCAUCUCGGACACUUCCACGUGUCACGUGUUGGUCCUUUUUGGGUCCCUUUUUGGAGCCAUGCUUAUUGGUUGCCUCGCACUUGCUCCUCGAGCACUUUGUUGGGAGUUCCACUCCCGCUCUCGACCUUCCAAGUCGGAGCUUUUAGUCCAAACGUGUUAUGCUCGUUUAGCUUUUGCUUCGGCCACUACCACGUGGCACCCUUUCCAGCUCCACUUUGGGGCCUAGGGAUUUUGUGUCUCACACUACCAUCGUGGCAGUAAAGAAAGAGUGUCCGUAAGGAUUAGCCGACAGGUAACUUUCGAUACUUGAAGUCACAUUCGCGACACUCUCCCCCCCUAGGGAAGAUCGACAUCCUCGUCGAUGCAUACUUGAGUCUAGAAUACCGCCAAGGAAACAACUUUAGAAAAAGUUCACGGUAUUCACACUAUGUGAGAAAUGCACCAGCUUAAAUGAGUUAGGAGGCAACCUUUUUGUCUAAUGCGGAUGCGCUACCAGCUCAGACACCUUCUGGCCAUUGCCGACAAGGAAAUGACCAACAAAGUUAGCCACCUUUGCUACUCUGGUUAUCAUCCAACUUACAAAAGUGUGAUAUGCCCCUGCCCGCAGGGACAUAGAGAGAGAAGCCAGAGGCCCCAACCCUCCUGAGCAAAGAAACCAAACCCAUCGGUAAAGUUUAGAUAGACUACUGUAAACAGGCAGUUAGAGUUGUUUACACAGUCAUGCCCUUUUAACUAAAAAUAAGGAACAUUGACAAAGAGGCGGGUUAUGUGACUAGUCGACAGUAGCUAUCCCAUGACUAGAGAUUUCACCAUGCACACGAAGUGCCGAAGUCAGUCUGCCUAUACUGGCCCAAACUCAAAGAUCAAUAGAUGGACAAUAUCAAAGUCAUAAAUAAUGAUAUCGUAGAGACUUAAUUACCAGUGAAUAAAUCUGAGAUUAGAACACAAAAGUAUUCCAAGUAAGUUAUCAUCCGAUAAACUAGUAUUAUAGUAUAGGAACCACCAAGAUCAUCAUUUUUGGUAAAUAUAGAAAUCACCAUACAACAAAAUUCAAUAGCAAGUAUAUCAUCAAGGAAACUCAAUGAUGAAACUUCACUAUCGAAGAUAGUAUGCCAAACAACUUACCAAAGAUAACUUAAAGAACACAAAGUAUCAUUAACUGGCAAGCAAGAUGCUCGCGAAUGUAUCACCUGAAAGAAAUAACAUUCUAAUCUAUCGAAACUAACUUGAGCAAUAAUUAACAAAACAGAAUGAAUGUGGCAAGACCAAAAAACACUCAUUCAUGCUAACUAUCACACUAGUUAAUUUGAAUAGAUCCCAGCCAACAACACCAAGGAACUUAAAUUGCCUAAGCAAGUGUCAGUAAUAUCCUACUAAAAUCUCAAACCCAAGAGACUAAUCCAGAGCAAACCACAAACAACAUGUGGUAUUGCGAAAAGCCAUAAGCUAUUAAAAAGAAUAACUAACCAUCAUGAAAGAUCACCAAUCAUCCCAUCAAUAAAGAGAUGCAUAAUCAUUGUUAAAGAGAAAUUUACCAUCCCAAAGAACGGCAACUCAUUCCAUAUCAACAACAAUCAAGCAAAACCUUUUGACAAGGAUAAUCAACUAUUCUAGAUGAUGGUCAAUCAUCACCAAUAAUUGUUAGAUGCAAGAGCUAACUUCAACAUCGAAGCUAAUGAGCCAAAAAUGCCUUCCCCAACAACUUCUAACAAAUGGACCACAAGCAUGAAAACUCAAGGAACCAAAAACUCAAAGAAGCCUAUAGCCAAGUCUUACCUAACAAUGAUCACAAGUCUUGCAUAAACAUCCUUCUCAAUACGUCCAUAAGCUAAACUUCAUAAUGCGAAAGCUAAUGAAGAGCAUAUCUACAUCAAUCCAAAAGCUAAGUAUAACAAAGUUAUGCUCAACAAGUGAUCACCAAACAAUCCUCCAUGAAUCCAUUUAUAGCAAGACGUAACUCACUUCAUAACAAGCACAAGAAGAAUCAUCAAUGAUCGAUAUAUCCUAAUUCAAAUCUAACAAAGAUUCAAAAAUUUCAAUAUCGAUCACUAACUCUUCCGCUUGUAAAGUUAGCAUAGUCCACGACUGAAUCACUUUUCAAGGAAAAGCUCAAAGCUCAACCCCUACUAAGCAAUCUUGUUUAGAACACAACUGACUUCAUUUACCACUCAAUUCAUUUAAACGUCAAUAUAGUUGCCAACUAGCAAAUGCACAAAUGCUAAUAACAUAAAGCCAUAGCUAAAUCAUCAACACUAUCUUCAUUGAGAUUAAUGAAACUCAAUAUCAAUCAUAAGGAGAAACAUCUCAUCUCACUUGAAUCUCAACAUCAAAUAAUGUCAACGACAAGGCAUCACUUUAAUGCCAUCAACACCAUAACAAAGCUAGAAAAAAGCAAGAGUGAAUCACCACUUAAAACUCUCUUGCAACCAAGCUAACCAAAGUCGAAGAUACUUUAAUUAGUAUCCGAGACCAAUCCUUCAGCAAAACUCAGUUCACCCAAGACUCAAUGAAAUCCAACACCAUGGACUAAACGUAACCAAAUGAUAUUGAUGAAGGUAGAGUUAACAUACCAAUAUGGAAAAACCAUAUAAGUCUAACGACACAAUCCUCCGCAACACCAUCUAGUAAAGCAAACCCAUCACUGCUAAAUCUUCAUCGAGUGAAACAAGUGUCAACAGUCCUCAACUAAGUUUAUAAGUAAUCACUAGUUGUAAAGCAAUCAACAAUCACCCUUCAACUUGCCUUCACAAGACCCAACACUAAACUCACGUCAUCAAGUUAUAUACUUGUCCAAUAUGAACAUAAUAUCCCAAGUACGAGAUAAAGGUUCAUAGACAAACACGAACUAAAUGACUACUCAAAUCCAACUCAACCGUAACAAGCACACCAAUGCAUUUAGCCAAUAGCUCUGAGCAUGCCUUGAAGAGGCUAGCUAUGCAUGAUCAACACUCAGUCAAAACUAAAGUGAUGACCAUGAGAUGGACUCAUAUCAGCACACAACCUCCACUUAGACAAAGCUAUAGUAUAGGUGCCAACAUCUCAACCUUAAACAAUUAAGUUGGACAUCACUAUCCUCAGCCAAGGCGUAGGGCCACCAAGACCAAACCAAGGUUAGUGAGAGCUCACUACUCUCAUAGAGUCUUAAUGAAAUGCAAGGUGCAAUUUGCCACCAAGCACAACGCUAUAGAAAAAAGGCACAAGAGUCACCCUUCUUAGAAAAGCACAACAGCCACUUUUCUACACCAACUCCAGACUCUAUCCAACUUAAUUGCCUUAGCCCCAAAAGUCAGCAUCCCUUUUGGGUCACAUUAUACAAACUACCUACUAAGGUUUAAGUUAACCAAAAUCAACUCCAACCCUUUCACUAGUUUAUACUGGCUUACGAAAAUGGAAUGGUUUUUGAGCAAAGUGAUCAAUAGAUCAACCAUUCAAAAAGUUUAAGAAAAUUUGUGAAAAAAUUUUCCAUCCUAGAAAAAAAAUGACUCUCAGUCUAGGAAUGCAAACUUUCAAGACUCAACCAACUUCCUCCUACCAACUACUUCACAUAGGUUCACCUCAACACAAAUUCUCAUGAUCUAACAAUAUGCUUAAGCAUUGAACAUAUUUGCCCAUAUAUCCGAUAUCCAACACUGAUAUCCACAAUAUGCAAAAUGAACAUCCAAGGCUUGAUCAUGAAGACCAUAUCCUCAUAUAUCCACAUUGCACUACACUCUUCUUCAACCACCUUCAAGAUCCAAUGUGAAGCCAAAACACUAACAAGAAAAAUGAUAUGGAAAAUCAAGCUCUAAGAAAAAUUCCUCAUCACUUGAAAUAACAAUGCCACUUCCACUAACACAAGUGUUAGUGAUGUCAAUGCCUUAACUACACACUUUCUCCAUCCAAUAACUUACUCCAAGUGUUAACGAAUCAACCGACAAACCAUAGCAAGUGAAUGUUAUAACCUGUUUCCAACACCUCAAUGGGCAAACUCAAGGAAACAAAGUACCAACAUAAGAUUAGCAUAAUUGGACCACCAUUGAGAAUCUAGUCAAAGCUACUACAAUGCUACUUCGUACAAAUAGACUAACUUCUCCAUCAACCACUUUGGGUUUGAUCAUCAUUUACCCAAGCAACUUCGUAAACACAUUGCUCAUUAUCACAUGGAUAUGAUAUAAAUCACAAUGACUUGAUCAUCAAUUGAGUAAUACCACGAGCAAUGCCCAUGUUACUACUGCAAAGGUUUAUGUGAAUAUCAAGUGCCAACUCGAUUCGACAAAAUGCAACAUAAAUGCCACACCCCAUCAAUAGAGAUUUACAACACCUAACACCACUAACUUUUGUUCACAAUACGGAUAAGGUCGUGCCACUCUUUUUUUGACCAAACUCAAAACUAAUCCAACACCAAGCUACUUAAGGAGCAAUAGCAAGGUUCUUCGGAAAAGAAUUAAGCAUUGCAACCUAAGUCUUUUAAUAGCAAGCCUAGACAAAAUGGUUUAGUGCUUCACCACUAUCCAUCCCACAACUCACCUUUUGUAAGACCAUCAUUUCUAACAUGCAUCAAGGUAGGGACUUUUGAUUGCAUGAUGUGAACAUAAGCAAUGAGUUACACCUUGUUGCAAAUCAUUUCUCCAAGAAGAGAAAAUGAUUUACGUAUUUGAUCCUUCGUCCCCGACGACUCUCUUUUCGGUCUCUACUUUGACCAAACCUCAAGCUUGCUUUUGCACUGCCUUCAGUCCAAUCCAAGAAAAGUUUAUGAGAGAGCAUGGCAAUGACUACUUGAACCAAUAGACUAAUCCCUACAAUCUUGAUUGAUUCACUUGUAAUCAUGCCUAGGAAGGAUCCACUAGUGCUAUGCUAAAUAGCUACAGACCAGCCUAUUUGCCACUCAUAGCAAACUUAGGGAAAGUUUACUUUCACCCAUAGUAUAUGGAACAACUCAUGGAACCACUGGAACAACUCAUGGAACCACCGAUAGGCUAACAUUAAUCCUGCUAACUCAAAGUGUAACCUUGAGUUGUUAAUGUGCUUUACUCACGAGCCCAAGCACAAACUUGUGCAAACGGAACAACUCAAUCCCUCUUAUGAGCCCAAGAGCAAACUCACAUAACGCAGUACAAAAAGGUAACCAAAUCCAUACCCAAGGAACGAUUGCGAAGCCUUUGCACCCAAACGUGUACCCACUCGGAUCAUCGUUUUCAUCUGCGUAUGUAAUGAGACUAAUUGCCCAAUCUCAUUGGAUAGUACUCGCGGAGACUCAUCCUCUGAUACCAAAUGUAGCGCACGUGGUUUUGACCCUUUAUCCUAUGGUGAUUUACUAUAGGAUAAUAUCACGAAGCAAAACCUAAACCCUCUUUAUGCCACAUGACACAUGCCACAUGUCACAUGCCACGUGUCCAUAAGAUAGUGGUGUGGAACCCAAGGUUCAGGACCUUGGGCCACUAAACGAAGGAACAGUGCCAAACUCCCAAGCAUGGAGCUAAGGAGUGAUGGAACCAGUCCAUGAAGCAACUCCCGAGCAUAUAGCCCAAGGAGUGAAGGGACAGGAGCCUAGAGCGACUUAGAACAGUCCUAGAGCAACUAGCAUCCUAUUGCUAGGACUAGCACGCAAAAUGGAGCUAAACGGAGUCUAGUGCUAUUUUGGCAUACCGGUGGCCUAACGCAAGGACAUGGGUACUCUACUAGGUAGCAUGGAAUGGAACUUGAGCUUAGACCCAAGCCAGAUGCAGAACAAGGACAAGCACGCAAGCGGGAGCUAAAUUAUGCCUCAAGUUGGUCGGCCAUGCUCGACCUACCCACUGUCCCUACUAUACAUUUGGAACCCCCCCCAGGCCCCCCCCCCCCCCCCCCUCUUGAGGAACACAUGCUUUGGGCUUUCACCCCAAGCUUCCCUUAGUAUCAGGAGUUAGUCUUUGGGACAAGCUCAAACUUACUAAAUAUGGAAUGGUGCUAGAUUGCAAAUUUGGACACGGGACGAAUAUUGUUGUAUUCAGACCAAUCUCUACAUUCCGUAGAUAUGCCAAAUGAGCAAAUCUAGACACUUUCCAUAAAUAGCAUUUGGGACCAAAAUGAGAUUAACACAAAGGGCAUGAUAGCGAGGGUGUUUGGCAGACACGGUAAGCUAUCAUUUAGCGAAUAUUGAGGGACCAAUCUCAAUAUUGCGGGGUUUCUUGAUACUAGCAAGUGCAAGCCAAUGACAUGAGUUUCUCAAACCAGGCUGAGUAUGCUCAGCAAGAAACACAUAGGGUUCCUACCUUAUGUUUAUCCGAUUUAAGUACACGGUCAUUGACCAGUUUCUCAACUAGCUCAAGUGGGAACUGAUAAUGGGCCCAGCAAUACCGACCUCCUGCCAUUGUGGCAGUAAGGAAAGAGUGUUUGUAAGGAUUGGCCAACAGAUAACUUUCGAUACCCGAAGUCACAUUCGCGACAACUACCUUCAGUCCAAUUCAAGAAAAGUUUAUGAGAGCACGGCAAUGACUAUUUGAACCAAUAGACUAAUUCCAAUAGUCUUAUGUGAUUCACUUAUAAUCAUGUCUAGGAAGGAUCCACUAAUGCCAUGCUAAAAAACUAUGGACCAGCUUAUUUGCCACUCAUAGUAAACCUAAGGGAGGUUUACUUUCACCCAUGAUACAAGGAACAACUCAUGGAACCACUAAUAAGCUAACAUUAAACCUGCCAACUCAAAUUGUAGCCUUGAGUUGCUAAUGUGCCUCACUCAUGAGCCCAAGCGCAAACUCAUACAAAUGGAACAUCUCAAACCAUUUUAUGAGCCCAAGAGAAAACUCAUACAAAUGGAACAUCUCAAACCAUUUUAUGAGCCCAAGAGAAAACUCACAUAAUCUAGUACGAAAAGGUAAUCAAAAUGUAAGUGACUAAAUUUUCCAUUCUACUUUAGUCACUUAACCACACCUCCAACCACUUGAAGGAGUCUCACUCACAACCUCCAUAAGUCUUAUUUCGGACUUGGGCUUGCUAGCCUUGAGAAUGGCAUCCCCACCACUCGACCUUUGCACUCACUCCACGUGUCCGAUCUCAUGACCGACACCCCAAGGUACCAUCGAUAUAUCAACCUAUUACGCUAAGGCCAUGCCCUUUCACCUUGGUCACACCAGUGGUCUAACACCACCUGCAUCACAGUCCUGUCUCUCAAAGACUAGGCCAUCUGUCCAUGAGUGAUCAUCCUAGAUCCACUCCUUAGCAUCCUUAGGAUGCCCACAGACAUGGGGAAUCACCUUCCCCAACAUCUCUUUUCCGGUCCCCACCAAGUCCCUUUUUGUCCAUGGCUGUGUUCGCCAACACUGCCACUAGAUCGAGGCCUGCAAACCUGACCUCUAAGUCUCACUGUCCUUUGGGACUUCCUCACCAUAUGACCGUAUCCUUGGUCACUGCACUAGAGGAUUGCUCCUCUUCCUUUUCACCGUCUGGGACUUUAAGACAACAUUUCGGAACACCGUGGCCUUAUGCAAGCCUCAUGGGUACUCUCCCCACCUUCUGCCUUUGGGUGCUCUAGCCAUGGGCUUAGAGUGAGGUUCCGUUGAGCCACACUAGGUAUCCAAGUAGGUAGUGCCACCCACACUUGGACUGGGAGCAUCGGCCAGUCGAUCUCCCAGAGGAACUAGAGCCGGCUCUUGAACACUUCACCAAGUUACCCCACUUGUCAGUCCGUGUUCACUCUAGCCUUGGACUUCUCAGUGGGCAGCUCAUCACCCAACACUGGGUACAGCCUUCCUGGGCCAAACUGGCCUUUCCUGGCCAAACUGGCUCUACUGCAGUCCUCCCCACUUACUAUACUUUUGGAGCUCACCAAAACCCCCAAGGUCUGAGAGACGAACGCUUUGGGCUUUCACCCUCUCAGACUCGGACUCGGACUUGAACUCGGACUCGGACUAGGACUUGGACUCGGGCUCGGGCUCGGUCUCGGCCUCGGCCUCGGUCCCGGUCUCGGUCCCGGUCCCAUCUCGGACUCCAUCUCGGACUCCAUCUCAGGUCCAUCUUGGGUCCCUUUUGGAGCCUCGCUUAUUGUUCGCUUCGUGCUUGUUCCUUGAGCACUUUGUUGGGAGUUCCACUCGACCUUUCAAGUUGGAGCUUUCAGUCCAAACGUGUUAUGCUUGUUUGGCUUUUGCUUUGGCCACUACCACGUGGCACCCUUUCAGCUCCACUUUGGGGCCUAGGGAUUUUAUGUCUCACACAAAAUCCAUUCUUGCACCCAAACGUGUACCCAUUUUGAUUAUUAUUUUCAUCUCUACGUAUGUAACAAAAUUAGUUGCCCAAUCUCAUUAAAUAGUAUUCAUUGAGAAUUUUCCUUUGAUACCAAAUAUAGCACAUGUGGUUUUCACUCUUUAUCGUAUGGUGAUUUAUCAUAUGAUAACCAUAAAGUGGAACCUAAACCCUCUAUAUACCACAUGUUACAUGUCACAUGCCACAUGCCAUAUAUCCAAAGAACAGUGGUAUGGAACUUGAGUUUCAAGGUCUUGGGCCACUAAAUGAAAGAACAGUGCCAAACCUUUAAGCAUGGAGCAAAUGAAUGAAGGUACUAGAACACAAAGUGACUCCUAAACAUAUAGCUCAAGGAGUGAAGGAACAUGAGCAUAGAGUGACUUGGAACAAUCCUAGAGCAUUUAGCAUCCUAAUGCCAGAACUAGCACACAAAAUAGAGCUAAAUGAAGUCUAGUGUUAUUUAUGAGGAUAUAGGUACUCCACCAACUAGCAUGGUAUGGAAUUUGAGUUUAGACCCAAGCCAGAUGUAAAAUAAGAACAAGCAUGCAAAUAAGAUUUAAACUAUGCCUUAGGUUAGUUAGCUAUGCCUAAUCUACCCAUUAUCCCCACUAUACAUUUGGAACCCCUCCUUGAGGAACACAUGCUUUGGGCUUUCACCCUUAGCUACCUUUAGUACCAGAAGUUAGUCUCUAGGACAAGCUCAAAACUUACUAAAUAUGGAAUGUCCCUAGAUUGAACACUAUUGUGUUUAAGACAAUCUUUACAUUAUGUAAAUAUGCCAAAUUAGCAAAUCUAAACACUUUCCAUAAAUAACAAUUAAGACCAAACAACACUAACAUAAGGUGCAUGAUAGCGAGGGUGUUUGGCAGCCAUAAUAAGCUAUCAUCUAACGAAUAUUGAGGGACCAACCUCAAUAUUGCAAGGGUUUUUUAUACUAGCAAGUGCAAGCUAAUGACACAGGUUUCUCAAACCAGGCCGAGUAUGCUCAGCAAAAAACAUAUAGGGUUCCUACCAUAUGUUUAUCCAAUUUAAGUGCAUGGAUAUUGAUCAAUUUCUCAGCUACCUCAAGUGAGACUAAUAAAGAGUCCAACAAUAUUGACCUCCUGCUAGGGGCUGGGUAGUUUUUGAGCUGAGCUCAAGUCAAUGAAAGUCAAUAUAGUCCACCAAAUACAAAAGUUGAUGUUUAAAUGAUUGGUUCAAACGAACCAACAAUUCUAUUCAAAACUUAGAACAUAUUUUCAGUCCAUGAAAAAGCUAAAUAAUAUAAGUUUAAUAAGAAAAUAAAUAUCAUAAGUCAAAGAAGAAACUCUAUAUCACCACUAAAAAAUUCAACUAAAAAAAAAGCUAACUUUAGUCUUCCUCGGCAUCCACAUCCACAAAAGGAGGAGUUUGUAUAGUAUUAUGCUCUUUAACUGUGGGCUCUUAUUGUAUAUGAGCUUGUGCCAUUGCUUCUGCAUAACAUGGCAAAUUAUAACCCAUGUCAUCGAUCCACCUAAUAUACACAACCAUGAUGGAAUUACUAUAAUGAGAAAUUUAUAUUUUAUUAUCACUUGUUAUAAAAUGUCCCAAGAAUAGCUUCAAAACGCACUUUCUUUCUCCAAUGCAAAAACUGCAUGGUCAAUCUCUUUAGCCACUAGCACCAUCGAACCAAAACUUGCCAUAGCAUCAAGCACAAUCCCCUUAGGAUGACAAAACAACUCUAGGAGAAUUUGCAUAGCCUUUGGUGAACAGUGUCAAUAGCUAGGCAACUCUAUAUGAUAGUUCUUGUCGAUGACAUUCGAGAUGAUAUUUGUUAAGCUAUCAUAUCUUGGCAAUGCCAAACCUGCAUGCUCAUCAACUCAUGUAAUACUAUGACAGCAAGAGUAGUGGCAGAGAGCAUAGUAGUUCCAUGCUAAAUUGUUAUGCUCAUACACACUUAUGAUGAAGUGAAGUAUUAAGUGUGUCUCAUAGUGUUAAAGAUGUGUGGUUUAGAGAGGGAGUUCAACCUUUUAUGCCAUUCGAAUGAAAGAAGCUAUAAAAGGAUAGUUUUGUGGUAUUGAAACAGUUGUUGAGUGAGGCUCUAGUGCUUUGCAUUGCUAAUUUAUCAAAACCUUACAAGAUGACAUGUGAUGUGAGUGGUUAUGCACUGGGAGGAGUUCUCAUGCAAAAGGGACAGCCUAUUGCAUAUGAAAGUUGAACUUUAACAACAACUAUGUCAAAAGAAUAGCCAUAUCCACAAACUUGGGCUGGAAAUGUCAAUAGUAAUUAACUAUACUAAGAAAGUUGCGUAACUCGGCCAUUUAAGUUGGUGUAGGCCAAUUCUCCAUCAUAGCCACCUUCCUUGGAUUCGUUUUGACACCCUUAGAUAUCACAAUAUGGCUAAGAUAUUUUACCUUUGACUUUACAAACUCACAUUUGCUCUUUUUUCAUAAAGUUUGCUGUCAUAGAGUAAUAAAAGAACUUUGUGCAAAUACAUAUAUUCUAUAUUCAAGAAUAUCAUCUAAGAAAAUAUCCACAAACUCAUGAAGAUAAUACCCAAAAACCUCCAUCAUCAACCGAGUAAAUGUGGCUGAUGCAUUCGUCAAACCAAACAUUCAUCAAAGGGUAUAACUGUAAACUCAAAAUACCUAAAUUUUGUGUUGAAUGCCAUCUUGGAGAUAGAUGCAUCAUCCAUUGCAACUUAAUGAUAUCCACUCUUUAUAUCAAUCUUGGUAAACACUUGUACUUUACCAAGCUUGUCUAAAACAUCAUUUACAUGCGGCAUUGGCAUUUUAUCCUUCACUGUUUUUUUGUUCAAGGUAAAGUAAUUAAUACUUAAGUAACUUUUUGACUUGUCAUUGAACUUCUUGCUCCUCUUUAUAGCUCAACCGAAAUGGAUGCCAAUAAAUUAGCCACAUCCCCAACUCUAAUAUAAUCCCAUGCUCUCAUAAUAGGCAACCUAUAAGGAAGUUCAAAUGGAAAAACAUAAAAAAAUUCAUCAAGUACAUCCUAUACUACUACUUCUCUUCCACACGUGCCUUGGUCCCCCAAGUCAUGAAAAAACAGUAAGUAACUCGAAAAUGCUUUUCCAUUAUAACAAGCCUACUUCAAAGUGCCCCCAUGUCCAUAAAGCAUGAAUAAUAGAGAGUAACUCUUGCUUAUAUAUGGAAUAAUAUUGUUCUGCGUGAUUAGGGAUGUUUGAGAGUAGGCAGCCUGAUGCAAACUCAACCAAUCUAGAGUCAUUAUUCUCCGCCAUCUUUGCAAGAAGACCUUCCCAAAAUAAAGAAUGGGGAAGAAUGACUAACAUAAUGCCUUCAUAUCACAACACCUUGGAUGCCAUAUCCACCACUUGAGAAUUAUGGUCCGGUCGAAGGAUGUUCUAGGAUGGAGUGUCACCUUGUAAAGGUGAUAACCCAUCAGGCAAGUCGAAGAACACGAGGUCAAUGCCGAAAGUAUUGUUCAUUCCCAAUCCUCACAUCCAUCAAUGGAACAUAAAAGACUCUCAGCUCACGUUGUUGGAAAGCUGAAAGUAGUCCCUAAUAACUAUUUCCACAUUACCAACACUUCCCGUAGAAGAAAGAGGGCGAACCUGAAUAUUUUUCAAAAUCGGGAAAUAUUAAAGUUAAUACAUGUUUUUUAUCAUACCUGUUUAUGUGAAGCCAAUGAAGAUAACUCUUGGAGGUCAUCCUCUGUAGCAGUGGGGAGGGAUAGAAAUAAUGCAUUUGUACGUUGGCAUAUAAAGUGCUGGCUGGUUUCUCCGACAUCUACAACCAAAUUACAAUAAGCAAGGUCAUUGGAAAUCAAGUUUUUACUAUUUUGGACGUCCUCACUAUGGAGCUGCCUUCGUACAUUUUGAGCAGUUGGGGCUGGACGAGCAACGGCAGUAGGAUCUAGGGACUGAGCAACUACUAUAGGAUGAGAUGGGGCAGGAGAGUUUUCAGGCAGGUUCUCCACUUGUUCAUCUUCAAUUUGCUCAAUAUGAAUCUCGUCUAUGUCCUAAGGCAUCUCCACUCCCUCCAAAAGUGCCUCUACAAUAAAGUGGAAACAUAAGUUACUACUAGGAAGUUUUGCUCAUCAAACCUAGAUGACACUCAAGGUAGAGAUCAAGCUCAAAAGGUGACAAUGGCAUUUUCUUGCACAACUCCAAGUACCAUGGACAAAGUUCUCGCUCCCGCACAUUGGGACAAUGGAACUCUGGCUCAUACAUGCCAAGUUUCUUCCCACCAAUUUGUGUACACUGGAGCACUUGGGCAAUGAUUUAAAUACCUACAAAAGAGCCAUGAUUAAAUAAGCAAGUCAAUUUCUUACAAUAUAUCUAUAUGCCAUAUGGCAUGAGAAAAAUGGUUGGCCUGGCUAGUUCUUGAAAUCCAUGAAGCUUGAGCUGCCAUCAAGAAGCCAUCCAUCCCCAAGCUCUUGAAGGGAAGCUUGGACAUAUUUUGGAAGUGUUAUGCUGAUGCAAGCACUAGUAAGGAACUUUGUAUCCCAUGCUUGAAGUAGCUCCUUAGCAGCCACAAUACUUUGAGUGAUAUAGAGCUUCUCCUUCAUCAUAUUCUCAAGUUUUCUCUCCAACCUUUUAUCAGUGUUACGAUGCCAAGUAUUGAGGAGCUCCAAGCAAGAGGUUUGUUUGUUAAAGAAAGCUUGCUUUUUGCGAUGUUAUAAAUUAAUUCUUCAAGUGCUUUACCAUUUCUUGCAAGGACAAGGAUUUCAAAGUGGAAUGAAAAAGAUAGAAGGGACUAACUUACUGCCAUGAGAGCAUAUCUCUGCAAUGCAAUCCAGAAUCUUUAUCAUGUCGAAUGUCUGCAAUCACAAGUAGCUUCUUCACCUUUGAUUUCUUCAAGUUCAAAAUACACUACUCAAUUUGUUGCAGUUCAAGGCUCUUUUACACCUCAUCUGUCACUUACGUAAUCUUCAAAUAUGAGUUUUGCUCCUCCUUGACAAUUUGCUAAAAGAAAAACUUGUGAGUAGAAAACACAAGUUCAUGCAAGAAAAGGAUACUUUUGCCCAGACCGCACCCAAAAAAUUCAUAGGCACUUGAUACCAUGUAAGCAACUUUUGGACUUUACAUGCUACAAAUUUUGCUUGAACUACUUCCAUAACCCCACGACUAUACAGCAUCUGGAUUUCCUUGAGAGAAAGCAUGCCAAUAUACCGCAGGUGCUUGAUAUUAUGGACCAAGGUAUGUGCUUGGAAAGCAAACUGAUUAAGCCUGUAACAUAGUUGGUAAGAACAAAGGUUACUAGUAAAAGAUUUUUACAUGUUAAUCUUGUGACAUGCCAAGUUGAGCCUCACAGCUUGGUUUCAAUCCUAUGGCUCCACAAGUGUCAUUGGAACACAAAUAUGUUGCUUAUCAUCAUUCUGGAACUUCUUUUGGAUACACUUCCAAAAUGCUAGCCACCAGUGGUUUCUAUUAAUAAUGAAGAACAUCCAGCCUACAAAGGCUUGUGUCUCCUUGUGGCAUGCCAUCAAAGUAUCAAACUCUUGAGAUUUCCUCUGCUAUAUUUGAUCCCAAAUCUGCUUGAUCUCGUGAGUAACCAUGUCUAUGCGAUUUGUUCUGGGGAAUGAUGACGACACAAUAAAUGAUCCAGCAGUGUGCUCGAGUCCAACCUCUGUGAAAGAGGUAUAAAUAGCCAUGUUGAGGUCAUAGGCUGAGCGCACCCAGUGACUUUGCUUAAGACGGCAAAGUGGAAUUUGAAGAUGUUGGGAUCCUUUCCAAGCCAUUUCACCUAACACCAUUCUUGAGCUUGGACAAUAGUCUUGUGCACUUGCUCAUUCAAGAUCAUGUCGGCCUUUAGCAUAAUUACCACCUCAUUUAUGUGACCUUCAGGAGCAGCAAGAUGUCCACCAUUUCCACCACCAAGAUCUGCCCCACCACCUAUAGCACCAGGUGCCUCAUUUCUGCCACCAAGUUCUUUUCCACCACCUAUGGCACUACCACCAGUAGCUUCUUCUACAUUUCCAUGCUCUUUAGAACCAUCUGGUUCAUACAUGCUAACACCUGGAUCAGGAUCAACCAUUGCUUGGAUCUGGACACCAUUGCUCCUACCAUGGUCUUCCUCUGAAACAGUGCCUUGAACUUGUGAGGUGCCCCUAGUGAAUCUAGCACAACGAUCUAGUCGUUUUCCUGGAGAACGGGUCCAUUGAGGUUGACCGGCAUGCUUCUUUUGUUGUAGCAUGAUUAUAUGUCUGCAUGAAAAUGACAAAUAAACUUGAGUAAACAUUAAAAAAAAGUUUUGAAGAAAAAUAGAAGCAAUUUCCUUGGUGCUGGGAAGAUUGGUUCAUUGCCAAACCAAUCUUCCAGCACUAUGGGAACAGAAAAAAAAAGAAAAAAAGAAGUAGCUCCCUUGGUGCUGAGAAGAUCCGUUUGUUGCUGAAUCAAUUUUCCAGUGCUAAGGGAACAAAAUAAAAAUAAAAAGAAGUAGCUCCCUUGGCGUUGGGAAGAUUGGUUCGGUAGCAAACCAAUCUUCCAGUGCCAAGAAAACUAAAAAAGAAAGAAAAAGAACAACUCCCUUAGCACUGAAAAGAUCGAUUCAGUGGUAAAUCAAUUUUCUAGUGCUAAAGGAACAAAAAAAAAAGAAUAAAAGAAGUAGUUCCCUUGGCACUGGAAGAUCAGUUUGUUGCCGAACCGAUCUUCUUAGUGCCAAGGGAACAAAAAAAAGAAAAAAAAGAAGUAAUUCCCUUGGCAUUGGGAAGAUUGGUUUGUCACCGAAUUGAUCUUCUUAGCGCCAAUGGAAUGACAAGAAAAAAAAAAACCUAGAAUCUGAUGUGUUGGGAAGAUCGAUUCACUACUAAACCAAUCAUUCCAAUGCAAAGUAGCCAUGAGGUGUAAGUUGCUCACGAACUAGGAGAAAAAGAUGGGGAGAUAAAAGAGCAACAAAGAGAAGCAUACCUUGAUUGAGGAGUGUCUUUCUAGUGUCUUAAAGAGCAUCUAGCGUCCUGAUUGAAAAGUAUCUUGAAGCACAUUGUGAGAUUCAAGUGUUUUUCUCUCACCCUUCCUUGUUCAAACCCUAGUAGUAAAACCUUAAAAAUUAACGAUCAUGAUCAAUAGUCACGAUCAAUGGUCAUGAUUUUCAUUCUCUUUAAUGGCAAUUUCUUUCUAGAUUCUAGUGAUAUGUCAAUUUUUUAACAGCACUAUAAACAUAGAUUUCACAUGUUCUUUCUAAGGAGACAAUCAUUCAAUGCUUUAGAUAUUAAUUAUAUAAUUGAUUAUGAGAGGAAUAAUACUGUCGAAAUGAAUGGGGUUAUGAGUGAGAGGUGUUGAUUAAUCACAAGAGUUGUAGCAUUAAUUGCUUAUUCUCACUCUCAUCUCCAUGCUCUUUUCCUUUCGUGUGCAGUCUUUUUGACGUGAACCAACCUUUUCGAACUUGACUCUCUCUCACUUAUCACAAAAGAAUGAAAUUCUUUUGAAGGGAAAAGAGCAUGGAGAUGAGAGUGAGAACAAGCAAUUAAUGCUACAACUCUCAUGAUUAAUCAGCACCUCUCAUUUAUAACCCCAUUCAUUUCGACAGUAUUAUUCCUCUCACAAUCAAUUAUACAAUUAAUAUGGGUGGCUCUACAUUCUCAUAUAUCUUUAGAUUCUAAAUGGUUGAAUAUUUUGUUAAAAUAUUUAACUUGUCCUUUGCAAGGACAUAGCUAAUUAAAGCUCACAAUAUAGAAGAAUAUCUUUGUUAUUUCUUGUCAGUUUCUCCCUAAAUUUUUUCUAAAUGCUUGAGUAAGGAGAAGAUAUGAGAGAAUUCUACUUGAAGUUUGAUCAAGAGCCUCCAAUUGUUUUCUCUAAGAGUGUUAUAGAAGAGAGUUUCCUCUGCAGAAGAUUCAAGUUGAAGCCAGGAUCUAAUUUGGUGAAUGUAUGUCGGGAUAAGGGUAAUUAGAUAGAAAAAUCCAUUCUUCUCGACUGUGGUGUGGGAGAGAAUGGGAUUCAAUAGGAUCUUGAUAGAUGUACAAGUCAGGAGAUUUUAGUUACAGAAUCUCCGAAGCAAGCAGAGGAGACUACGUUAGUUUCACAGCCAACUAUGCAAAGAGUGAAGGAUGAAGUUGUUAUUCUCUCCAGUGAUGAAAGUGAAGAAGAUGAGCUUCCUAACAUAGCUUCCCAAACAAGUAGGUGUGUUCUUUCUAAACCAGUUUUUGAAGCAGUGGAUAAGGCAUUUUAGCAAUUUCAAUUAUUACAGUUGGAAUUGAAGGAGUUCUAGUACAUAAAAGGUGAGGAGCUUCCAUCUUCCUAUAAUGGGCAUAUAUUCUUCGAAUUUCAAGUUUGUCAAGCAGGAAGAGGGGCAUGGAGAUGCGUCUUGAUCCACAUAAUUGGUGUAGAGUAAAGACAACCCACUUCUCCCAUUUUGACAAAUCUGUGUCCAUAGUCCAUUGUGGUGGAUAGCUUCAGUGUAUCACUGAGAAAUGCAUUUCUAAUCAUGGCAAGAAUAUAUGUUUCUUUAAAGGCUCAACAAUCAAUCCUUCUAAGCGUGAUGAGGUUGUUACAGGGUUUAGAUGUUGCAAAUGUGGGGCAACACCUAUGGACAGCAGUGCAUGUUAGAUACGACCAACAUGCAAUAGAAGGAAUCUACCGUGAUUCUUUUCACAAUUUAAAAGCUGCUGUUACUACAGAGGCUGCAGCAGUACCAUGUUUCUAGGGCUGUCAAGAUCUAGCUGUAAAGGGCUGCCAGUCAAGCUGGAUUUAUUGUUAUGGGACUAAUGUUACUUAUACAAAUUGGAUCUAUAGCUCAAUUAUCUCGAAGCCAAAUUCUGUGCCAAAGGAGUGGCUAGUUGAGUGAAGGUGCAAUCUUUUGAAAGAAAAGAUUGAAAGUCUGGAGAGAGUUGGUUUCAAGCUGAAAACUUCCUCAAAUAUUGCUAUUGAUACUACUAUGCCACCAAUAUUAACACUAAACCAGCAUACACGACCAACUAGAAAUGGGAAGGCUAUACAAUAUAGGUCUUCUAUUUCGAAAAGUGCAUAAGAGAAUAUCAAGCUGGCAAAAGCAUUGAAAUGCACAAUCACAAGGAUAAAUUACAUCAGUGCCAUGGCUAAAGAGUUUGUUGUUGUGACUGAGUCGUCAAAGGGUACGAGCUACACUAUUAAAAUCUAUGAAAAUCCAUCCUGUACCUGUCCAGAUUUUACACAAAGGGAGAACAUGGGAAAGGUAUAUUUAGCCUAUAAGCAAAUCUAUUACAUUUUUAUGCAGGAAUUAAACCAAGAUCCUAAGGUUGACCAUCACAUCCAUUAGGCAAGCCUUACAAUUGUAGAGCUUUAGAAGUGUUUUUAAAUUGCUUUUAGUGUUCGGAUCUAUAUUUAUAUUUGUAUUUUAUUGGUUGAAUUACUUGGAAAUAUAGAUUAAAUCAAAAUUUGAAAAAUGAAAAGAUAUUGGUUCAGGACAAACCAAUGUUUUCCUUGUGUUUGAGAAGUCGUGAGCUCAUGAGCUCAAAAUCUACCCAAGCUCUCCUACCGUCGUGGCAGUAAGAAAAAGAAUAUCCAAAAGGAUUAGCUGACAGGUAACUUUCGAUACCUACAAUUACAUUUGCAACAACAUCAUUAGUGAUCAAAAUUCAAAGUUCACUAAUGGAUUUUGGAAGAGCUUUGCAAAGGUUAUGCAAGUGACUUUGAAACUUUUGGGUGGAGAUCAUCCUUAGACAAAUAAGUAAACCAAAUUUAUGAAUCAGGUGGUGGAGGAUAUGUUAUAUUGUAGUAUUAGUCAAAGGUAGGGAUAAUGGGGUUUAUAUCUUCUCAUUGGUAUAAUUUUCCUACAAUAAUUGCCAAUACAAUGGAACCAAGUUAAAUCUUUAUUUUGCCAUAUUUGAAAGGCAUCCCUAAACAGCAAUGGUGUUGGAGAUUAUAUUUGAAUAAGGAUGUUCAAAAUAAACUUGAUUCUGAGGCAACUAAUUUGAUAUAAAAUAUAUGAUCUUGUAUUCAAAGUCAUCCUUGAACAACAAUAGAGUUGGAAUUGUAUUUGAGUAAGGAUGUUCAAAAUAAACUUGAUUUUGAAGCAACUAAUCUGAUAUAAGAUAGAUGAUUUUGUCUUCGUGCCAUCAAAUUAGCAACAUAACACUUUAGUGCCUUUGUGGAAUGGGAAGAGUGAUAAACUUUCUCAUUGAUAUGCUGAAUAUUCUUGCAAAAUAUUCUUACCCUAUUCAUUAACCACAAGAAUCGAACUAAGUGUUAAAAUCCCAUCCCUUACACCCUAAAUCAACUAACUAAAAGGAUGAUCAUUUUAUUGCAAAGCCCUUUCUUUAUUUUAUUAUCCUAACCUAGUAAUUCCUUAAUAUUGUUAUAUAAUAGUUUAUUAUGUCUAUCAAACACCCUUGUUAUCAUGUCCCAUUGUUUUUGAAACUCAAAACAUUUCUUAAACUUUUAAGGUGAAAGGUGGAUAAAAAAAGUAAAGUUUUCAAAAGGAAAAAAGAAGGUGCUGUUGGAGUGGGGGAAAUUUGAGAUUAUAGUGUCAAGAAAUUGCUAGUGACUUCUAUUUAGCAUGGAAGAGUGCUGCUCAUUGUAGAAUGGAAGUAAGUUGGAAAUGUGUUACUACUUGAGUUAUAGGAUGCAUAUAAUGUGGGUUGUAAAGGGUGUUAAACAGAACCUUUCAAAAGAAGUGGCAUAGUCAAUACUUGCCACGAGAACAGAAAGUGCUGACGUGGCAAUAGGUCGAUCUUCUUUUGUUUUUUUGCAUGAUAUCAUCCUCUGAUUGAGAUCUUGUGACGAGCCGGGUCAUCCCUUUCUCGCAAUCUAGGGUUCUUGUCGUGCCAUUUACAAGCUCUUCUAGGUUUUGGUAGCACGCCAGAAGGAUCUUGCAAGAAAUUGGUCUAGAGGGAUUCUUUUUUUUUUUUUUUGCGAGGAAUGCUUUUUUUCUUUGAGAAACUUACUACAGCUUGUUUUUUCUUAGACCGCUACACCGUGCUAGGGUUUUGGGCGAGAUGGAGAUGAGCGAGGAGCUCGGUAUGAUCUAGGCGUCACGAAUUAUCUAUAACAGUUUCUGUGUGUCAGAUCCUUUUCUCGCUGCCUACGGCCGGGAGGUAAAGCAUGCCAGGCUCCAGGACCGCUGCCUCUACAUCCCGUCUGGCUUCUUGGGCCGUUACAACCUGUCCAAGCUCUGGGUCCAUCCAAACUACCUUUUCAUGGAUCAGUUCAUUGCGGAGAAGUGGAGCAGGGUCGUGAAUGAGAGGAAAGGGUUGAAGAACUUCCACAUCGUCUCAACGCCAGGUAUCGGCAAGACGUUCUAUGGCCACUACUUCUUUCACAGUAGAGCUCAGGAAGGACAGAAAGUAGUGUGGAGGACCGAAGAUCCAGAGUACUUCUUCUUCGACUUCUCGCUGGACGAUCCUCUGGUGCUGCAAUCGAACUGGUAUACUCGACCGCGGGGGUGGGACAUGACGAGCGUCUGGCUCAUCGUCGACGGGGGCUCGAGGGGAAUAAGUCACCUGGGGCCUCUCAUCCAGUGCGUCUCGCCAGAUCGCACUGGCUACUACGAGUUCUCCAAGGACCAUGGCUAUAUAUGCCGCCUGGGAGCGUGGUCUCUCGAGGAGGCGCAGCAGUGCAACGAGGAGCUUGAGCUGGGAAUGACAGACGAGGAAAUCGGUGUCCGCUUUUACUACUGUGGCGGGCUACCAAGGCUUCUCUUCAACACGGAGAAGUUCUCGGUGGCCGCGCUCCAAGGGUUGGUGCACGAGGCAGCUGCCAGGGUGGAGAGCUGGAGAAAUGUGCUCCACUGCACACUCAACUCGGACAAGGACCCCGCUGUUUCUGAUAUUCUGCUCCACUACCGUCUUACGACUGACAGAUUCGACUCGAACAUACACCUGGUGUUUGGCUCGGACUGCAUUCAGAAGCUUGCUUUUGAAAGGUUUGAGGAGCAGGGGUUUCAGGCUUUCCGUGACUUUUUCGACUUAUGCCGGGGAUAUCCGGUUGCAAACACCUUGGCGGGCAAAAUAUACCAGCAGCACGUCCACAAGGUACUUGCCACUGGAGGUGACGAGUUUGAUCUUCGAUCCUUGGAAGAGGAAGGUGACGGCGUCGAACUCUUCCGUCGGAGGCCGACGUCAGUGAAGCGGCUGCGCGAGUGGAAAGUGUUCGUAAAGAAGCGGUGCGUGGGGUCUGGUUUCAACGUUUACUCCAAGGACGUGAGUCCUGCGGACGCUUAUCGUGCAGGGGCGGAGGAAUCACGGGGCCUUGCAGGCUUGCCUGACAAUUGCUUCGUGGAGCCUUACGCGUCAAACGAGAAAUCUUUCGACUCGUUGGUCACUCCGGACGUAAUUCUCCAGGUUACAACGUCAGCCACGCAUCCGGUCUAUUGGUCCAAGAUCCACGAGCUCGUUCACGGGUUGGAUGAGUUGCAUGACAAGCUCAAGCUGGUGCGUCCCAAGCAGUACAAACUCAUCUACGUCGUUCCCGAGCCUAGCUUUGAGGGAUACACGUACCAGGGCUUCAAGAAAGACGAUGGAUCCAUGUAUCAGAGAGAUGUUGCCGGGAUGGACAGGGUUCAUCAGUAUGUGAUGACUGUUCCAUGGAGUGCUCUUCAAAAGUGACUAAAACAGAAAUCCGGUGGCUCUUGUUACAAACGAAUCAAAGUUUAGUCUGCUCGCGUUAUCUUUGCUAAGAACUUCAUACUAAAGAUCUGCAGGAGUGAGCCAGAAGUUACCACUUACAAGGCCAUUGGACUGGCUCUCAACAAAACGAAACUGCGAUUCAUCUGUGAGCCAACACAACAAUCGAACAAUGAUCUAAAAACCUCUUUUUUCUUCCAAUGCCGCGCGAUGUUGUUGCGAUUGAAUCCAGAGCUCAAGGAGCCACCACCAGUAGCAGCGAGAAAGACCCACGCGCUGGAUCCCAAGCGCGUCCACUUCUUCAAGUCCAUGCUCAAGCUCCACGGUGACGCCAAGAACCUGGACGCCGGGCGAGCGGUCCACCUCCAGAUGAUCACCAGCGGCUACCACCGCGACCGCUACCUCUGCAACCUCCUCAUCCAGAUGUAUGGCCGCUGCCGCAGCGUCCACGACGCCAUCGCCGUCUUCCACACCGUGAGCCGCAAGAACGUCUUCACCUGGACCAUCCUCAUCGUCGCUCACACCCACAACGGCCUCUUCUUCGAGGCCGUGGAGCUCUUCCGCGAGAUGGACGUCCACGGCGUCCAGUCCGACGAGUUCACCUUCUCCGCCAUCCUGGAAGCCUGCUCCAACCUCGGCCUCGCCUUCCUCUCGCUCGGCAAGACCAUCCACUCGAGAAUCCACCAGCAGGGCCUCAAACUCACGUCCGUCCUGGCGACUUCGCUCAUCAGCAUGUAUGGCCGGUGUGGCUGCGUCAACCCGGCCGUGAAGAUCUUCCACAGCCUCGAGAACCCGACGGUGAUAUGCUCCACUGCCAUGAUCGACGCGUAUGCCCAGAACGGGCAUAUCGAACAGGCUGCGGAGAUCUUCGAGAGAAUGCAGCUCCAAGGCCUGGAUCCCGACUUGAUCGCCUGGACUGCGAUGAUGACGGCGUAUAACCAGCUCGGGCAUGCCAGAGAGGCGCUGCUUCUCUUCCGGAAGAUGGACCUCCAAGGUCUCGAGCCGGACAGGUUUGCAUUCGUCGCUGCUAUUGAUGCUUGCUCUAGCAUCCCGUCACUGGAGCAAGGCACUGUCCUCCACUCUCGCUUGCUAGCCUCGUGGGUGGAAUGCGAUGGUGUCGUCGGGAACGCGCUGCUAAACUUCUACGCCAAGGCGGGGCUUGUUCACGAGUCGAGGAGCCUCUUCUCGAGCAUGAAAGUGAAGAACGUCGUUGUCCUUGGAACUAGCCUCGUCAACAUGUACAGCAAAUGUGGAAGAAGCGGAAGAAGUCUUCAAGAGGAUGCCCACGAAAGAUAAAAUCUCGUGGACUGCCAUGGUGACUGCCUACGCUCAAAACCAUGGGAGAAGCGACGGCUCCCGGUGUGAGCUUGCUGCUACUGCCAGCACUUGUUAAUCGUUGAGAUGUUUCACAAUGGCUUUCUGUAUCAUAGGCCUCCCGCAACGCUGUUGUAAAGUGAUGGUGCUCGCCGUCCUUCUACACGUGAAUGUGAUAAGCCGAUUUCUGUUGUCCAGAAAAUGCCAAUUAGAUCUAAAUUGAAAGGAGAGAAAACUGCAUACCUGCAGAUAAUAACCAUAGCUUAUAGUGGAGGAAAUGCCAUUGAUGUCGACAGUUAUGUCACAGCCAGAACUAGCAACUCUUUUAGCUGUGUUUGACACAAGAUGAAUCUUCCGCAAACUGCACAAUAUGACUCCACUUGGGGAAUAGGCAAAAGGGAAAACAAUGCGUCUACCUUUACUAAGAACUCGCUGUCACUUGAAUAAGUGACAUCUAAGCUCAUCGGUUCGCAUGAGAGACUCUCGGACUCAGGCAUCCAGUCUAACGAGAUCUUCCUGGUAUAAGGAUUGUUGACUCGAAAACCAGAAGUUGUAUGCCAUGGGCCUCCAGUUCUCGAUUCUGCACUGGAAAUCGUAAAUGCUGGCUAUCUAAAAACUGCGAGUCGAUCUUACCUGGUCGUCGAAAACUCUCCCUUACACAUACGCCCACGGCCGCUAAAGCAGCGAAAGAUUUUACAUCUCGCUUGGCUCUUUCGGAAAAAUCUAGUGGCUGUGUUUCCAGGUCCCCAGCCCUGAAAGCCGGAUGUUUUGCAAGCUUUUUUAAAAAGUGGAUGUUAGUUGGAAGUCCAGCAACCUGGCGAAUGCAAUGUUAGUACUCAACAAUAAUUACAAAAAAAAAGAGCAAACCAACUUGCCUGAAAAUUCGAGAGGCAAUUAUGCAGCUUCGCCAACGCCAUAUCGCGAUCACUACCCCAUACGACCAGCUUGGCUAUCAUAGGAUCGUAGUGGACGCUUACAGCAUCACUUUGCUCUACACCCGUCUCAAUUCUCACUGCAUUGACAAGAUAAACUGCUUAGUAUUCUUCAAGUUUGACACGAGUUACCAGUGGAUGAAGCGGGAGGUGGAUUAUAAUGGUAAAGAACUCCAGCAGCAGGUAGAAAACCUCUUGGAACGUUUUCAGCAUAGACCCGAGCCUCAAACGCAUGACCUGCUUAGCUGCGAUAAUCUUCGGGAAUAAGCGGUAUACUCUUUUGCUCAAGUGGAAGGCUUUCGCCAUUUGCGACACGAAUUUGCCAUUCCACCAAGUCUUGACGCGUCACCAUUUCGGUGACAGGGUGCUCAACCUGACCACAAGUUUAAUUCAGCAUAUACAGAAACUAGUGGAAGUCCGUCCUUACUUGCAAACGUGUGUUCAUCUCCAUAAAGAAAAAAUCUCCUGUUGCAGUGUCGACAAUAAACUCGACAGGUAAUUCACAGCCUUCGAUAGAAAAGAAAUUUAGAUUUGAUAGCAGCAAAUCACAAAAGAGGAUACCUUAGCCGCAUUGACUGCUGCUUGUCCUAUUGAGUUGCGAAAGUCGUCUGACAUGAGCGGCUGGAAUAUUAAAAAAAAAAACAUGGUGAAACAGCAAACAGCCUGAAAUAUUGUCCUACCGCUGGUGCUUCCUCUAUAAUUUUCUGGUGGCGCCUCUGAACGCUACAGUCCCGUUCAAACAAAUGAACAACGUUUCCAAAGCGGUCGCCAAAGAUCUGUCAGCAAGUCUGUGAUAAAUUUCCAGAUUGCAGAAAAUCUCCCACCUGGACUUCUAUGUGUCGAGGCUGUGCGAUAUACUUCUCAAUCAAGACCCUGGUGUCGCCAAACGCAGCAGCAGACUCACGUAGAGCGCUUCUCAAACUGUCCAGAAACUCGUCUCUGCUGUGGACAAUCCUCAUGCCCUGAACCAAAACUUUACAAGAGAAAUUAGUAGUGUCGCCAACAUGAAACAAAAUACCAAAAAGAAAGCAAAAAACCAACCUUUCCUCCGCCACCAAGAACAGGCUUGAUCAGAACGGGAUAGCCAAUCCGAUCAGCCUCAGAUUGCAGCAGCUCGUGGCUCUGAUCAUCCCCGUGGUAUCCAGGAACAACAGGAACAUUAGCACCGCUCAUAAGCUUUUUGGAGGCACUAAGGAGUUCCAAGAUAGUUCUUAUGGCUGGUUCUUUGAAGAAAAAUGGAGAUGGCGUACCUUUUGUCUCCCAUCAAGCUAAUCGCAGCUGCCGAAGGGCCAAUGAAUGUGAUCCCAGACUCGUGGCAAGCCUGCGCAAACUUCGAAUUUUCUGAUAGAAAUCCAUACCCGGGAUGGAUUGCCUGAGAAGAAGUUGGAUAUGUAUGGGUUGAGAAGAAAAGAAAUGAAAGCUUACAUCGGCUCCAGUGCGACGAGCAGCGUCGAGGAUGGAAGUAGUGGACAAGUAGCUGAGCUGCGCAGAGGCGGGGCCGAUAAACACUGCUUCAUCGGCUCGACGGACGUGUAGCGAGUUUCGAUCGGCAUCACUGUAAACCGCCACCGUUUUUAAUCCCAAGCUACGCGCGGUCUUGAUGAUCCGGCACGCAAUCUCGCCCCUGUUCGCGAUCAGGAUCUUCUCGAUCGGCUGCUGGGCCGGAGAUUUCUCCACGGGAGGCGCUUGAGAGAAGGGAUUGGCGAGCGAGCUCCAACAUCGCUUGCUCCUCCUCGCAAUGGAUGCGGAAUUUCCCAUGGACGAUCGGCAGCGCUAAAGAUGAGCUAGAGAAUGCGUGUCACCUGAUCGAAUCGAGGAGCCAGGACCUCCGCUGGAGAAAACCCUAGCCUUGAGAUACCUUGUCGUGCUUAUCCCGUGAAAUAGUCUAAUCACUUGAGAAGGAGACCUCUGGAGAAAUGAGUGGAGGCUCCACGAAUCCAUUGCAAGGAGUGACAAUAUCGACAGCUAUCUUGCUAGUUGGUAGUGCGAUAGAGAAAAUUCACCUUCGACUCAAUGGGGAGAUAUUUCUUCUUGGACAGUGAUGUGCACUGCAUAUGCCCUCAAAGGGCAUUUUCUGGAACUACUGGAUCAUGGCUUAUAAACUCGUGAAAUACUAACACUGAUUUUUAUAUGACAUGGCAGGACUGUGAAUCUGAAUCCGUCCUUGCUUUCUGAGUUUGAUUAAGUUAGAAUGGGGAUUAUGCAAGCUAUGUGCGAUAAUCCCUAUGAAUCUGAGUGAUCCUUGCGAGUGGAGGCUCCGAUUUUGCUCUUGGGUCCCUGGAGGUGAAAGGUGGCGGCGUCCAGUGAUCGGUGAAGCGGCUGCGCUCGUGGAAGGUGUACUGAAGCGGAUGAAUCUCGCGGACUCGCAUGCUUGCCGGACUAUUGCUUCGUGGAGCGCUACUCGUCGAGUGGGAAGGCUUUCAGCUCGUGGACAUGAUUCUGCGGGUGACCACGACGAGAAGUUGCUGGCCCGAGAUCGAAGAAGUUGUUCGAGCGCUGGAUGAUUUGCAUGACAAGCGGAAGCUGGCGCGCCCCGAGCAGUACAAGCUCGUUACGUUGUUCCCGAGUCAAUGCUUGAGGGAUUCACGUACCAGUUCUUUGAGGAAGACAAUGGAGCUGUGUCUGAGCGACGAGUUGCAGGGACGGAUACAUGAUGACGGUUCCAUCGUAGUUCGUCUUGAGUUUCAGCAUGAAUGAGUGAAAAUCCAGAUGUAAACUAUGAACUUUACCUUGCAAAUCAUGAAGUUUGUUCUUCUCGUACAAGAAUCCAACAAUGGGAUAGAAGUAAUCAAGAAUCCAACAAUGAAAAAGAUGUUUCAGCACGUCCCACAGGUAUGCUUCAGAGCUGUAGCAAAAAUGAUAGAAGUAAUCAAGAAUCCAACAAUGAGAAGGAAGGGACAAGCAGAAAAACAAGCUCACUCAGAGGCCCAGGACUUGAGCAACGAGUCCAUACCUCUCUCGUAGAUGGCCUUGGCAACGAAAGCGUCCUCCUGCUUCCCAAACCUCACCUCCCACUCCAUCUCCAUGGCCCUCUUUGCCGCUUCCUUGUCCCGUGCGUAGUCUGACGUAGAUUUUUCUCUAAUUUGAAGUAGAUGAGGAUGGCUAGUGCAACCACUGCUAAUCCAAUAAACACAGUGAACACUUGGAAGACUAUCCAGUUUGGAGUAACUUCAACUGUGGAUGUCGUUGUCACUAGGAAUGCUGUGUCAUUAUUGAGCUGGAGAAUUGUCUCAGCAGUGGCAAGGGAAGGUUCCUUUUGGAGGUCAUUUAUGCUGAAGUAGAGACCUGGCAAGCUUCCUGCCACUGAACCAGCAAUGAACACUGUCCGCCCCAAAGUUCUGAUUAGUGGACGGUAGCCUGGCUUACCGGCCAACUUAAGUUGAUGGAGUUGGCGAAACAAUGAAUCUUCCCACUCUAAGAGUGUCCUGCUCAAGGAGCCAGCACAAAUUCCCAGGAAUGCAAUGACAAAUGUCAGAAAAGACGCAUAAACUUGUGUUCGACGAGAAGAUCCAUCUUUCCAAUACUGCUUUCCAAAAUGAUGAACGUUGCUCACUUUCAACAAGUCAUUGAGAACUUCUUGGACGUUCAUGUUGUCAUAUGCGGACAAUUUUUUGAAACACGGUGGUGAAUCAACCUUAACCAAGAAAAUAAAACAUCAGCCUCCAGAAAAAAAAAGUCAUAGUAUGGAACUCACCUUGAAUUCUUCGUUCCCGCAGGUGAUGUUCCCUCCUGGUUUCUUCGUCAACAGAAACUCUUUGAUGACAGUGCCGCACACCUUGUCGGUUUGCAUACGAGAAUACUUGUACUUAAUGCCGGUGAUGAGCAUAACUUGGGAACCCGUCACGUUUUUUAUACAAGCAUCGAAUAGAACUGUGGGAUUUGGCUCUUGGUCUCCUUCUAAUGUUGUCUCAAUGCAUGUUGUCAUCUGCUCCAUCCCACUCAGCACACCUUCUGUGAGGCUGGCAAGGCUGGCGCCAAUGGGAAGAGAGUCAUUAAAACUAAUUAGGACUGUCACCGGGAGGUUAAAUUUGAUGCUGUAAGAUCCAAGAUAGAUGAUAUGUUCAUCUAUAAUAUGAUCCCAGUCCCAAAAUGAUCGAGAUGUCUCACACUGAGAAGUGUUGAAGGCGAAGGAAACAUCUUGGCCUUGCGUCAAGUCGUAUCCAAUUAUGCAAACUUGGCGACGGCAGGCGCACUCUAAGAAUGGAUAAGACAAGUAAGAAAUAACAUCCGGGAUGUAGUUGAUGGGAACUGAUGGGCUGCAUUCUCUAAUAUCAUUGCUGUAGUAAGACCAUGUCGAGUCGUUGGAGGGAAUUUUCUCCUGGCUAAUCCCUGUGGAUAUGUUGGACCUCGCACUGCUAGCAAAGUUGCUGAAAUAAAAUCCAGACUUGGUGAGAACUGGAUGCGUGAAUUUGGAAGAUGGCAUUGCGAAAGGUACUUUACUGAGAAGUAAGCCAAGAUCCGGCGUACCGCUGGUUUUGUUCACUGAGACUAUAGGUGCAGUGAUCUUGCAGCGUUCGACAGCAGACGCCCCCAUAUCACUCAUAUCAUUGAUGCACAGGCGUAAGCUUAUCCCCCAGUGAAUCGCCAUUUUCCAGAUCAGACUAGUACCAUGCUGGCGAAUGACUCCUCCAUACAAGUGUGGAUCAGGCGAGUUGAAAAGAUCAGCUUCUACAGUUUUGUUGUUGCUUCUCCAAACCCGCCAUGCACUGAGCUUUUGAUAAGCAGCAGCAACCUCCGUCAUGCUAACACUGCUCGAAUUUUUAGUUUCACCCCACACGAGUGCUGACGCAAUGGAGGUGCUUGUGGCCCAUUUGUAGAAGGGGUCGUUUGUUGUCGCAAACACGUUGGUUUCCCAACAAGUUGUACCUGUCUGUUUGAUGAGAUCAGAAUAGAACUCACCUUCUGGCUUCUUUUUGUUCACACAUAACGAGAAGACUAGCAGCACAGCUGUUGCAAUUACAAUGGCAAAUAUGAAUACUGCAAUGGCAACAAUGCUCGACGUCUUCCAUGGCUUCCUUUCCGCCAUAAGUUCGCUAAACGAAAAAACAAAAAAUGAAAGCUGUAUCCUUCAAGGCUGUUAACAAGUCGAACCUAUUGGCAAAUUAAAGGAACAUGGUAGUGGAGAAUCUAUUCAGUGCAACAUGUCCUUCAUCCCCAACCGUAGCAGCAAUAAUGCAAAUGAUUCUUUCCACUGCCAGUAAUUUGAAAAACAGUAAUGCGUAUGUGAUUUGGAGGGACAACUUUUCCUCGAUCUUGGAUUUGUCGCUCUAAUGCAUUUUUCCUAUAUUCUCCGGCACCUCCCAGAGGUGUCUCAUUUGUGUCCAUGGCUUCGUCCCCCAUAAGUUCGCUCAAAUUAAACAUGGGCUCAGAAGCGGGACUUGGUUUCUUGUUAAUACGGAAAGUGAAAAGUGAACUUGAAAGUGAAGGUUCACAUGAAUUUAUUCAUUAUCAAGCAUUUCUGACUUCCACUCAAUGAAAGUUAUUCUACUGCCACGUCGGCCUCUAUCAGUGUUUAGAAAAAGGUAAAUGUAGAAGACGAAAAUUGCCUUAAGGAUUUGGCUUGAAUUAGAGCUUAUUCCUGGACGUAGUCUCAGAGAUGGAAACAAGAACCUUUCGUACUCGGCUUUACCAGUGUGAGAUAGGACGCACUCCUGUCUAGACUAUAUAAGACUCUCCAAUGCACACCAUGGCAUCGUCCAUGAAGCUGCCAACCUUGCCAAAGGCUAAGAUUGCAUCGACUACAUUGGAGACUACAUGACAAAGGGGUUGUAUGUAGGGAGCAACUCUCCAAUCUACUAAGUUUGCAAGGUUAUUUCCCACUAACCCUGGCACUUGGAUCUUCCAAGUCGACCAGACACCAUUGUCCAAUGUCCCUGUCCAAUGGCAUUUGCUGGAGGCGCUGGAUCUCUUCCGCCGGAUGGAUCUCGAGGGCGUGAAGCCGGACGACGUGACCUUCCUCGCGAUCCUGGGCGCGUGCUCCUCCGCCAGAGAUCUCGCCACUGGGAGCGAUCUCCACGCCCGGAUCGUGGCGAGUGGAAUCGCGAUCGAUGUCGUCGUUGGCAGCGCGCUCGUCCACUUCUACUGCAAAUGCGAGCGAGAUCCCCGACCCCAAUGUUGUCACAUGGCGUCGAUCAUCGCGGCGCACGCCGAGAUGGGAUUGCAUCGCGAGGGGAUGGAUCUCUUCCGGAGGAUGCAGCUCUCCGGCGUUAGCGCGGACAGGCUCGUGAUCGCCAGCGUGCUCGAGUCGGAUCCAUCCAUCCGGAGCGCCGCGGCGCCGAUUCCCGAGUGGAUCUUCCUCUCCGGGCUGGAGCGCGAUCCCUACCUGCGAACUGGAUUGAUCGCUAUGUAUGGGAAGUGGGGGCUCCUCCACGAAUCCAUGGCGAUCUUCUUCCGCGAGAGCUCGCUGGAUUCCAAUGUGGUGGCCUGGACAGCGAUGAUUUCUUCGUGCUCCCAGCAUGGCCGCGUCGAUCUCGCCGUGGCGCUCUUCCAUCUCGAGGGCGUGCGGCAGGACUGCGUCUCGAUGAUGACGAUCAUGGACGCGCUCGCCAGCGACCCCUCGUAUUGCCCGCGCAACCUCGCGGGGAUCGGCGAGGUGAUCGCGUCUUGCGGCCUGGAAUCCAGCUCCGCGAUUGGGAACUCGCUCAUCAAUCUCCAACGCCAGGAGCGGCCGGAUCGAGCGAGCGCUGGAGAUCUUCCACGGGAUGAUCCAUACGCUUGCCCAGAGCGGCAACGCCGCUAGCGUUCUAGUGAUGCUCCGCGAGAUGGAUAUCGAGGGCAUCAAGCCCGACGCCGUGGUGUUCGUCAGCGCGAUCGAUGCUUGCAAAUCCAGCUCGCGCCUUGCCGACGGCCGGAUCCUCCACGCCAGGGCGAUCGCCAGCGGCGUCGACGACCGCAUCCAGGUCGCGAAUUCCCUGCUCGACAUGUACAGCAAGUGAGGGCGCCUGGAUCUCGCCAUGGCCGUGUUCCCAGCACGACACCAUCGCCUGGAACUCGAUCGUCAUCUCCUUCGCGCAGCAUGGGCGAUUGGAUCCGCGCGAGGGAGCUCUUUGCAUCUCGAGGGAAUGGAGCCCAGCCGCGUGACGAUCGUGAGCAUCCUCUCGGCGUGCCGCCACGCCGGGCUCUUGGAGGAGGCGCGGCGCUACUUCGUGUGCAUGGCGGACGACCACGGCAUCGAUCCAGCGCUGCUCCAUGAUCGAUCUCUUCGGCCGCGCGGGGUGGCUGGAUCACGCCGAGGUGCUGGUGCGCGAGAUGCCCAUCCAGCCCGCGAUCACGAGCGUGACGGCGCUCCUGGGAUCUUGCCGGAUCCACGGCGGCGGACGUCCGGGGCGGCGGAGCAAGCGAUCGAUCUAGACCCGAGAGCGCGGCUGGGGGAUUAGCGUUGCUAGGAAAGAAUAGUGGAAUGCGAAGAGCCCUAAAAACAUAUUCUUUUUUUAUACCUUUUUACAGAAUUGAAGAAUCUAGUUUGGAGAUAAAAGGCAUAUUUAGUUCACGGGAUAAAGGCAUAUUCCUUUCAUUAAGAAUCUUUUCGAAUCUUUUCUAUUAUACCUUUUUAAAAGUAGAAAAGAAUCUAGUUUGGGUUUGAUUGAUCUUGCUGCUGGAGCGCGUCUUCGAGCAGAUCUUCGCCAAACUCGAGAGCUGCGCAUCGAAACAUCUGGCUGUCCACCAGCUUACCUUCGCUGGCCACUCCCCACACUGCGUGCUCGAACACUUCCACCUCGAUCGUCGCCACGAAUGACUCUCGGCACGCGGGCUGCCACUCGAGCUUUCCAAUCGGAGCAAGGAUUUGCUCCGAGAAGGACACCGGCGAAGCAUAGCAUAGAAUCUAAUCGCCAAGGAGGAGAGAACCGAAAGCCAUACCAUGAUAGUGUGUGAAGGACCAACUCCGGUUAACGCGAACUUCUCUUCCAGGAGAGAGAGCUGCACGUCCUUGAAAAUGGUCUCAAGGUCGUUGGUGCGCAGAUCCAAUUUGCAGUUGGCCGAUCGGUAUCCGAGUGAGAAGACAUAAGUGGUCUCCAGGAGUUUGCCGAGCUUGAACCGAGCUCCCGAGCAGACAAUCUGGGAAGAAUUAUCCCGCGACAUCCCCUGGGGCCACACAUGACCGGCAAGGAAAGUUUCUCCCCAGUUCUUCUCCUGGUGCGCAAACCCGUCACCGUGAACCACCAUGUUCUUGUCGCUGCUGAAAAAUGUGUACUUUGCUCGGAAGCCCAGGCUGUGCACGUACCAAUGGCACGGGAACAGUGGAACUUUCCCUGCCCAGCCUUCGGGGCCCUUUUUACUGUUGCCAGAAUCCCAUGGGACCUGGAAAAAACACCGGGAUGUGAGACUUUGUUUUGGUUUUGGAAUGAAGAACAUUACCGUGUCACUCGUCUC